rnacentral:lncRNA from 1 species
GGGAAAAAAUCCAGCAAGUGGGAAGUUGUAAACAACUCGAUCAAAACGCAUGCAUUUGAAUGGGAAAACGUUUGCCAUUUUGGUGGCAUCAACAUCAUGCAUGACCUUAGCACCCAAGCUCCGGAGUUUAUCGAUGUUGGACAAGGCAUGCCUAUAGUUUGUGCUCAAAAACUCUGAAAAUUGCAGCUGAUAGUCAUCAGUUAAGGUCAUAAGACAAACCCCAAAUGGGUGCUGGGGCACAUGCUAAUCAAGGUUUACUCAGGACUAGAAUGAGAAAAUACCCAAAUCAAUCAAAAUCAUGGCAUUCAUGAGAAAUACUCAAAGAAGAUUACCAACUUAUAGUUCAGGAUUUCUUGUUUGUUACCUAUAGAAUCAAGAGAAGUAGCGGUUAUGUUUGUAGCAGAAGCAAAAGCCACAGCCAAAGACGCAGAGAAUGAGAAGUCCCCUUCACCCACCAGCAAUAUUUUGUACUCACUGCUGUAGUGCUUUAUCCAUCUUACUCUAAGCUUUCCUUCCUCUAGGUCUUCUUCACAGCUGCCACAGUCCCACCAAUUUUUUCCUACCACUCCUCUGGUUCGUUCUUCGUUUUCUUCAAUUAUGUUGUAAUGGUGGAGCCGUGCAGAAACUUGAUUCUCAUCACCUACAACUUGGUUUUUAAAUUUUGCAGGAAUUAACAGAUCCAAUGCAUCAUCAGACCUGGAAUUGCUGCGUGGGUCCAAGCUCAGUGGAAAACCCAGAGAGUUUCGCUGCGAUGCACCAUUGAUGCCUGAGUUGCUGCUUGGGACAGAGCUCAGUGGAAGAGUCACUGGAUUUGGCUGGAAAUGGGAUGCACCACUCACGCUAGAGUGGCUGCAGGAGCUAGAGAGUAGUGAAGGAUGAGUCUGUAUCUUUGGCUGAGCAUGAGAAGUACCACUUGGCCUGGAUAGGCCACACGAGUUGGAGCUGAAUGGCUGAGGAGUCUGCACUGGUUUUGGGUAAAAAUGGGUUGUGCUGGAUUGGUUGCAUGAGCUAGAACUUAGCUGUUGGUGAGUCUCUAGUUUUGGCUGGACAGGGGAUGAUACAGUCGUGCUGGAGAGGCCACAUGAGCUCAAGUUGAGUGGCCGAUGAGUCUGCACUGGUUUUGGGUAAAAAUGGGUUGUGCUGGAUUGGCUGCAUGAGCUAGAACUCAGUUGUUGGUGAGUCUCUAGUUUUGGCUGGACAGGGGAUGAUACAGUCGCGAUAGAGAGGCCACAUGAGCUCGAGUUGAGUUGAUGAUGAGUCUGUAGUGUUGGCUGAAGACGUGAUGCACCACUUGUUUUGGAGUGGGUGAAUGGGUUAGAGCUAGAGCUAGAGUUAGAGCUAGAGCUCAGUGGAGGCGUAGGAUGAGUCCGUAGAUUUGUCUGCAAUGUGUAGUCCCUACAUGAUCCUAAACUCGGUGGAGAAGUAAUUGGAUUUGGUUGCAACGCAGGCCUUGAGCUUGAAGAGUUGGUGUCUGAGCCCAAUCUCGGUGGAGAAAUCAGGGGUAGUCUUUCACUUGGCUUCUUUUUAUCAUCUUUUUCACCCCACAACCAGCGAAUAAUAAUGGAGAGAAUUUGACCCAUUGAAUCACCCGUCCCCCUUCUUUUUCUUCUUUUUCUUCUUCUUCUUCAUCUAGGAGCCUGUAAACAUAGAAAUGUCCCUUGUCAUGAAAACCAUGCGGGCGUGCACUGCAAUGUCAAUGGACUUGACACAGGUCCCACCAACAUUGCAUUAAAUUUUCCUUCUCGGACAAGUAAGAUAAGGAAUGCCUCUGCCACAUACUGUUGAGAAAUAUAAGAAGAUAUUACCCACAAAGCCUAUCAUGUUAAAUCAGGUAUCAUUUCAUAUCAAAUCAUUGUAGCCUGCUUGACUACUCCAAUUCCCAAGCCUUUCUCCUCCUUUUUGAAUGUUGAUUCCAUCAAUGUCUAGUUUCUAGUGAUCUAGGGUUGGGUGAGUCUUUCUCUGCCAUAUCAGACUGAGACAUUAAUAAUGGGAUUCUUUUUUUCUUUUCAAAUCAAUAUGACUCAAAUGCAACAUUCAUUCUAUUCGGGAUUCAAAUUGUCAACAAAUGAACCAAAAAUCAUCUUCACAGCCAAAUCUACAACUACUAAACAUCUUUUCCCUGUAAAACUAGUAAAAUUUCCAUCCAGACAUGUUGAUUAACUAUAGAAGAACAUGCUUCUGCAUUCAUCCCCAUCUAAGUUCAGCAUUUUAGCAGAAACUCAAUAUGAAAAAACAGAAUGACAGAAAGGGUAAAAGGGCGUCAAUAUCAAUACCAUGAAUGCAGAUGAGCUUGUGGAUGAUGAGAGCUUUGUUGAGACCAGAGAUCAAAGCUCCCAAAUCAGAGUUUUCCCACCAAAGAUCGGACGAGAUCAAACACUAGUGAUGCUUGGCUUGCAGGAGAUCCAUCAGUGUUGGGUGUGAGAGAUGAGAGUUGUCCUGAGAGUGAAGGGGGAGCAAUAUCAGAAGGUAAAGAAGUUUCCCAUGAUUCGUACGUCCAAAGACUUGGUUGGACUUGGCCAUUUUUAUGCUACGUGGAGGCACUCUAUUCGGAUUAAUAAAGUGAUAAAAGAAAAAAAUUAGGAAAGAAGUCCAUUGCAUCAAAGAAUUUGAUACCCAAAGUCAUGGAAGUAAUUAAAACAGAUUGAUGAUGAUGAUGGUUGUACCAAACAGCAUUUGAUACCCAACCCACCAAUCAUAAAAUUCAGUGACAUGGGAGUGUAUAAAGCAAAAUAAGAUAUACUAAAAUUAUUUUAAAAUACUUUAUAUUUCCAAAUAAUCUUUUAUUUGGGGAAAUGAAAACAAAGUUGAAGAAUUAUUCUAAAACAAUUUAUUCAUUUUAAGAUUUUUUUUUUCUUUCACUUGGUAAAUAUAUCAUAAUUUUAAAAAUUAUUCUAUUAUUUAAUUUGUAUUAUUUAAUACUUAUCAUUAUAAAAAUAAAUAUGCACUUAAAUAUUUAUAAAAAUAAACAUUACUUAUUUUUUGUAAAAAUUUUCAUAAAGCUUACCGUUGGUCUAGCGAUACCAAUCUCUUUGUUUAUUGCUGCCUUUUAGGUUUGAUUUCUCAUACUCCUCUUUUCUACAUAUACCCAUCCCACAUUGAAACCUUAUACAAACAUUUCCUACCAUAGAUUACAUAUGAGCUUGGCAUAGAAAUUAGUUACUUAUAAUGUGGCCCAUCAAAAUAAAUGUAUUUGGGCUGUACAGCUUUUAGGGCUACAAAAGGUGUUAAUUUUGCCGGUCAAAUUUUGAAAACAUUUAGAAUCAAUAGAGGGGUUCACAUUUUCUGUACAAAAAUAUUCUUAAUUUUUGUGUAUUCUUCGAUAAAGAACUCUAUGUAUUUUCAAUAAAGUUGAAAUCGUACAACAUAUUCUUAAUUUGAGGCAUUGACAUAUUAUGGACCCUGCAUUUUGACUCAUGCGCUUCCACUCGAAUGGCGUGACUCGUUUUUCUAUUUUGAAAAAAUGAUUUAUUAUUAUUAUUAUUUUUUUUAGAAAAUGACUUAGAAUCGCUACUUAUUUUUGUUUUAUUUUUAAAGGGUAAAUAAAAUAAGAAAGAAAAACUCUAAGUAUGACCCAUUAUUUGGAAAAGGUGGUCUGUGAAAACCAAAAAUGGGUUCGGGGGUUCAAUUACUUAUCAAGAAGGUAUGAUAAAGACUGUAACACCCCAUUAAGUCCUUAAAAACGGGUUCCUACUAAUAAAAUGAAGCAAGUAUGAUAAUUGAUAAGUAAAUCAAUGGAUACCGAAUGAAAAUCAAAACAAAAUACUCAAAUGAAUACGAGAGGUCAAGAACAUACCUGAGUGAGGAACUGAUUUAUUUCAUGGGAAGCAAAGGUUAGUAAACAAACAUAGGAUGAUUAUGUGCAUAUCAUGGAAUAGAGUAAAUCAAUUAUAUAUGUAAAGCAAUCAGAUCAAUCAAUCAAUCAUAAAAUCACGUAUGUGGGGCCCUCCACCAAGACCCGAUUUAUCUUAGCAUAAAUUAACGAUAAAUUUCAUUAUUUGAAAUUAUAAGAUUAUUCAUGCUUAUUAAAAAUGUGAAAAUUGGAAAAUUAUUAAAGAUCAAGGAGAAUUUAUGAAAGAUGAUUGUCGGGGAGAAAUAUGGCAGCCUAGUUUAUUAAGGAGCGGAAAAUAUUUAAAAUCAAUGAAAGAAAGUAAAAAUAAAAUAAAUAAAAAAGAAAUAUAAUAAUAAUAAAAGAUAAAAUAAAUGAAAUAAAAUAAAAAAAGAAAUGAAAAUGAAAAUAAAAAUAAUAAUAGUAACAAUAAUAGGAAAUAAAUAAAUAAGCAAAAUGAAAAAGGCACGCCCCUGAGGAAAAUGGCAAGAGUUGAUUUGUUAAAAUUGGAUUUAUUUAAGAUCAAGAAAGAAGGAGAAAUGAAGAAUUAAAAUCAAGUAAAAACGAGAUUUUUUUGGAAAUCCAUUUUUGAAAGUGUGCAUGAGAAAAGAGGAGUGUGGGACACGUGGGAAUUGGAUGGGCAAGUGGUGGAAGUGAAUACUGGGGGUUUAAUUGAAUGCAGAUUCAUAAUCUCAGUACUGAUUCCAUCCUUUGCAAGAGUAUCAGCAGCCUUGAGUGCUAGGCCUCCCUACCCAUUGUCUUUAUAGUCCACCCAUGUUGUUUCUCAAAUCUGUACCUCUCUGAAUCAGUCGCUUUUUGUGCAUCGGCUACCCCACUCAGCAAAGGCCGCUCAAAAGUUGUUCUCAUCAUGUACUCAGCAAAAAUUUCUUGGUCAAUGGCAGAUGGGUUUUUGUAAUAAUGAGAGGUGGAGACGAGAAUGGCGAGGGCGUGAACAUGGUUAACACUAACGCUGAAUUGAUCUUGCAACACUCUCUCUCUCACUGAUCACACAUGCUCAUAGGCACUUCCUCCUUUCUUUCCUUGUUAGCAGAAUCCAUCUCAUUGUAGACGAAGUUACUGGAAACGGCCAUCAACAUGAUCCAGAACACCAGAAAUUUUCUUUCUCAGCUAGUUCUCUUCUCCUUGCUCUCCCCUCCUCAGUUUUUCCAUUUUUCAUCACUCUCUGAAAAGCUCCCUCUAAAUCUUCGCCUCUCAAGCAACCUCCUUCCCUUUCUAUCUCUUCUUCCUCGCUCAAAAGACCCUCAUUCUCCAGCUGAUCUCUUCCCUCUCUCUAUCUCCUGCUUCAAAAUCUGAAUAAUCAUGGAUUUCUCAAUCAACCCGUGUUUUCAAGGAGUUGAGCACACCAUACAUGUUCUAAACCUGACCAUACUGCCUCAAAAGGGUAAUCUCCUACUCCGCCUCGUUCUUCAUCUUGGCCCUGUACUGGUAAGGAAUGGCAGCAACCCGAGCCCAUAGUACAAACAUAAACGCAUAACUCAAGGCAAAAACAGGGACUGCAAGUCCAUUCAUGAGGGGAAUCAAGUUGUCUGCAAUUGAUUGAAGCUGUUUAGCCGCUGACCAAGAGCAAGAUACACUCCAUGAAAGAGAUCAAGAAUGCCCAGGCGGGUGAUGUCGUUGAUACUUGCUGGAUUGAUGACGCCCAAAUGACUGGUUACAGGUGUGAAAAAAAAAGACCCAGUUUCCUUCUCAGACGCGAGAAACAUGCUCAUGUCGAUCAACAAUUCUUCUUCAAGCUUCGGAACGCAGCAUCUGUGCCUGUGUGCGUGAGCAGGCUAAGGAAUUCAGACAUUAUAUGUGUUGUAUUAUUGAUGCCGAGGUGAGACACUACUUUUAUUAUUGAUCAUGUGGAAUGAAGGUACGUGAAUGGGUGAGGUCACUCCGGGGUUAUUUUAGGUUAAUUGAUGGUCAUUAUCUGAAGAGCAUGCUAGUGGGAGAAAUGAGAAAGACGAUCUGGGAGGGAAUAUGAUGGGUUAUAAGCUGAGGAAGGGGCAUGAGGAGGGACUAGCGGGUAUGGAGAUGAGGAACGAACAGGUGGUGGCGAGCAUGUUAAUGGGUAUGAUAGGUGUAUUGGGUAUGGGUGUGAUCAGUAGAGUGACUUGUGGAGAGUAUAGCAUGGGGAAUGAGUAAAAAAAGAAUGGGUAUGCCGAUGGCUUUGAUGGGUAUGAAUGUUUAGAAGACGGUAAGCUGGUCAUGACGUCCUAGGCGAGAAUGGUUUGGCCUGGUACUCAAAUUUGAUGGAAUGAAUUUUGGAUGGAAAAGUUUGUGAAGGUAUGUCUAGCUAUGCACGGCCAUGCAUAGGCGCGCCCAUUUCAUCUCAAUGUCCAGAACUGUUCCUGAGAUUUCCCGGUAUCUCUACCCAAUGAUGGCGUCACCUACCACAUCUGGACAACUCUCCACUAUUAUUCACUUGAACCAAAACCUUCAAAUGCUUUCUUCUCAUUAUUUACACCUUCAACCAUGGCCAGAUUGAGGACUGUAGCCAGGAGCUGUUUCAUCUUAUUGCUCUACAAAUGCUCAAUAAAAUACCAUUCAAUGUCUUUUGGAAGCUGUGGUGCUCUUUCAUUCAUCUCCUGAACGUAGCUUUCGCCAAAACAACGGUGACCGACGUCGUGGACUUGUCAGAUGUGAGAGACUGGUUUAGUUCUUGAGACAGCCAUAACGCGGACUUGAUCGGACCGACGACCUGACCUCUCUGCUGUUUGACGAACACGGAAUAUGACGGACCGGAGCGGCCUUGCCAGAGUCAUUUUACAAGCUGGAACUAUAUGGUCAAUAGACAAAUUCUUGAAACUUGGGGAAAAAGAAACAGCUCUGAAAUCCAAGUCUCAGACCGAUUCCCCAACACUGUUUGCCAUAAUGAUCCUUGCAUGCUCUAACAAGAUCAUGCAUAAAGCUGCAUGCCCAGUAGGCCGUAUCAUGAUUGCUGAAUCCUUUUUGAAGCAGACACAUAGCCCGGUGGAUGACUGCGUCUGAUAGGUCAGAUGCUGCUACAGUUCAUAUACCAAUGACCACCAUCCUCUUCAUCUGAGCUCUCUCAGAUUCACUCCGAUCAAGACAACCAGACCAAACAUGAUACCCAACUUUCGAAAAAAUUACCAGAAACAGAGGGGAGGGUGAAGAAAAACAGAGCAUGCAUAUAAGAGAGAAAAAAACAUGAUGUAAAUAUAGCUUCAUUUCAUGAUGAUCAAUGAGCAGGAAGUGGGUGGGAAAAUCUCAAGCAGAUCCAAAGCAGAAGUGAAAACAAUAACUCUAAACACCUCACAGUUAAUAAGAUAACAAGAAGUUCACCAAUUUUUCGAGUCAAAUCAAAGAAACAGAGGAAGAAUCAGCAACACAGGUGGAAAAUCGACAAAUAAAUCAUCUAAGACAUCCAGUGAAAUGAUACCCAGAAUCAAAAAAAUGUAUGGUUCACCGUGAGCUUACCUGAAAAUGCACUAGAUGUCUUCCCCCCAGCUUCCUCUCUCUCUCCCCCCGUUUUUUUUCUCUGUAACCUCUGCUUCCUUCUCUCCUAAGCUCCCCCAAAAACGGCAGCAAAAGCACCACCCUCUCUCUCUGUAACCAAAACCAGAAUAUCCCCCCGCCUGCUGGCAGCUUGCUCUCCAAGAAAAUAUCUCUCCCCAAAAACCACCCAGCAAGCUUGCCAAAAACACCUCCUCUCUAACGGCCAAAAGAUUCCAUAACAGGUGUCCAUUCUUCAUUGCUUCCUCAACCCACUAUUGAGAUUCACUGACAGCCAGUCCAAAGACAACACGUGGCUCCUUGAGAGCCCUCCACCUGGUAAGAACAAGCUGUAGAAAACCUACCCAAAAUGGGGGUCUACACAUACAUUUUCGUACAAAAAUAUUCUUAAUUUUUGUGUAUUCUUCAACGAAGAAUUCUAUGUAUUUUCAAUGAAGUUGAGAUCGUAUAACAUAUUCUUAAUUUGACUCGACUUAGAGGCACAUGCAUAUAUUCUCUAGCUAUACAAAAAUAUUCUUAAUUUUUCUGUAUUCUUCAAUAAAGAACUCUAUGUAUUUUAUGCAUAUAUUCUCUAGCUAUACAAAAAUAUUCUUAAUUUUCAUUACAAGGAAAAAGGUAUAUGGUGACAUUUAUAACAAGUCACCAUAAACAUAGGGUGUCACUACAAUAUAACGUCACCUUCUCCACUAACACCAUAGAGGGUACCAAUUGGUGACGUAUUUGGAAGUGACACCAAAGUAGAUAAAUGGUGACCCAUUCGGAAGUGACACCAUAUAUUUCUAGUCAUGAUAGGGUGUCACAUUAAAUACAUCAUCUUUGAGUUAUGAUGUCACAUUAAAUGCAUCACCUUUGAGUUAUGGUAUCACAUCAUUGUAAAUUAUUGUGGAAGAUAUGAUUGGUUUUAGUUGUUGAUUUUUGUAAUGCUUAUGAAUUAAUAAGAUUAACCUGUUUAUAUUUUGUCCAUAAAUAUAACAAUCAUAUUAUAUUUAACUCAUUUUUCUGUAAUGUUUCUGAAAUAACUCAUAAUACAUUAAUCAUCUAAUAAUAUUUGUAUAUCAAAUGUUCACAAAAGGAUAGUACGUCUAACAUAUCAAACCCAUCAAAACCAAAAAAGAAGAGUGAAUACAUACCAAAACAUGAUUCAGAAAUGUUAAAGAUCCCAAGAUUCAUGUAUACCUCCAUUUCAUAAGCAUAAAAUCGACUAACCAUAAAAUGACAUAAAAGUCCCAUCUAAAAAUCUAAAUUUCUCAGUUGCAAUUAAAGUAACGUUUAUGUCCUAUAACGUAUGACAUAAGAGUUGCAUUUAAAAACCCAAAAUCUUGUUGCCUUCUUCUUUUUUUAUUCUCCAUUUCACCCUCCCAAGAGUGUAUACCUGCAUUUCAAAAUUUAAUGAGUUUUAGAGAUUUUUAUUGAAGAAAAUAAACAUGGAUCAAUGUUAUCAUAAAUGAACAAAUCUAAGAACUAUUUUUUUUUCAAAUAGAAACAUUAUUCAAAGAAUAAGCAUUACUAUAUAAUACCUAUGGAAAAAUUCAUGUAGUAGUUAAGGGACUCACCAUGCAUGGUGAUCAUGAUGCAUCAACAUGAUUCAUGAUUAGUUGUAGCACAAAAGUAGCCCAUUAUCCUCUAAUUUCAUCGAAUUCUACUUGAGAAUAUGUUUUUUUUUUAUCACCAAACUGAAAUCAAAUAAGAAAAUAACAUUAGAAUGCAUAACAUUUGGAGGCCUAAAACUAUGUACAAUUCAUUAGAUAAGUAAUACCUUUGAAGCAAUAAUUGUAGGAUAAAAAAUUAUCUCUUUAAUGAAUCUCAUAACAAAAUAGCCACAUUCAAACCCUCCUUCUUGUCUUGGACACUAAUCGAUCAAUUAUAAAAUAACAUUAGUACUCACAUAUAUAAAUGGUGCAAAUGCAUAAGCUAAUGUGUAAAGAAAAAUUUUUGGAUGUCACCUGCACUAGUUGCUAAGAUGGCUCCCUCUUAGAUGUUUUCUUUGCAAAUAUUCGAAGAGCCCUAUGUAAAUAAGUUCAAUGGGUACAUUUUUAAAAUAGGUAAAUGUUACAUGUUUUAAUAUAUAUAAAUAAUAAAAAAAAUGUGUUUGAGGUGAAUGUAUUUUUUUAUUUAAAAAUAAUACUAUGAAAAAUAAUAGGAAGAACUUACAUGUUUACGAUGUCAUUUAAGUCCUCACAUGGUUUGUGAUGCAUAGGGUCAAGAUAGUGGACUAUCAUUUUCCUUGGCUCAAGCACUACUUAAAUAUAAACCCUUUAAGUCCUCAUAUCUAUUUCUAUUAACAAAAUAUAAAAACUUUACAAAACUCAACUACUUAAAUAUAAAAACAAAAUCAAAUAAAAUAUCUAGCUAAUUGGAUUUUAGAAACUAAAUAAACUAUAAAUUAACUAAAUAUAAAAACUAAAUAAAAUAUCUAUGCCCAUGAAUUAAUUGAAUAGGAUAGAAAGACAUAGAGAGAACAUGGUUAUGAUUAUGAUUUCCAUCUUAUCAUCUCCCGUCAAUACCACACAUGCCCAUUUUAAGGUUGGACACUACUUUUGUUGCUAGACUUGGAAAGGGAACUUCAAAAUUGAAAACAUAAAUAAACCCUUAUGUAAAAAAAAAAUAACAUUAAAAUAUAAUUGAGCAUUAAAAUAUUUACUCUCUUUCAUCACUUUCAUUUGAAUAUUAAUAAUCUCUUAUUGAGAUAGAUACUUACAAUUUAACAAAAUAGAAAUUCCUAAUAAUAAAAAAUAUAAAAAAUUCUAUUUCUAUUAACAAAAUAUAAAAACUUUCCAAAACUCAACUACUUAAAUAUAAAAACAAAAUCAAAUAAAAUAUCUAGCUAAUUGGAUUUUAGAAACUAAAUAAACUAUAAAUAAAUUAAAUAUAAAAACUAAAUAAAAUAUCUAUGCCCAUGAAUUAAUUGAAGAGGAUAGAAAGACACAGAGAGAACAUGGCUAUGGUUAUGAUUUCCAUCUUAUCAUCUCCCGUCAAUACCACACAUGCCUUCCCGGAUUGGUCCUUUUGGGGUUGGAUAUUCUCAACGAAAUUCUAUAUCUCAUUCCCACUUAGAUACAAACAGAAAAAUCAUUCUUUUUUUUUUCCUCUCUCGUUUUUUAGAAAGGAUGAAGAUUAUGUGAUAAUAAAUCUCAAAAAAAUUCUGUACCUGUCAUUCUCACACAAAUACAUAUUAAAAAUCAUUCAUUUUUUCCUGUUUUUCACUUUUUUUUUAAGGACUUGAUCAUGUGUUUGGUUUAGAUUAAAAAAUCAAUUAAUCUACAAUUUUUUCUUCUAUGCUAGAAGAUUAAACCUAAAUUUUUCUUCCCUACAACUCAAGAAAACACAAUUCACAAAAACCAUAAUACAAAGAUGUUGAAACAAUUAAUAUAAUGACAUUAAUAAAAGAAGAAAAAAAAUGAUAGAUCCAAGAGAUUUUGGGUUACCUGGGAGUCCACACAAGUGAAGAAUGUUUGUUGUGAGCGUGUUGACUAUGGAUGGGUGAGAGAAAAGGUUGAAGAAGAUCAUGAUUUUAUAUAUAGGAUUUAUAUAUUGAGAUUUUUUGGAUUGUGGGUGAGAUAUGGAAACAAUGGGAUUUUUAUAUAGUAUCCAUCAUUAUUAAUUCUAAAAGUGGGCUCAUUAAGUUAUAAUACCUAAAAAAAAUUUAUUUUAUAUGAUGUCACUUCCCAAAAAAUGACACUAUAAAUAUAAAAUUAAUAUCAUCUAACUACCUCAAUUGAAGAUUUUUUAUAUGAUGUGUCACCUUUAUUAAUUAUAAACCCUAUGGUGUCAUUAUUUUAAAAGUGACACCGUAAAUAGUGACACCAUAAACUAUUUUUGUAGUAGUGUUUUGUGUAUUUUUUCAAUGAAGUUGAGAUCGUAUAACAUAUUCUUAAUUUGACUCGACUUAGAGGCACUAAUAUCUUCCUCCCAAAUUCAUUGUAUGUGUAAAUGGCAUCUUCUUCCCAAACUCAGUGUAUGUGUAAAUGAAAGAGAGUUGAUUCAAAGAUCCAAACAAUCUUCUACUUUUAUAAUUUUAUGAAUCCAAUUUAUGAUUUUCCAUUUAAAGAAAUUGACAAUAAACUAAAUUCAACCAAAAAUCACAUACAUAUCUAUAAUAUAUAAUAUCUAUUAGUUAUAUUACCAACUUAAGUUUAUUAUAGAGUAGCAUACCACAUCUAUAUAGUUUAUAACUGAGCUACUUAGUAAUGCUAUGAGAAGGUUAUAUCAAUAGCUAUAUACAUUCAUCUCCUCGAGAUAGAAUAAUAUGACUUGACAUAGAUUACAAUAAUGUAAUUUAAAUAGGUCUAUUAUAAUAGUAUUUUUAAGCUUUUCGGAUCAUAAUGUUUGAUAGACUUUUUGGUUUGGGCCAAAAUAUAACAUUUAAAAAAAUAAUUAUUGGUUUUUAUUAUUAAAUCGAAUUGAAACCAAAUGGACGUUAUUGUUACUAAACUGAAUUAAAUGUUAUUCUUAAUAUUAAAAAAAUUAAAUAUUUUGAUUUUUUCUAUUUGAUGAAAAAAAAUAAAAAUAAGUAGCAGAUUAAUAAAAAAAAAAAUGAACAAUUUAAAAUCUUAGCAAAAAGUUAAAAAAAAAAAACAAGACUUAAGUUAAUUUUCUUUGAGUGUCGAACGACUCCCCUCUAGAUAAGGGAUUGGAAGUAGAAGGAAUACUUAUGAAGCAUAUACAUGCGGGAAAGAGUAUUGACAAGGAUGUUUUAAUCAGUAGCUAUGGCUUUUCACCCAGAAAUAUAGAAUUGAUUUUCCAAGUGCUUGUGAAUGCAAGGAUAUGUCCUUCCAUGUAAUAUCCCAACCCAAGAUUUUGUUAGCUUUGUAAAGUACGAAGAAUAAAUUUUUUAUUUUUUGUUUGGGCUUAUUAAUAAUUCCCUAAUUGGGCUUUUAAUUCAUGACUGAAAAAUUUGGGCCAAAACUUCCAAAGGUUAGGUGGUGUUUGUUUUUUUACUUAAUUCUAAAUAGAACCUUAAUACUUAAUAAUAUUAAAUAUUAGGUUGUUUGUUUUUGUAGUAUUUUAUUUCUAUUAAGUAUUAAAAAAUAAAAAGAAACUAUUAUGUUAUUUUUUCUAUUUAGAAAAAGCCAUAUAUUUUGGCUUUUUCUAUUUAGUAAAAAGUUUAUAAUAAGUCAUGAAAAAGUAAAAAAACAAAUAACCUAAAUUCUAAAACUAAAUGGUUUUCAACAAAAAGCCAAAAAAACAAACACCACCUUAGUCUCCAACGUUUCAAAUUGGGAUGGCAAUAUGGAUCAACUUUAUCCAAAUCUUGUCCAGUUUAUUUAUACCCAUUCUCAUCCGAUCCAUACCUAAAAAGAAAAAUAAAAUAAAAUAAAAUAAAAUAAACACGCAAAAAUUAAAAAUAAAAUAAAUAAAAAGUAAAAAAUAAACUAGACAAGGUAAUAUUAGGAAAUUUUCAUAUCUGCCCCAUUUAAUUUUUUUUAUUUUGAAAAUUUUAAAUUAUAUUAAAAAUAAAUAUAAUUUAUAAAAAAAAUAAAUAUUAGAACUUUUGAUUAUUUAUUUAUAUGAAAAGUAUAAGAAUUUAUUUUUAUAUGCUAAAAAGAGGUGAAAAUGAAAAUAAAAUAAAAUAAAAUAACUUUUUAUUUAAUAUUAUGUAUAAUAAUUGGGACAUGCAAGACAAAACUUAUGUUUUAAUUUUUUUUUUAUCAAACUCAUUUCAAAUUCAUCUUUAUCUCAAAUUCAUCACUUUAAAGAAGGGGUAUCCCAAAAACCGUCUUAUUGUCAUCCCUAGAUCCAAAUCCCAUAUAUCAUGUCAAUUUCCUAAUUAUACUAUAGUGGAUAUUGAAAAACAAAAACAAAAACAAAGAGAAGGAAUGAAAAGUUGCACAACUUAUGUGGUUGAGAAAGUUAGACAAAGUAGAUAAGAUGGUGAUCGAUUCAACUCACAUAGUAGGUCUCUCAUCUAUACUGUAGAUUUUUUAACCAUUUUUCUUUUCUUUUAAGUGAAAGAUUGGUAAUUGGAGGGUUGGAGUUCACUUAUUCUUUCUAAAUUUUAUGGUUUUGGUUCAAAGACUAAUGAAAAGAGUUGAAGGUUUUAGGGGUUUCCAUGAAUAUCAAGUAGAAUAUGUAUCAAAUUGAUGAUGAUAAGAAUAGCAUUAUGAAUCUUAAAUUAUUUGACUAAUUAAAAAAUAAAAAACAGAGAAAAUAUUUUGAAGCAAAAAAGUAAGAAAGGACUCUAAAUUAGUAUCAUGUAUGAAUAUCGAGUGGUUAGCAAAUAAGUUACAAAUUAUGGUAACAAGAAACCACUGGUGUCACAAAAAUAUGCAACUUAUGAAUCUGGGUAUUGUUCAAAUGAUAGUUGAAAAAUAUAGUUUUGAGUGUUAGAAAAAAAAAAAAAGACGAAAUAAAUUUGUUCAAUAUUAUAUAUGCAUAUGGAUGUAGGGUUGGCAUUACUAGUUUUAUAUAUGCUUUCCAAUUUGUUUUCUAUAUUAUCAAUCACUUGUCCACACCUCUCUUGUCUCACAAAUCUUCUUUUGAAUAACUAAGUUACACAUUACCAAAUUACUCUACUAUUUGUAUCUUUGGUUCUAAACCUUAUGCAACACCUAUGACCUCUAGAAUCGUGCUCUUUAUUAAUUAAAGACAGUACUCCUCUCUCGAACCCUACUCGGUAUAUAAAUCUUGUUGGGUUUUAUAGUAUUGCACCAUUACUUGCCUUCACAUUUCUUUUAAUGUUGAUAAUUUAUGUCAAUUCAUUCAUGCUCUAACUCACAUUCACUUUUAGAUAGUUAAAUGACUUCUUUGGUAUCAUAAGGGGGUUGUUCAUUUCAUGGUCUUACUCUUCAUGUAGCCUAUUUUUUGGAUCUUUUGUUUAUUUUGAUACAUGCCGGUAUAGUUGCCCGAAGAAUCAUUGAAGUACAAUGGCUAUUGUGCUUUCUUUGGAAAUAGUUUUGCCUCUUGAUAUGCUAGUAAACAAAAGGUGGUCUCUCAAUCUGGUAUUGCAUUUGAAUAACAUGGUUGCAUUUGAAUACCAUGUUAUUUACAAAUACUACCUCAAUAUUGGUUUGAAUUCAAUUCAUGUUUUUCCCUUAUUCCAUACACCUUUUAUAUUGUGUGACAAUUUAAGUUCAAGCUAUUUGGCUAUGAACCCUAUUUCACAUUCUCAUAUCAAAUAUGAGGAUAUUGACUUCCCCUUAUGCAUAAUCGAGUACUUCAACAAAUCAUUAGAUGUCAAGUUCGUGUCUUUUACUCAUCCAUUGGUAGAUGCUAUAACUAAGCCACUACCUACUCAGAUUCUUAGGUCUUUAUCCCAAACACUUAGUUCUUCCAAGACAUUGAGCUUGUAAGGAAUGCUAGAAUAUAGGUCAACUAGCUCAACAUUCUUUUUAUCUUGUUAUAAUGAAAAUUAUAGAAUCUUGUUAGAGUAAGUUAUGUAAUAACCAAAAGUGGUAAUAACUAGGGAAUGAGCUCUUUGAAAGAGGGCAUUCAAAGAAGGAAAAAUACCCUCAUGUUCUUUAUGAGUAUGUAGAUUGCACAUUAAUAUUAUAUACAGAUGUGAAGUUAUAAUUAUAUAUAUAUAAAGGAGUACAAGUGCAUAGAGAUGGCAAUGGGGCAGUUUGGGAUGGGUGACCCAUCCCAAUCUCAUCUCAUUUAUUCAAAAUAAUUUUCAUUCCUACCCCAAUUAAAAAAUUAAAUGGAAUGGGUAUGGUAUAAAUUAAGGUGAGGUGAGACAGGACAAUACAAUAUUUGAAAUCACCUUGAACCUAUCUUGGGUUUUUAAAAAUCUCAAACUUGUUAAUAACCUAUAUAUUUAAAUUUUAAAUUCCCUCCAUUAAAGGCAAGGCAGAGUAGGUACCCAAAAAAAAUCCACCCAUUGUCAUCCCUACAAGUGCAUAUUAAAUAAAUUAAGGGUUUAUUGGUUAAAGGGGUCAAAAUAAACUCCAUAUUUGCAAAUAUAACCCAUCAGUCAAAAAGCAAAAAAGUUGACCUGGUUGAGACAAAAAUACCCUUCUUUUUUCUCUCCAACACAUACAACUUCUCCUCUUCUGCUUCAUUUAUAGAACGACUCCUCAUAUUUUCCAAAAAAUUUCUCUCAUCAUCUUCUUCUACUUCAUUAUCUUCCUUUGGUGCACAAAACGGAAAGGUCAUCUCCUCUUCCGCUUCAUUUAUAGAAUGAGUUCUCAUCUUUCAUCAUCUUCUUCUAUUUCACUAUCUUCCUUUGAUGCACAAAACGAAAAUCUCAUAUUUCCUUCAAAAACCCUAGAAAAUUUCUCGUCUAUCCUCUCAUCCUCUGUUUCAUUCCGAAUCCUUGGAAAAAUUAUUAUUCUAUUUUUUUCAAGUUAUCUCAUAUUAUGUCUUCAAGCACGAAGGAAACAAUGAGUUCAUUGAAGAGUGAUAGGAGAAAAAGAUUUUAAAAAGUGGCAAAAAAACAAAAAUGGCAAUUGCGAACAGAAGAAAAAAGUGAAGCGGAAGAAAGUGAAGCAAAGGAAAGCGAAGCUACUUAGCAAAAAUCUCAAUUACCAAUAGAAGAGGCAAGUGAUUCUACUAAACCGGUGAGUGUAGUCUUCACAUUUGAUAAAUUAUUGAAAUUUUUAGAGAUGUUAUACAAUAAUAUUUGAGUAUGGUUAAUUUUAUUAGUUAAAUACACAAAAAAAAAAAAUUAGGAUUUAUUGAAUUGUAUUCAAAGCAUAAAAUUGUUAUAUUUAUAAUUUUUUUUUUAGUUCUCCAUUGUUAUCAGUUAUGUAUUUUGAGUGAAUAAAUUUAAGUUUGUUAGCUGAUAUUUGAAAAUAUUUGGGAAUUAUUAUAGUGUGUUGAAAAAUAAUAAAUUGCAUAUUAAUACUGUUUUAGUUUUCUAUAUUAUUAUCAAUCAUGUGUUUAGAGUGAAAUGAUAUAUUCAAUGUAAUAACAUCUAAUUAGGGAUAAGUUUAUAGAUAAUUUAUGAAAUUUUAGGGAUUUUUGGAAAUUUUAGGGAUAUUAUACAUUGGUGUUUGAGUAUGUCUAUGUUCCAAAUGCAAGCAGAUGAUAUUCUUGUUGACUAUGUUAAUGGGCUUCACCCAAUUCCUUCCAUGAAAUGGUCUGAGGUGGACAUCGUCUAUGUCCCUAUUAAUGUUUGAAGUAUGCAUUAGGUAUUGGGAGUAAUUCACCUUGCUCAGAGGAGAAUAUUUGUGUAUGACUCAUUGAUAGGAAUUAAUAGUGAUAAUCGACUAAAAGGUGAUAUAAUACCUUUAGCUAAAGUGUUACUGCGUAUUUUGCAUGCUACAUCCUAUUAUGAGAAGAGCGGCGAUCCUAAGAGUGAAGAACAGUGGGACAUUGAACAAUUGCAUGAUGUUCCUCAACAAGUGUAUGAGUAAGUAAACAAAUAUCCAAACUUCAUCUUAUCAUUUCACCUUUAUGCCUUAUAUAGUAAAUUUUUUUUAGUCAUCUUAAUUUUGAUUACUUGUGUUUCAUGCAAUGGCGAUUGUGGGAUGUUCCUAAUUAAAUAUGAAAAAUACUUAAUGCAUGAUCAUCCAUUCAGCUCAUUGACUGGUACCCGCAUUGAUUGGUUUAGAGAGAAAAUGGCAACUGAAUUGUUCUACUUCAAAAAUUUACCCAUGUAGUGGGUUUCAUUUUGAUUGUGUAAAAGGUUUAUAUGUUGUUGAGUGUUGACUGUUAUUUUGGAUGAAUUUGACUUGAUGCUCAAAGUUACAAUUUUUGUAAUGUAAUUAUAACUGUCAACUUAACUAUAGUUUAAGUUAUUUGUUAAUGCAAUUCAACAAUUGUUAAGUUCAAGUGAAUAUUCUGAGUGUGAAUUUAACCUCAAUUAAGUUCUUUAUUAAUGCAACUCAACCAUUGUUAAGUUCAGGUGAUAAUUUUAACUGUAAACUUAAUUGUGGUUAAGUUUUUUGUUAAUGCAACUCAACUAGUGUUAAGCUUAGGUGAAAAUUCUAACUAUGAACUUAACUGUGGUUAAGUUAUUUAUUAAUGCAACUCAACUACUGUUAAGUUCAGGUGAAAAAAUAAACAAAGAACUUAACCACAAUUAAGUUUUUUAUUAAUGCAACUCAACCAUUAUUAAGUUCAGGUGAAAUUUAUGACUGUGAAUUUUCUUACCAUUAUUUGACCUUGUCAUAUGGAUAAAUCUUUUCAACUUCUUUUGAACGAACUUUUCACUUUUUCAUAACUAACAAUGGAGUCUCUAUUUUUUACCAACAAUGUUGAAGUCAGAUUAUGAAUUUUUAAGAAAUAGAAAGAAAUAAAAUGAUAAUAUAAAAAAGAAAUUGUUGGUUGUUUACAUUUUUUUUUUUCAUAUUUUCGUGAUCAAGAAUGAAGAAUAGAUGAAACAAUGGUAAGAAGUUAAACUUGUUCUCUGCAAGAAAAGAGAGAGAAUGAGCAACCAAUGACCGAAUAAAAAAAUUAGAACCUAAUCUGCUAUAAAACAAAGAGAAAGGGAAAAGAGAAGUUGUAUAUGUUGGAGAGAAAAAAGAAGAAGGACAUUUUUGUCUCAACUGGGUUAACUAUUUUGCUUUUUGACUGAUGGGUUAUAUAUGUAAAUAUGGGGGUUAUUUUGACCCAUUUAACCAAUUAACCCAUAAAUUAAUGUGGUGGCUCUAAUGGAGAGAUGCUUAGAAUAUGAUAUAAUGGGAGUAUGAGUAUAUAUGCAAAACAUAGAAGAAUAUAGAACGUAUGAAUAAAUGUAACUUUUGAGUAUGAGAUCAUAACAAAUUGGGUGCAGCAUAUAAAAAUAUAUUGCUUUAAGAAUUCUGGUGGGCUGAAUGUUUUGGUAUAGGAAUUAUUGGAGAGAAUAUGGAAUGCAAAAAUCUGGAAUAUUUUGGAUAAAUGAAAACUCACUUGUUGAUACAAACUCACUUGGUGGUUGUAGAAUUCCAAAUUGAAGUGCAGCACCUUAAUAUUUUUGGACAAGAGGUAUAAAUAGGAGUUAUACCUAGAACAUAGUGUAAAUAUACAGUGCCAAGUAGUAAAUAAUCUUAAAUAUAUAUACUAUAUUUGAUUAUAUAUUAAAAAAAAUGAUUUUCUCAUAUUUGGUUUCAUAAUAGAAAAUACGGAAAAAAUAUCAAAUAUAAUUAAAAUUAAUUAAAAAUUUAGACAUUUUAAAAUUAUUUCAUAUUUACAUAGAAGGAGAAAAGGAAUGAAACACGUUUGAAUUAAUAUAUUAAAAUGAAUUAAUGAUUUAAAAUUUUUUUUUUCAUUUUUUUUCUUUUCUUUAACUUUUCCUUUAUUUUCUUUCUCUCGUAUCUUCCCUUCAAUUUUCCAGAAACCAAACAUAGUUAAAAUAAACAUUUAAUUUGAAUUUCCUAAAAUAACCUAAUGGGAAUUUAAUUUAUUUUACUAUUUUGCAUUAAUUUAUGAAAUAUCUAUUUUUCUGUCCAAAUUUAGAAAAUUUUUUUUUGUAUUUUUGUAAAUUUUGUACAUGAAAUUUAUUCAUUCAAUUACACUAACAUUUAUAAGACAGUAUACAUCCUUAUCUGUAGCAUAAACUUUUCUUUCCAUUUUCACUAGUGUUCUUAACAGGCUAUGUUCAGACCCAACAAAUCCACUCAUGGUUCUUCCUUGGCAACUACGGAUCAUUGAAAACCAAAUCUCAAUGCUCCAUGCAUGAACACAAUCCCUCCAUUCGAGUCAGGUCUCUGAUGUGUUUGUGCCCAUGGUUGUGGUACCAUAAGCACAAAUUCAUUUCUGAGAAUGAAACAAGCAACCAAACGGACCCCAGGAUACUUCAGUUUGAGAUUUUGACUGGGAUUUUUCGGAAGAUCAUCCCUGAUUUGAAUUUUCAUGGCUCAAAACAUUCCCUAGAUUACUCAGCCUCCAUUAACGCUCAUUUCUCAAUGAAAGCAAAAUGCUGAAGUUUACCAACCCAGGUUCAAACUUAGUACACUUGUCAUAUGAUGCAGGACUGAGCUAAUUCAAAACUGUUCCAUCUCAUGUGGCAAUCCUAAAGUCAUAUUGCUUCCUUCCAGCAUUACAGAACAAAACUCAAAAGGUAAAAGCAAAGCAAAACUCAUUCUGUGUCGUAUCAUGCUGAACUUAGGAACAAAAAUAUCUAUGGUUAAACACCUGGAAAGUAAUAACUCCAUGGUUCCCUAGGAUGGGAUCAGUCCAAGUCUCAGGAAUUUGAAAAAGAUUUUAUGUGCCAGCAUGAAAAUAAAAUUUAGGCCGAAAGAUCCCUGACCAAGUUAUCUUGGCCUUCACAACCCUCUCCCAGCACAUUAUCAAGGGUAUCUACUUUGUUUCCUGAUGGAUAUUUAGACCAGCUUUCACUAAAAUGGUUUUGGGGAUCAAGCAGAAAGUACAAAAUAGAUUGUAUGCCAUUCUAAAUAGAAUGCAUGUCACACCAGGACUGCAAUUUGAUCAUGAAAAUUGACAGAGAUCAUCUCACCUAGAAGUAUGAAUUUCUAUAAAAUUUACAAUAAUUCCUGCUCUCCUGCAGACAAGUGUACUGAGACAAAAACCAAAAACAAAAAGAGGAGUAUAGUUUUCACCUAUAGAACAACACCGGUGCUUAACUUGUAUUCACUAGCAAACAAGGCAAAAGGUGCUCACUUCUCAGAAACAUGUUCUAUUUCUCCUUCUUUACAAGUAGUGAUCAGGACCCAAUAACAUCCUUUGUAGGAAUGCUGAUCUCAACCUGCUCAAAUGUUGAAGCUCUUGCAGAAGGUUUAUGUAACCAGUCAAGGUUCUUCCUGGACCUUCAGCCAUAUAUCUUUCAAAGCCAAGCCUAAAUGCUUCAUGAACAGUAUAGCCCACAUCGUAACCAUUUCUUCCAAAUGUUUCCACAGCAUGAUUGAAGUAUCCAUCAAAGAUUGUUAAAGGUAACCCCAUAUGCCUUGGGAUGCCAUUCAUAUUUGCUAAAAUAUUUCUUCCAGGACCUCUGUAAUCAGAUGAACCUGGCCACUGCUGCAUUUGCAUUAGAUUAAUUUGCUGAGAUCCUCGGUGAUUUAAAUCAGAGUGGCACACGAUUCUGGACAUUUUCAUAGCAAUGGGGGAGAAUCUGAAUUUGAAAGUACCGCAAGCUCCCAAACGGAAGGGCUCAUCACAUCUUGAACCAGCUCCUCUCUUAUUGUUAUAGCCUGGGUAGUCCUCUUUCUUAAAAUCAACACACUCAAACAGCACCAGAGAGUUUUGAGAAGCAAGUUCCUCAAGAUUCCAGUGGGAAAAUGGAGCUGUGGUUUUGUGAUUUACAUGAAUUUCACCAUUGGCUCUUAGCAUGCCACUUGCAUUCCUGAAGAAACCAUGCACAAGAUCCCUAUGCAUACUGUAGCAUAAGAUGGGAUGACAACAUAAGUACAAUCCACACAGAAUUAAUAAAGAAAUCAGCCAUUCUAUAAAAGCCUUAGGUACAACUAGAUUGAACCAUUUGAAAUCAGCAGAAAACAAUGCAUCAAAGAUACUCGUAUUCCUUUUGAUUUUUAUUUUUUUUUGGUUGUCAGACACACUGGUAGAAAAUAUUAUCAGAUGAUGAUGUCUAUAAUUAAUUUACCUGUGAUAAUGAAAAUUUUCUUCUACAUAUUUGUAUCUUUGAUAUAUAUUCUACCACUUCAAAAGAGAAACCCAGGACUCCCAUCAUUUGGAAGCAAAGGCAUGAUAUUUCUGGUGCAUCUGUAUAGCAGCACUCACAUCUUGUUUUAAGAUUGUAAGUUAGAUGCCUAGCAUCUGAGCUGAAGACCAGCACAUGAGCCAAUGCCCAUGGUACAUGAUAGUAACAACUAGAAUUCUUAAAAAUACUAUGAAGACAAUAACUGAUUCAGUUACAUGUAGGGUUCCAAAUACCCCCCAGUUCUAUCCUUUGCUGCCCUGGCUUUUGUGAUGGAGACUUUGUCCAUCAACAUGUAGAAACUGAAAUUAUAACGUAAUCUCAUUAUGGAGGCAUUGGAAACCUACACAUGACCAUGCAGAUGUGAUUCAUACUGCACUUGUGCAGACUCAUGGCUAUAUACUGCAGAAAUAGGUAAACAUAUGACCAUAGAAUGUGUUAUGAAUCUUCACCACUUUGAUAAAGUGGUCAAAAUUUCCCCUUAUGAGGACUUGAAUGGGAUCAUCCAAUGCGUGAUCCAAACCCACAGCUAGUUACCUUGAUGAGCAUCACCAUCUGAACCAAUUGAACAAACACACAGUUCUGUGCAUAGACAAAAAGGGCAUGAAAUGUAAAUGAACUCACAAACACAAAUAAAACAUAGGAGAAAAGUAACAUUGACCAUGACGAGCAACUACAGUGUAUGGAAGAUUUUGCUGUGAAAUUCAAGCUACAUAUCAUAUCCAUAACAACAAUACAUUUUCUUCGUACAGAGAGAAGGUAGUUUUGAGGAAUUAUGAAAUUUCCAUCACAUAGAUAAGAAAUAAAAGAUGAGGCCUUACUUAAUCAUAAGCCUGUUGUCUUCCUUUCCAUGGAAGCCUGCAUGAGGAAAGUUAUAUAUAAUGCGGUCGAAUUUCCACAUCUUCAGAUCAGUAUGAAGCUUCAUCUUGGUUGCAUCCACUCCAAAUAAAAGAGAUGCUCCCAGCUUCUCUAAAGCUUCCAAAUUUGAUUUUGCUUUCUUGUACAUCUUUAUCAGAACAUCUAGUUUAAGAUUGUGUCAGAAAACAAGUUGUCCAAAAAAUAGCCUUCCUCAUAAAACAGAGAGACUACACCUUAAUUUAAAAAUUUGUAUAUUGAACUCAACAAAGACUAAACCUCAACUAAACAAAUGAAACAUUCACAAAUGUGAUAACUCCCCAAAUAUUGAAUAUAACAACCUUCAAAUUCUUAAUUUGCCUAUCCUUUUACCCAAAAUGAAAAUGGCAUUUCAAUUUCAGAGCAUCAUAGAAGUCAGAACCCUUGUCAAUUUUGAUAUUUGGAAAGUACAAUAACAAUGGGGAAUUCUUGUCCAACAGGAGGAUUUGGAAAAACAUAAACCCAUAAAAAACUCACACAAUGUUAAAAAAUAUUUUGUUGAUAAUAAAAUAAAAGCUCUCCAAAUUCCACCUCGUGACUGUCCCUAGUUGCUUUCCUUUCAAAAUAGUCCUUCAUCUCCAAACCCAGAUGUUUGGUUCUCAGAAACUGAGAAAGAAAAAUAACGCAAAAGCAAGUUUCACUUAUAUUCCAAGGUUGACCAUUUCUUCAACCCAUAAAAUGAGUGUCAAAAUGUAUAAGUUCCUCCAUACUUCUGGCAUGCUUCUUUCUCUUCCAGUCAUGACAACCAAAUUAAGAAAAUAAUUCCCCUUCUACUGUUUCCCAAAAGUAUACAGGGCUAAGGACUACAAGAUUAGAGUAUAGUACACAAGUAACGAGUUGAUUCCAAUACAUAUAAAAUACGAGAAAAGGGAAAGAGAGAGACCAUAUGGGUCGAGAGAAGAAGCAACGAUGUUGGAAGCAGAAGCAAAAGAGUGAGCCAAACACAGAGAGAAAGAGAAGUCUCCUUCACCAACCAAGAGAAUUUGAUGAAACGAGGAAUAAUGCAUCAACCGUUUCUCUUGUUCUUCCACACCCACUUCAUCUUUCACCAUUUCCUCCCCGACAGCCAUUGACGCUUUCUACAGUUACAGAACCAGAGAGACUCUUUGAGAGAGAAAGGCAGUGAAAGUUUGGCCGUGUUUAAGGGGCUUAUUUGAAAAAUAGAGAUGACUUUCAAAUAGAAAUAUUUUUUAAGAAAAUAGUGAGGAUGUUUUUGUCAAAAAAAAGGAGACCAAAAAUGGAAGGUUUAGGACCUAUUUAAUAAUUGUUUUUGAAAGUACCGGUUCUAAAAAAUAAGUAUUAAGAAUAGUUUUUAAAAAUUGUUCUUUAAUUUUGUUAAAUAAAAAUUUGUUCAAAGAUUGAAAAUGUUUUUAAUUUAUUUUUAAUAUUUUUAAAUGAAUUUUAAAAAUAACUUUUAUGUUUAGUGCUUUAUUUUUAAUUAUUUUGCAUGUUUGUAUAAUUAUUUUUUAAAAUAAUUAUCAAUAAACAAGUGAAAAUAUAAAAUAAAAAAAAUAAAAAAACAAUUAAAAUAUAUUAUUCAAAAUAUUUUUAAAAAUAGAAAACAUAAAACAAUUUUGGACUCUGUGAUGAUCAGACCCUCAUAACCGGACGAAUCAUAAAAAUUUAGUAAAAUGGGAGUGUAUAAAGCAAGAUAAGAUGUACUAAAAUUAUUUUAAUUGAGGAUUCUAAUUGAACUCAAAAACCUUUCAAAAGAAAAAUAAGCUUUUUUGUCAUAACUUAUAUUCAGUACUGGUGCUUGAAUUGCAGGAGAUCCAUCAGUCUUGGGUGUGAGAGAUGAGAGUUGUGCUGAGAGUGAAGGGAGAGCAAUAUCAGAAGGUAAAGAAGUUUCCCAUGAUUCGUACGUCCAAAGACUUGGGUGGACUUGGCCAUUUUUUUAAUGUGCAAAUAUGCUACGUGGAGGCACUCUAUUCGGAUUAAUAAAGUGAUAAAAGAAAAAAAAGAAAAAAAGAAAAAAGGGAAGUAAAGUCCAUUUCAUCAAAGCAUUUGAUACCCGAAGUGAUGGAAGUAAUUAAAAGAGAUUGAUGAUUGAAGAAUUUGAAGAAAAAUAUGAAGAAUUUGAAGACAAAAUAUGGAGGAACACCUCAAUUCAUUCUGUGAUACCUCGCUUUACAAUGAAUGAAAGCAUAAAUAAAUAGCCUACGGAUAUGAGACAAUUCCGGAAUGGAAUUUCCCUUACAUGGAAAGUGAAUAAACUCUUACAUGGAAAGUGAAUAAACUACCUUGCUAGAAUUACUCCUAAAUAUAUAAACUACUCUUACAUGGAAAGUGAAUAAACUACCUUGCUAGAAUUACUCCUAAAUCAAUUAUAAUAAAGGCUGUACAUUACACUAAUUAGGGAAGUAAACAGAGGAUGCUGGCUUGAUUUCCAACACUCCCCCUCAAGCCGCGUUGUAGAUGUUGAUCAUUCCAAGUUUUUCUGUCAGAUCUUCGAAGUUAACUCGAGCAAGAGCUUUUGUGAGAAUGUCAGCCGUUUGACAGUUUGUCGGAUGUAGCUGACUUUGAAAACUCCUUCUUCAAUCUUUUCCUUGAUAAAGUGUCGAUCUACCUCCACGUGCUUAGUUCAAUCAUGAUGAACCAGAUUCUUAGCGAUACUGAUGGCAGCUUGAUUGUCGCAGUAUAACACCAUGGGAUGCUUGAAAGCUUCCUGAAUAUUCUGAGGAACUUGUAUCUCUGUGAUGCUAGAAGUGAAUGCACGAAACGUAGGUGAUAGCUUAUCAUAAGAAAUAAAAUUUCCAAUGGGAUGCUGAGUGCAUGAUCUAACUCCUUUCCUCCAAGCUAUGGGCAUAUUAAGAAUAUCAUUUUCUAACUCGGAAUCAACAGUACCAUCAGGAGCAUUGUUACCUGGAAGUUUGCUUGGAUUAGGACCCGGUUCUGCCUCAUGGGUUUGUUGAGAAAGUGCUCUUUCCUCCGUUUCCUCUUGGAUGUGCUCCUUAUCCCACAAGUCAACAAUGGACUCGGGUUGAUUAAAUGACUCUGGAGGAAUGUGAUUUUCAGUGGUGAUGGGUGACUCACUGAAUGACUCAAGAUCCCAAAAUUGAUAUUCUUGAGUUGAAUUCUCCCCCUGAAUAUAGUUUUUGGGAUAGUAAGGCUGGGUUUCAAAAAAGGUGACAUCCAUUGAAUUGUAGAAUUUUCUUGUGACCGGAGAGUAACACUUAUACCCUUUUUUAUUUGAAGAAUGCCCAAGAAAGAUGCACUUGAGUGACCUAGGAUCAAGUUUACUUCUAUGUUGUUGAUUGAUAUGAACAAAGACAGAGCACCCGAAAAUUUUGGGUGGGACGGUGGAGAUGAGACGAGUAGUCGGAAAGGAUUUUAGGAGUGUUUGACAAGGUGUUUGGAAUUUUAGUACCCUAGACGGCAUCCUAUUGAUGAGGUAGGCUGCCGUAAGGACAGCUUGCCCCCAGAAUAAUUUUGGAACAUUCAUGGAGAACAUUAGUGAUCUAGCCACCUCUAACAAAUGCCUAUUUUUCCUUUCAGCGAUUCCGUUUUGUUGUGGGGUAUCAACACAUGAACUUAAGUGAACUAUCCCUUCUUGUGCUAGAAAUUCUCCUAGAAUGGAGUUGAAAUAAUCCCUAGCAUUAUCAGACUUUAGAAUUUGUAUUUUUGACUGGAAUUGGGUCUGAAUCAUAUUUUUAAAAUUUUUGAAAAUUUGACCAAUUUCAGAUUUUUCUUUCAUGAGGAAUACCCAAGUUAAUCUAGUGUGAUCAUCUAUGAAUGAGACAAACCACCUAGUACCAGUUACAUUUUUUAUUCUUAACGGACCCCAGAUAUCACUAUGAAUCAUUGAGAAUGGACUAGACUCUUUAUAGGGUUGAAUGGGAAAGUGAGACCGAACUUGCUUUGAUAAUUGACAGAUUUCACACUCAAAGGAUUUUGGAUUUUUAUUAAAUAAUGAAGGAAAUAAAUGCUUGAGAUACAUAACAUUUGGAUGACCUAAGCGAUAGUGCCACAACCUAAUUGCACUAUCGUUAUUUUGACAUGAAACCGAAAAAGAAUUACUACCAACUGUCAUUUGAGGUUGUUCUUGUGGAUCAUGGCGCUCCUUAAGGAUGUAGAGUCCAGAGCAUUCCUCAGCAUUGCCAGUCAUCUUCCCCGAAUCCAAAUCCUGAAAUUCACAGUGAGUGGAGGAAAAAUUAGUAAUACACCUCUUUUCCUUAGUGAGUUUACUAAUUGACAAUAGAUUACAGUCCAAGUUAGGAACAAGGAGAACAGAGUUGAGAGUAAGAUCCCUUGAUAGCACAAUUGAACCUGUUCCGGCAACCUUUGAUAGUGAACCAUCUGCUAUUCGGACUGUUAAAUUAUUUGGACAUGAGCUAUAUGUAUCAAAAAUUGUCGCAUCUCCCGUCAUAUGAUCAGAUGCUCCUGAGUCCACUAUCCAAGGUUUUUUACGUUUCUUACCAGCAGUGAAGGCACUCAAAAAAUUACCUUUGUGAGCCAAGGUUCCGGAACCAAUGACCUGGUUGAAAGAUGAGCCAGUUUGUGACUGUAUUGACAAAAGAGGAGACAGUAGUUUCUGAAGCAUCUCCAUUUGCUCCUUAUUAAAAGGGCUAGCUUCAGGUUGUGGCGAUUGUUUAUCGGUAGCCACAUGAUUGCCUCGUCCUUCUUUCUCAAGUGGUUGACGUGGCUUCCAAUCUACUGGCUUUCCAUGAAUCUUCCAGCAAGUUUCUCUUGAGUGUCCNNNNNNNNNNNNNNNNNNNNNNNNNNNNNNNNNNNNNNNNNNNNNNNNNNNNNNNNNNNNNNNNNNNNNNNNNNNNNNNNNNNNNNNNNNNNNNNNNNNNNNNNNNNNNNNNNNNNNNNNNNNNNNNNNNNNNNNNNNNNNNNNNNNNNNNNNNNNNNNNNNNNNNNNNNNNNNNNNNNNNNNNNNNNNNNNNNNNNNNNNNNNNNNNNNNNNNNNNNNNNNNNNNNNNNNNNNNNNNNNNNNNNNNNNNNNNNNNNNNNNNNNNNNNNNNNNNNNNNNNNNNNNNNNNNNNNNNNNNNNNNNNNNNNNNNNNNNNNNNNNNNNNNNNNNNNNNNNNNNNNNNNNNNNNNNNNNNNNNNNNNNNNNNNNNNNNNNNNNNNNNNNNNNNNNNNNNNNNNNNNNNNNNNNNNNNNNNNNNNNNNNNNNNNNNNNNNNNNNNNNNNNNNNNNNNNNNNNNNNNNNNNNNNNNNNNNNNNNNNNNNNNNNNNNNNNNNNNNNNNNNNNNNNNNNNNNNNNNNNNNNNNNNNNNNNNNNNNNNNNNNNNNNNNNNNNNNNNNNNNNNNNNNNNNNNNNNNNNNNNNNNNNNNNNNNNNNNNNNNNNNNNNNNNNNNNNNNNNNNNNNNNNNNNNNNNNNNNNNNNNNNNNNNNNNNNNNNNNNNNNNNNNNNNNNNNNNNNNNNNNNNNNNNNNNNNNNNNNNNNNNNNNNNNNNNNNNNNNNNNNNNNNNNNNNNNNNNNNNNNNNNNNNNNNNNNNNNNNNNNNNNNNNNNNNNNNNNNNNNNNNNNNNNNNNNNNNNNNNNNNNNNNNNNNNNNNNNNNNNNNNNNNNNNNNNNNNNNNNNNNNNNNNNNNNNNNNNNNNNNNNNNNNNNNNNNNNNNNNNNNNNNNNNNNNNNNNNNNNNNNNNNNNNNNNNNNNNNNNNNNNNNNNNNNNNNNNNNNNNNNNNNNNNNNNNNNNNNNNNNNNNNNNNNNNNNNNNNNNNNNNNNNNNNNNNNNNNNNNNNNNNNNNNNNNNNNNNNNNNNNNNNNNNNNNNNNNNNNNNNNNNNNNNNNNNNNNNNNNNNNNNNNNNNNNNNNNNNNNNNNNNNNNNNNNNNNNNNNNNNNNNNNNNNNNNNNNNNNNNNNNNNNNNNNNNNNNNNNNNNNNNNNNNNNNNNNNNNNNNNNNNNNNNNNNNNNNNNNNNNNNNNNNNNNNNNNNNNNNNNNNNNNNNNNNNNNNNNNNNNNNNNNNNNNNNNNNNNNNNNNNNNNNNNNNNNNNNNNNNNNNNNNNNNNNNNNNNNNNNNNNNNNNNNNNNNNNNNNNNNNNNNNNNNNNNNNNNNNNNNNNNNNNNNNNNNNNNNNNNNNNNNNNNNNNNNNNNNNNNNNNNNNNNNNNNNNNNNNNNNNNNNNNNNNNNNNNNNNNNNNNNNNNNNNNNNNNNNNNNNNNNNNNNNNNNNNNNNNNNNNNNNNNNNNNNNNNNNNNNNNNNNNNNNNNNNNNNNNNNNNNNNNNNNNNNNNNNNNNNNNNNNNNNNNNNNNNNNNNNNNNNNNNNNNNNNNNNNNNNNNNNNNNNNNNNNNNNNNNNNNNNNNNNNNNNNNNNNNNNNNNNNNNNNNNNNNNNNNNNNNNNNNNNNNNNNNNNNNNNNNNNNNNNNNNNNNNNNNNNNNNNNNNNNNNNNNNNNNNNNNNNNNNNNNNNNNNNNNNNNNNNNNNNNNNNNNNNNNNNNNNNNNNNNNNNNNNNNNNNNNNNNNNNNNNNNNNNNNNNNNNNNNNNNNNNNNNNNNNNNNNNNNNNNNNNNNNNNNNNNNNNNNNNNNNNNNNNNNNNNNNNNNNNNNNNNNNNNNNNNNNNNNNNNNNNNNNNNNNNNNNNNNNNNNNNNNNNNNNNNNNNNNNNNNNNNNNNNNNNNNNNNNNNNNNNNNNNNNNNNNNNNNNNNNNNNNNNNNNNNNNNNNNNNNNNNNNNNNNNNNNNNNNNNNNNNNNNNNNNNNNNNNNNNNNNNNNNNNNNNNNNNNNNNNNNNNNNNNNNNNNNNNNNNNNNNNNNNNNNNNNNNNNNNNNNNNNNNNNNNNNNNNNNNNNNNNNNNNNNNNNNNNNNNNNNNNNNNNNNNNNNNNNNNNNNNNNNNNNNNNNNNNNNNNNNNNNNNNNNNNNNNNNNNNNNNNNNNNNNNNNNNNNNNNNNNNNNNNNNNNNNNNNNNNNNNNNNNNNNNNNNNNNNNNNNNNNNNNNNNNNNNNNNNNNNNNNNNNNNNNNNNNNNNNNNNNNNNNNNNNNNNNNNNNNNNNNNNNNNNNNNNNNNNNNNNNNNNNNNNNNNNNNNNNNNNNNNNNNNNNNNNNNNNNNNNNNNNNNNNNNNNNNNNNNNNNNNNNNNNNNNNNNNNNNNNNNNNNNNNNNNNNNNNNNNNNNNNNNNNNNNNNNNNNNNNNNNNNNNNNNNNNNNNNNNNNNNNNNNNNNNNNNNNNNNNNNNNNNNNNNNNNNNNNNNNNNNNNNNNNNNNNNNNNNNNNNNNNNNNNNNNNNNNNNNNNNNNNNNNNNNNNNNNNNNNNNNNNNNNNNNNNNNNNNNNNNNNNNNNNNNNNNNNNNNNNNNNNNNNNNNNNNNNNNNNNNNNNNNNNNNNNNNNNNNNNNNNNNNNNNNNNNNNNNNNNNNNNNNNNNNNNNNNNNNNNNNNNNNNNNNNNNNNUCAAUAUACCACAUAAAACAUUGGUAUCACAGACCAAGACCAAUGUGUGGUUAAACGUACAAUAAAUCAUUUCAAUGCAAAGAAGAAACCUUCUGUGAGAUGGGGAGGGGCAGACAAGUGACCUAGAUCAAGAACUUCCUCCUCGCUUAUUGAUAUUACAAGCAAAGAAGAAAGAUGUUUCAUCUUCUGGAUGGAUGCACACAAAUCCUUCCCAUCCUUUCUUUCAAGUUCUGUGAUCGCGAGUUUCCUCAUUGCAGUCAAAUUUCCCAAUUCCUUAGCAAUUCCCUGGCUUGUUUGCCUUGACAAGUGACAACCUCUGUAUUGAUGAUAAAACCCACCAAUUCCUGAAAACAAUUCUGCUCCUACACGGGCUUGAUCUCCAUCUUGCUGAUGAUCAACCAAAAGUAAGACAAGUUUGUGGAGUUUACGGAUGGUUUUGGGCAACUUGGAAACAAAAGUUUGUCUGAGUUCCAAAGUUUCUAGGUUUUGAAUCUUCUCCACUGAGCUUGAAACUGCCUUUAUCUUGGUAUUCCUCAGUUUCAAUUACUUUAGUAGGGUGAGAUUAACAACCACUUCGGGAAAAUUUUCCAAAACUGCAUCUUUCAACUCUAAAACUCUCAAUAACCUUAAUCUGUAGUGUUUUUCUAAAUAUGGAAGUAGUGAAAUUCUCUCUUCCAAAUUUGAACAAGGUGCGAAGACGAGAGAAAUCCUUGCUUUGCAAUGAAUCUGUGAAAGCAUCAUGGAUUGCUAUACAUCGAUGGCUAAAGUGAUAAUAUCGAUCUACGUUUUGUAUGGUCAAAACUUUGCAGAAGCUUGCAUCUUCAGAUAUUGGAAAUAAGGUAUUCUCGCACAAGAUUCUUAACUUGACACCUUCUUACUACGCCUUGGAAAUCCCUUUUGUUUGUGUCAACCAAGCACCCAUUGAUCAGCUCAUCGAGGUAGGCAUCCGCCACCUCCUCCAGUGUUUUACCUCUUUUCUCCUCAACAAAUCCUUCAGCUAUCCACAAGCUAAUCAGCCUUCCACUAGCAAAAGAAUAAUCCUCGGGAAAUUUGCAGAAGUGAAAGAAACAGCGCUUAAGAUGGAAAUAUCUUUGCUGUAAUACUCUCCGAAUAAUCCCAAGUUUGGAAUUGCUUUAGAUGAAAGGGGUGAUGAAACGAGAGAGAUGAGAGGAAAAGAUGCUAAUAUUAUUUAUCUCAGUGGUCUUCUACAAUAACAGAUCAGACAUUAUAUACAAGCAGAAGAUACACAUCCUAACCAACUGUACAUGUGGAGCUAAAAGACUAGAGAGAAAAUAAUAUCCUAACUAAUUACAGCUUUAGGCUUAAUAUCCCCCCUCAAGCUCAUUGGUCUAGUGAGAACAGUGAGUUUGGAACGUAGAGUGAUGAAACGUUGGGUGGAAAGAGGCUUGGUCAUACAAUCAGCAAGUUGAUCAUCAGAAGGUGUGAACUAGAGAGAGAGAGCGUUGAAGAACACGUUCCCGAACAAAGUGGUAGUUGAUUUCCACAUGUUUGGUUCGGGCAUACAAAAUAGGAUUGGCAGCUAAGUAUGUUGCACUGAUAUGGUCACAGAGAAUGAGAGGAGGUGAGUGGGAGUAAUGGAAAGUUCACGAAGAAGAGAUUCAGUCCAAGCAAUUUCAGCAACCCCAUUUGCUACCCCUCGGUACUCUGAUUCGGUGUUGGACCGGGAUACCACUUCUUGUUUGGAAGAUGACCAAGAAACCAUAUUUGAGCCAUGAAAGAGGUAGUAGCCACUAGUGCUACACUUGUCAUCAGGGCAAGAGGCCCAGUUGGCAUCUGUAUAGCAAGUGAUGUUGAAGUCUAGGGAAGGCUGUAGGAAGAGACCAAAAUGAGAGGUGCCCUUUAAGUACCAGAGAAUACGUUUAACAGCCUACCAAUGAACAUCAGAGGGAUGGUGCAUGAAUUGACACACUUUAUUUACUGCAAAAGCUAUAUCUGGGCAUGUCACGGUACAAUACUGAAGGGCACCAACAAAAAUGCGAUAAUCUGAAUCAUUUUCAAGAGCCACACCAUCAUGAAGAAAGAGAUUUGUGUUGGAGGACAAGGGAGCAGGACAUGGCUUGGCAUCCAACAUAGCAGCUCGGGUAAAGAGAUCAAUGAUAUGCUUUGCUUGGCUGAGGUGAAUACCAGUAGGGGUGUGAUGAACCUCCAAGCCCAAAAAAUAGUGUAGAGGACCAAGAUCCUUUAAAAAAAACUGAUAAUGCAACUGUUAGAUAAGGUGAGUAACCUGAGUAGAGUGGCUAGCUCCCAAUGACGAUUAUAUCGUCCACAUAUACAAGAACAAGAAGUAACCCAUGAGAAGAAUGACAAAUAAAUAAGGAAGAGUCAUUCUUAGAAGUAACAAAUCCCAAGUGUAACUGAGAAUUACUGAGCUUAGUAUAUCAAGCAUGGGGUGACUGUUUAAGGUCGUAGAGAGACUUAUCUAACUUGCAACCAUGAGUAGGAUAGAGAGGAUAAAAAAAUCUAGGUGAUUGUUCCAUGAAGACGUCUUCAACCAAGUUGCCAUGUAAAAAGGCAUUAUGAGCAUCCAGUUGUCUAAUACACCAAUUUUGUGAAAGAGCAAGGUUGAGCACAAUACGGAUAGUAAGAGGCUUGACAACAAGGCUAAAUGUUUUGAAGUAGUCAAUACCUUUGGUUUGAUGAUAACCCUUAGCUACUAAGCGGGCCUUGUAUCUCUCACUUUGGCCAUCAGGCUGGAACUUUAGCUUUUAGACCCAUUUACAAUUGAUUACCUUGACUGAGAAAGGUGAAGGAACAAGAUGUCAGGUCUUGUUGUGCUGAAGGGCAGCAAAUUCCAAUUACAUGGCCUACUUCCAUGGAAGAUCUUUAAUAGCUUGGAGAAAGGAAGUUGGCUCAGUGAGAGAACCUAUGGAGACACUCAACAACAGUUUAGGCUUAUAGAUACCAGCCUUAGACCUGGUCACCAUAUGAUGAAUAUUGUGAGUGCGAAAAAAAGUAAGUAAAUUUGUAUCCACAUUAGGUACAAGCAAGUCUACACUAGGAGGAAGAGGAAAAAAAAAGUGGAGCAGAUGAAGACAUAGAGUGUGAAAAAAAGGGAAAGGAUGUAGGGGCAAUGAGAAGGGAACAAGUACUAGAGGUAGAAGAGGAAAAGGAAAAAGAAGGAAGUAUAAAUGGAGAAGUAAGAGGAGAUGAGGAAAUGAGAGGCAAAGGAAUGGACAGGGGAAUUUAUAAAAAAGAGGAAGAAGAAAUAGACGAAAAGGGAGAAGAUGAAAAAUUCUUGAAUGGAAAAGAAUCCUCAUUAAAAAUCACAUGGCAAGAAAUAUACACCCUGCCAUAAUGAAUGUCAAGACACAAAUAACCUUUAUGGUGUGAACUGUAACCAAGAAAAGCACACUCCAAUGACCUGUGUAGGAGCUUAUGGGUAUUAUAAAGGCGCAGAUAUGGAAAACAAGAGAAACCAAAAACCUUAAGAUGGGUAUAAGCUAGGAGUUUAUGAUAGAGUACAAAGUAAGGGGAUUGAUGGUGCAACACAAGGGUGGGAAGACGAUUAAUAAGGUAAGUGGCAGUUUGAAAGGCAUAAAGCCAAUAAGAUAGGGGCAUACCCAAGUAAGCAAGAAAGGAUAAUCCCAUUUCAACCACAUGGUGAUUUUUUUGCUUAACUCGCCCAUUUGAGUUGUUAUGUGUAUAGACAAGAUAAACAAUGGACAAUGCCUUGAGUAGAAAACAGUAUGGAGAGAGAUCGAAACUCAUCUCCGCAAUUAGAUUGGACAACCUUAAUCUUGGUAUUAAAUUGAUUUGCAAUGAGAGCUUGAAACUUGAGAAAAGUAGGAUAUGUUUCAUAUUUUGUUUUGAGCAAAUAAAACCAAGCAAACAAGUAUGAUCAUCAAUAAAAAGUAAAAAAUAACUAGCACUAGAAAUAAAGCUAAUAGGAGAAGGACCCCAUAGGUUUGUAUGAAUUAACUCGAAAGGCUUUAUUGUAAUGGAUGGAAAUAAAGAAAAAUGAAGCUUGUGGAUUUUUUCUAAUUGACAAGAAUUACAAAAUUUAAGACGAAUUUUCUGUGUUUGAGCAAUAUUACAAGAAUCCAAGAUUUGAUUAACAACAGAUAAAACUGGGUGGCCUAGUCUCUUAAGCCAUAGAUUUGGAUCCUUGAUGUUGGCUAUGAAAACUCGAGGAGGAAAGAACGUAGUAGAAGGAGAGCAUGAUGACUGAACUUUGUAUAAGCCAUUAUCAAGUUGACCCUAAAGGAAAACCCUCUUCGAAACCUGGCCCUUGAGAAGAAAAUGAGUGGCAUAAAAUUCAACAAAAACUUUAUUAUCAUAACACAAUUUUGUAACACUAAUAAGAUUAUUUGAAAUUUUUGGAGUGUGAUAGACCUGAUGUAGAACAAGAGGAGAAUACGAGGAUGGUAGUUUUGUAGUACCAAGAUGUGAGAUAUAGAGUUUCUUACCAUUCCCAACUACCACUUGAUUUGAACCACUAAAUGGUGUCAUAGUGUCAAGUAUGUUGAUGUUUAGACUAAAGUGAUGUGUAGCACCUGAGUCCAUGUACCAAUUUGUACCAGGAAUAGUGUUAUGCAUAGUAGUAGGAUGAGCCAUUGCAGGGUAAGAAAAUUCUAGAGGAUUAGAGAGCUGGAAUUUGUGGUGAAAUAGUAUUGAAAGAUUUAGGAGAAGGUUAGGAUGGAUAGUUCAAAUUUGUGCGAUGGAAGCAAAUAUGAGUAGCAUGUCUAAAUUUGGCAUUGAGGCUUUUGAUUCUGGAUUGAAAAAUGUGGUUUCCAUUGAGGUUAAGGUUGUCGUGGUUGUGGUUUGCCCAAAAUGAUGGGUUGAUAUUGACUAGUGGUUGGCUCAAAAGGUGGAGGAGAUGAUCUAGGUUGAAUGUGAAUGUGAUUGAAUGUAGGUUGAGGAAUUGAUUUAUAAGGUUUCUUGUUCAGAUGAGCCAUAUGGACUUGAGCAUAAUUGAGAGAAACAGAGUUUUGUUGUUCAAGACGGAAGUCAUAGCUAAGUAAUAGGCUAUGGAUUUUCUCAAUAGUCGGUUGGUCAGAUUGAUUUUGAAUUGAGGUAACAAAAGGAUUAUUCUCAUGAUCUAAUCCAUUGAACAAAUAGUGAGAUGGUCUUUCUUAGAAAUUGGUUUUCUUAUUGUUGCAAGACUGUUGCAAAUGGAUUUGAGUUGUUGAAUAUAUUCUCCAACUAAGAGUCUAUCUUUCCUGAGCGUUUGAAGUUUGGUGCGAAACUUGGUAACCCGUGCCAUAGAAGAGGCAAAGUAAAUAUGAUUAAGGGCAUUCCAAAUCUCCAUAGCUAUUGAAUACCCAACAAUCUAAGCCAUUUUAUCUUCGAACAAGGAUGAGUAUAGCCAACUCAUCAAAAGUCGAUUGUAUCUUUGCCAGACCAAGUACUUUGGAUUGAUGAUUUGUUGUUGCAGAUCAAGGAAUUGAGGAAGGCAAGGUUGAGAUCCGUCAAUGAAAUCAUCAAGUCCUUUAGCGAUGAUGACAUUCAGAAACUAAUUCUUCCAGAUGAGGUAGUUCCCAUUAUCUAGCUUUACUAUGAGAGGUUGAUUCAUAAACGGGAGCUGGUAGAGGAAGGUUGUUUGGCUGAGAUAAUGGGUUUUGCACAUUCACAAUGCUAACAGAAGGUGAUUUAGAGGUUUCAUUGACAGAAGCCACGGAAGCUUUGAUACCAAGAUGAAAGAGGUGAUGAAAUAGAGGGAAACAAAAAGAGAUGAGAGGAAAAGAUGCUGAUAUUAUUUAUCUCAAUAGUCUUCUACAACAACAGAGCAGACAUUAUAUACAAGCAGAAGAUAUACAUCCUAACCAACUGUACAUGUGGAACUAAAAGACUAGAGAGAAAAUAAUAUCCUAACUAAUUACAGCUUUAGGCUUAAUAGCUUUUCAUAUUAGAUCCUAGACUGGUAUUCACUUUCUGGAACUCUGAUGGUGUUGGUUGUUUAGUUGAUAAUAGACUAACCAAGGUGACUAUUGCAAGUGGCAGCCCUUCAAACCUGCUCAAGAGAUCAUCAGAUAUGUUUUUUUAAGUGCUUAGGACAUUCAGUGCUAUGGAAAGCCUUCUUAAAUAAGAGCUCUAAAGCCUCGUUCCCUGCUCAAGGAUGUAGAUUGUAGAUAUCAUCUGAAAAUUUAGAAGCUAAAUCACGCCUACAUGUAGAGAAGAUUAUUCUACUGUUAUUGCCAUUGUCGGGUAAUUUUUUAAUGUUGUUGCACCAACCAUGGCUCCAAACUCCCUUUAAAACCAUCAGGUACCUUCUUUGUUGCAAGUAACUGACCAAAUUUUGUUCCAAAUUUGCUCCUGGGGAAAUUGGUACUCCCAUUUCUUUUCAAUUUUUUUCCUAGGAAUCUUUACAGGAGGUUAAGUGAGGAACCCAAGCAUGACAUUCAAAAUGGCCCUUCACCUUUUCAUUCUCACAAACUUUUUUUUAUCAGAAUGGUCUUACCAGAGCUAGUGGAUCCAACUGCUGAAAUCACUAGAUGCCUUAAUUCUUUCUUGAUAAGAGAUCAAUUGUAUGUCUCUCCAUUCCUAUGAGCUCAUCAUUGCUAAGGACGGGAUAAGCCAUGUCAGGGACCUCUCCUGCACUGGAACUUGAGGCUACUCCAAAGGAAGAUUUUCGAAAUGGAUCUAACUCUUUGACAAAUUUGAUCUUGGCUUGAAUAAUAUCUGUAUAGGAGGAUAAUAUAUGGAAUGCUCUCUAGUCCAUGACCUUGUGGGAAAUGUUAUGAAGAGCUAUGGAGAUUUUAUGCUCAUGGAAGUGUUCGAGCACAUCAACCAUGAACUGUUCAAGAGCAUCCUCAAUCUCAUAUGCAAUCUCCCGUACUUUGUUUCGCGUCGAUCUUUAGCACCUUCAGUGCCUUGUUCUCGUUGCAUGGUGUCUUUGAGGUAGGCUUGCAUGGUUUCCAAAUCUUCUUCAAUAAUGACUAUUUUUAGCUUCGACUUUGGGUUUCUUUAACUAAAGAAGGUCUGCACAACACCAAGUGUUGCUGCAACUGCUAUUUCUGCCAUGAUCUGGUCCUCUCUGUCAAGUCCCUACCUUCUUAAUCCCAAUUUUGUCUCUUUAACCAACAACGACCUUGCUUGUUUUUGUGAAAAGACCUCAACCUCAAUUUAUUAAAGCAAUUGGGAUUAAAAACUUCCUACUUACUUGUUGAUAACUGACUGCUGAAUUUUCAAUUGUUCCUGUCAAUUAAGCUUUUGUCUUGAAUUUUCCUACGUUCAUUUAGAAGAUUGUUGAUAUAUGUAUUGUAACUUGCAACACUAUGUAUAACGACCCAUACCCAACCGUAUAACCUGGAUAAAAAUCUAGUUCGGAUAUCAUUUGUAACAACUUAUACCCAACCAUAUAGAUAUUUGUUAGCCUGAGGGUUCUCCUAAUCAGGUUUUGAUGAUAACAAACCAUGGUUAAGUGACUAAUUGGUUUAAAUGUUUAAGAAUCUCAGGUAUAAACUCGAAAAUUCGUCAAAUGACCAAAUGGAUACAAGAUCGAGAUGCUUGGAAGACUUGUGAUCAUAGGAAACUAAUGUAAGAUGAAUGCUUGAGUGCACUUAAGAUUUUCAUAUGUUUCAUGCAUCUUAAGAAACUCGGUUUAUUCUUUAAAACUUCGAUUUCAUUAAAACCCGAGUUUCUAACUAAUGUACCUUAGGCAAAAUGUUUUAUAAUUGGCUUAAUAAUUUACCUAAAGACCUUGCCUAAGUGUUAGAAAAGAAAGGAAUAAAAAAAUAGGUUUUCGGGGCCAAAAAGGCUCAACCAGUCGAGACUAUGGCCAACCGGUCGACCGGUUAUGCUCGUUCAGGUCGAGGACCGGUCGAGGGAGGUCAAAAACCUUCUCUUUCUCCCAGUAGCUUUCUCUUCCCAGUCGAGGGAUUUCUCUUACCGGUCGAGGUCCGGUUGAGGCAACGGUAACCUGUCAUGCACUAAAUGCUCCAAUGGCUAGUGAACCGAUCGACCCUUAGCUCGAUCGAACGAGGUUACCUUUUGCUGUUUUUGACUCCCGAGCUUAGAAACCUAUAAAUUGAGAGCUCCACUUAAUUUAUUAACAAAAGAACACUUGCAUUCAAUAGCCUACCUACCUGUUCUUGAUAAAAAAGCUCUCAUUUCUUUCAUAGUGCAUUAAAUCACCACUUGCAUAUCCUUUAGUGCACUCUUGUGUGUCAUCCUAACUUUGUCUUGUAUUUGAGCUAUCCUUAAGCUAGGUUGAGGGAUUAUAUCUUGUAAAAAUCUGAGUGUUAAAGCCUUCAAGAGGGUUGAAUCUUGAAGAGGUUGUGUAAGAGCCAAUUGGAGUCGGAAUCCAAGUGUAAGAAGAUUGGAAGCUUGGUUGAAGCUUUAAGUUAGUGGAACCCUCACUCGGUUAGGAGGUUGAAGAGAGUGGAUGUAGUCAAGGAAGUGUCGAACCACUAUAAACCUGAGUUUGAAUUCUCUAAACUCUAUCUCUUUACUUUACUUAUAUUGUGUUUGAAUUUGUUGUAAUUGAAAAGAUUUUAAAAACCCAAUUCACCCCCCUCCCCUCCCCCCCUCCCCCCUUUUUUGGGUGUUUUUAUUAACUAAGCAUAGUCUUUGUUUUCUCAAUUGGUAUUAGAGCUAGACCUCUUUUUAAGACUUAAUAGUCUAAGAGGAAAUGACUAUUCCAUCAAGCUCAUCCCAAGCUGAAAAUUUUUCAAAACAUAGAGCUCCAUUCUUUACGGGAACCGACUAUCCCUAUUGGAAAACUAGAAUGACUUGGUAUUUACAAUCUACUGAUUUAGAUGUAUGGGAUGUCAUUAAAGAUGACCCAACUUUUCCCACUAAACUAGUUGAUGGAGUUUUGGUUCCAAAACCCAAGCAAGAAUGGAAUGAGCUUGAUAGAAGAAACUUUCAAUUAAAUGCUAAAGCCGUUUUUACUUUGCAAUGUGCUAUGGAUAGAAAUGAAUAUAAUAGAAUAUGUCAAUGCAAAUCGGCUAAAGAAAUUUGGAGGUUGCUUGAAAUAACUCAUAAAGGAACUAAUAAAGUGAAAGAGUCAAAAAUCAAUUUACUUGUUCAUAACUAUGAAUUGUUUUCAAUGAAAGAAAUUGAGACUAUUGUUGAGAUGAUUACUACGUUCACUGACAUUGUCAAUGGUCUUGAAGCUUUGGGAAAAACCUACAAGGAAUCCGAGAAGGUAAUGAAGAUAUUGAGGUCUCUCCCAUCAAAGUGGCAUACCAAGGUCACCGUAAUUCAAAAAGCAAAAGACUUGACUAAGCUACCUAUGGAAGAGCUCAUAGGGUCAUUAAUGACAUAUGAGAUCAAUUUGACAAAGAAGUUACAAGAGGGUGAAGACAAAAAGAAGAAGAGCAUAGCCCUCAAAGCUACAACUAAGGAAGAAGAAGAUGUUGAAGAAGAAAAGCCAAGUGAUGAAGAUGAUGAUCUAGCCCUCAUCACAAGAAAGCUCAACAAAUACAUGAGAUGUGAAAGGUUUAGAGGAAGGAAAUUCACCUCUAGAAGGGAUCUUUUUAAAAAGGAAUCUUCAUCCCAUGGUGACAAGGAGAAAUGGGAAGAGAAAAGAGAUUUGACAUGCUUCAAGUGCAAAAAACUGGGACACAUCAAAUAUGAUUGUCCUCUUUACAAGAGUGAAGCCAAGAGAAGAAUGAAGAAGGCAAUGAUGGCCACUUGGAGUGAAAGUGAAGAAUCCUCCGAAGAAGAAAAUGAGAAAGAAGUGGCAAACAUGUGCUUCAUGGCAAUAGAUGAUCUAAAUGAGGUAAACUCUAACUUUAGUGAUGAAGAUAUGCAUGAUGUUUUUGAAGAAUUAUAUGAGGAUUUUGAAAAACUUAGUUUGAAAAAUAAUUCUCUUAAAAAGAAAAUUCAAGAACUUGAAAAUGAACUUGAAGAAGUGAAAGAAAAAUUUUCAAUUGUUGAAAUAUCUAAAACUCAUCUUGAAAAAGAAAAUGAUAUUUUAAGGAGUGAAAAUGAGAUUUUGAAAAAGAAAAAUGAACAGUUAACCUCCUCUCUUUCAAUUUUCUCUUGUGGACAAAAAUCUUUUGAAAUGAUCUUAGCUAGCCAAAAAUGUGUUUUUGACAAACAAGGGCUAGGAUUCAAAUCAUCAAAAAAUCAAAAGUAUUUUAAAAACUACUUUGUAAAAGAAUCCGCAAGUGCAAGUCCUUCCAUCACUUGCAACUUUUAUGGAAAAGGAGGGCACAUUAAUAGUACAUGUCCCUUAAGAAAUGGUUCUCAAAAGACUUCAAAUUCUAAAACUAAAAAGGUUUGGGUUGAGAAAUCCAAGGUUACUAACCCUCAAGGACCCAAAAAUAUAUGGGUACCUAAAUCAACUUAAAUUUUAUUUUGUAGGGAUCAAAGAAUGAUAAGUGGUUCUUGGAUAGUGGAUGCUCAAGACACAUGACCAGGGAUGAAUCCAAGUUUGCUUUCCUUACAAAGAGAAAAAGAGGAUACGUUACCUUUAGAGACAAUUCAAAAGGAAGGAUCAUUGGUCAAGACAACAUUGGUAAUGGCACAUCUUCUCUUAUUGAAAGUGUUUUAUUAGUGGAUGGUUUAAAACAUAAUCUUUUAAGCAUAAAUCAACUUUGUGACAAAGGUUUGAAAGUGAUUUUUGAAGCAUCUCAUUGCAUCAUCAAAGAUAUUCAAAAUAAUAAAACCAUCUUCAUGGGCCAUAGAUGUGAUAAUAUUUAUGCAAUAAAUAUUUCAAAAUAUGAUGGCCAUGAUAGAUGCUUUUCAAGCAUGCAUGAUCAAAGUUGGUUGUGGCAUAGGAGGUUGGGACAUGCUAACAUGGACCUCAUUUCCCAACUCAACAAAGAUGAACUUAUUAGAGGCCUUCCCAAAAUAAAUUUUCAAAAAGACAAAGUUUGUGAAGCUUGUCAAAUGGGAAAGCAAAUAAAAAACUCUUUUAAAAACAAAAAUUUCAUUUCAACAACUAGACCUCUUGAAUUGUUGCAUAUGGAUUUAUUUGGUCACUCUAGGAUACCAAGCCUUGGAGGAAAAUCUUAUGCUUUUGUUAUUGUGGAUGACUUCUCUAGAUACACUUGGGUCUUAUUUUUAAGUCAAAAGAAUGAAGCCUUUUAUAAGUUUUCAAAGUUUUGCAACAAGGUUCAAAAUGAAAAAGGUUUUACAAUUACUUGUAUAAGAAGUGAUCAUAGGAGAGAAUUUGAAAAUAUUGAAUUUGAAGACUAUUGCAAUGAGCAUGGUAUUAACCACAACUUUUCGGCUCCUCGAACUCCUCAACAAAAUGGGGUAGUUGAAAGGAAAAAUAGAACUCUUCAAGAAAUCGUCCCUAGCAGCGGCAAUGGCAACGACACCAUUUGAUUCAGGGUUCGAUCCCCGGCAGCGGCGCCAUUUGAUUCGUGCCCAAUUGGUGUCUCAGCUGAUUCAUGUCCAGCUGGUGCUCCUUGAUUGAGGGAGUAAUCAACAAAAUUUAUAACCUAUUACACCUUAUACUAGGGUAGCAAAGACAAAGCUACUAUAGCAUAGUGGCUCUAGGAUCGUUCACUGGGAUGGGUUUUCACUUUGCAAAUGAUAUUAAUUCAAAGCUGAAUUGGUGCCUUUUCAUUUCAAGGUUAGCUUUGAAAGAAAACAUAAAGAUGUUUGAAUGAAAAAGGUUUAGAUUUAAACUAACCAAAAAUAGUAACUGAUUUUACUUACAAAGAAAAGUGUUUCUUGGAGUUCAGAUCACUGGGCUCAGGUUCCUCAUACAAAAAGGAGAGUUCCGGUCACUUGUUUCUUUUCCUCGCAUUAGAUAAUUAACAUAUAGUUCCUUCUCCAACCGGUGUUGUACAGAUGCUUCCCAUUAAUGGGUUCAAAAACUAAAUCCCUCUCAUUGAUGCACCUUGCAAUGGCUCAUACCUCUCACCUAGCACUUGCCAUUCAAGGUGAUCUUUAACCUUGGAUUACCCGUCAAAAGCUCGCAAGAGAUAACUAAUGGAUGUCUCCUUGGAGUCCAAAAGCUUACCAAGUGUUGGCUAUUCUAGAAAAUCCUACCUUCAAGUCACCUCCCAAGGCUCGCAAGAGAUAAACUAGUGAAUCUCCAUGGACGGAGAUCACUUGCCUUACCAAGUGUUGGCCCAGGUGAUUUAAAGGCGUUUUAAGUUAACUAAAAAGAUAAAAACCAUUAACGGGUCACACUUUCUCUUCAUUAAAAACUAAAACAACAAAACUUCCAAAUUAUGCAUUCGAAAACUUACCCGGUUACCUUACUCCAAGAGACGAAAAGCCUAGCCUCUCAUCCUCUGAGGAAAAAUCCUCAGAGAAUGAUUGGCUAGAAAUAAAAAGAAUGAGAAAACAAAAAUAUGUAUAUAUAUGAAGGAAGAACAAAGCAAGUGCUCUGUAAAAUAUAUAUCUUCCUCCUGUCGAAUUACAUGAUUCUAUGUUACAUGAUGCUAUCUCCCUGAGAACAAGCUCCCGAGAGCUAUAUAUAAAGAAAAUUACAAAACAAAAUAUCUGAGGUUAUUCACCCCUUUUCCCAACUUAAUAACUAAGGAAUUCUAUAAUUGGUGGCUUACAAGGAGAGAAUGGAAAUUUAUACAAAAAUAUCUGAAGCAAAAUAUCCCAAUGUGUCGGUCACAAAUAUCGGGAAGCACUAAGGACCAUUUUGCAGGUGAAAACGAGGUCUGCGAGAUUUCGCAGACAUCCAAAAAGGGCUGCGAAAUCUCUUCGCAGCAAAAGGUUAUUCUUGCAGGGCUGCGAAGUUGGCUUUCAUCUUGAGGUGCUCAGCUUCCAACUUGCGGCAUAUAUAGGGCAACUUCAGGAGGGAAUCCACAACACUGUACAAAAAGGCUGCGAAAUCAUUUCGCAACAAAAGGGUGAUUCCGCAACACUUUUGCAAAAUGCUUUCUUCAGCUUAGAGUGAUUGACUUGCAAUGGCUGUAACUUCUUCGUUUCAACUCCAAAUUGUGCACCGUUUAAAGCAUUGGAUUAUUGACUUCCUGAGCUUUAAAAUGGUAUAUAGAAUGCACAAAAUGGACUUCGAGAAGUGCUCCAAAAGUGCGCAAGAAGACUGCAGCUGCUGUCCUCUAUUUUCUUCACUCUGUUUUUCCUCUCUCCUUUGUUCUUUCCUUGCAUACUUUGAACGACUUUGGCAAAGGGCUAUGGAGCUCCAAAGCUUUGUUCUUCAUGAAUUUGAGCUUCCAAAAUCUUUGCCAUGAACUAUAUACAGCUCUCCCUCAUUCUUGGAUUGCUUUGGUGAUCAAAAAGCUAUCAAAACACCAAAACUUAACACAAUUUGAUUAGAAUUGAUUGCAAGGGUCCUUAACAUGUUAAUUGGGUUAAAAGGCAAUAACUACUACUCAAAAGUGUUUAAAAGAGUUAAUUACAAGCUAUCAAAUAGCACUUUUAGAGUAGUAAUCACUAGAACCAUGCUAAAUAAAAACAAUUUACCAAAAUACUUUUGGCUCGAAGCGGUUAACACUUCUUGUUAUGUUUUAAAUAGAAUUAUAUUAAGGCCUAUUCUUAAGAAAACUCCCUAUGAGCUUUGGAAAAACAAGAAACCUAACAUUAGCUAUUUCAAAGUAUUUUGGUGCAAAUGCUUUAUAUUAAACACCAAAGACAAUCUUGGAAAAUUUGAUGCAAAAUCGGAUGUUGGAAUUUUUCUUGGCUACUCAACUUCAAGUAAAGCCUUUAGAGUUUUUAACAAAAGAACCAUGGUUGUUGUGGAGUCCAUCCAUGUUAUUUUUUAUGAAUCUAACAAUUCUCUCCAAGAAAGAGAGAGCUUUGAUGAUGAUUUAGGCUUGGAGACCUCCAUAGGAAAAUUACAAAUUGAAGAUAGAAGGCAACAAGAAGAAGUUGUAGAGGAUCCCAAGAAAGAAGAAUCACCUUUGGCACUACCUCCUCCUCAACAAGUGCAAGGUGAAUCAAGCCAAGACCUCCCUAAAGAUUGGAAGUUUGUCAUCAACCAGCCACAAGAUCAAAUUAUAGGUAAUCCAUCUAGUGGGGUAAGAACUAGAUCAUCUCUUAGAAAUAUUUGCAAUAAUGUUGCUUUUAUCUCUCAAAUUGAACCUAAAAAUAUAAAAGAUGCUCUAGUUGAUGAAAAUUGGAUGAUUGCCAUGCAAGAAGAGUUAAACCAAUUUGAAAGAAGUGAAGUAUGGGAAUUAGUGCCAAGACCUCAAAAUCAAAGUGUUAUUGGAACUAGAUGGGUCUUUAGAAACAAAAUGGAUGAAAAUGGCAUAAUUAUACAGAAUAAAGCAAGAUUGGUAGCCCAAGGUUUUAAUCAAGAAGAAGGAAUAGAUUAUGAAGAAACCUUUGUUCCCGUAGCUAGAUUGGAAGCCAUUAGAAUGCUACUUGUCUUUGCAUGUUUUAAAGACUUUGUUUUAUAUCAAAUGGAUGUGAAAAGUGCUUUCUUAAAUGGCUUUAUAAAUGAAGAGGUAUAUAUUGAACAACCACCCGAUUUUCAAAGUUUUAACUUUCCUAAUCAUGUUUUUAGACUUAAAAAGGCACUUUCUGGUUUGAAACAAGCACCUAGAGCAUGGUAUGAAAGAUUGAGUAAAUUCCUUUUGAAAAAGGGUUUUAAAAUGGGAAAAAUUGAUACAACUCUUUUCAUAAAAACCAAAGAAAAUGACAUGCUCUUAGUACAAAUUUACGUUGAUGAUAUCAUUUUUGGAGCUACUAAUGUCUCUCUUUGUGAAGAAUUCUCUAAAUGCAUGCAUAGUGAGUUCGAAAUGAGCAUGAUGGGAGAACUUAUCUUCUUCCUUGGACUUCAAAUCAAGCAACUAAAGGAAGGAACCUUCAUCAAUCAAGCAAAGUAUAUAAGAGAUCUCCUCAAAAGGUUCAAUAUGGAGGAAACCAAAACAAUGAAGACUCCAAUGAGUUCAUCCAUCAAGCUUGACAUGGAUGAGAAAGGUAAGCCCGUCAACUCAACUAUGUAUAGAGGCAUGAUAGGUUCUUUGCUAGAUUUGACCGCUAGUAGACUCGACAUCAUGUAUAGUGUAUGUUUGUGUGCUAUAUUUCAAUCUAGUCCUAAGGAAUCUCAUUUAAGUGUUGUAAAACAAAUUCUUAGAUAUUUAAAAGGGACUAUGGACAUAGGCCUAUGGUAUCCUAAGGGUGAUAACUUUGAAUUAAUUGGAUACUCGGAUGCCGACUUUGCCGGUUGUAAAGUUGAGAGAAAAAGCACUAGUGGCACUUGUCAUUUCCUAGGACACUCACUUGUUUCAUGGCAUAGUAAUAACCAAAAUUCAGUAGCUUUGUCUACAGCGGAAGCCGAAUACAUAGCAGUCGGUUUAUGUUGUGCACAAAUCCUUUGGAUGAAACAAACACUAGUGAUUUCAAUUUGAUUUUUGAGCAUGUUCCUAUAAAAUGUGAUAACACUAGUGCAAUAAACAUUUCAAAAAAUCCGGUACAACAUUCUAGGACUAAGCAUAUAGAGAUAAGACACCAUUUUCUUAGAGACCAUGCAUAAAAGGGUGACAUUACACUUGAAUUUGUAAGCACAAAAGAUCAACUAGCCGAUAUUUUUACAAAACCCCUAAGUGAAGAGCAAUUAGUUGAUAUUAGAAGACAACUAGGGGUGAUUUCUUUAUGAUCAAAUGAUUGCUUGAUGAAUUCUUGAUUGAAUAUACCCUAUAAUUGCGUGAAAUUCAUAUCAUAUGCAUCAUAUAGAAAUAAUCCUAGGAAAGAGGUCAAAUUUUAACCAAAAAUCAAAAUUCCCGUGGCAUUGGACAUAAAAAAAUUGGGGAUUUCAACUGAAAAGGGCAGGGAGAGGAUCACGAGACAAGAAAAUGCAACAAAUUUUUGAAAAAUUGACCGUUGACCGUUGACCAGGUGGUCGACCGGUUGAGGAACCGGUUGACCAGUUCGUCGAGGCUGGGAAUUUAAAAAGCCCCCCUCCCCACUUCAUUUCUCACCUGUUCUCCUCCAUAGCUUGAAGCCUCUUCACAUCACUGCUUCCAGAAGACUGUUUUGGCCAGAUUUCGGACCGAUUGAAGGCUAUGAACUUGAUUUUGGGACGCCUUAAGGUUAGGGUUUUGAUUUGAAACCCAGGGUUUCAGCUUUUGGGAGUGUUUCUUCUCUGCACCGCACGCCUCAGGGUUGGUUCAACUUCAUCUCUGUGCGCCUAGGGCUUCGGGUUUGUGAUUGCUCCUUCUCGUUUCAUUUCAUUCUCUCUUUUUGGACUCUUCCUUCUCAUUUUCAUUCAUUGGAUGGCACCAAGGUGAGAAACGGGCACCUCCAGGGCUUAGGGCAAGCGCCCUGCUGAGCUAUAUCAACCUAAGUAGACGGAGGCUCGCCGAAAGGCGAGGUAUGACAUGACCUUUUUCAGUUCGAUUGAAGACUAUCAGCGCUACAAGCAAAAGUUCGCCUAGAGGAAAGUCGUCCCAGGGAGAAAUGUCAAUUUCUCCCAACUUCAGCACUUUGGGUUUGAGGGACCAUUCGGUCGGAUGGGAUGGCUGUCAGUUAUGACAAUAUCUGAGCCAAUCUUCCCAACUUUGGUGCAGGCUUUUUAUUCUCGGGCGACUUAUGGGCUUGGAGAACCGGUAUUGUCCACUAUGAAGGGAGUUGAGAUCAAAUUGAGUCCCGAGAGUAUCUGCCGCAUUCUCGACAUCCCUUCAGUUGGACUCCGAGUGUAUGAGGCCAAGGUGUGGCCCAUUGUGCCGAGAUUUGAGCCUAGAGAGACUGUUCAGAGGUUGUGCGGACUCGUAGAUGCCUAGAAGAUGGGCAAACCAUCAGCACACAGCCUGACUGUGCCCACUUGAGUCCUUCACCACAUGAAAUGCUCCAUUUUAUUGCCACGUGGAGGACAUCGAGACGAGGUCUCCUACCUUGAGGCAUUUAUUGUGGACUCGAUCCUCACCAGGAGACGGAUUCACGUGGGAUAUCUGAUUAUGAUGCAUAUGAUCUCCUGCGUAGAGAGCACGACACGAGUACUCUCUUACGGCCGCUUUCUUACCCGAGUAUUCAAGGAUGCUGGGGUCGACUUGAGUAGAGAGACGGAUUUCAAGGCCCCCAUCAGCUAUGACACGUAUGAUGAGCAGUUUUUGGGGCGCAUGAAAUUCGAAAAGGCACCCGAUGGCUCCUAGGUUAGAAAAGCUGAGCGACAAGCCCUAGGACAGGAUCAGAUGCAUCCCGGAGCAGAGGAGGAGACCGAUAUCAGAGAGAUAGAGGAUGGGUUAGACCCUCACAGGGACUUUGAGCAAAGAGGGCCCGAGCUUGACAUUCUGCCUCCACCUCAAUCAGAGGGCAUUCAUGUUGAGGUUACCUACUCAGAGCCUAUGAUGACUGAGCCGUCUUUCACAGCAGGACCAUCAUCCCAACCAUCAUUUACCGAGCUACCAUCUCAGGCACCUCACACUCCUGAUUAUGCGCCUUGGAUGGCUGUCUCCGCUCAGAUCAGCUCACUUGAGACUCGUAUGGAGGAACUUGCCUUAGUCCAUGACUCUCGCUUCUACUCUAUGGAGGAGCACAUGGAUUAGUAUCAGACUGGAGUCACUUCUCGAUUUGAUCACUUCCAACAGCGAUUUGAGCGCAUAGAGGAGCGUAUGGAUCAACAGCAGGCUACAUUCGAGCAUCUCCAACAAAGCAUUGAUCGUAUUGAGAGUCGUCAAGCGAGUUAGCAUGAAGAGAUGAUGACCUACUUUCACUCUGUGUUUCCUCCUCCACCCCCUUAGCCUUGAGACUAUCUAGACAUUCCCCUCCGUUUAUUUUUUAUGUUGCCAAAAGGGGAGAAAUUUAUAGGAUCUAGGAGACUCUCAUGCAUGUCAUUGUCAUCAUAGUCAUAUCUAUCUUGUUUGUACAUGUGAGGUUUCGUUUCCAUAUAUAUAUGAUAUGAUAUUUUUAUGAUCCAAUGUUCAUUUUUGUGUUUCACAUUGCUUCCUAUUAAAAAUCGUUUGAAUUGAUCCAUGAUUGGUUUGAGGAGAAGAUUUUUUUUCUCUCCUAGAUAACCAAGGUUUGUCAUCAUCAAAAAGUGGGAGAUUGUUAGCUCAAGGGUUCUCCUAAUCGGGUUUUGAUGAUAACAAACCAUGGUUAAGUGACUAAUUGGUUUAAAUGUUUAAGAAUCUCAGGUAUAAACUCGAAUAUUCAUCAAAGGACCAAAUGGAUACAAGAUCGAGACGCUUAGAAGACUUGUGAUCAUAGGAAACUAAUGUAAGAUGAAUGCAUGAGUGCACUUAGGAUUUUCAUACAUUUCAUGCAUCUUAGGAAACUCGGUUUAUUCUUUAAAACUUCGAUUUCAUUAAAACCCGAGUUUCUAACUAAUGUACCUUAGGCAAAAUGUUUUAUAAUUGGUUUAAUAAUUUACCUAAAGACCUUGCCUAAGUGUUAGAAAAGAAAGGAAUAAAAAAAAAAAGGUUUUCGGGGCCAAAAAGGCUCAACCGGUCGAGGAUAUGGCCAACCGGCUCAACCGAUUAUGCUCGUCCGGUCGAGGACCUGUCGAGGGAGGUUAAAAACCUUUUCUCUCUCCCAGUAGCCUUCUCUUCCCGGUCGAGGUAUUUCUCUUAUCGGUCAAGGUCCGGUCGAGGUCCGGUUGAGGCAGCAGUAACCUGUCAUGCAUUAAAUGCUCCAAUGGCUAUGUAGACCCUCAAUUUUGUCCCUCGACACUGGCAUUUAUCCUUCGGGUGUCACAUCCACCCAUCGUUCGCAUAUGGCACUAGUAGGGCCCCUUUUGGGCUUAAUCGGUGUCCGAGCCUCGUGUGGGUUUGUCUGUGGUCCAUUGUGGUGCAUAUGUGGUUCAUUUUGGAGGGUCACCAUGGCCAUUUUCCUAGUCGUUCACAUCACGCUAUAGGAAGGAAGUGGGGUCAUCCCGAUGUCUUAGCUUAGUUGGAGUUUAUAGGGGCAUGUUGAGGUUCGGAGCACUCGGUCUUGUUUUGAUCUUAUCUCCCUCAUCCAAACUCAGAAUCAAGAACUGUUUCUUUUUAUGGAUUCCUUAUUCUUCCAGGAACAUUCUGUAAAAUUUUCAAAAUUUUUUGCAACCGGUCGGCUGGUUGGCAGCCGGUUCUGCCGGUUCAUCGAGUCAGCCGGUGUAGAACACUGAUUUUUGGUAAUUGUUUUGAUCAUAUCUCCCUCUUCUGAACUUGGAAUCAUGCACCAUUUUUUUUAAUUGAUUCCUUACUCUACUAGGAACAUUCUGUCAAAUUUUCAGAUUUUUUUUCCAUCGGUUCGACCAGUUGGCAUCCGGUCCGGCCGGUUCAACCGGUUCAUUGAGUCAGCUGAGGUAAAACACUAAUUCUAGUAAUUUUGAGGCCCAAAUCCUACAUGGCUCAGGCCCGUAAGCUCCAGAUCGGUUUUGGGCAAUGUUGUGGGUCCAUUUUGGGCCUUGGUUUGGGUUCCUUGUAGCCCACCACGAAUUCAUAUGGAUUCUUGGUGGUGAAGCAAGCUGAAAACUGAAGGAGUGAGCUGACCUUGUAAGUUUAAGAGAAGUAAUGAGGGGUGUGGUUCCCAUGCUGAUGAAGGGGAUUUCGGUGCUGAAGGGGAAGGAAUCCAGGAGGCUCAAAUGCUAAUAGGGGUAUGAGUAUAAAAGGUGAGAGGAUAGGAGAGCAAAUGACAGGAGGGGACAUUUUGGAGAGGGGAAAUUUUGCUGAUGAGAAAAACAAAAGGUCAGUAGCAUCUUCUGAGUUGAGAGUGUGGGGGAAAGCUUCAGCACUGUGGUUUUUUGAAGAGGAGAGUGACCGAAUCUCAGUUUUAGAAGUCAUCAUCUGCAUACACGGAUCAUAUUUGGUGGAGAUUAUGAGGUAAGCAUGCUGAAUUUUCUUUACUUACAGUAAAUCUUCCUCGUCUUCAUAUGCUUUUUCUCCUUCCUCAUCAUCUUUUCUUCCCUUUGAUAUGAAGAUUGUAUUGCUUGGGUGUGGAUAAUAAAGGCCACACAUGAUUAUUGUUGUUUGCUUCCUUAAUCACUUAGGAACUUUCUGACCGAAUUUGGGAUUUUUUACCAACCGGCUGAACUGGUUUGGAACCGGUUUAACCGGUUCAGCACCAUAACUGGCAGCCUCUGUCAGCCAUGAGGAACACUUGCCUUUCUUUGUCUGGUUCUCACUCAUCCGGGCUCGGAAUUGAGAACCGUUUCUUUUUUUUGCUUCCUUAAUCAUUUAGGAACUUUAUGACAGAAUUUGGGAUUUUUUACCAACCGACUGGACCGGUUUGGAACCGGUUCAACCGGUUCAGCACCAUAGCUGGCAGCCUCUAUCAGCCAUGAGGAACACUUGUCUUUCUUUGUCUGGUUCUCACUCAUCCGGGCUCAGAAUUGAGAACCGUUUUUUUUUUUUUUUUUUUGCUUCCUUAAUCACUUAGGAACUUUCUGACUGAAUUUGGGAUUUUUUACCAACCGGCUGAACUGGUUUGGAACUGGUUCAACCGGUUCAGCACCAUAGCUGGUAGCCUCUGUCAGCCAUGAGGAACACUUGCUUUUCUUUGUCUGGUUCUCACUCAUCCGGGCUCGGAAUUGAGAACUGUUUCUUUUGUUUGCUUCCUUAAUCACUUAGGAACGUUCUGACUGAAUUUGGGAUUUUUUAUCAACCGGCUGAACUGGUUGGGAACCGGUUCAACCAGUUCAGCACCAUAGUUGGCUACCUCUAUCAGCCAUGAGGAACACCUGCCUUUCUUUGUCUGGUUCUCACUCAUCCGGGAUCGGGAUUGAGUGUCGUUUCUUUUGUUUGAAUCCUCACUCAUUUAGGAGUUUUCUAGAAAAAUUUGGGAAUUCUUCUCAAUAGGUUGUACCAGUUGAGAACUAGUUCAACCUGUUCUGCUGGAGGACUUUAGGUAGCCCUCGAUUUUGGCAUUUUUCGAGCCCUUAUCCAUGGGGGCUCAAACCCAUUUGCUAUAGGGAACUUGUGAGCCAUCUUGAAGGUUUAAGUUAGUGUUUGAUUUCAGUUAGUAUGGGCAAUUUGGAAGUUAUGGGUGGUGUGGUCUAGAUGAGUCUAGUUCGAUUUGUAUGACAUUUGGGGAGUCCCUUACCUCAUUUCAACCAGCUAUCUUCCUUUUUGGCACAAGCUUUGAUGCUUGAUUUUGAAUACAUGUUGCGUGACUGACUCACCCUCUGCUGCAGCGCUUGGCUAGGGACCACAGGUACGCAUCGUUGGCUUUGGUUGUUGAAUUCAUAUGCAUGCAUGGUGCUUAAUCUUGAAUGUUUGUUAUGUGUUUAUCUGUGUUUGGCUGACCUUUUAUGCAGCGCUUGGCUAGGGACCACANNNNNNNNNNNNNNNNNNNNNNNNNNNNNNNNNNNNNNNNNNNNNNNNNNNNNNNNNNNNNNNNNNNNNNNNNNNNNNNNNNNNNNNNNNNNNNNNNNNNGACCGAAUUUGGGAUUUUUUAUCAACUGGCUGAACCGGUUUGGAACCAGUUCAACCGGUUCAGCACCAUAGCUAGCUGCUCUGUCAGCCAUGAGGAACACUGCCUUUCUUUGUCUGGUUCUCACUCAUCCGGGCUCGGGAUUGAGUGUCAUUUCUUUUGUUUGAAUCCUCACUCAUUUAGGAGUUUUCUAGAAAAAUUUGGGAAUUCUUCUCAAUAGGUUGUACCAGUUGAGAACUAGUUCAACCUGUUCUGUUGGAGGACUUUAGGUAGCUCUUGAUUUUGGCAUUUUUCGAGCCCUUAUCCAUGGGGGGCUUAAACCCAUUUGCUAUAGGGCACUUGUGAGCCAUCUUGAAGGUUUAAGUCAGUGUUUGAUUUCAGUUAGUAUGGGCAAUUUGGAAGUUAUGGGUGGUGUGGUCUAGAUGAGUCUAGUUCGAUUUGUAUGACAUUUGGGGAGUCCCUUACCUCAUUUCAACCAGCUAUCUUCCUUUUUUGGCACAAGCUUUGAUGCUUGAUUUUGAAUACAUGUUGCGUGAUUGACUCACCCUCUGCUGCAGCGCUUGGCUAGGGACCACAGGUACGCAUCGUUGGCUUUGGUUGUUGAAUUCAUAUGCAUGCAUGGUGCUUAAUCUUGAAUGUUUGUUAUGUGUUUAUCUGUGUUUGGCUGACCUUUUAUGCAGCGCUUGGCUAGGGACCACAGGUACGCACCCAUUGUUUUGUUUGGUUGAAUUCAUAUGCAUGCCAAAUACCAAUUAGGAUUGUGUGAUUCAUGACAUCUAUUUAGCCUAGGGUUUCAUUUGACCUUUGACCCAUAUGCUCCCACAUACCCAAUUCAUUAGUAGAGACCGAGUUUCAGGCCUAGAGGGGUGCUACCUCGCAUGAGUUACCUUCCCAACGGGUAACCUGAUCCUCGGACCUAGAAUCUAGUUUUCGUAGACCGCUUUUUCCAUACUGGGGUCAUUAGGGGUUUUUGUUCUUACUUAAUUUUCCCCAUUUUAAAAACAAAAAUAAAAAGUAACUGGCGACUCCAAACAACACCGUUCCUCACCGGGGGCGGGUUUUUCAAAACUGGAAAACAUCAACUUUUUCAUUUCUUUCUUUUCUUUUAAAAGCGAGUCGCGUCGGUCCGGUGGAUCGGGUGAGGGUCCACAGGCUAGUGAAUCGGUCGACCCCUAGCUCGACCGGACGAGGUUACCUUUUACUGUUUUUGACUCCCGAGCUUAGAAACCUAUAAAUUGAGAGCUCCACUUCAUUUAUUGACAAGAGAACACAUGCAUUCAAUAGCUUACCUACCUGUUCUUGAUAAAAAAAGCUCUCAUUUAUUUCAUAGUGCAUUAAAUCACCACUUGCAUAUACUUUAGUGCACUUUUGUGUGUCAUUUGUCUUGUAUUUGAGCUAUCCUUAAGCUAGGUUGAGGGAUUAUAUCUUGUAAAAAUCUUAGUGUUAAAGCCUUCAAGAGGGUUGAAUCUUGAAGAGGUUGUGUAAGAGCCCAUUGGAGCUGGAAUCCAAGUGUAAGAAGAUUGGAAGCUUGGUUGAAGCUUUAAGUUAGUGGAACUCUCACUCGGUUAGGAGGUUGAGGAGAAUGGACGUAGGCAAGGAAGUGCCGAACCACUAUAAACCCAAGUUUGAAUUCUCUAAACUCUAUCUCUUUACUUUACUUAUAUUGUGUUUGAAUUCGUUGUGAUUGAAAAGAUUUUAAAAACCCAAUUCACCCCCCCUCCCCCCUUUUGGGCGUUUUUCUUAACUAAGCAUAGCCUUUGUUUUCUCAAUUGGUAUCAGAGCUAGACCUCUUUUUAAGACUUAAUCGUCUAAGAGGAAAUGGCUAUUCCAUCUUGCAUGUCCAUAGAAAAAUUUUGAGCUUGUUUGCCCACGGUAUGGACCUGCUUUAUUUAUUUCAAACUUGCUUUAUAUAUGUGUGUGAUAUGAUGUAUAGUUUUUAAGGUUAUGAUUUUUUUUUUUCUUUCCCUGUGAAUUUUCCCGUUUAGAGUUUUUCACAUAAAUUUGUGUGUUCUUAUUUUGUUUUUUCUUAUUGUCUAUUCUCGUUAUUUCAUAACACAAACAAUCUUCAACUUUUUCAAGCCACAUAAAAUAUCACUUGAACUGUAAUAUUUUGGGUGGUUGGGAAAUAUUUUCUUUAUAUGCUUAUUUGAUUAGUAAUUUGAAAUUAAGCAUAUGGUAAGAUCCAAAGUGUAUCAUAACUCAAUUAAUUAGGCAUAAAAAAUUGAGGUAUUAAAAAAUUAUUUAAAAUUUUAUGAACCUAAUCUAUGAUUUUCCAUUUUAAAAAAAAAAAUCGACACUAAACUAAAUUGAACUAAAAAUUACAUACUUAUGUAUAAUACUUAAUAUCUGUUUGUUGUAUUACUAAAUUUUUGCUAUAUGAUAGCAUACCACAUCUAUAUACUUUAUAAUUGAACUACUUAGUAAUGCUAUGAGAAGGUUAUAUCAAUAGGUAUAUGUAAUAUCCCUAAUUUAGUUUUCACAAAAUAAUAAUAAUAAUAAUAAUGGUGGAUAGGGAAGUUACAAUUUUAAAUCACAACCAAUGAGUUACAAAUUUUAUACCACUUUGGAGAAGUUUUAGUUUUAAAAGAAAAAAAAAUAUUUAACAAUUUUGAAAAAUCAAGAAAAGUGAGAAAAACCCUAGAGAGAUAGGAUAAGAGGUAAAAGAGAGAAAAACCCAAAGAUAAACGUCAAGAUUGAUUUCACAUCGUUGAUUAUUUUUAUUCUCUACUAAGUAAAAUUUAUGGUAAGUCUUUAAAAUAUAUUCUUUUUUUUUUUUAAGAUAUAUGUUCAUGAUAAGAUUCUUAUAUUAAUCAAAGGUAGUACUAUGAAUGUGGCCUCUAAUUUAAUCCUAGACAAAAACAAAGUCUUCGUGAAUAUAAGAGUUUUUAUUAUUAUUUGGAAGAAAUUUUUAUACAAUACAAUUCUAAAAUAAAGAUAUGUAUUUAGUCUAAAGGACAAUUCUAAAAAUUUAAGAAGGUUUUGAAGAAAAAUAUAAACAUAAAUAAAUAAAUAAAUAAUUCAUUGUAGUUGUUCAAUAAAAGAAUGCAAUGUAGAAUAUAUACUCAAUGAGAAAAAAAUGUGAAUAAUAAAGGAAAAUAAGAAAAAUAAAAUAUUCAUUGUACAAUAAAAAAUAUUAAUUAGGAUAUACAUAAGGUUUUGAAGAAAAAUAUAAAGAUAAAUAAAUAAAUUCAUUUUAGUUGUUCAAUAAAAGAAUGCAGUGUAGAAUAUAUAUUCAAUGUGAAAAAAAUAUGAAUAAUAAAGGAAAAAAGAAAAAUAAAAUAUGUAUUGUAAAGCGAGGAUAAAUGUGACUCAAAUAAAAGUAGAGACAACUAUAUAUUACUUUAAUAAUAAAUAUAAUGGGGGAAGGAAUCAUAGAAGAGAAAUGAAAUAGUUGAAAAAAUGAAAGCAAGAGAGAAUAUGAGAGAAUGAGAAUUUCUUUCUUUUCUUGGGAUACUUUUGUACAAAGGAUGGAAGGUCUUUUAUAGGCCUCACAAAAGUGUUCCAUUAAUGCUCUCCAUUAAUAUCAAUAAAUGAAGCCAUUAAUGGAAGACUUUAUAUAAUGUUUUAAUAUAAGUUUUAAUGCAAAUGGGACUUUAACUGGUGACAUCCACCCUUGGAUGUCCAUCACCCUAAAGAAUAUGCCUCACUAAAACCUUGCUAGUAAAAGAACUCUAUGGCAAAAACCUAGCGAAGGAAAAAAAAAGUACAAUUUAAGUUGUUUUUUGUAUGUUAGAAUUGCCUCAUUAAAAAACUUGCCUGUAAAACCCAAUGGGACAAAACCUAGAUGAAGGGAAAAAAGAGUACAAUACACUAACACCCUUUUAAAAACAUUCUCCUCCUCAUGUUGAUAUCCUUGAGUUGACACAUUCCAAUUUGAUAUACUAAGAUAUCAUCAGUAAAGAUAACCACAAACUGAUCCAAAUAGGAUUUGAACACCCUAUUCAUCAAAUCCAUAAAAGUUGUAGGGGCAUUAGUUAAACCAAAAGGCAUCACUAAGAACUCAUAAGGCCCAUAUCAAGUUUGAAAAACGAUGUUGGGUACAUCCUCCCCCUUCAUCUUAAGUUGAUGGUAACCAAAAUGAAUGUCAAUCUUUAAGAAUAUAGAAGCACCUUGCAAUUGAUCAAAUAGAUAAUCAAUUUGAGGUAGUGGGUAUUUAUUUCUAAUAGUCACCUUGUUAAGUUCUCUAUAGUAGAUACAAAGCCUCAUUGACCCAUGUCUUUUUAACUAAUAACACUAGAAUACCUCAAGGUGACACAUUGAGCCUAACAAUGCUCUUUUCCAACAUUUCCUCAAGUUGCAUCUUCAACUCAUUAAAUUCCAUGGGUGUCAUACAAUAAGGUGCCCUAGAUAUAGGAGUUGUCUCAAGCAUUAACUCAAUGAUGAACUUCGCCUCUCUUUCUAGUGGAACUUUAGGAAAAUUCUCAAGAAAGACAUUUGGAAAGUGUCUCACAACCAGAAUGUUUUCUAUCCUUAAAUACUUUGUCUCUAACAAUAUUUCUUUUAUGGCCAAAAGGCUUUCUUGACAAAAAAUUUCAUCUCGACAAUUGUCUCCAAAAUUGUGUCACCCUAUAGUUUUGGAGACGAAUAAUUACAUUUUGUUAGGAAAACGUAUCUAUGACGAAAUGAAAUCUCAUGGCCAAAACUAUUUGGCAACGAGAGUUUUUUGUGGCAUAAAAUAAAAUGUUUUGUUGGGAAUUAGAUUUUCAAAUAUCUAGUAAACCAUUUGGUGACACAAGAUUUCAUUGCGCAACGAAAUUAUUUCAUCUCUAAAUGUUAAUUUAUACAUUAGGAGAUGAAAUAUUUUAAUCUCCAUCAUGUUAACAUAGAGUUUCUACAACGAAAUAAUUUUAUGUCAAAAUAUUUCCACUUACAUUUAGGGAGGAAAUGUUUUCGUUUCAAAAUAUUGACAUAUAGUUUCAGUAACAAAUAAAUCUUGUCUCUAAAUGUUUUCAUUACAAUUGGAGACAACAUUAUUUCAUCUUUAAAACUAAUCAUGUUUAGGUAAUGAGAUAGUUUUAUCUCUAAAUGUCUUUAUUCAUAUUAGAAAAUAAAAUAAUGAAACAAAUUUAGUAUUUAUACUAAUUUGAGGAUGAAAUAAUUUCCUCCCUAAAUAUAAUAUUAUUAUUAAUUUUUAAAAUUUUAAAUAAUCCUAUUGAAACAUUUAUAAACCUGUAUGAUAUUCAACACUUUCAAAUAUAAGAUGAUAUUAUACAAAAUGAAGAAUUUAAUAAUGCAAAAAUACAAUAACCUAUAGAAAAUAAGUAAGAACAAAACAUUUGUUUUAUCAAUGCAAACCAUACUUGCAAAUAAAAUUAUCUACGCUAUUUGAAUAUUAUCUAAAAUAAAAAUGACUAACAUAUAAUAGUAAACCACAUAAUAAUGUCAACUUGAUAGUGAAGGUGGUGGUUAGGAAGCUAAGCCAAAAUGAAGUGGUAGUGAGUUAGAAGUAUUGGUCUGUUGUGGCACAAAACUCUAUAUCAUUGCCUUCAACUAGUCCAAUUAAGUGGUAGUUGUAGUCUUAAACUCUUGUAACUCUAUGAUCUAUUGUCACAAUUUCUUUGUCUCUUUAUUAGGAAAUUUAGUUGCACUGGAAUGGUUAAGUUGUGAUCCAUAUCCCAAACCUUGAACAUAACUUGAUUGCUUCUUAAGCACUCAAUGAGUUAUCACUAAGUCAAACAAGAGUACCAACCUUCUGGGUACUUUGCUUUUGAAUCUCAUGCAUCUCUUCUUGAAAAAUAUAGUAUAAUUUUAAUUAGUAAAAAUAUUACCAUAACAUAUUUACCUUUUACUACUACAAGUAACAUGACUCUUACGUAUCGAGAUUUAAGAGUAUCAUUUAUCCAUCCUUUACUCGCAUUGUAGUAGGUGGCACAAAAUAACUCCACUUCCUUUUCAACCCUUCAAUGGUAAGACUCUUUUACAUGCACAAAAAAAAAUAAUUAAGUUACUUUUAAAGAUAAUGAAUAAACUCCCCUUUACAACUUUUUAGGUAAAACAUGUCUUUUACAUAAAUAGAAUAAAAUAAAAAUAUUAUUUUAAAGAUAUAAUUAAGAAGUAUAUAUUAUAUCAUUGAGUUAUGGUGAUGAUAAAACGCUAAGCAUUUAGAUCCAUCACAAUGAUUGAAUGGAAGCUUUUCAUGAUUUUCAUUAUUUAUAGCAGCCAUUUUCUACACAAUAAUAUUACUAAAAGAGUUAGUAAAACGAAAAUGAAAAAAAUAUAGUAACCUAAGAAUUAGAUAAAUAUGUUAGACAAACAACCAAACAUAUAAUAAAGUAAAGUUUUUCUACCAUGUUUUAAGUAGUCUCCUCCAUUAAUCCGACUAUAUAUACACCUAUGUACAAUAUUUUAAUUUUUCAUAAUAAAUCAACAUUCCAACAUAGCAUUUCAAUUAUUCAUAAUAAACAAACAUUCUAAUAGAAUACUUCAAUUUUUCAUAAUGAAUCAACAUUAUGACAUAAAUUUUGAUUUUCAACUUGUUUUAAACGACAAAUUCCUACUUUAUACUUCAAAAUAUACCAAAUAUACUAAUUAAUGAAAAAUUCACAUUUUCUUUUUUAUCUUUCCAACUUUUAACAUCUACGAUACUUAAACUUGAUUUUUCAAUCACAGUAAAACCAAAUUCUUAACUUAAAAAUAAAUUAAAUUUAUGAGCUUUCAUUCAAUACUGUGACAAAUUAAUUUAUUAUCAAUUAGUAAUAAUUAUUAAUAGAAAUAAAAUAUAAUUUAUAUAUUUUCUUUUCUUUUUUUUUAAGAAUUUCUUCCUUACUUCUUAAGUAAAUUUAGAUAUAUCAUUUUCUCAAGAAUAUUUACUGAAUAUAAAUACAAAAAAUAUAAGAACAAAUUAAUUUUAAUAUGAAAUAAAUUUAAACUCAUAUAUUUUGACUUGACAAUAUGAAAACGUUUACUGUUUUCCAAACAAACAUAAUUAAAUACAUCAAUAUGAUAAUGAAUUACCCACACUAAGACCUGCAAAUAUAUCUAAUAAUUAUAAUUUUUAGUUUAAAAUAAAUAUUUGAACAUCACUAUUUAAUAAUUUCAGACACAUAAAGAUAUAUCUUUAGCCUUAUAAAAUAAACAAUAAUGCAUAAAUUCUCAAACCAAAUUCCACAUAAUAACAAACAAAUUGGAUGAAAAAAAUGGGGAAAAUACACAAUUUCUCAAACAAAAUUCUACUUAAUAGCAAACUACUCAAAAAAAUGAAAAACAAAAUAAAUAAUUUUAGAAACAAAAAAAAAAAAUGUAUAAUAACAAACAAACAAAUAGGAAUCUUAAAAAUAACAAACAAACCAAAAUUAUGUAUAAUAACAAAAAAGAAACAAGAAAAUAUAAAAUAAAAAUAAAUAAUGUAUUAAAUGAUGUGAAAAAUACAUCAAAUACCCAUGUAAACCCCUUAAAAGACCAAUGUUUUUUUUUUUUUUUUUAUUUAGCUGGGGACCACCCGAGGAGGUUUGUUUGGCAUUCAUUUUUCAAGAUGUGGGGACCCCUCUCCAUGCAUGGGACGUGCAGCAGCAGGGGGGUGAUGGCUGGCCAUGCUUGCUGAUGGGUGAACAGCAGGGCAAGUAGUGGCUUGCCAAGGAAGAAAAGAAGACGAAGAUUUUAAGGAGAAGGAUAAGAGAGAAAAAAGAAAAGAAAAAAACGAGGGGGGAGGAGAUCUGAAACGGGGAAGAGAUUUUCAGGUAUGAGCUCUCAUACUGCGGAUUUCCUUGUUCAUCUUCUUUAUUACAUCAUUCUUCAUGCAUUUAUCUGGUGUUUCUCUUGCUUUCAUUUGUUAUUGGGGUAUUUUAUCGCUCUGUUUUCUUUGCCAUCUUCUCCGAGCAUUCAGUUCAAAGGUAAACCCGGAUUCGAUUUGAGUUAUGCCACUGACCACGAAGCCCGUUUAUGUCGGCAUGAAAUGGGUUCCUAUGAUUGUUUGUUUGUUUUAUUAUUUUGGGAAGUGCUCAGUUUGAGGUUGUUCAUCUCUGUUUCUUUUCUUUUUUUUCUUUUUUUCUUUCCUGGUACCUCAAUCUUUGUCCUCCAACACGCGUGUGGAGAUCACGUGUCACUCAGCCGGCGACCAUGCCUACGUCCGCAUUGACUCACCGACCGGAGGACCUGCUCACACGGCUGCACUGCGCCAACGCCGAAGCCUGCCCUCCACCCCCCACCCCCUCUGUGAAAUCCAAUUACAGAAACCUAAAAAAAUCUAACCCUGAAAGUCUUCUUCUCUUUGUCUUCACCAUGGACGACCUUGGGCCACCUACAGAGACGAAGACGAAGAAGACGACGAUUGCGCUGACACUGCCGGAGGAGAACCAAGCGACGGAGCAAGCCAUCGAGAUGGCCACAGCAGCGGUGGGAGCGACGGAGAUGCCGAAAGUCACACAGAAGGCGAAGAAAGUGGAGCUUGGCUAUGAUAGAAUGCAUGCCGCGAGUGGGAAAGGGUACAGAGUGGUUAAGGCUACUAGAGGGGUUGUGUAAGGAGCUUGGUAUUUUGAAAUCAGGUUUUGAAGCUGAGGGAGACAAGGCAUACGAGGCUUGGAUGGUCAACGGAGAAGGGGGCUUGCAGGCGCCAGUAGGGUACGAUGCAAAUGGUUCCAGGUAUAGGGAUAUAGGUGGGAUUAAGGUGCACAAGGCCAUGGAGGAGAAUGUGGAGAGGAAAGAUUAUUUAAUUUGUUCAAAAGAGUUAAUGGCCACGUGCAAGCCAAAGGAAUGUUCUUGGGGUAGCAAUAAAAAAAAAUACCCAGGCCACUUUAUGGUCCCGGUGUUAGCAUAUGAGACAUGAGUUUUAUUUAUUUAUUUAUUUAUUUAUUUAUUUAUUAUGUGUGUUUCUAGUUUAUCGUGCACCUAUUUAAAUAAUUCCUCCAAGUCCCAGAUUCCAAAUUCUAAUCCCCAAUUCCCACAAUUCCAAUUUUUCACACUUGUUUAUUUAGUCAUUAUAAUUAUUAUUAUUAUUAUUAUUAUUAUUAUUCCAUAUUUAUUUAAUUAUUUCAUUUAAAAAUUCAAAUCGUUCAAGUUCAGUUAUUAAAAAAUCUGACUUCCUAAUUUAAUAUUCAAUUGCAAAAAUUCCACUAUUCAUUUUUAUUCGUUUAAAUAUUGUUUUCGUUAAACAACCAUUGGAAGCCGAUCACUCCAAGCUGAAGGAAAAUUUCGCACGGUUGCGAAAUCAGCCUUGGGCUGCGAAAAUGGUGUCCUUUUGCUGUGAAAUUUCGCAGCCCUCUUGCUGUGGAAUUUCUCCUGAAGCUUCCCGAUAUUUGCAACCGACAUUUUGAGACUUUUUACUUUAGAUAUUUGAUGUCUAAAUCCCCAAACUCUCCUUGUAACCCACCUAUCAUAGGAUUCCUUAGUCUUUAAGUAAGAACAAAGGGUGAAUAACUUGUUAUAUAUAGUUGUAAUUUUCUUUACAAAUAAAAAAUCUCGGGACCUUGUUCUCAGAGACAACCUUUUGUAAUAGUUAGAAAUAUAUUUUACAGAGCACUUGCUCUGUUUUUCCUUCAUAUUUUUGUUUUCUCGUUCUUUUUAUUUCUAGCCAAUCAAACUCUGAGGAUUUUUCCUCAGAGGAUGAGUGGCUAGGCUCUUCGUCUCUUGGAGUGAAGAAAGUCGGGUAAGUUUCCUCAUGCAUAAAUGGGAAGUUUUGUUGUUUUAGUUUUUAAUGAAGAGAAAGUGUGACCCGUUAAUGGUUUUUAUCUUUUUAGUUAACUUAAAACGCCUUUAAAUCACCUGGGCCAACACUUGGUAAGGCAAGUGAUCUCCGUCCAUUGAGAUGCACUAGUUUACCUCUUGCAAGUCUUUGGGAGGUGGUUUGAAAGUAGGAUUUUCUAAAAUAGCCAACACUUGGUAAGCUUUUGGACUUUAAGGAGACAUCCAUUAGUUAUCUCUUGCGAGCUUUUGACGGGUAAUCCAAGGUUAAAGAUCACCUUGAAUGGCAAAUGCUAGGUGAGAGGCACGAGCCAUUGCAAGAUGUAUCAAUGAGAAGGAUUUAGUGUUUGAACCCAUUAAUGGGAAGCAUCUGUACCACACCGGUUAGAGAAUUAACUAUAUGUUAAUUCUUUAAUGCGAGAAAAAGAAACAAGUGACCGGAACUCUCCUUUUUAUAUGAGGAACCUGAGCCUAGUGAUCUGAAACUCCAAGAAACACUUUUCUUUGUAAUUAAAAUCAGUUACUAUUUUUGGUUAGCUUAAAACCAAACCUUUUCCACCAAAAAUUAUGUUUUCUUUUAAAGCUAACCUUGAAAUGAAAAGGCACCAAUUCAUCUUUGAAUUAAUAUCAAUUGUGAAGUGAAAACUCAUCCCAGUGAACGACCCUAGAGCCACUAUGCUAUGCUAGCUAAGGCUAUCCUAGUACAUGGUGUAAUAGGUUAUAAAUUUUGUUGAUUACUCCCUUCUGAGGACCACAAUCAAGGAGCACCAACUGGACACGAAUCAAAUGGUACCACUUUCAAGGACCAUUAAAAGGACAUGAAUCAGCUGAGACACCAAUUGGGAACGUAUCAAUGAAUAAUUUUUUUUUUUUAUAUAAUUCUAGAAUAAUGGAAUCUGUGAUAUUAAGUCAUGCUGAAUAAACGGGUUUUGGUGGGGGCCCAACAUGGGUGACUUUAUGAUUGAUUGUUUGAUUGGAUUAUCAUACAUGAUUGAUUUAUCCUACUCUCUGACAUGCAUGAGAUUAUUUCUUAAUUGUGCACUAACCCGCUCUCUUGAUAGCGCAUUGACGUUUGAUGCCAAGGUGUGCCCCGCUCCCACUUUGAUCGUUCUUUAUUGAGUGUUUUGAUUCUCAUAUGCGCAUGAUCAAUUUGAGUAUACAUUGAUUUUCCUACUAAUUGUCAUGUCAGCUUCGUUUUAUUAGUAGAGGCCCGACUUUAGGGACUUAGAGGGGUGCUAUGGUCUUUACCGUACCUUCCCGAUAAGUAACCUGACCCCCGAGCCCUACCCGAUUUUUCGUAGAUCACCUUUUCCAAAAUGAGGAGUCACACUUAGGGUUUUCUUUCUUAUUUUGUUUACACUUUUAAAAAAAUAAAACAAAAAUAAGUGGCGACUCCAAGUCAUUUUUCAAACAAUAAAAUCAUUUUCAAAGUAAAAUCAAGCUCGCCAUUGAGUAGAAAACGCAUGAGUCGAAAUGCAGGGUCCACAACCCAUAAAAAAAAUAUUUAAUCAAAUAUCUUCUCCAAUAAAAUUAUGUAUAAUAACAAAAAAUUUCAAAAUAAAAGUGACCAACAACAGUCAGUAGAACAAACCGAAAUAAAAUUAUGGGUCAUAACAAUCCUAAAAUUAAAUAAAAUAAAAACAUAAAGUUAUAAUAACCCCACACUUGUGUUAUGUGUGGCGUUGUGCAUUGAUAGCAGCAUCAGCGACGCAAGAUUGACCAACAACAGUUGGCAACAUCACUUAAUGGCGAAGAAAACAGCAACUUGCGACAACAGGUAUGGUGAUGAGUUUGGAAUAAUUGAGGAGAACUAAGAGCAAGGGUUUUUGUAGGGAGUUUAGGAAAGUUUUUAAUUUUAGUUUUUUUUUUUUUGUUUUUUUAUGUUUCCAUUUAACAUCCCAGAAUAUUACUUUAUAAUUCCUUAUAUAAAUAUUUGCCAAUUAUAAAAUGGUUUUUAGGAUUGUCUUUUAUUUUGGUUUUUUUUUUAAUUUUUAUUCUUUUAAAAAAUUAUCAAGAUUACUUUAAAAAUAUUUGAUUAAAUAGUUUUUAAAUUUUAAAUAAGAUAAAUGUAAAGUAACUAGUUUCUUUUAGUCCUACAAAAUUGUAAUAUUCUAAGAAUUAAAACUAUUAAAAGAGAUUAUAUUUAAAAUUUUAAUAAUUAUUAAUAUAACUUAAAGUUUCAAAUUAAUUUGGAUAAUUAUUUAAGAUAGUUUAGAAUAUUGAUAUUAAAAUUAAAUACUUAUAGAUAAAGGCAUGAGGUAGUUUUAUGGCAAGUACAAGAUUAAGUAAAUUGCCAAAAGUUUUAGAAAUUUUUUAUACAGGAUUAAUUUUUAAAAAAAAACAAUAUUAAUUUAUUGUUUUAUAUAGUUAAAAUUAGAAUUUUUUUUAUAAAGAAUAUCAAUAAAAAAUACCUAUAAAAAAUUUAAGAAGAUAGAGAUAAUUUUAUAGAAAGGUAAAACAUUAUGUGGUUAAAUUAUUGAAAAACAAAAGAAUUUUUUGUAUCAAUUUCAAGGGAUUUAUAACUUUUUAUAUAUGUCUAAAAAUAAUCAAGGAGAUAAAUUAUAAAAAGAUAUAAAUAAAUUAUCAUUAAAAUGUUAUUAUUUUAUAAAUUCAUAUAUAAAAUUAUAAUAAAAUAUAAUAUUAUAAAAAUUAAAAUAAAUUACUUUUUUUUUUGUCCUAUACAUUCACAAUUUAGAUUUAUUUUUAUGUUUUCAUAUGAAAAAGACUAACAAUGUUAGGUUCUCACAUGAUAAACUAAUUUUUAUAUUUUGUAUAAUCAAUAUAAUCCAAAUUAGACUAUAUAUAUAGAAUAAAAGUUAUAAACAAAAUAAAUGAUUUUAACUUAAUAUAUUUUUUUAUAAUUUAAUUUUUAUUUUAUUAUAAGUUAUUAAGGAUAGUGUAAAAUAUUGGCAUUAAAAUCAAAUACCUAGAUAACGACAUAAGGUGGUUUUGUGGAAUGUAUAAAAUUAGGAAAUAUAGAAUUUACUAAAAGUUUUAUAAAAAUCUUUAUAAAGGAUUUAUUUUUAAAAUUUUAAAUUUAUUGUCUUAUAUAGUUAAUACUAGGAUUUUUUUUUUCUAAAAAAUAUCCAUAAGAAAUACCUAUAAAAAAAAUUAAGGAGAUAGAUGAUUUUAUAGAAAACAUGAGAUUGGUAAAACGUUAUAUGAUCAAAGUAUUAAAAAAACAAAUGACUUUUUUUUUUAAUCAACUUUAAGUGAUCUAUAAAUUUUCCUAUGUCUUUAAAAAAUCAAUUAGAAAAAAUAUGAAAAAAAAUAGAAGAAUUGAAAUAAAUAUAUUUAUAAAUUUCAUUAUCUUAUAAAUUUAUAUAUGAAUCAUAAUAAGAUAUAAUACUAUUAUCCUAAGGGUUCUCCUAAUCAGAUUUUGAUGAUAACAAACCAUGGUAAAGUUACUAAUUGGUUUAAAUUGUAAAGAAUCUCAAGUAUUAAUUUGGAAAUUUAUCAAAGGACCUAAUGGAUACAAGAUCAAGACGUCUGGAAGAUUUUUAAUCAUAGGAAACAAUUGUAAGAUGAAUGCAUGGGUGCACUUAGGUUUUACAUAUCAUUUCAUGCAUCUUUGGAAAACUCGGUUUAUUAUUUAAAGUUACAAUUGCAUUAAAACCUGAGUUUUAUCAAAUGUACCUUAGGCAAAUACAAGAUCAAUUGCAUUAUAUAGUUAUCGAAUUCACCUAAAGAGCUUGUCUAAAUGUUAGAAAAGAAAAGAACAGAAAAGAUAGGUUUUCGGGGCCCAAAGGUUGAAUCGGUCGAGGCACUAGGCCAACCGGCUAGGGUAUCGAUUAUCGGUUCCCCUUGCCCGGUCGAGGAGUGCUAAAAACACUCUCUCUAAUUCAGUAGCCUUCCAUUCCCGAUCGAGGUAUCCUCCUUCUCGGUCGACCUCCAGUCGAGGUCCAGUUGAAGUAACGGUAACCUACCAAAGCAUUAAAUGCUCCAAUAGCUAGUGAAUUUUUCGACCCCUAGCUCGAUCGGUUGAGGUUGCUUUUUGUUUUUCUUGGCUCCCAAGGUUAGAAACCUAUAAAUUGAGAGCUCCACUUCAUUUAUGACAUAGAGAACACUUGCACUUAAUUGUCUACCCACUUGUUUUUUACUUAAAAGCUCUUAUUUCUUUCUUAGUGCAUUAAAUCUUCAUUUGCAUAUCUUUUAGUGCGCCCUUGUGAGUCAUCCUAGCUUUGAUUUGUAUUUAAGCCAUUAUUGAGCUAGGUUGACAAAAGAUCAUCCUUGUAAAUUGAGUAUUAGAGCCUUCAAGUGAGUUGAAUAUUGAAGAGAUUGUGUAAGAGCUCAUUGGAGCCAGAAUCCAAGUGUAAAAUAGAUUAGAAGGUUGGUUGAAGCUUCAAGUUAGUGGAACCCUCACUCGGUUAGGAAAUUGAGGAGAGUAGACUUAGGCAAGAAAGUGUCGAACUACUAUAAAAUCUGAGUUUGAAUUUUCUAACUCUAUCUCUUUAUAUUUGCUUCUAUUGUGCUUGAAUUUGUUGUGUUGAAAAAGUUUUUAAAAAAACCCAAUUCACCAUUUCUUAGGUGUUUUCCUCAUUUAAGGUUAGCCUUUAUUUUCUCAAUUGGUAUCAGAGGUAGACCUCUUGUUUAAAACUUAAUCGUCUAAGAGGAAAUCGUUAUUCCAUCAAGCUCAUCUCACAGUGAAAGUUUUGAAAAAAAUAGAGCUUCAUUUUUUACGAGAACCGACUAUCCCUAUUAAAAAACUAAAAUGACUUGGUAUUUACAAUCAACCGAUUUAAAUGUAUGGGACGUCAUUGAAGAUGGCCCAACUUUUUCCUACAAAACUAGUUGAUGGAAUCAUGGUUCCAAAACCCAAACAAGAAUGGAAUGAGCUUGAUAGAAGAAUUUUUCAAUUAAAUGCUAAGGCCAUUUUCACUUUGCAAUGUGCCAUGGAUAGAAAUGAAUAUAAUAUAAUAUGUCAAUGCAAAUUGGCUAAAGAAUUUUGGAGAUUGCUUGAAAUAACUCAUGAAGGAAUAAAUCAAGUGAAAGAGUCAAAAAUCAAUUUACUUGUUCAUAGCUAUGAAUUGUUUUUUAUGAAAGAAAAUGAGACUAUUGUUGAGAUGAUCACUAGGUUCACCGACAUUGUCAAUGGUCUUAAAGCAUUGGGAAAGACCUACAAGGAAUCCGAAAAGGUGAUGAAGAUCUUGAGGUCUCUCCCAUCAAAGUGGCAUGCAAAGGUCACCGCAAUUCAAGCAGUAAAAAACUUGACCAAGAUACCAAUGGAGGAGCUCAUAGGGUCAUUAAUGACAUAUGAGAUCAAUUUGACAAAGAAGCUACAAGAAGGUGAAGACAAAAAGAAGAAGAGCAUAACUCUCAAAGCUACAACUAAAGAAGAAGAAGAUGUUGAAGAAAAAAAACAAAGUGAAGAAGAUGAUGAUUUAACCCUCAUCACAAGAAAGCUCAACAAAUACAUGAGGGGUGAAAGGUUUAGAGGAAGAAGGUUCACCUCUAGAAGAGACCUUUCUAAAAAGGAAUCUUCAUCUCAUAGUGACAAGGAGAAAUGGGAAGAGAAAAGAGAUUUGGCGUGUUUCAAAUGAAAGAAAUUGGGACACAUUAAAUAUGAUUGUCCUCUCUACAAAAGUAAAGCCAAGAGGAGAAUGAAGAAGGCAAUGAUGGCCACUUGGAGUGAAAGUGAAGAAUCCUUCGAAGAAGAAAAUGAGAAAGAAGUGGCAAACAUGUGCUUCAUGGCAAUAGAUGAACUUGAUGAGGUAAACUCUAACUUUAGUGAUGAAGAUAUGCAUGAUGUUUUUGAAGAAUUGUAUGAGGAUUUUGAAAAACUUAGUUUGAAAAAUAUUUCUCUUAAGAAGAAAAUUCAACAACUUGAAAAAGUAAAAGAAAAUUUUUCAAUUGUUGAAAUUUCUAAAACUCAUCUUGAAAAAGAAAAUGAGAUUUUGAGAAAGAAAAAUGAAUGGUUGAUGUCCUCUCUUUCAAUAUUUUCUUGCGGACAAAUUUUUUUUGAAAUGAUUCUAGCUAGCCAAAAAUUUGUUUUUGACAAACAAGGACUAAGAUUCAAAUCUUCAAAAAAUCAAAAGUAUUUUAAAAACUAUUUUAUAAAAGAAUCCACAAGUGCAAGUCCUUCCACUACUUGCAACUUUUGUAGAAGAGGAGGGCAUAUUAGUAGUACAUGUCCUUUGAGAAAUGUUUCUCAAAAGACUUCAAAUGCAAAAGUUAAAAAGGUUUGGAUUGAAAAAUCCAAGGUCACUAACCCUCAAGGACCCAAAAUGAUAUGGGUACCUAAAUCAACUUGAGUUUUAUAUUAUAGGGUUCAAAGAAGGAUAAGUGGUUCUUAGAUAGUGGAUGCUCAAGACACAUGACCGAAGAUGAAUCCAAGUUUACUUUCCUUAAAAAGAAAAAUGGAGGAUAUGUUACCUUUGGAGACAAUGCAAAAGGAAGAAUCAUUGGUCAAGGCAACAUUGGUAAUGACACAUCCUCUCUUAUUGAAAGUGUUUUAUUAGUAGAUGGUUUAAAACAUAACCUUUUAAGCAUUAGUCAACUUUGUGACAAAGGUUUUAAAGUGAUUUUUGAAGCAUCUCAUUGCAUCAUCAAGGAUAUUCAAAAUGAUAAAACCAUCUUCAUGAGUCAUAGAUGUGAUAAUGUUUAUGCUAUAAAUAUUUCAAAAUAUGAUAGUUAUGAUAGAUGUUUUUCAAGCAUGCAUGAUCAAAGUUGCUUGUGGCAUAGGAGGUUGGGACAUGCUAACAUGGACCGCAUUUCCCAACUCAACAAAGAUGAACUUGUUAGAGGCCUUCCCAAAAUAAAUUUUUUAAAAAUCAAAGUUUGUAAAGCUUGUCAAGUGGGAAAGCAAAUCAAAAACUCUUUCAAAAACAAAAAUUUUAUUUUCAUAUCUAGGCCUCUUGAGUUGUUGCAUAUGGAUUUAUUUGGUCCCUCUAGGACUCCAAGUCUUGGAAAAAAAUCUUAUGCAUAUAUUAUUGUGAAUGACUUCUCUAGAUACACAUAGGUCUUGUUUUUAAGUUAAAAGAAUGAAACCUUUUCUGAGUUUUCAAAGUUUUGCAAUAAGGUUCAAAAUGAAAAAGGUUUUACAAUUACUUGUAUAAGAAGUGAUCAUGGAAGAGAAUUUGAAAAUAUUGAUUUUGAAGAAUAUUUCAAUGAGCAUGGAAUUAACCACAAUUUUUCGGCUCCUAGAACUCCCCAGCAAAAUGGGAUAGUUGAAAGGAAAAAUAGAACUCUUCAAGAAAUGGCUAGAACCAUGCUAAAUGAAAACAAUUUACCAAAAUAUUUUUGGGCCGAAGCGGUUAACACUUCUUGUUAUGUUUUAAAUAGAAUAUUAUUGAGGCCCAAUCUUAAGAAAAUUCCUUAUGAGCUUUGGAAAAACGAGAAACUCAACAUUAGCUAUUUCAAAGUCUUUGGGUGCAAAUGUUUUAUAUUAAACAUCAAAGACAAUCUUGGAAAAUUUGAUGCAAAAUCGGAUGUUGGAAUUUUCCUUGGUUACUCAACUUCAAGUAAAGCUUUUAGAGUUUUUAACAAAAUAACCAUGAUUGUAGAGGAGUUCAUCCAUGUUAUUUUUUAUGAAUCUAACCAUUCUCUCCAAGAAACAAAGAGUUUUGAUGAUGAUUUAGGUUUAGAGACCUCCAUGGAAAAAUUACAAAUUGAAGAUAGAAGGCAAUUAGAAGAAAUUAGAGAGGAUCCCAAGAAAGAAGAAUCACCAUUAGCACUACCCCCUCCUCACCAAGUGCAAGGUGAAUCAAGUCAAGACCUUCCUAAAGAUUGGAAGUUUGUCAUCAACCACCCACAAGAUCAAAUUAUAGGUAAUUCAUCUAGUGGGGUAAUAACUAGAUCAUCUCUUAGAAAUAUUUGCAAUAAUCUUGCUUUAGAAAUAAAAUGGAUGAAAAUGGCAUAAAUGUUAGAAAUAAAGCAAGAUUGAUAGCCCAAGGUUUUAAUCAAGAAGAAAAGAUAGAUUAUGAAGAAACCUUUGCCCCGAUAGCUAGGUUGAAAGCCAUUAGGAUGCUACUUGUCUUUGCAUGUUUUAAAGACUUUUCUUUAUAUCAAAUGGAUGUGAAAAGUGUUUUUUUAAAUGGCCUUAUAAAUGAAGUAUAUGUUGAACAACCACCCAGUUUUCAAAGUUUUAACUUUCCUAACCAUGUUUUUAAACUUAAAAAGGCAUUUUAUGGUUUGAAACAAUCACCUAGAGCAUGGUAUGAAAGAUUGAGUAAAUUUCUUUUGAAAAAGGGUUUUAAAAUGGGAAAAAUUAACACAACUCUUUUCAUAAAGACCAAAAAAAAAUGCUCUUAGUUCAAAUAUAUGUUGAUGAUAUUAUUUUUGGAGCUACUGAUGUCUCUCUUUGUGAAGAAUUUUCUAAGUGCAUGCAUAGUGAGUUUGAAAUGAGCAUGAUGGGAGAACUCAACUUCUUCCUUGGACUGCAAAUCAAGCAACUAAAUGAAGGAACCUUCAUCAAUCAAGCAAAGUAUAUAAGAGAUCUUCUCAAAAGGUUCAACAUGGAAGAAGCCAAAACUCCAAUGAGCUCAACGAUCUAGCUUGAUAAGGAUGAGAAAGGUAAAUCCAUUGACUCAACUAUGUAUAGAGGCAUGAUAGGUUCUUUGUUAUAUUUGACCACUAGUAGACCCAAUAUUAUGUAUAGUGUAUGCUUGUGUGAUAGAUUUCAAUCUUGUCCUAAAGAAUCUCAUUUAAGUGUCUUAAAACGAAUUCUUAGAUAUUUGAAAGGGACAAUGGACAUAGGCUUAUGGUAUCCUAAGAGUGAUAACUUUGAAUUAAUUGGAUUUUCGGAUGCCGAUUUUACCAGUUGUAGGGCUAAAUGAAAAAACACUAGUGACACUUGUCAUUUCCUAGGACACUCACUUGUUUCAUGGCAUAGUAAGAACCAAAAUUUGGUAGCUUUGUCAACGGUUGAAGCUAAAUACAUAGCAGCCGGUUUAUGUUGUGCACAAAUUCUUUGGAUGAAACAAACACUUGGUGAUUUUGAUUUAUCUUUUGAGCAUGUUCCUAUUAAAUGUGAUAAUACUAGUGCCAUACAUAUAUAAAAAAAUCUCGUGCAAUACUUUAGGAAUAAGCAUAUAGAGAUUAGACAUCAAUUUCUUAGAGACCAUGCACAAAAGGGUGACAUAACACUUGAAUUUGUAAGCACAAAAAAUUAACUUGUUGAUAUCUUUACAAAACCUCUAAGUGAAGAACAAUUUGUUGACAUUAGAAUACAACUAGGAGUGAUUUCUUUAUGAUCUAAUGAUUGCUUCUUGAUGAAUAUAUCUUCUGAUUGCAUGAAUUUCAUGUCAUAUGCAUCAUAUAGACACAUACUUAGAUAAAUGGUCAAAUUUUGACCAAAAAUCAAAAUUCUCUUGGCAUUGGGCAUAAAAAAUUGGGGAUUUCAACUAAAAAUGGCAGAGUGGGGAUGAGAAAAUGAGAAAAUGCACAAAAUGUGAAAAUUCAAACCCAUUGACCACGUUGACCAGACUGUCGACCGAACCAAGACCGAUCGACCGAUUCGUCAGGACUAGGUAUUUAAAGAGACUCCCGUGCAUUGUUUUCUCCACUGUUCUCCUCCAUUUCUUCAGGGUUUUUCACAUUUCGGCUUCCAGAGAUCAGUUUAAGCAAGGUUUAGAUCGAUUGAAGGCUUUGGAUUGGAUUUUUGGGAGGAUUAGAGGCUAGGGUUUUGGUUUUGGACUACACUUUCUUCCUCUCGCGUACCACAACCAGGGUUUUCUUCCUUUCCGCACGCCUAGGGUUUCGGUUAUGAGUGCUUCUCUCUCUACCAACCUCGUCUCCUUUGUUUCUGUCAUUCUCAUGGCUCCUAGGAGAGAGUUGACUGCCUUUAGGGCACAGGGCAAGCGCCCAGCUGAGCCGUCUCAGCCCCCUCUAUCGAAGGCUCGCCAAUAGGCGAGGUUUGACACCUCUUUAUUCAGCUCCGUGGAAGACUACCAAUGGUACAAGCAAAAGUUUGCUUAGAGGAAAGUAGUUCUAGGGAAAAGUAUCAAUUUCUCCCAACUCCAGCAUUUCGGAUUUAAGGGAUUGUUUGGUAGGAUGGGUUGGCUACCCAUGGUGACGGUUUCGGAGCUGAUUUUUUCGACAUUGGUGCGAGCGUUCUAUUUGAGGACGACAUAUGGCAUUGGUGGCCCGAUUAUUUCCACUAUUAGAGGACUUGAGAUUCAGCUAGACUUGGAAAGCAUCUGCCGUAUUUUCAAUAUUGCUCCAAUUGGACUCAGGGUGUACGAGUCCAAGAUUUGGCCCACUAUGUCGGGUUUUGAGCUUAAAGAGGCCAUUCAAAGAAUGUGCGGACUUGCAGACGCCUAGAGGAUGGGCAAACCAUCGGCCCACAGCUUGACCGUGAUCAAUAGAGUACUACACCACAUGAUUUGCUCUAUCUUGCUACCACGAGGCGGACACAAAGACAAGGUCUCCUAUUAUGAGGAAUUCCUCGUGGACUCUAUUCUAACGGGGAGAUGAAUUCACUUGGGGUAUUUGAUGAUGAUGCACAUGAUCUCAUGUUGCGAGAGCAUGACCCGUGUACUCCCUUAUGGUAGAGUGUUCAAGGAUGUCGGAGUUGAUUGGAGCAAAGAGAUAGAUUUUGAGGCUCCCAACAUAUAUGAUACAUAUGAUGAGCAGUCUUUGGGGAGAAUGAAAUUUGAGAAGGCCCUCGAUGGUUCUUGGAUUAGGAGAGCAAAGAGACCACCAACACAGGCCCGAGGAUAGGGACAGGUACAUCCUGGCGUAAAAAAGGAGGCCAAGAUAUGAGAGAUAAAUGGUGGAGUAGACCCUUAGAGAGGCUUUCAAUAGAUAGAUCUCGAGCUUGACAUUCCUCCACUCCAAUCAGAGGGUGUUUAGUUUGAGGCCAUAUUUUCUGAGCCGAUGAUGUUUGAUCUGACUUACACAGUGGGACCAUCUUCUCAGCUAUCAUUCACUGAGCCUCCUCACAUAAAGAUACCACCUCAUCAGGCACCUCACGGUCCUAAUCAUGCACCUUGGAUGGAUCUAUCUGCUCAAAUUAGCUCUCUCGGCACUCGCAUGAAGGAGCUUGCAGUAGUCAAUGAUACUCGAUUCUACUCCAUGGAGGAUCGCAUGAAUCGAUAUCAGACUGGUUUCACUUCUCAAUUUGAGUAUUUGUAGCAGAGAUUUGAGUGUAUGGAUGAUCACAUGGAUCAACAGUGGGCUGGGUUUGAGCAUCUCCAGCGAAGGAUUGAGUGCAUUGAGAGUCGCCAGAAGAGUCAGCAUAAGGAGAUGAUGGCUUACCUACGCUCCGUGUUUCCACCUCCACUUCCUUAGCCUUGAUUUCAUAGAGACCUCCUUCGUUUCUUUUUUAUAUUGCCAAAAAAGGGAGAGAUAUUUAGGAUCUAGGAGACUUACAUGCAUAUCAUUGUCAUAUCUUUUGUUUGGAUUAUAUAUAUAAUAGGCUUAUAUGUUUCAUGUACAUUUGACUUAUAUAUGAUAUGUUAUAUGUUUCAUGACUUACACUGUUUCAUAUUGAAAAUUUGCAUGUCUUGAUUAUCUUGGUUUUAACUUCAUAAAUUUUGAUUGAUUGAUCCAUGAUUGGUUUGAGAGGGAGAUUUUUCUUCUCCUAGAUAACCAAGGUUUGUCAUCAUAAAAAAAUGGGAGAUUGUUAGCCCAAGGGUUCUCCUAAUUAGGUUUUGAUGAUAACAAACCAUGGUAAAGUUACUAAUUGGAUUGAAUUGUAAAGAAUCUCAAGUAUUAAUUUGGAAAUUUAUCAAAUGACCUAAUGGAUACAAGAUCAAGACGUCUAGAAGACCUUUAAUCAUAGAAAAAAAUUGUAAGAUGAAUACAUGGGUGCACUUAGGUUUUACAUAUCAUUUCAUGCAUCUUUGGAAAACUCAGUUUAUUCUCUAAAGUUACAAUUUCAUUAAAACCCGAGUUUUAUCAAAUGUACCUUAAGCAAAACAUUUCAAAAUUGGCAUAUUAAUUUACCUAAAGACCUUACCUAAGUGUUAGAAAAGAAAAGAACAUAAAAAGAUAGGUUUUCGGGGCCCAAAGGUUGAACCGGUUGAAGAACUAGGCCAACAGGCUAAGGUAUUGGUCGAUCGGUUACCCUUGCCCGGUCGAGGUCCGAUUGAGGAGUGCUAAAAAAAUUCUCUCUCAUCCAAUAGUCUUCCCUUCCUAGUCGAGGUAUCCUCAUUCCCGAUUGACCUUCGAUCGAGGUCCGGUUAAAGCAACAGUAACCUACCAAAGUAUUAAAUGCUCCAACGGUUAGUGAACCGGUCGACCCCCAACUCAACCGAUUGAGGCAGCUUUUUGUUUUUCUUGGCUCCUGAGGUUAGACACCUAUAAAUUGAGAGCUUCACUUCAUUUAUGACAUAGAGAACACUUGCAUUUAAUUAUCUACCCACUUGUUCUUGCCUUAAAAGCUCUCAUUUCUUUCUUGGUGCAUUAAAUCUUCACUUGCAUAUCUUUUAGUGCACCCUUGUGAGUCAUCCUAGCUUUGAUUUGUAUUUGAGCCAUUAUUGAGCUAGGUUGACAGAAGAACAUCUUUGUAAAUUGAGUGUUAGAGCGUUCAAGUGAGUUGAAUCUUGAAGAGAUUGUGUAAGAGCCCAUUAGAGUCGGGAUCCAAGUGUAAAAGAGAUUAGAAGCUUGGUUGAAGCUUCAAGUUAGUGGAACUCUUGCUCGGUUAGGAGAUUGAGGAGAGUGGAUGUAGGCAAGGAAGUGUCAAACCACUAUAAAAUCUGAGUUUGAAUUCUCUAACUUUAUCUCUUUAUAUUUGCUUCUAUUGUGCUUGAAUUUGUUGUGUUGAAAAAGUUUUUAAAAAACCCAAUUCACCCUUCUCUUGGGUAUUUUUCUCAUUUAAGAUUAGCCUUUAUUUUCUCAAAUAUUAUAAAAAAAAUUAAAGUAAAUUACUUUUGAAAUUUUGUUAUUUUUUACAUUUACAAUUUAGAUUUUAAUACAAAGAAGACUAAUAGUACAUUUUAUUGAGGAUGAAAUAUUUUCGUCUCCAAUAUUGAGUUUUUACAACAAAAAAAUUUCUUCUCUAAUAAAUUUCUUUAUUCCUCCUUCUAAUGGUAUUAGGACAAUAAUUUUGUCCCUCGUUGUGAGGUUUUUCCUCUCCAAAACUAUUUAACAACAAAAUAAUUUUUAUUGCCCAUUAUUUACCUUUUGGGACAACAUUAAGUUUUCAUCUCCUAAUACAUUUUCUACCAUGAAAUAUUUUGUUAUUAAAAUUUAUGAUGUCGUCAAAAAUAAUUUGGCCUCAUUUCACACUCAAUUAAAAUUUUAGACACAAAUUUUUGUAACAAAAUCAAAUUUUGUUUCCCAAAAUCAUAUUUGGAGACAAAAUUAUAUUCAUGUCCAAAAAAAUUGUGCCAAAAGGUAGAAUUUCUUGUAGUGCCUUUACUUAUUAGAUGAACGAUAAAAAAAUUUCCUUUAUCAUUCUCUCUCUCUCUCUUUAACAUGUAAGCUAAAUAAAUAAAUAAAUAAAUAAACAAGAAUACAUUUCUUCAAAGAAUUUUACCUUAAAUUUUACUCUAUAGAGAAUAAAAAUUGUCAAUGGUAAAAUCAAUCUCAACAUUUAUCUCUUUGUUCUUCUCUUUUUUAUUUCUUCAUCUAUCUUUCUAGGGAUUUUCUAUCAUCUUCAGAUUCUUCAGACUUAUAUAUAUUUAAAACUAAAACUCCCCAAACUUGGUUUAAAAUUUGUAACUCCCCAAUCAUGGUUUAAAAUUGUAACUUUUUUAUUUUUUUAUUUUGUUUUUAAUAAUGUAUCCUUAUCUUUAUCCUUAUUAUUAUUAUUCUAUGAACUAAAUUAGGAAUUUUAGACUAUCCACUCUUUAAAUUAGGAAUAUUAUUUAAACCUAUUUUAACCUAACAAAAAUUUUAUAUCAAUUGGUACUAAUUUAUUCCUACAAUAAUUAAAUUUAAAUGUAAGAAUUUAUUCUUUUUUUCUUCAUACAUUAUUGAGUACUAAAUUAAUAUAUAUAUAUAUAUAUAUAUAAUUUUUUUUAUAUUGUACAUUGCAUAUUUUAUUUUUCCUAUUUUCCUUUAUUAUUCAUGUUUUAUUCACAUCAAAUAUCCAUUUUGCACUACAUUUUUUUAUUGAACAACUAAAAUAAUUUUUUUUUAUGUAUUUAUCUUUAUAUUUUUCUUGGAAACCUUACUUCUUAAAUCUAUAGAAUUUUUCAUCAAACUAAAUAUAGUUUUUUAUUUUAGAAUUAUAUUGUAUAUAAAUUUCUUUCAAAUAACAAUAAAAACUCUCAAACUCACAAAGACCUUGUUUUUGUCUAGGGUUAUAUUAGAGAAAACAUUCAUCAUACUACUAUUAAUUUUUUUUUCUUUUCUUACUUCCUAAACCUUUACUUAUUAGAUGAACGAUAAAAAUUUCUCCUUCUCGUUCUCUCUCUGUCUCUCUUCAACAUGUAAGUUAAAUAUAUAUAUAUAAAAGAAUACAUUUCUUCAAAGACUUACCUUAAAUUUUACUCUAUAGAAAAUAAAAAUAAUCAAUGGUAAAAUCAAUCUCAACAUUUAUCUUUUUGUUCUUCUCUUUUUUAUUUCUUCACCUAUCCCUCUAGGGGUUUUCUAUCAUCUCUAGAUUCUUUAGAUUUGUUAUAUAUAUAUAUAUUUAAAACCGAAACUCUCCUAACUUGGUUUAAAAUUUGUAACUCCCCAAUUGUGGUUUAAAAUUGUAGCUUUUUUUUAUUUUUUAUUUUGUUUUCAAUAAUGUAUCCUUAUCUUUAUCCUUAUUAUUAUUAUUAUUAUUAUUAUUAUUAUUAUUAUUAUUAUUAUUAUUAUUAUUAUUAUUAUUAUUCUAUGAACUAAAUUAGGAAUAUUAAACUAUCCCCUUUUUAAAAAAAAGUUUAGUCUUCUAAACUUAGCAUACUUGAAAUUAGAAAAAAAAAAUGUGAAAACUUUUCCCUCAUCUCAUCUUCAAGUCCCCAAAUCACCUCUCAUUUAGAGUUAUUACUCCAUUGAACUUUGACUAAUUUGAUUGUUACAAGAAGAAACAUCUUAUCCAUCAUGUCAACAAUCUGAAUUGGAACUUCCUCAUAAGAUAGAUUUUAUGCUAAAUGAAUCGGUUAAAGUUCCACAACAUGUGAAGGAUCAUAAACAUACUUUUUUAAUGCUGAUACGUGAAACACAUUAGGAACCUUUUCCAAACUUGGGGGUAAAGCCACCCUUUAUGCUAAGGUGCUAACUUUAUCCAAAAUUUCAAAUGGUCCCACAAACCUAGGACUAAGUUUUCUUUUCAAACAAAAUCUCAUAACCAACUUAAGAGGUGAUACUAUGAGAAACACAUGAUCACCAACCUAGAACUCUAAAUUUCACCUUCUAUUAUCAAUAUAGCUAUUUUGUAUACUCUGAGCUAUUUUUAAUCUUUCUCUUAUUAAAGCAAUUUUUUUAUAAGUUUCUUGAACUAAUUCUGGUUCCAAAAAUUUUAUCUCACCAACCUCAUCCCAAUAAACAAAGGACCUACACUUUCGACCAAACAAAGCUUCAAAAGGUGGCUUCCUACUUUGAAAACUAUUGUUGUAGGCAAACCCCACUAAGAGUAGAUGGUUGUCCCGAUUACCUCCAAAAUCUAAAAUACAUGCCCAAAUCAUAUCUUCCAAAAUUUGAAUUACCCUUUCUGAUUGUCCAUUGGAUUGAGGAUGAAAGGUUGUACUAAAAUUUAGCAGAGUUACCAUAGCUUUUUGCAACCUCUUCUAAAAUUGGGAAGUAAAACGGGCGUCUCAAUUUGAUACUAUAGAUAUUGGAAAUCCAUACAUCCUCACAAUCUCCUUAACAUACAACAAGGCUAAUUUGUCCAAGGACCAAGUAGUUUGAAUGGGUAAAAAGUGGGUUAAUUUAGUUAGUUUAUAAACAAUCACCCACACAACAUUACUUCCCACCACAAAUUUGGGAAAGCUAAAAACAAAAUCCAUUGUAAUGUGUUCCCACUUCUAAUUAGGAAUGAGAAGUGGUUUCAACAUACCUAAUAGACGUUGAUACUCGGUUUUGACCUACUAACAAGUCAAGAAUUGGGUAAUAUAUUAAGCGACACCACGCUUCAAACUAGGUCACCAGUAAAGUUAUCUCAAAUCCUGUUACAUUUUGGUCUCAUUGGGGUAGACUACAAACUUAGAGGAGUGAGCUUCCUUUAAAAGCUUUUUCAUGAGAUUUCCAACUUAGGUCACAUACAUACAAACAAAUUCUAAAUCUCAAUAUUCCAUCAUCUAGAAGUACAAAGUAAAACUUAGUUCCCCUUCCUAUAUAUAAUUUGAACGACCUGUAGAUCAUCUAUUUGUAAGGACUUGAUCAUCUCAAACAAAUUUAGUUGAACCUUAAGAUGAGCAAAUAAUACUCCAAACUAUAAAACUUCAAAUUAAACUAGUAGUCUAUUCAAUUCGAAUAACAUAUAUGGUUUUCUAACCCUCAAGGCUACUAAAGAACCAAAAGACUUCUUACUUAAAGCAUUUACUACUAUAUUCGCAUCACCAUAAUGAUAUAGAAUAAAGCGGUUAUAGUUCUUGAGGAGUUCAAGCCACUUUCUCUAUCUCAUAUUCAAUUCUUUUUUAGAAAACAAACACUUUAAUCUUUUAUAAUUAGUGUAGAUCUCACAUGUCUCACCAUACAAAUAGUGUCUCCAUAUCUUAAGAGCAAAAAUCACUAUUGCUAAUUCCAAAUCAUGAGUAGGAUAGUUUCACUCAUAAGGUUUCAAUUACCUAGAAGGAUAAUUGAUGACUUUCCCCUCCUGCAUGAGAACACAACCAAGCCCUUAAUGUGAAACAUCACUAUAAAUAACAUAACCCAUCGAACUUGAGGGGACUGUUAACAUUAGAGUAGUUACCAAUCUAUUCUUCAACCCUUGGAAGCUUUUCUCACAACCAUUAGACCACAAAAAUUUGACCCUCUUUUUAGUAAGCUUUGUUAAAGGUUCUUAGAGAUUCCCUUUGAAAUGUUUGUAAUAACCACCUAAACCUAGGGGACUCCUAACCUUAGUUACCGAGUUAGGCUUGCUCCAACUAAGUCUACCGAUAUUCCCUCCUUGGAGAUUACAUGGCUAAGAAAUAAAACUCUAUCCAACCAAAAUUCACAUUUCUUAAGCUUAAAAAAAAAAAAAAAAAAAGUUGAUCUAGGUUUAGGAAGUAAGAAAAAUAAUAAUAAUAAUAAUAAUAAAUAGUAGUACGAUGAAUUUUUUUCUCUAAUUUAACCCUAGACAAAAACAAAGUCUUCAUGAGUGUGAGAGUUUUUAUUAUUAUUUGAAAGAAAUUUAUAUAUAAUACAAUUCUAAAAUAAAAAAUCAGUAUUUAGUUUGAAGAAAAAUUCUAUAGAUUUAAGAAGUAAGGUUUCCAAGAAAAAUAUAAAGAUAAAUACAUUUAAAAAAAAUCAUUUUAGUUGUUCAAUGAUAUUCGAUGUGAAUAAAACAUGAAUAAUAAAGGAAAAUAGGAAAAAUAAAAUAUGUAAUGUACAAUAGAAAAAAAAACAUUAAUUAGGAUAAUUAUAUAUAUAUAUAUAUAUAUUAAUUUAGUACUCAAUAAUGUAUGAAGAAAUAAAGAAUAAAUUCUUACAUUUAAAUUUAAUUAUUAUAAGAAUAAAUUGGUACCAAGUGAUAUAAAAUUUCUAUUAGGUUAAAAUAGGUUUAUAUUAAUAAGAUUUAUUUUAUUUUUUUAGGUAAAUCCUAAGUUUAAUCAACUUCCUUGCCGAGUUCAACUUUUACUAGGUAAGGAAUUAUGACCCUUAAAUAUUUUCUAAAGUAUUAUUUUUCUAAAAGGGUAGGAAAAUAUUUUACUAUAUGAAGAAUAUUUUAUAUUGUGAAAAAUAUUACUAUUAUUAUAUAUUCUGAUAUCUGGCCCUAGUCAAUAGGGGUUGUGUUGUUGACCCUCAUUACUUAAUUGUAUAAGGAUUGGAAAACCUAGUCAAUGGGAUAGUCACUAACCCUCAUUACUUAAGUGUAUGAGGAUUGAAAAACCUAGUUAGUGGGAUAAUCACUAGUCUGAUGGUACCAUAUGAUUGGUUAGUCCCUUCUGAAUUGAAGGAUCAUCUGUUUCUAAAGAUCCCAUUAGUUUGGGAAAAUAAUUUUUUUUAUACCUAUAUGUUUGAAGAUUAUAUUAUGUUAUGUCACUUUCUUUUUUUACAUAUAAAAUAAAUCGUUAGUAUAUUCCUUAUUGAGCUAAAGCUUACUACUUUUGCUUUUCAAAACCCCUUUUAGGUUCCCCAAAUGUAGAUGGAAAUGAGUGACAUUGAAUAUAGGACGGGUUCUUGUUAGUUAAGUUUAUGGUAGGCCUUAAAGCCUUUGUUUAGACAUGAUGAUUUGGACCAUGUGUUAUGUUUUAAUUAUCAAGUUAAUUUGAACAAAAUUAGUAUUUCAUAAUUAUGUGAAUCAUGAAACUUCUAUCUUAGAAAAAUAAUUUUAACUCUAUGAACUCACUCUUAAGGGGAAUGUAUGAAUUUUGUUCUUUUUUAUUAUUUAAUCAUUUUUGCAUAUUUUGCCUUUAUGUUGGACAUCCAAAAUUUACAAGGUUAGCCCUAGCCUCAGGACAUAAGGUGUUACACUAUAUAUAUAUAUAAAAUGAUUUGAAAUAAUGUAAUUUAAAUAUGAUUUGAAAUAAUGUAAUUUAAAUAUGAUUUGAAAUAGAUUGCAAUAAUGUAAUUCAAAUAGGUCUAUUAUAAUAGUAAUUUAAUUUUUUUUUUCCUUUUUUUAAUCUUUGGAUCAUAACAUUUGAUAAACCUUUUGGUUUUGGCCAAAAUUUAACAUUUUAAAAAAUAAUUAUUGGUUUUUGUUAUUAAAUAGAAUUGAAAAAAAAUGGACAUCAUUGUUAUAAACUGAAUUGAAUGAUUUCUUUCAAUUAAUUCAACUUUUAAUAGAUGAGAAUUCAUUACAUGGAUUCAAUCGUAUACACCCUAAAGUUGACAGCAAAUUUAUGGGAAGGAUAAAAGGAAUGAAGACUUAUAAUUUUAUAUUUUGAUAUAGCAUUCGACACAAGAAAAGUAUUCAAGAACAAAAGUGUUUGUUUUUUCAACUUGCUUUCAAACCUUAAGUAGUUUGUUUUUUUACUUUUUCUUGAUUUAUUACUUAUUUUUUUUAAAAAUUGAUUAAAUAGAAAAAAAUAAAAUAUUUGAUUUUUUUUAAUACUAAAAAUAGUUAAACGUAAUAUCAUAAUUACAGGGAACCUGUUGAAUUUUAUUUUAUUUUUUUUGUUACUUUUUAACACUUAAUAGAAAUACAAUAUUAAAAAAUAAACUAGCUUAAUACUUAAGGCUAUCAAGCAAUAUUUAGUUUUAAAUUCCAUUUAGAAUUAAGUGAAAGAAAACAAAUACUGCCUAUGUUUUAAGUAUAGCAUGUGUUUUAAAAAAAUUUCAAACUCAUCCCUAACCUAUUUAUUUAAAUUCUAAUCCCGCCUUCAUCUCUACUAGUACAUAUUAAAAUGUGGGUUCCACACAAAUAAAUUAACGUGGUGGCCGUGUUGGAGACAUGCUUAGAAUAUGAUACAAUGGGAGUAUGAGAAUAUAUACAAAACAUAGAAGCAUAUAAAACAUAUAAAUAAAUGUAUGAAAUCAUAAGAAAUUGGGUGCAGCAUAUAAAAACAUAUUGCUUUAAGAAUUCUGGUGUGCUGAAAAUAAAGUUUGGUGGGCUAUGACUGCAAUCCUUAGGAUCGUAAGAUAUCAUGCUUAUGCUUUUGUGUGUGUUAAUAUAAUGGCUAGUGACAUCUAAAAACCAAAGCACAAUGUUUCAUGUGCUGAGCAUGCAUUGUGCCUUUGUGAUAACAGGUACUUUGAUUACAAGAUUAUAGGAUUUCUAAUCUCAGUGCUUGCAACUUGGGGUGCAAUAUGUGCCUACUAGAAGGGAAGAAGAAGAAUCACUUUUGCUAGAAGGCAUAGAAAAGCAAGGACCUUAUUUAACUUUGUACGGUACAAUGCCUAUCAUAGAGUUGCCCUGCGAUAUCAUCAGAAUUCAACCUUUUUUCCUUUUCUAUGUACAAACCUUUCCAUCUUCAAAGAUUUCCUCUAUAGAUCACAUCCACACAUUUUCAUUCCACACAUUCUCAUUCAGUUUUUUAUGCCCAAAUUUGUAUGUUCUGCUGGGAUUGCAGUUGAAGUUAUUGUCACCCCCAAAGCCAUACUUGGUGCGGUACCCUGUGUAGUCCCUAAAAUUAAAGGGCACUUCUUCUAUAAGUCGAAGCCCAACUCUUGAGGCUAGAAAUUUCAAAUUCCACUCACGAAAGAAGCCAUUGCUUUUGUGAGUAAUGUGGAUUUCUCCAUCUAUGUGAAUCAACUUCUUAGCAUUUUCUAAAAACAGCUGUACCAGCAGUUGAUUUCGCCUGCAAGAAGAAACAAUGAUAUAGAAGGAAAAUUUUCAUGUAAGAAUUGGGAAUACAGGCUAUACAUAAAUUCAAUUCAUAGGAGCUUUUCAAAGAAAGAAUCUACCAACCAGAUCACAGGGAAAAAAUCCAGCGAAUGGGAAGUUGUAAACAACUCGAUCAAAACUCAUGCAUUUGAAUGGGAAAACGUUUGCCAUUUUGGUGGCAUCAACAUCAUGCAUGACCUUAGCUCCCAAGCUCCGUAGUGUAUCGAUGUUGGACAAGGCAUGCCUAUAGUUUGUGCUCAAAAACUCAGAAAAUUGCAGUUGAUAGUCGUCAAUUAAGGCCAUAAGACAAACCCCAAAUGGGUGCUGGGGCACAUGCUAAUCAAGGUUUACUCGGGACUAGAAUGAGAAAAUACCCAAAUCAAUCAAAAUCAUGACAUUCAUGAGAAACACUCAAAGAAGAUUACCAACUUAUGAUUCAGGAUUUCUUAUUUGUUACCUAUAGAAUCAUGAGAAGUAGCGGUUAUGUUUGUAGCAGAAGCAAAAGCCACAGCCAAAGACGCAGAGAAUGAGAAGUCCCCUUCACCCAGCAGCAAUAUUUUGUACUCACUGCUGUAGUGCUUUAUCCAUCUUACUCCAAGCUUUCCUUCCUCUACGUCUUCUUCACAGCUGCUGUAGUCCCACCAAUUUUUUCCUACCGCUCCUCUGGUUCGUUCUUCGUUUUCUUCAAUUAUGUCGUAAUGGUGGAGCCGUGCAGAAACUUGCUUCUCAUCACCUACAACUUGGACUUUAAAUUUUGCAGGAAUUAACAGAUCCAAUGCAUCAUCAGACCUGGAAUUGCUGCGUGAGUCCAAGCUCAGUGGAAAACCCAGAGAGUUUCGCUGCGAUGCACCAUUGAUGCCUGAGUUGCUGCUUGGGACAGAGCUCAGUGGAAGAGUCACUGGAUUUGGCUGGAAAUGGGAUGCACCACUCACGCUAGAGUGGCUGCAGGAGCUAGAGAGUAGUGAAGAAUGAGUCUGUAUCUUUGGCUGAGCAUGAGAAGUACCACUUGGCCUGGAUAGGCCACACGAGUUGGAGCUGAGUGGCUGAGGAGUCUGCACUGGUUUUGGGUAAAAAUAGGUUGUGCUGGAUUGGCUGCAUGAGCUAGAACUUAGCUGUUGGUGAGUCUCUAGUUUUGGUUGGACAGGGGAUGAUACAGUCGUGCUGGAGAGGCCACAUGAGCUCAAGUUGAGUGGCUGAUGAGUGUGCACUAGUUUUGGGUAAAAAUGGGUUGUGCUGGAUUGGCUGCAUGAGCUAGAACUCAGUUGUUGGUGAAUCUCUAGUUUUGGCUGGAGAGGCCACAUGAGCUCAAGUUGAGUGGCUGAUGAGUCUGCACUAGUUUUGGGUAAAAAUGGGUUGUGCUGGAUUGGCUGCAUGAGCUAGAACUCAGUUGUUGGGGAGUCUCUAGUUUUGGCUGGACAGGGGAUGAUACAGUCGUGCUGGAGAGGCCACAUGAGCUCAAGUUGAGUGGCUGAUGAGUCUGCACUAGUUUUGGGUAAAAAUGGUUUGUGCUGGAUUGGCUUCAUGAGCUAGAACUCAGUUGUUGGGGAGUCUCUAGUUUUGGCUGGACAGGGGAUGAUACAGUCGCGAUAGAGAAGCCACAUGAGCUCGAGUUUAGUUGAUGAUGAGUCUGUAGUGUUGGCUGAAGACGUGAUGCACUACUUGUUUUGGAGUGGCUGAAUGGGCUGGAGCUAGAGUUAGAGCUAGAGCUCACUGGAGGCGGAGGAUGAGUCCGUAGAUUUGUCUGCAAUGCGUAGUCCCUACAUGAUUCUAAGCUCGGUGGAGAAGUAAAUGGAUUCGGUGGCAACGCAGGCCUUGAGCUUGAAGAAUUGGUGUCUGAGGCAAAUCUCGGCGGAGAAAUCAGGGGUAGUUUUUCACUUGGCUUCUUUUUAUCAUCUUUUUCACCCCACAACCAGCGAAUAAUAACGGAGAGGAUUUGACCCAUUGAAUCACCCGUCCCCCCCUUCUUUUUCUUCUUCCUUCAUCAAGGAGCCUGUAAACAUAGAAAUGUCCCUUGUCAUGAAAACCAUGCGGGCGUGCACUGCAAUGUCAAUGGACUUGACACAGGUCCCACCAACAUUGCAUUAAAUUUUCCUUCUCGGACAAGUAAGAUAAGGAAUGCCUCUGCCACACACUGUUGAGAAAUAUAAGAAGAUAUUACCCACAAAGCCUAUCAUGUUAACAUUCAAGUCAUCCCACAUCGGAAUAAGAGAGAGGCUUUUCGGUCUCACCCCAUAGGGGUUCCCUCAUAAAAAGGGCUUUACAUAUCAGACCGAGACAUUAAUAGUGGGAUUCUUUUUCUUUUCAAAUCAAUAUGACUCAAAUGCAACAUUCAUUGUAUUCGGGAUUCAAAUUGUGCUGGGUUGUGCUGGAUUGGCUGCAUGAGCUAGAACUCAUUUGUUGGUGAGUCUCUAGUUUUGGCUGGACAGGGGAUGAUACAGUCGCGAUAGAGAGGCCACAUGAGCUCGAGUUGAGUUGAUUAUGAGUCUGUAGUGUUGGCUGAAGACGUGAUGCACCACUUGUUUUGGAGUGGGUGAAUGGGUUAGAGCUAGAGCUAGAGUUAGAGCUAGAGCUCAGUGGAGGCGUAGGAUGAGUCCGUAGAUUUGUCUGCAAUGUGUAGUCCCUACAUGAUCCUAAACUCGGUGGAGAAGUAAUUGGAUUUGGUUGCAACGCAGGCCUUGAGAUUGAAGAGUUGGUGUCUGAGCCCAAUCUCGGUGGAGAAAUCAGGGGUAGUUUUUCACUUGGCUUCUUUUUAUUAUCUUUUUCACCCCACAACCAGCGAAUAAUAAUGGAGAGAAUUUGAUCCAUUGAAUCACCCGUCCCCCUUAUUUUUCUUCUUUUUCUUCUUCUUCUUCAUCUAGGAGCCUGUAAACAUAGAAAUGUCCCUUGUCAUGAAAACCAUGCGGGCGUGCACUGCAAUGUCAAUGGACUUGACACAGGUCCCACCAACAUUGCAUUAAAUUUUCCUUCUCGGACAAGUAAGAUAAGGAAUGCCUCUGCCACAUACUGUUGAGAAAUAUAAGAAGAUAUUACCCACAAAGCCUAUCAUGUUAACAUUCAAGUCAUCCCACAUCCUAAUAAGAGAGAGGCUUUUCGGUCUCACCCCAUAGGGGUUCCCUCAUAAAAAGGGCUUUACCAACUAUUUUUCUUUUUAUUAUUAUAUUUUAAAAGUAUCGCUGCAGUAUCAUUUCAUAACAUAUUAAAUCAGGUGUCAUUUCAUAUCAAAUCAUUGUAGCCUGCUUGACUACUCCAAUUCCCAAGCCUUUCUCCUCCUUUUUGAAUGUUGAUUCCAUCAAUGUCUAGUUUCUAGUGAUGUAGGGUUGUGUGAGUCUUUCUCUGCCAUAUCAGACCGAGACAUUAAUAGUGGGAUUCUUUUUUUCUUUUCAAAUCAAUAUGACUCAAAUGCAACAUUCAUUGUAUUCGGGAUUCAAAUUGUCAACAAAUGAACCAAAAAUCAUCUUCACAGCCAAAUCUACAACUACUAAACAUCUUUUCCCUGUAAAACUAGUAAAAUUUUCAUCCAGACAUGUUGAUUAACUAUAGAAGAACAUGCUUCUGCAUUCAUCCCCAUCUAAGUUCAGCAUUUUAGCAGAAACUCAAUAUGAAAAAACAGAAUGACAGAAAGGGUAAAAGGGCGCCAAUAUCAAUACCAUGAAUGCAGAUGAGCUUGUGGAUGAUGAGAGCUUUGUUGAGACCAGAGAUCAAAGCUCCCAAAUCAGAGUUUUCCCACAAAGAUCGGACGAGAUCAAACACUAGUGAUGCUUGGCUUGCAGGAGAUCCAUCAGUGUUGGGUGUGAGAGAUGAGAGUUGUGCUGAGAGUGAAGGGGGAGCAAUAUCAGAAGGUAAAGAAGUUUCCCAUGAUUCGUACGUCCAAAGACUUGGUUGGACUUGGCCAUUUUUACGCUACGUGGAGGCACUCUAUUCAGAUUAAUAAAGUGAUAAAAGAAAAAAAUUAGGAAAGAAGUCCAUUGCAUCAAAGAAUUUGAUACCCAAAGUCAUGGAAGUAAUUAAAACAGAUUGAUGAUGAUGAUGGUUGUACCAAACAGCAUUUGAUACCCAACCCACCAAUCAUAAAAUUCAGUGACAUGGGAGUGUAUAAAGCAAAAUAAGAUAUACUAAAGUUAUUUUAAAAUACUUUAUAUUUCCAAAUAAUCUUUUAUUUGGGGAAAUGAAAACAAAGUUGAAGAUUUAUUCUAAAACAAUUUAUUCAUUUUAAGAUUUUUUUUUAAAAUUUUCUUUCACUUGGUAAAUAUUUCAUAAUUUUAAAAAUUAUUAUAUUAUUUAAUUUAUAUUAUUUUAAUACUUAUCAUUAUAAAAAUAAGUAUGCACUUAAAUAUUUAUAAAAAUAAACAUUAUAUAUUUUUUGUAAAAAUUUUCGUAAAGCUUACAAUUGGUCUAGUAGUAGCAAUCUCUUUUUUUUAUUGCUACCUUUUAGGUUUGAUUUCUCAUACUCCUCUUUUCUACAUAUACCUAUCCCACAUUGAAAACUUAUACAAGCAUUUCCUCCCAUAAAUUACAUAUAAUGUGACCCAUCAAAAUAAUUUUGCCAAAGGACACAUAGAGAUGCAUUGGUUAGAGCUCUUAGCCAGAUUAGAGUUGAUACUGCUACCACCCUAGAGGGGCUGAUUCACUUUCUGACAGCUGAUAAGGCUACGUGCAUUGUGUUUUCCGACGAUAACUUGCCACUAGAAGGGUCGAGACACAUUCACCCUUUGUAUAUCAGUGUUGCAUGUUCAGGCCAUCGAGUGCCGACAAUCCUGCUAGACAACGACUCUGCCUUAAACGUUUGUCCUUUGGCUACAACUAUUGCUCUUGGCUUUUCUUCAUCUGAUUUUGGGUCAUUUACACAAACCAUCAGAGCUUAUGAUGGGACUCAGAGGACAGUUAUGGGUACUCUCACUACACACGUUAUGAUUGGGUCAGUUAGAUACUCAGUACUCUUCCAGGUUCUAAGGAUUCGGUCAUCAUUUAACCUACUUCUUGGUCGUCCUUGGAUUCAUAAGGCUGGUGCCAUAUCAUCUUCCAUUCAUCAAAAGGUGAAGUUCAUACAUGAGGGUCGCAUUAUCACAAUACAGUUUGACCGGGAUGUUGUCACUUCUUCUGAGCCAGUAUUACAGAUUAGUCACAGUGAGGAUGACUUGCAUUUGACCGGGUUUUCUUUUGAUGAGGUAUAGGUUGUUAGUUUAGAGGAUGACAGCAGAGAUAUGAUGUCUAUGUCAUUCGACUAGUAUAGUAGCACUAUGGUGCUUAGCAUGAUGAGAGGCAUGUUUUACCUGCCCGACUUGGGAUUGGGUCGCUGCCAGUAGGGCCCACACGAGUUUACUUUCACUAUUGAUCAUGACAUACCUUAUGGGUUAGGUUACACUCCUAUGGAGAAGGAUGCACGUUACAUGGCGCGACUGUGCAAGGACAGAGUAAGGGCCCGCUUAUCUGGGGUUCCAUUUUAUUACCCCCUUCGCCCGUACACCUUUCAGUUGACUGAUUACUUUGUCAGAGGUUCAGAUCAUGCACCCCACGUGGAGGGGAUCGUUUGUAUUUUAGAGGUUGUUAAGGUUCAGGACCUCCAAUGGACCUUAGGGUAGAGGCAUUUGGGUGUCGGGAUCCCUGAGACACCUGAUGUUAUGAUAGUUGUACCCCUGUCGCCCGACCGAGCCAACAUGUUCUCUAUAUGCUUCCCGAAGGCAGUUUUUUUAUUAUGAUAUACUUAUGGAUACUGUGAUUGAUGCUGAUGGAGUGACUCUACCUGAUGCUUGUACCGAUGAGAUGGACAUGAUAAGGGUAGGCCGUAUUCUCGAUGCAGUCCCACAUGGUCCCCACUUUAAUUUCGAUUUGUUCGGAGUUUCUGUGAUUGACACUAAUGAUGUCACUCUUUAUGAUUCUUUCACAGACGAGAUGGAUAUGAUUGGUACUAGUCGUAUUCUGAAUGCAGCCCCGCAUGGGCCUCGUUCUGCUUUGGAUAUGUUUGGGGCUUUUAUGCUUGAGAUAGAUGAUGAUGACUUUGUUACUGUUGUUACUCCUGAUGUUAUCACUGUUGAGGGAGCAUCCGAUUCUGUAGACCCACCUCUUUCUUUUGACACUAUGUCCGAGUUUGUCACCCGCUUUGAUGAUGUGGCUGGUGGAAAUAAUAAUGAUAUGAGUGUUUUUGAGUAUUCACCUGUGUCACUACAUUUUCCUUUGAUUGUACCACCGACACCCACAACAUAUAUACAUGAUGUUGAUGAUGUGAGAGGCCCAGAUGGCCUAUUGAGUGAUCAGUCGGAUUUUGAUUCAGAUUCAAAGGAAAGAAAAGAAACACCAGUUUUAGGUAGCACUGAGUUGGUAGAUUUCAGGACCCUUGAUCAACCCAAGGAGCUGAAGAUUAGCACCUUCUUAUCUCCUGACGAGAGAAGUAUACUGAUUGACCUACUUAGGUCAUACUUGGAUGUAUUUGCAUGGUCAUAUGAGGACAUGUUAGGCGUUGAUCCCUCUAUAGUCUAGCAUCGCUUGCCCAUCCUGCCAUAUGCUAGACCAAUUAAGUAUAAAUUAAGGAGAUUACACCCUCGAUAGAGUUUGCAGGUUAAGAAAGAGAUUCAUAAACAACUUAAUGCUGGUUUCCUGUCAGUGGUCGAAUAUCCUGAGUGGCUGGCUAAUGUCGUCCCUGUUCCUAAAAAGGACAGCAAGGUUAGGGUUUGUGUCGAUUAUAGGGAUCUUAACAAGGCCAGUCCUAAGGAUGAUUUUUCCCUUCCACACAUUGAUAUGUUGGUUGAUAGCACUGUAGGGCAUUCUAUGUUAUCAUUUAUGGAUGGGUUUUGUAGGUAUAAUCAGAUUUUGAUGGCUCUAGCGGAUAUCGAGAAGACUUCUUUCAUCACUGAGUGGGGUACUUACUGCUAUCGGGUUGAAGAAUGCGGGAUCCACUUAUCAGAGAGUUGCUACUACUUUAUUCCAUGACAUGAUGAACAGAGACAUCGAGGUAUAUGUGGAUGACAUGAUAGUGAAGUCCUGAGACAGGGCAGAUCACUUAGCAGCACUACAGAGAUUCUUUGAGAAGAUCCGACAGUUCAGGCUGAGAUUGAAUCCCAAGAAGUGUACUUUUGGGGUGACUUUUGGGAAAUUGGUAGGACACAUCGUCAGUGAGCAUGGUAUAUAGGUUGAUCCCGAAAAGAUCAAAGUCAUACUUGACAUGCCUACUCCGAGGACUGAGAGAGAGAUUAGAGGCUUUCUUGGCAGACUAUAGUAUAUCAGUCGUUUCAUUGCUAGAUUGACAAACAUAUGCGAGCCUAUCUUUCGUCUUCUGAGGAAGAACCAACCUACAGUUUGGAAUGAUGAUUGCCAGCGUGCUUUCGAGAAGAUUAAGGAGUGUCUCCUUUCUCCUCCAGUUUUAGUGCCUCUCACACCGGGGCGGUCUCUGCUUCUGUACUUGUCAAUUCCAGACAUGGCUUUGGAAUGCAUGUUAGCUCAGCUCGAUGAUUCAGGGAAGGAGCAAACCAUUUAUCAUUUGAGUAAGAGAAUGUUGGAGUAUGAGUGCAGAUACAUUAUGAUUAAGCGCCUUUGUUUAUCAUUGGUUUGGGCUACUAGGAGGCUGAGGCACUAUGUGACAGAGUAUUCCAUAUUAUUGGUCUUGCGAUUGGAUCCAUUGAGAUAUUUGUUUGAUAGGCAUGUCUUGACUAGUAGGCUCAUGAGAUGGUUGGUGUUGUUGACAGAGUUUGAUAUUCAAUAUGUUACACAGAAGUCAGUAAAAUGGAGCAUUGUUGCAGAUCAUUUGGCUUCUUUGCCCGUAUAUGAUGACAGACUGAUUGACGAUGAUUUCCCUGAUGAGCAGUUUGUCUCAGUGACCAGUAUUGCAGGAUGGCGAUUGUACUUUGAUGGUGCCGCAAAAUAGUCAGGGUUUGGUAUCGGUAUCCUAUUGAUAUCACCUUAGGGUGAUCAUAUUCCCAGAUCAGUCCAGUUGGCAUUCUCUGAUCAUCAUCGAUUGACGAAUAAUGUUGUUGAGUAUAAGACAUGCAUUACAGGUCUAGAGAUUGCGCUCGAUCUUGGAGUUAGACAGUUGGAAAUCCACGGGGAUUCUAACUUGGUUAUUCAGUAGACUUAGGGUAUCUAGAGGACUUGGGAUGAGAAGUUGAAGCCCUAUCAUGCUUAUUUGGAUUUGUUGGUUGAUAGGUUUGAGGAGUUGAGAUAUAUACAUCUGCCCCGGGCAGAAAAUCAGUUUGCUGAUGCGUUAGUUGCCUGGGCUUCUGUGAUUGAGAUUCCUGCGGGAGUGACUGUGCGACCAUUGCUGAUUGAGACUAGGUCUGCACCAGCUUACUAUUGUUUAAUUGGGGAUAUUGAGGACUAGGAUGAGCUACCCUGGUGUAGACCCUCAAUUUUGUCCUUUUAGCACAUGUCUUUAAAUUCACUUCCAGUGCUCCACGGUAGUUCCUUGGUGGCCCAUUACUACCCGUACGACUUACCAUUUUCUGAGUCACCUCGGAGACUUUGGUUGAUGGAUUAUUUGAUCCCUUAUUAUGACCCUUGGCAGUCUUGAUUUAGAUUUAGGCUUUUCUUAUUUUUUUAGGAUAGCUUUUAGAUACACUUGGCCCUUUAGGCACCACCUUAGGCCCACUUAGUCUCACCUUAGGCCCGUUUAGGUAUACUGGGUCUAUUAAGAUUUUUUUUAGCGUGACUUAUAUAACUUGCGUUUUUGCAUGGCUCAUAGGGCCCAUUUUUUGUUAAUUUGUUUAUUUUUAUUUUAUUUUAUUUUAUUUUCCUCUUUAUAUUAUUUUCCUUUAACUUAUUUAUUUAGUUAUUAUUUUUUACCAUUUUCUAAUUUAUUUACUUAUUUAUCUAUUCGUGCAAUUAUUUAACUUCUAAAAUUUCAUGUUUUUGCAAGGAAACUUACCAUUGGAGUUUAAGGAAAGUGGGACUCUCCUUGGAAGGUUUUGGAGGAGAAUUUGAAGUUGGGAAGAUUGCUUUGGAAUUGGAAGAUUUAAAAAAGGAUAAGGAGAAAAGAAGAGAGAAUAUAGGAGAUUUGACCUUUUUUUUUUAGGGAGAUUUAGGUUUUAGGGAAAGGCGUAUAUAUACAUGAGAAAGGAAGGAAAAAAGGGAGAAGAGGGAGCUUUUUUUGAUUGAGGGAGGAGAUUUUUUUUUUUUGAGCAGCAGGCAUUGGAGGAUUGGAGAAGUUUUGAGAGGAAGAAGGAGAGGGAAAAGAAGCAAUUGCAACCAAGGCUGUCCAGGUAUGCACCUCGUUGCUUUUGGAAUUCUUACCUAUAUUUGAUUUUUCCGCGUGUUCGAUUCCUGAAUAUUUAAUUGUUUUGUUGAUUUUGUGUGGACGAAAAGGGCCACAAUUUGUUUUGUUGAGAUUGGUUACUUGCUUGUUUGCCCUGUUUUGAUUUUGGAUGUCAUUAAUCUCUUCGGAAGCAUAUAACUCCAUGCCUGUUCCCACUAACCUGAGCCAGCCUAUUGAAAAAUCAUGAGAUGUGGUUUUAUUUUUUUUAAUCUCCCAUGUCUGUUCUCCCAUCGUUUCCUCUACUCUCUACUAUAUCUGUUUUGUCCUUCCUACCCAUCACAUGGCCAUCAACUCUUCAUAUGGGGGUGACUCCAAAGUUUGGGUAUGCAAUCACAAGAUUCAGCAAAGAGAUCAGCUCCUUCAAAAUUCUGGCUAGACAUGCCAUAUUGUGGGUUCAUAUAAGAGAAAGCCCAUGAUAGUUGCCGUUCUUUUCUUGUGAAUGGUUCUGUUCUAUUGUAAAAAAACUGCAGUCACAAUACAAGACCCAGAGGAGAUUCUUUCAAAUAGUCAUGUCCAAGUGGCUUAUCAGCCGUCUAUGCACUUGCUAAGGUUUGUGGCAGUCACGUAAAUUUGUGGAUUCAUAUGGAGAUCAGAGAUAUGGCUUCUCGGAAUUCCGCCAGUUCAGGGUAUAUACAUUGAGGGCAAAUUGAGGAGCACGGGAGUUGUUUGAAGAAAUACCAAUGAGAAGAAAUUUGGUUGAAAGAAAUUGAAAGCAGACGUUUUGAAUGAAGACACAGAUAUGAUUUUCAGUGGGAUGAGUUCAUGGAUGGAUUUGAUAGCAAACUUGGCUACAAUAGUGGUACUUCUCAGAUUUGUGAGACAACAUCUAUAGCAGCAUUGCUUUCAUGAGGACAGGCUGUAACUCCAAUGCAAUUAGUGGCACGUGUGCCUGCUCCUUUAUUUUACUGGCCAUUAAUUCAACUUGCUAGUGCAACUACUGAUGACAUUGUCCUGGGUAUUACCGUUGGAAGCGAAAGAAGAGGAAACCUACCUGGCGCCGCAUCAGACAUCCGGGCUAGCCUUCUUUUACUCUUAAUAGAAUUUAUCGAGAAGAGGAAUUUCUCUACAACCAGUUCUGGGAUAGGGAGAGCUUUGUUGAUGGUCCUAUUCGGUGUCUCCUUUGCAACUUGUAAGGUGAAUUCCCGAUCAGGACUGAGGAACUUGUUAACUUUUUAUCAACUCUUUGUGAAGGAAUUUGGCCAGCAGGAUGUGUGUAUAAUUUCCUCGAUAAAUCUGUUGGCAUAUCAUCCUUGUUAGAGAUUACUAGUGAUUCCUUGGUGGAUAAUUUUUCUCAGAUUAUUGAAACACGGGUGCCAUUGUAUGUUCUUGGGGUUGAAGGAUUAAUUAUUCAUAGUCAAACACAUGGUCAUGUUUUGAAAGUGAUUGAUGGCAGUACUGCUCUAGUAUGGUGGGAAUACACACAAUCUGGGGUGUUGGUGUUGUUUCUGCGUUUAGCCCAGAGGUUAUAUUUAGAUUGCAAUGAAGAAGUCCUUGUUACCAUGGAUCUGCUCUGUUGACUGGUACAGUUCUUCAAUGACGGCCAUAGGUGUCAGUAUUAAAAAAAAAAACGUGUUAAAAUGUUCUCCAUCUCAUGCUAUAGCCGUGGCUCUGAAGGCAAACAUAUCUAAUUUGGCUUCUAAGACAAGUACAUUUGAAACUCUCUUUACUGGCUCAACAAGUGGAUCAUGGUUGCUUUAUGGGAAACUUGCAAAAAAAUGUUCUCAAUUGACUGUGAGCAAAAUAACAGUUGCUGCCAGAUGACAAUUUCAGUGCUGGAUUUUACCAAACAGCUUGUAGAAAUUGGAGAGAAAAUUCAGCUACAACAACUUCAAGAACCGUUCAACACAUGGCUUUAAGAUGGUGAAGAGAGCAUCUUCUAGAGAAGGCACUGGUGACAAUUACUUGUACUGUCCAGCUUCACAUGACUUUUUAAAAGAGGAGGAAAGGCUUUGUUCCUGACCCCGGUUCUUCUAGCCUAAUGAGGCCUGAGAUCCACGACGAAUCUCUGAUUCCAAAUGCCAACGACCGGUCCUGAAGUGCCUUCAAACCAGGGGUAAUUCAUGUCUUAGUAACAGGAAGUGCUGGCUAUAUCGGUUCACAUGCUGCACUACGACUUCUCAAGGACUCAUACUGUGUAACUAUAGUGGAUAACUUCUCGAGGAGAAUAUUAAGUGCCAUUAAGGUUUCACAAGAACAAUUUCCUGAACCUGGGAGGCUUCAAUUUAUUUAUGUUGACCUGGAAGAUGUAAAAAUUGUAAACAUGAUAUUUUCAGAAAAUGCAUUUGAUGCUAUAAUGUAUUUUGCAGUUGUUGCUUAUAUUGGAGAAAACACCCUUGAACCUCUCAGGUAUUAUUACAAUGUUACAUCAAAUACGUUGGCAGUAUUGGAAGGUGAUGACAGCCCGUGGUAUAAAUACAUUAAUAUAUUCUAGCACAUGUGCAACAUAUGGAGAAGCUAUGAAUUUUAACCUGAACAAUUUUAGUACAGCAGUUAGAUUCUGUGGAAGGGCCUGGCAGUGAAUCUUUGCAAGUGUCAUUUGAUCAAAAAUCACGCACAAGUAAUUCUGAAGCCUCAGUUCACAAGGAGUUACAGUGGAUAUCAAUAACUGAAUUCAAAUAACCUCACGUUUAGGCACCAGAAUCUGCAUACAAGGGCAAAAGCUGAGACACCCUCAACUUCUAGGUUGGGAGAAGUGGUGAAAUCAUUUGUGAAGUAUCUGAAUUUGAGUGUGGGUAUAGUCACUGGUAGGUCUGAUUUGGUUGAACAUGGUGGAAGGCCAAGGUUGGAUGAUAAUUGCAGGGAUGAUGAUCAGCAUGGUUCAGUUAGAUCGAUUGGUGUAGGGAUCAGCAGUGAUGCUGCUGAUAUUGGCAGUGAAGUACCAGAAAAUUUGGUUGGAGGUAGUUGUGAAGAGGAUUUGGAGUAUUUUCAUGAUUAUGAUAUUGGAUUAAGACAUUCUCAACAGGAAUCUGAUAAGAAAUAUAAUGAUAGAUCAAAGAGGGUUAAAAAGAGAACAAGUACCUAUGAUUCUAAUGAGAAAUGAUAAGGGUGUGUGUACCCAGGUGAAAAAUCACCCAGAUAGAGAAUUUUCAUUCCCCCUCUUUUGAGAAAUGGGCAGUUGGUACAAGCAAGCUCUAGUAAAUCUUUAUGGUCAAAUAAUUGCAAUGCUUCUGCCAGUGAUGAAACUGAGGAUUGCUUGAAUGCUUUGAUGAGGAAUUUUGACAUGCUUGCUUCAUGGAGGCGGAAAAGCAAUGAUUCUUCACCUGUCAAGAGUUCUAAAUAUGAAAAUAAUGCUAAUGUUGUUAGAUCAGAGAACUCUUCUCCCUCAACUCUUUCUUAUCAUGGUUACAGUGAGCUAAAGUAUUACGUGAAUUUGGAAGAAAAGUGGAAAAGAUGGAAAAAUUGGGCCAACAAGAUUUGCUCUCAGGAAUGCGUGAAGCAGUAUCCAAUGAGAACCUUAGAGCAAUAGAUUCUAAUAUGCAGGCAGAAAAACUGAACUCAGAAGAUGCAGCCAGUUUUAGGUGUUAGCGGAUAAAUUUUCAAACCUAAACUGGAUCAAGAGCCGAAUCUGUGGAAUUUAGUUGUUGUUGAUGUGAUGCACAAGGCUAACUAUGCAAGCUGAAUUUGUCACUUAUGCUGACCUAAUUGUGAAGCCAAAGUUACUGCCGUGGAAGGUCAGUAUCAGAUUGGAAUCUACACUGUACGUCAAAUUCAAUAUGGCAAGGAGAUCACCUUUGAUUAUAAUUCAGUCACAAGAGAAUAAGGAAGAGUACGAGGUUUCUGUUUGUUUGUGUGGCAGCCAAGUUUGUCAAAUGUGUUAUUUGAAUCUAACAGGUGGAGUGGCAUUUCAAAAGAUAUUGAAAGGGUGUCAUGGAAUUCAGGAUCGGUAUCAAUUGAUGUUUGAAGCUCGUGAAUUAAAUAUGGUAUCUGAAGAAGUCUACAUAGACUUGGGAAGAACUGGAAGGGAAAGAAUUAAGUGCUGAGGCCUCCUCUUCUGGAACAAUAUUUGGGUCAUUUGUACACCUCAUAUGGUUAAAUGCACAUAUGCUUCUUAGUGUUUUUCAUUGUGAGCAGCCACAAGGGAGCGGUCAAGCUACCAUUGUCGCACCAACAGUAGAAGAGCAUUUCCUAUCUCAAUAACGCAGUAUUACUCCAGCAAACACUCAUGCUGAAAGGCAAAUCCGGGGCGCAAGACUUCAGCAUAAUCGACAAUUAGAUGCUCCCCUGUCCAAUGAAGAUAAACCAAUGGAAGAAAUGAAAUCCACUAUCUAUCAAAAAGACCUGUCCCAAAUCCGUCCAACAGAAGCUGGAUUGGUUGAAACUCGAAUCAUCACACUUUUCUCCUCUGUUGUGGCUCUCAAGAGGUCUUUAUUUGACACCGGAAGCGAUACCACUUCCGAAUCUGUAGUUGAGCUCUCUGCUGAGAGAGAAGUGAUUUCUUUUGGUUCGAUUGCACACCUUGAAAGUUACUGUUUCAGCUAGAAAUGCUAGUUCUUGAACUGCCAAGCGCGAAUAUUGAAACCUACUAGAUUUCAAGAAGCUAGAAGCGCUUAUCUAAUAACUUUUGGGAAGAGCAAGCACUUAUAAGAAUCUGAACUCCUCCUGGAGGCACUUCUCAGGACAAGAAGCUGCCCCAUUUCCAGCUAUAUUCAUUAGAAGAAAUCAUUUUGAUGAAUGUGGAAUUAUUUAUUGUCCUUCAAGACUGGACUAUGAAGAAGUUGCUGAAAGGUUAAAGGAAUGUGGACACAAAGCAACAUUUUUAUCACGGUUCCGUGGAUCCCGCUCAGCGUGCCUUCAUUCAGAAGCAAUUGAGUAAAAAAAUAAAAUUAAUACAACUUGCGUAACCCUGGCUUUUGGAAUGGGUAACAACAAAUCAGAUGUCCACUUUUUCAUUCAUUGUUUCUCCCAAAAUCAAUUAAAAGGCCUCGUCCAGAAUUUGUUGACAGGAGGCAGCAUUGUAUGUAUUACAGUCCAUACUCCAUUGAUAGGGACACUGAGCUCCAAUCAAUUACAAGAGUUUGUGAUAAUUCAAGACUACUUGGGAAGCCGCAACUGAUAGAAGAACAUGAGCUGGCAUUUUUAAAGAGGGAGAAAGAAGAGAUGGAAGCUCAAAAGAAACAGGCAGAGGCAUUUCAGUUAUCUCAACAGAUGCAGUUUUUGUAUAGUACAGAAAUUGUUAUGGGCCCUCAAGAUGAGGAAAGUACUGCAUAUCAUCACCAAUAUCCAACCGAGUCUUUCAGAUGCCUAUUGCGCAAAGAGAUGAUGAGUGAUCCAAUUGCAAUCGUCUGUGGGCAUAGCUGUGAGAGGAAGUUGAUUCAGGAAAUUUUCUGAAGAGAAGAGAAGACCUGCCCCAUAUGCAGAGAAAGGCUCAAGUCAUGGAGCUUACUCCAAAUCCUUUGCUUCGGAACUCUAUAGAAGAAUAGAAGCAAAGAGGCAUGAACUUAAGAUUCCAAGCUGCUCUUCUUGGAAUCACCCCCAAUGACCACUCUAUACAGAACAAAGCCUUGGAGGAGAUGCAAGUUCUAAUGGAAAGGCCACGCUAUACAGAAAAAGUUGCAAAUGAAGGCCUCAUCUCAAAAUUCGUGAUCUCUACUUCUGCAGAUCCAGAAGAGCCACUAGUGUUCAGAAAAGACCAUCCUAUAAAUUGAGAACAGUCUAAGAUACCAUGUAACAUAUUGUUUGAGAUGUUCAAGAAUCUUAGAUUAGCAAGGUCACAUAAUUCAUGUGGAAUCAGUCCAUGGAGGAGGUUCUCAGAAAUGUCUGGGCACUAAAGUUGUGAGAGAUGGCCAAAGUAUUCGGUUAUACUACCAGUGAGUCUAUUGCUAUGCUGAUCCAAGGAAGUCGGGUAAAGGCCAAUAAGAUUAAUCAGUUCUGAGAAAGAAGAAAUUGAACUAGACAGAUGAUUGAUGCUUAGAUCCAGAUCGGAAAAGCUUUGUAGCAUGCCAAUUGAAACGAGUGGUGGGAUCUAAGUUGAUUUAGAGAUUGAAGCAGAAUGGUCCAUCAAACACCCUUUUUUUUAAUAACUAGCAGAUUGCAAAGCUAUCAACAAGGGUCUUUUCAUGCAAGUAUCAACAGCUGAAUCAUUAGCACCUUCAUGCUUCCAAACUCUACUUCUAGCAUGGCCAUCUUGACGCACACCUCUUCCUCCAUUUUCUUCAUUGAGAAUUUACAGUUUUGAAUUGAUCUUUCAAACCCUUUUUCAACUGAAUAAAUUUAGCUUUGAAGAUUCAUCAAAUAACUUUAGUUUUCUUUAAAAGUUCCUUAGGAGCUUCUAGGUAUAAAAUCCCAACUUUAACAUGCUAUUCGCUGCCACUUUCCUUCAGGCAUGCAUUUUCACUAUUUUCUUUUAUUUUUCAUGGUUUUCUCGAUUUUCAACUAGCAUGAACAAACUUCAUAAUUCCAAGUCAUGGAAUUUAUGGAAUCAACUCACGCGAGAUUAAUUAGGGCUUUGGUGGGGGCCUGACAUUCAUGAUAUCCUCUUCCAUAUUGUUUGCUUGAUAUCUGAUUGAUUUUUGACUCCCCUGAUGAUAUACAUGAAUUUGUUUUAUAUCUAUUGUUGAGAUACCCUUGUUCCCAUAGACGUGUGGAUGCCCGCUAAUCAGGUACGCUCUCUUUACCUCCCAACUCUAAAAUUCUAUGAAUAUGUAUGUUAUCAUGAGCCAUGACCGUGUUUGAUGCCGUAUUUGAUUGUCUUGAUGCUUGCUUGAUCAUCUUUGAUAAAAUACAUGUAAUGUGUCAUAUUCCCAAACUAAUCUCUUAUGUUUUAUGAUAGCGCUUGAGAAGUUGUUCAGGUACGCGCUUCAACUCUCUCUUAUGGUUGGUUUUCUUAUUAGGCAUGCAAUAUUUGAAAUCACCUUAGUCUAUCUAGGUACUCUCAAUUAAUCAAUUAAUUGCCCCAUUUCCCUCAACUUAGUCAAUAGAGACCUCUUUGGGGCUUAGAGGGGUGCUACCUCCUAGAGGUACCUUCCCAAUAAGUAACCUAAUCCCCGUACCUAGACUCGGGUUUUUCAAAGAUAUGCUUUUUCCAAAACUAUGGAGUCACUUUUUAGGGUUUUUCUUUCUUGUUUUAUUUUCCCUUCAAAAUAAAAAUAAAAUAGGUGGCGACUCCAACUUUUCUAAAAUUAAUUUUUCACAAAUAAAAAGCGAGUCUCGCCGAUCGAGUGGGAGCGCACGUGAAAAAUGCGGGUCCACACCUGGUAUCAUGACAUUUAUCAGUUCUUGUCAUGUGGCGCUUACCCUGAGUCAACCACUGUCAAGGAUAGGAGAGCUUUGAGGUAGUUGGUCACUAGAUUUGUGAUUUGUGGAGAGUCCUUGUAUAGACGAUCGCCAGAUGGCCUAUUGUUGUUAUGUCUAAACCGUGCCUCUGCAGAUCGAGUAAUGAGAAAGGUUCAUGCAGGAGUUUGUGGCUUACACAUGGGAGGACACAUGUUAGCCUGAAAGAUUAUGAGGACAGGUUAUUUCUGGUUGACCAUGGAAGCAGAUUGUUGUCAGUUCGUUCAGAGGUGCCCAGAGUGCCAACUGCCCGAUGAUCUCAUUCACAUGCCACCUUCGGAGUUGCAUGCACUCACAUCCCCUUGGCCAUUUUCAAUGUGGGGUAUUGAUAUUGUUGGAAAGAUCUCGCCCAAGUCUUCCAGCGAGCACGAGUACAUCUUAGUAGCCAUUGAUUACUUCACCAAGUGGGUGGAAGCCGCUGGUGGCCAAAUUCAUCAGAUCAUAUAUCAUCUACCGAUACGGAGUCCCUCACGAGUUGAUCUCAGACAAAGGGGUGCAUUUCAGAGGUGAGGUGGAUACAUUGGUUCAGAAGUAUGGUGUUCAUCAUCAUAGAUUGUCUGCGUAUAGGCCAUAGACUAAUGGGGCAGUUGAGGCCGCCAAUAAGAAUAUUAAGCGGACUUUGAGGAAGAUGGUUGAGACUUCUCGGGAUUGGUCAGAGAAGCUCCCUUUUGCGCUAUGGGCUUAUCGCACUUCUUUUCGUACCUCUAUUGGAGCUACGCCUUACUCCUUGGUGUAUGGUAUGGAAGUAGUGCUACCUGUUGAGAUUGAGAUGAGAUCUUUGAGAGUAACAUUAGAGCAGUAGAUAUCCGAGACCAAGUGGGCUCAGUCUCGUUAUGAUCAGCUUAGCCUUCUAGAUGAGAGAAGAUUGAGGGCAGCAGAUCAUGUUUAGGCUUAUCAGAGGAAAAUGACCCGUGCAUUCAGGAAGAGGGUUAAGCCCAGGAAAUUUCAGAAAGGUGACCUCGUUUUGAAGGUCCUCAAAGGAUUGAUCAGCGACCCUAGAGACAAGUUUAGACCGAGCUGGAGCGGGCCGUAUGUUAUCUAAGAUUUGACCCGAGAGGGAGUUGCCUAGUUGAUAGAUCUAGACGAAAAUCGGUUUUCGGAGCCAAUCAAUGUGGAUCAGCUGAAGAAGUUUUACGUGUGAGAUCAUGGUCAGAGGAUGGGUGGCCAUCGUUUUGAGUAGCCAUAUUCCCUGUUGCACACCCACACAUUAAUAUAUCCCAUUGGUAGCCCGUUGAGCCUCACACAAUUCAUUAUGACCUAUUCGUUCACUUAGCCUUACAUACCUUUUCUCAUCUAGGUUGGGGGCCUCCUCUUGUGCGCUUUGCAUUUAUUGUCUAAAUCGGUGAGUAUUGUGAGUCCAUUGUGUCAUUGUUCGUUCGUUUCAUUUUUGGGUCAUUCAUGAUUUCUUCUUUCCUGCAUUGUCUAUCUUCACUUUGUCUAUCUUUGAGUUUUGUCUCUAUCCUUUCGAUUCUUUUCGUUUCUAUCUUCCCUUGUGUGAUGAUGACGUGCUCUCGUCCCGAAGCUGCAGGUCAAGCUUGUCUCACCCUUCAUUCCACCAUUAGGUUUUGAUCCAAGAGUUUUAGUUUGAGGGGACCAUUUGGGUUUGGGAUUUGGGGUACAUUUGUUAGAUCAUGUUGGUAUGGCCGUUGGCUUACUUUGUCGGUUGUUCCGCAAAAAAAAUAAAAAAUAAAAAAUAAAAAAAACAAAAUAAAACCAAAAACAAAAAAAAACUUGUGCUCAUUCGAUGUUCAUGUCAUUAAUAUUUGGGUUUUGCAUGGCUUGACGAAAGUAUCACGACUUGAUCAUCAGAGGUCAUUUUGGGUUUGAGAGACUUAUUCUUCUUUUGAGAGUCGGUAAGAACAUUGUACGACCCUUUUCUCCAUGGAUCUAGGAGACAUAUUGGGAGUGAGGUUUGGGUUUCCUUUACACUAGGUUCCUUGGAUCAUUAUCUAUAUCACCACUCCCAUCAUACAGUGACUUGCUUCGAUUUAGCGUUCAUGGGAUGAGUUGUUCGUCAUUAUCACACAUUACUACACGUUUAUCCCAACUUGUUUCUUCAUUUUCUUCUAUACCCAUUCAUCAUUCGUCUUAUCCCUUUUCGCUUUUUUUUACCCUCAUCGAUCAUCGUUUCGCUUCAUGAAUGACGUGUUCUUUGGUGCACAUCACCCGUCAUUGGAUAUUGUUCAUUUGGAUGUAGGGUUGAGUCACCUUACUCACAUGGUCCUCCGAUAUUUGACAUUGCGCACAAAGAGGCUUGGCAUUAUCUAUUAGGUAUUUGAUCCUUUGUUUCCCGUUGUUUCAUUCACCUUUUACCCCUAGCCUUCAUUACUGUCCGAGUCGUAAGACCACCCCGAGGCCAUGAGAUCUCGUGUUUGCUUCGAUGCAUUUCAUUCGGACAGGCUCCGUCUACUGAUUGAAGUAUGGGAUGCCGACAGUGCUCCAUUUCUUGAGGGAUAUCGAGGAUCGCAUACUGCUUUUCCAUUUCAUCUCUUCGCCUUUGGUCCAUGAUCAGAGACAGAUGAUGCAAAGAGUCAAGACUAUCCAGGACCCCCUCCGCUUGCUAGUUUGUUAUAUUCAUACUAGGGCAUACCCCUAUCCUUGCAUGAUGGCAUCAGUUCUUACACUGGGAAGCAGACAGCCCAUUUCACCAGGUGAUGCUUGGCAUCAGUGUUUGAGUAGGCCCCAGCAUUUAACUUGUUUUCUUCAUACAACAACUUGCUUCUAAGAGAUGGCCCGAGAUCAGAUUCAUGCGUGUUCGUCGACCCAGUAGAUGUGCACACUAGGGCAUACCCCAUACUUUGUCAUAUUCGCUUAUCCAGACGAUUGGGUUUCCAGUGAUAUAUUUCAGAGUUGUUUUUUUUUUUUUUCACCGAGGCACUUGCAUAUCAGAUGUACACACUGGGGCAUACCCCCUAUCUGUUUUUUUGUGGAUAUUGGAUGUUGCGGAAUAAAGUCGAUAUUGUUCUAUGAAUGAAUGUUGUGAUGUUUUCAUCUCUCUGACUUUGACCAUAUGUAUGGUUAUGGAAUUCUGACAUGGUAUGGAUAUCUUAGACUGGGGCAUAGCCCUUUCUUUUCACCUCUAGUCACGUUUCUGAGUUGUCCUACAAGGGCAUACUCCCUUUCUUUCCAUCUUGUUAGUGGUGUUCUAGUUUUCUCGCCUGUCAAUUAUUGGCAUUUUCUAGUCGUCACACUGAGGCAUACCCCUUCGUCUUUCAUGACUGAGAUGUUUGAUUUCUUGCUUAUUCGAAUCAUUUAGUGGCGUUCUCAUGUUCAUACUAGGGCAUACACCCUCUUUGUUUGUGUUGUUGUGCUUGGCUAGUUUUUUGGGUUUUCCGGUACUCGCUUGAAUUCGACCAUUUCCAGAUACUUACCCAGACCCUUUUUCGGUACUUGCCCAAAUACGGUCUAUUAUCCAGUAUUCACUCGGAUAUGAUCUAUUUUUUGGUACUUACCCGAAUACGAUCUAUUCUCCGGUACUCACUCGGAUACGAUCUCUUUUCGGUACUUGCCCAAAUAUGAUCUAUUCUCUGGUACUCACCAGGAUAUGAUCUCUUUUCUAGUACUCGCCCAUAUUCUACUUUUCUCGGUACUUGCCCGGAUUCUACCUUUCUUGAUACUCGCUCGGAUUCGACCCUUUCCCGGUACUUGCCCGGACCCUUUUUCAGUACUUGCCCGAAUACGAUCUAUUCUCCAGUACUCACCCGGAUACGAUAUCUUUUCUGGUACUCUCCCGGAUUCUAUCUUUCCUGAUACUCGCUCGGAUUCGACCCUUUCCCGGUACUCGCCCGAAUAUGAUCUAUUCUCCGGUACUCACCCGGAUACGAUCUCUUUUCCAGUACUCACCCGGAUAUGAUCUCUUUUCCGGUACUCGCCUAGAUACAAUCUCUUUUUUGAUACUCGCCCGAAUACGAUUUCCUCUCCGGCAUCAUGCCCAGAUUUCCGUGGGUUCUCCGAUACUUGCCCAAACUUGAUCCAUUUUCCUUUAGUCUAUUCUGGCACCGUGUCUAGAUCUCUUGAUCUUUUCAAGCAUCGCGUCUAGUUUCUUUUAGUCUUCUUUGGCAUCAUGCCCAAAUUCCUUUAGCUCUAUUCGGCAUCAUGCCCGGAUCCCUUAGUCAUUCCGGCGGCUCUUCGGCAUCGUGCCCAAAUCCCCUAUUUUCCGGCAUCGUGUCCGGUUUUCUUUUAUCUUUCCCGGCAUCACGCCCGAAUUUUCUUUGUUUUCUCUGGCAUCGCACCUGGAUCUUAUAUCUCUCCCGAAAACGCGUCCAGUUUUCUCCUAUCUUUUCUAGCACCUUGUCCAAAUUCCUUUAGCUUUCUCCGGUAGUGUGCCUGGGUCCUUUAGUCCUUCGGUCAUCAUGGCUCAUUCCCUUAGCUUCUUUAUGGUUGUGUGAGGAUAAAAUUGUUGGUCAUUUGAAUUCUUCACUAGAGUUCAUUUCACUCAUUCAUUGCUUAUACUUUGCAUUCGCGACAUUCAUUCACUCUACUAAAGAGGGGCAUAUUUGUAGACCCUCAAUUUUGUCCCUUGACACUUGCAUUUUAUCCUAUGGGUGUCACAUGCACCCAUGCUUUCAUAUGACCCUGCCAUGGCCCCCUUUUGGCCUUGAUUGGUUUCUGAGCCUUGUGUAGGUUCAUUUAUGGUCCAAUGUAGUGCCAGUGUGUAGUUCAUUUUGGAGUUCCAUCAUGGCUAAUUUCCCUAGUUAUUCACAUCAUGCUAUAGGGAAGGAAGUGAGGCCCCCUAAAAAUUUCAGUUUGGUUGGAAUUCAUAGGAGCAGGUCCGAAUUUGGAGCACUUGGGCUUGUUUUGAUCAUAUCUCCCUCAUCCAAACUCAGAAUUGUGCACCGUGUUUUUUAUGGACUCCUUAUUCUUCAAGGAACAUUCUGUCAAAAUUUCAAAUUUUUUCUCAAUCGGCUCGACCGGUUCCCAAAGUUUCAGUUUAGGUAGAAUUCAUUGAAGCAGGUUCGAAUUUAGAGCACUUAGGCUUGUUUUGAUCAUAUCUCCCUCAUCCGAACUCAGAAUCAUGCACCAUUUUUUUUAUGGACUCCUUAUUCUUCAAGGAACAUUCUAUCAAAAUUUAUAAUUUUUUCUCAACCGGCUCGACCGGUUCCCAAAGUUUUAGUUUAGGCAGAAUUGAUUGAAGCAUGUCCGAAUUCAGAACACUUAGGCUUGUUUUGAUCAUAUCUCCCUCAUCCGACCUCGGAAUCAUGCACCGUUUUUUUUAUGGACUUCUUAUUCAAGGAAAAUUAUGUCAAAUUUUCACAAAUUUUCUUAACCAUAUCGACUGGUUGGAAUCCGAUUCAACUGGUUCAUCGAGUCAGCUUGUUUGGAGCACUGAUUUUGGUGAUUUUGAAGCCCAAUUCCUACAUGGCUCCAGAUCAGUUUUUGGUUGUAUUUUGGAUCCAUUUUGGCCUUAUUUCGGAUUCCUUGCAGCCCACCAUAAAUCCAUAUGGAUCCUUGGUGGGGAAGCAAGUUUAAAGCUUAAGAUAGUCAGCUUGCAUGGAAAAUGAGGAGGGGAGUUAAUGGGGAAACGGAUUCCGAGACUGACUGGAGCUCUUUCCAGAGCUUGAAGAAGAGAAAAACGAAGAGGAUUUGGUGGCUGGAGGUCUGGGACUAUAAAAGAGGGAAAAAAUCAGAUUUGAAGGGACUUCUUCUUUUUCUGAGAGGGGGGACUCUGUGGAAUCAUAGGAGAGGAAUUUUAUAAGAGGUUUUUGGAGGGUUUCUUUUCAUGAGUGGUCUGAAGGAGUGAAGUGAAGGGGUCCUCAGACUUUUGGGGGUCUCGGAUACAUUUGGAGAAGCUUUGCAAGCUAAAGGAGCAUCUCUCAAAGGCUGGUUCUUUAGGUACGUUUCUGGUUCCUCACAAAACUCUAGCUUGCAUUCGGUUCCUCUUUCUGAUCGUUCCAGAAUGCUUAAUGCUUUAUUGAUUGGUGUAGACAAAAAGGGCCACAAAUUGUUAUGUUGAAAUUGGUUCUUUGUGUGUUUUCCAUGAUCUUCAUUCAGUUAAUGUCAUUGAUCUCGUUUGAUUUUGUUCAUGUUAAAAAUCUAUUUUGAAUCAUUCUCCCGUUUUAAUGUCCAGACCUAUUUUAUAAACGCGUUGCCUUGUUUUGACCGGUUCUUCCUCAUUCAGGCUUGGAAAUGAGUGUCGUUACUUUUUUUGGAUUAUUUAUUCUUUUUGAAAUCUACUGUUAAAAUUUCAGAAAUUUUCUCAACCGGUUGUAUUGGUUGGGAACCGGUUCAACAAGUCCUACAUGUCCAACCUUGUUUUAUAAGCAUGUUGCCUUGUUUUGAUCGGUUCUCCCUAAUCUGGGCUCGGAAUUGAGUGUUGUUGCUUUUUUUGGAUUCUUUAUUCUUUGAGGAAUCUAAUGUUAAAAUUUCAGAAUUUUCUCAACCAGUUGAACGGUUUGGGAACCAGUUCAACAGGUGGCUUUGUGGCAGCCUCGGUUUUGAAGCAUUUUGCAUUGUUUCGGCCGGUUCUCCCUCAUUCGGGCUCGGAAUUGAGCACCAUUUUUUUUUUUUGGAUUCCUUAUUCUCUGAGGAAUAUUCUAGUAAAAUUUCAGAUUUUUUCUCAACCGGUUGAGUCAGUUGGGAACCGAUUCAACCGGUUCUUCUAGGUAGCUCCAAUUUCAGCGUGUUUUGACGCCCAUUUUUGUUGUGGCUUAGGCCCUUAGGCUCCAAGGCACUUGUAGGCCACCUUUAGGGUUUGAAUCCAGAUUUUAUUUGAAUUAAUAUGAACCCACCUAUGAUUUGAGGGUAUUAUUGGCUAGGAAGGUCGGGGGGCUUAUUGUGAAUGUUUGGCUUAGGCACAUUUUGAUGUUUGAUUAAAAAUGCUUGUGUCUAGUGAUUUACCCCUGUUUGCAGCGCUUGGUUGGGGACCUGAGGUACGUACUUGACUUGUUGGGAAUUGGAUUCAUUUGCAUGCGUGGGGCUUGGAUAUGUUUGCUCGUUGUGUGUUUAUAUUGCUUGACUAACCUCUUAUGUAGCGCUUGGCUAAGGACCUCAGGUACAUACCUUUUAGCUUUGAUUUGUGGAGACUAAGUGCACGCUAGAUACUGAGUAGGUUCAUGUGAUCUAUGUCAUUUGUUUAGCUUGAUUGAUCGAUUGAUCUUUGACCCAUAUGCUCCUAUGUACCCAAUUCAUUAGUAGAGACCGAGUUUCGGGCCUAGAGGGGUGCUGCCUCGCAUGAGGUACCUUCUCAAUAGGUAACCUAAUCCCCAGGCCCAGAAUCUAGUUUUUGCAAACUGCUUUUUCCAUACUGGAGUCAUUAAGGGUUUUUGUUCUUGAUUUUCCCCUUAUAAAAUAAAAAUAAAAAGUAAGUAGCGACUCUAAACAAAACCAUUCCUCACUGAGGACGGAUUUUCCAAAACCCGAAAACACACUUACUUUCUUAUUCUUUUAAAAAGCGAGUCGUGCUGACCCGUGGACCGGGUGAGGGUCCACACUAAGCCUCUUGAGUUGUUGCAUAUGGAUUUAUUUGGUUCCUCUAGGACACCAAGUCUUGGAAGAAAAUCUUAUGCAUAUGUUAUUAUGGAUGACUUCUCUAGAUAUACAUGGGUCUUGUUUUUAAGUCCAAAGAAUGAAGCCUUUUAUGAGUUUUCAAAUUUUUGCAAUAAGGUUCAAAAUGAAAAAGGUUUUACAAUUACUUGUAUAAGAAGUGAUCAUGAGAGAGAAUUUGAAAAUAUUGAUUUUGAAGAAUAUUGCAAUGAGCAUGGAAUUAACCACAAUUUUUCAGCUCUUAGAACUCCCCAACAAAAUGGGGUAGUUGAAAGGAAAAAUAGAAUUAUUCAAGAAAUGGCUAGAACCAUGCUAAAUGAAAACAAUUUACCAAAAUAUUUUUGGGCCGAAGCGGUUAACACUUCUUAUUAUGUUUUCAAUAGAAUAUUAUUGAGGCCCAUUCUUAAGAAGACUCCUUAUAAGCUUUGGAAAAACAAGAAACUCGACAGUAGCUAUUUCAAAGUCUUUGGGUGUAAACUUUUUAUAUUAAACACCAAAGACAAUCUUGGAAAAUUUGAUGCAAAAUCGAAUAUUGGAAUUUUCCUUGGUUACUCAACUUCAAGUAAAGCUUUUAGAGUUUUUAACAAAAGAACCAUGAUUGUAGAGGAGUCCAUCCAUGUUAUUUUUUAUGAAUCUAACCAUUCUCUCCAAGAAAGAGAGAGUUUUGAUGAUUAUUUAGGUUUGGAGACCUCCAUGAAAAAAUUGCAAAUUGAAGAUAGAAGGCAACAAGAAGAAAUUUGAGAGGAUCCCAAGAAAGAAGAAUCACCAUUGGCAUUACCCCCUCCUCACCAAGUGCAAGGUGAAUCAAGUGAAGACCUUCCUAAAGAUUGAAAGUUUAUCAUUAACCACUCACAAGAUCAAAUUAUAGGUAAUCCAUCUAGUGGUGUAACAACUAGAUCAUCUCUUAGAAAUAUUUGCAAUAAUCUUGUUUUUAUCUCUCAAAUUGAACCUAAAAACAUAAAUGAUGCUUUAGUUGAUGAAAAUUGGAUGAUUGCUACGCAAGAUGAGUUAAAUCAAUUUCAAAGAAGUGAAGUAUGAGAAUUAGUACCAAGACCUUCAAAUCAAAGUGUUAUUGGAACUAGAUGGGUCUUUAGAAAUAAAAUGGAUGAAAAUGGCAUAAUUGUUAGAAAUAAAGCAAGAUUGGUAGCCCAAGGUUUUAAUCAAGAAGAAAUGAUAGAUUAUGAAGAAACCUUUACCCCCAUAGCUAGGUUGGAAGCCAUUAGGAUGCUACUUGUCUUUGCAUGUUUUAAAAACUUUUCUUUAUAUCAAAUGGGUGUGAAAAGUUCUUUUUUAAAUGGCUUUAUAAAUGAAGAAGUAUAUGUUGAACAACCACCCGGUUUUCAAAGUUUUAACUUUCCUAAUCAUGUUUUUAAACUUAAAAAGGCACUCUAUGGUUUGAAACAAGCACUUAGAGCAUGGUAUGAAAGAUUGAGUAAAUUUCUUUUGAAAAAGGGUGUUAAAAUGGAAAAAAAUUGACACAACUCUUUUCAUAAAGACCAAAAAAUAUAUAUAUAUGCUCUUAGUUCAAAUAUAUAUUGAUGAUAUUAUUUUUGGAGCUACUAAUGUCUCUCUUUGUGAAGAAUUUUCUAAGUGCAUGCAUAGUGAGUUUGAAAUGAGCAUGAUGGGAGAACUCAACUUCUUCCUUGGACUUCAAAUAAAGCAACUAAAGGAAGGAACCUUCAUCAAUCAAGCAAAGUAUAUAAGAGAUCUUCUCAAAAGGUUCAACAUGGAAGAAGCCAAAAUAAUGAAGACUCCAAUGAGCUCAUCGAUCAAGCUUGAUAAGGAUGAGAAAGGUAAAUCCAUUAACUCAACUAUGUAUAGAGGCAUGAUAGGUUCUUUGUUAUAUUUGACCGCUAGUAGACCCAACAUUAUGUAUAGUGUAUGCUUGUGUGCUAGAUUUCAAUCUUGUCCUAAAGAAUCUCACUUAAGUGUCUUAAAACAAAUUCUUAGAUAUUUGAAAGGGACAAUGGACAUAGGCUUAUGGUAUCCUAAGAGUGAUAACUUUGAAUUAAUUGGAUUUUUGGAUGUCGAUUUUACCAAUUGUAGGGUUGAAAGAAAAAACACUAGUGGCACUUGUCAUUUCCUAGGACACUCACUUGUUUCAUGGCAUAGUAAGAAUCAAAAUUCGGUAGCUUUGUCAACGGUUGAAGCUGAAUACAUAGUAGCCGGUUUAUGUUGUGCACAAAUUCUUUGGAUGAAACAAACACUUGGUGAUUUUGAUUUAUCUUUUGAGCAUGUUCCUAUUAAAUGUGAUAAUACUAGUGCCAUACAUAUAUCAAAAAAUCUCGUGCAAUACUUUAGGACUAAGCAUAUAGAGAUUAGACAUCAAUUUCUUAGAGACCAUGCACAAAAGAGUGACAUAGGACUUGAAUUUGUAAGCACAAAAAAUCAACUUGCCGAUAUCUUUACAAAACCUCUAAGUGAAGAACAAUUUGUUGACAUUAGAAGACAACUAGGAGUGAUUUAUUUAUGAUCUAAUGAUUGCUUCUUGAUGAAUAUAUCUUCUGAUUGCAUGAAUUUCAUGUCAUAUGCAUCAUAUAGACACAUACUUAGAUAAAUGGUCAAAUUUUGACCAAAAAUCAAAAUUCUCUUGGCAUUGGGCAUAAAAAAUUGGGGAUUUCAACUAAAAAGGGCAGAGGGAGGAGGGGAUCAGAAAACGAGAAAAUGCACAAAAUGUGAAAAAUCAAUCUCGUUAACCACGUUGACCAGGUUGUCGACCAAACCAGGACCAAUCAACCAAUUCAUCGGGACUAGGGAUUUAAAAAGACUCCCACGCAUCAUUUUCUCCAUUGUUCUCCUCCAUUUCUUUAGGGUUUUUCACAUUUCGGCUUCCAGAGAUCAGUUUAAGCAAGGUUUAGACCGAUUGAAGGCUUUGGAUUGGAUUUUUAGGAGGAUUGGAGUGUAGGGUUUCGGUUUUGGACUACACUUUCUUCCUCCUACGCGCCAUAACCAGGGUUUUCUUCAUUCUUGCGCACUUAGGGUUUCAGUUAUGAGUGCUUCUCUCUCUACCAGCCUCGUCUCCUUUGUUUCUAUCUUGCUCAUGGCUCCUAGGAGAGAGUUGGCUACCUCUAUGGCACAAGACAAGCGCCCAGCUAAGCCAUUUCAGCCCCCUCUAUCAGAGGCUCGUCGAUAGGCAAGGUUUGACACCUCCCUAUUCAGCUCCAUGGAAGACUACCAGCGGUACAAGCAAAAGUUUGCUUAGAGGAAAGUAGUUCCAGGGAAAAGUAUCAAUUUCUCCCAACUCCAGCAUUUCGGAUUUGAGGGAUUGUUUGGUAUGAUGGGUUGGUUGCCUAUGGUGACGAUUUUGGAGCUGAUUUUUUCGAUAUUGGUGUGAGCCUUCUAUUUGAGGGCAACAUAUGGCAUUGGUGGCCCAAUUAUUUCCACCGUUAGAGGAGUCAAGAUUCGGCUGGACUUGGAAAGCAUCUGCCACAUUUUCAAUAUUGCUCUAAUUGGACUUAGGGUGUACGAGUCUAAGAUUUGGCCACUAUGUUGGGUUUUAAGCCUAGAGAGGCCAUUCAGAGAAUGUGCGGACUUGCAGACGCCUAGAGGAUGGGCAAACCAUCAGCCCACAACUUGACCGUGAUCAACAGAAUACUACACCACAUGAUUUGCUCUAUCUUGCUACCACGAGGCGAACACAAAGACGAGGUCUCCUAUUAUGAAGAAUUCCUCAUGGACUCUAUUCUAAUGGGGAGACAAAUUCACUUGGAAUAUUUGAUGAUGAUGCACAUGAUCUCAUGUUGCGAGAGCAUGACCCGUGUACUCCCCUAUGGUUGUUUCCUCACUAGAGUGUUCAAGGAUGUCGGGGUUGAUUUGAGUAGAGAGACAGAUUUUGAGGCCCCCAACAUAUAUGAUACAUAUGAUGAGUAGUCUUUGGGGCGAGUGAAAUUUGAGAAGGCCCCCGAUGGUUCUUGGAUUAGGAGAGUAAAGAGACCACCAGCAUAGGCCUGGGAAUAAGGACAGGUACAUCCUGGUGUAAAAGAGGAGGACAAGAUACAAGAGAUAAAAGGUAGAAUAGACCCUCAGAGAGGCUUUGAGCUGAAAGAUCUCGAGCUUGACAUUCCUCCACUCCAGUCAGAGGUUGUUUAGUUUGAGGCCAUAUUUUCUGAGUCGAUAAUGUUUGAGCUGACUUACACAGCGGGACCAUCUUCUCAGCCAUCAUUCACUAAGCCUCCUCACACAGAGAUACCACCUCAUUAGGCAUCUCACACUCUUAAUCAUGUGCCUUGGAUGGAUCUAUCUGCUCAAAUUAGCUCUCUCAGCACUCGUAUGAAGGAGCUCGCAGUAGUUAGUGAUACUUGAUUCUACUCCAUGGAGGAUCCAUUGAAUCGAUAUCAGACUGGUUUCACUUCUCAGUUUGAGCAUUUUCAGCAAAGAUUUGAGCGUAUGGAGGAUCACAUGGAUCAACAGCAGGCUGCGUUUGAGCAUCUCCAGCGAAGGAUUGAGCGUAUUGAGAGUCUCCAAAAGAGUUAGCAUGAGGAGAUAAUGGCUUACCUAUGCUCCGUGUUUCCACUUCCACUUCCUCAGCCUUGAUUUCAUAGAGACCUCCUUCGUUUCUUUUUUAUAUUGCCAAAAAGAUGAGAGAUAUUUAAGAUCUAGGAGACUUACAUGCAUAUCAUUGUCAUAUCUUUUGUUUGGAUCAUAUAUAUGAUAGGCUUAUAUGUUUCAUGUACAUUUGACUUAUAUAUGAUAUGCUAUAUGUUUCAUGACUUACACUGUUUCAUAUUGAAAAUUUACAUGUCUUGAUUAUCUUGGUUUUAACUUCAUAAAUUUUGAUUGAUUGAUCCAUGAUUGGUUUGAGGGGGAGAUUUUUCUUCUCCUAGAUAACCAAGGUUUAUCAUCAUAAAAAAAGGGAGAUUGUUAGCCCAAGGGUUCUCCUAAUCAGGUUUUGAUGAUAACAAACCAUGGUAAAUUUACUAAUUGGAUUAAAUUGUAAAGAAUCUCAAGUAUUAAUUUGAAAAUUCAUCAAAUGACCUAAUGGAUACAAGAUCAAGACGUCUGGAAGACCUUUAAUCAUAGAAAAUAAUUGUAAGAUGAAUGCAUGGGUGCACUUAGGUUUUACAUAUCAUUUCAUGCAUUUUUGGAAAACUCGAUUUAUUCUUUAAAGUUAUAAUUUCAUUAAAACCCGAGUUUUAUCAAAUGUACCUUCAGCAAAACAUUUCAAAAUUAGUAUAUUAAUUUACCUAAAGACCUUUCCUAAGUGUUAGAAAAGAAAAGAACAUAAAAAGAUAGGUUUUCGGUGCCCAAAGGUUGAACCGAUCGAGGCAUUGGGCCAACCGGCUCAACCGGCCAGGGUACCGGUCGAAGAGUGCUAAAAACACUCUCUCUCAUCCAGUAGUCUUCCCUUCCUGCUCGAGGUAUCCUUAUUCUCGGUUGACCUCUGAUCGAGGUCCGGUUGAAGCAACGGUAACUUGCUAAAGCACUAAAUGCUCCAACAGUUAGUGAACUAGUCAACCCACAGCUCGACCGAUUGUGGCUGCUUUUUGUUUUUCUUGGCUCUCGAGGUUAGAAACCUAUAAAUUGAGAGUUUCACUUCAUUUAUGACAUAGAGAACACUUGCAUUUAAUUGUCUACCCACUUGUUCUUGCCUUAAAAGCUCUCAUUUCUUUCUUGGUGCAUUAAAUCUUCACUUGCAUAUCUUUUAGUGCACCCUUGUGAGUCAUCCUAGCUUUGAUUUGUAUUUGAGCCAUUAUUGAGCUAGGUUGAUAGAAGAUCAUCCCUGUAAAUUUAGUGUUAGAGCCUUCAAGUGAGUUGAAUCUUGAAGAGAUUGUGUAAGAGCCCAUUAGAGUCGGAAUCCAAGUGUAAAAGAGAUUAGAAGCUUGGUUGAAGCUUCAAGUUAGUGGAAUCCUCACUCGGUUAGGAGAUUGAGGAGAGUGGACGUAGGCAAGGAAGUGUUGAACCACUAUAAAAUCUGAGUUUGAAUUCUCUAACUCUAUCUCUUUAUAUUUGCUUCUAUUGUGCUUGAAUUUGUUGUGUUGAAAAAGUUUUUGAAAAACCCAAUUCACUCCCCUCUUGGGUGUUUUUCUCAUUUAAGAUUAGCUUUUAUUUUCUCAAAUACUAUAAAAAAAAUUAAAGUAAAUUAUUUUUAAAAUUUUGUUAUCUUUUACAUUUACAAUUUAUAUUUUAAUAGAAAGAAGACUAAUAGUGCAUUUUAUUGGGGAUGAAAUAUUUUAGUCUCCAAUAUUGAGUUUUUACAACAAAACAAUUUCUUCUCUAAUAAAUUUCUUUAUUCCUCCGUCUAAUGGUAUUAAGACAAUAAUUUUGUCCCUCAUUGUGAGGUUUUUCCUCUCCAAAACUAUUUAACAACAAAAGUAUUUUUAUUGCCCAUUAUUUACCUUUUGGGACGACAUUAAGUUUUCAUCUCCUAAUAUAUUUUUUACCAUGAAAUAUUUUGUUGUUAAAAUUUAUGAUGUCGUCACAAAUAAUUUGGCCUCAUUUCACACUCAAUUAAAAUUUUAGACACAAAUUUUUGUAACAAAGUCAAAUUUUGUUUCCCAAAAUCAAAUUUAGAGACAAAAUUAUAUUCAUGUCCAAAAAAAUUGUGCCAAAAGGUAGAAUUUCUUGUAGUGCCUUUACUUAUUAGAUGAACGAUAAAAAAUUUUCCUUCUCAUUCUCUCUCUCUUUAACAUGUAAGCUAAAUAAAUAAAUAAACAAGAAUACAUUUCUUCAAAUACUUUUACCUUAAAUUUUACUCUAUAGAGAAUAAAAAUAGUCAAUGGUAAAAUCAAUCUCAACAUUUAUCUCUUUGUUCUUCUCUUUUUUAUUUCUUCAUCUAUCUCUCUAGGGGUUUUCUAUCAUCUCCAGAUUCUUCAAACUUAUAUAUAUUUAAAACUAAAACUCCCCAAACUUGGUUUAAAAUUUGUAACUCCCCAAUCGUGGUUUAAAAUUGUAACUUUUUUAUUUUUUUUAUUUUGUUUUUAAUAACGUAUCCUUAUCUUUAUCCUUAUUAUUAUUAUUAUUAUUCUAUGAACUAAAUUAGGAAUAUUAGACUAUCCCCUCUUUUAAAAAAAAAGUUUAGUCUUCUAAACCUAGCAUACUUGAAAUUAGAAAAAAAGAUGUGGAAACUUUUCCCUCAUCUCAUCUUCAAGUUCCCAAAUCACCUCUCGUUUGGAGUGAUUACUCCAUUGAACUUUAACUAAUUUGAUUGUUACAAGAAGAAACAUCUUAUCCAUCAUGUCAACAAUCUGAAUUGGAACUUCCUCAUAAGAUAGAGUUUAUGUGAUUACUACUCAAAAAGUGCUCUUUUAUAGCUUGAAAUUAACUAUUUUAAACACUUUUGAGUAGUAGUUAAUACUUUUUAACUCAAUUGGCACAUUAAGGAACCUAGCAAGGGUUACUAAUCAGUUUUUGGCUAGUUUUGGUGUUUUUGGUAGCUUUUUUAUCAUUGAAACAAGCAAAGAAUGAGGGCGAAUUUUGUGCAAUACAUGGCAAUGCAAGUCGAAGCUCAAAUACAUGAAGAAUCUGAGUUUUGGAGCACUUCAUAGCCCUUUGCCAAGCUUGGCAAUAGGUUGCCAAGCCAAUCAGAGAUGUAAGGAAGAAAACCACAGGAAAAAAUCCAACAUGUAGCAAUUUUGAAUGUCUAUGCGAAAGAGAAGGAACAACUUCAGGACUGAGUGAAGGACAAUUUUGCACACUAUUCAAAAUUUCACACACCCUGCGAAACCACAAGAUGCAACAAAACUGAAUUUCGCACACCAUGCGAAAUUUCGCAUGGUUUGUGAAAUCCUCCUGUGCACCAACUCUGUUAGAUUUUUAUCUCUAGAUUUUGUGUAAAUUACUAUUUUCUCCUAGUAAUCAACCAAUGAUAGGAUUUCUUGGUUAGGAACUAUAAAGGGGGGUUGGAAAGACCUCUCCAUAGAAUAUCUUUUUAUAUAAUCUUUUGGACAUAUGACACUUGUAAUUCCCAUUGGAAGAAAUAAAUAGAGCCCUUACUCUGCCCUUCCUUUUCAUUUUCUUUUCAUUUUUCUUUCUAGCCAAACGACCUCUGAGGAUGAUUUCUCAGGGGAUGAGUGGCUAAGUUUUACGUUUCUUGGAGUGAUGGAAACUAGGUGAAGAAUCCAGAUGCAAAGGUGGGAGUUUUCCUUGCUUUAAAUGAAGGUAGUUGUUAACCAUUAAUGGUUUUUAUUUCAAGGUUUAGCUUUAAAUCCCUUAUGAUUACUACCCAAAGAGUGCUAUUUUAUACCUUUAAUUCAAUAUCUUUUAAGCACUUUUGUGUAGUAAUUCUCCAUCUUUAUUCCAAUUGGCAUGUUAAGGACCUAGCAAUGACUUCUAAUCAUAUUUGUGGCUAGUUUUAGUGUUUUGAUAGCCUUUUGGAUCAUUAAGACAAGCUAAGCAAAAGAAAGAAGCAAAGAGAAGCAAAGUGAAAAAAUCAGAGGACAGCAGCUGUAGUCUUCUUUCGCACUUUUGGAGCACUUACCGAAGUCCAUUUUCUACAUGCUAUAUACCAUUUCAAAGCUCAGGAAGUCAAGAAUCCAACGCUUCAAACUGUGUACGAUUUCAAGCUGAAAUGAGGAAGAUAUGGCCUUCGGAAGCCAACCGCUCCAGGUUGUGCGAAAAUUUCGCACGACACCUUGUGUUGUGCGAAAUUCGCACAACACCUUCAAAAUUCGCACAACCCAUGCGUGGUGCGAAUUUUGCUCUGUUUUUGCCGAAUCCACUUUAGAUAUUUUCUUAUGUAUUUUUUGAUGUAAUUUCCUUUCUUAUCCUUGUAACUAACCAAUCACAAGCUUUUGCUUUUGUAAAGACUAUAUAAGGGGUGGAAGUCACCUCUUGAAAAAAUACAUGUUACGUUUGACACUUAGAAAAUUUACAGAGCUCUCUCGUUUCUCUUUUCUCUUUGCUAUUUUAUUUUUCUUGGAAGCCAAAUAAUCUCUGAGGAUGUUUUCCCGGAGGAUGGGAGGCUAAACUUUUGGUUUCUUGGAGUAAAGGAAGCUAGGUGAAAAGUCCAGAUGCAAAGGUGGAAAGCUUCCGUGCAUUAAAUUCAGGUAGUUGGAGUUCAUAAAUGGCUUCUAAAUCCAAAGUUUUGCUUUAAAUCCCUUAGAAUCACUAUGAAUGGCCAAUACAUAGUAAGCUUCAGGUCUCUAUGGAUGCUUAUUGCUAGAUCCAUAUCAGUCCAUUAGUUAUCAUGUACGAGCCAUUGGAAAGUGGUUCAAGGUGAAGACCCUUAGUGUCUUAAGCCAUUAAUGGACCUUGACUACCAUUUCUAUUGACUUUUUAUGGAUUAAAUCUUCAUUGUCAAACCUAUACCGGUUCGGGAAAUAACUAUAGGUUAAAUCCCCAAUGCGAGGAGAAAAAUCCGGAAUUUUCCACUUUGCAUUCUGAAAUUGAUCCUAGCAACCCUUAGCUCCGGGAGACUUUCUUUAUUCCAUUUUCACUUAGUUUAUGUUAGUUUAGUUUCAAACACUUUCAAAACAAAUUUUAUUUUCUUUUUAACUUUAAGUUUUUGAUAAAGGAAAUCAUUAAAUUCAAUUUCUAAUCUUGAGUAUAUCACUGGUAGAAUGAAAACCCAUCCCAGAGUUCGACCCUAGAGCCACUAUACUAUAGUAGCUUUGCUACGCUAGUAUGAGGUCAUAGGUUUUAUAAAUGUUUUUUAUUAAAUGACCCAACUGGAGUUAUACGCAAAUCACCUUAGAAUCACCUUGAAUGGCCAAUACUUGGUAAGCUUUCCAGAUUCUAUGGAUGCUUAUUACUAGAUCCAUGGACGUCCAUUAGUUAUCAAGUAUGAGCCAUUGGAAGGUGGUUCAAUGUGAGAAUCACCUUGAAUGGCCAAUACUUGGUAAGCUUUCCGGAUUCUAUGGAUGCUUAUUGUUAGAUCCAUGAAUGUUUAUUAGUUAUCAAGUACGAGCCAUUGGAAGGUGGUUCAAGGUGAAGGUCUUUAGUGUUUGAAGCCAUUAAUGGGAAGCAACUACCAUUUUUCAUGAACCCUUUGGAUCAAAUCUUAAUUGCUAAAUACAAAACCGGUUCGGGAGAUAACCAUCCUUUAUGUUAUUGUCCCCUAUGUGAGGAGAAGAUCUGGAAUCUCCCCCUUUGCCUAAAGAACCCAAUCCUAGUGACCUAAAGCUCCAAGAGACAUCUCUUUGUAGUUAACUUCAAUUGCUACUUUUGCUUAACUUAAAAUCAACCUUUUCAACCACAAUUCCAUUUUCUUUAAAAGCUAAUUUUCAUAAUGAAAAACACCAUUUCAUUACCUUUACUAAAGUCACUUGUACGAAGAAAACUCAUCCCUGUGGACGAUCCUAGAGCCACUAUACUAUAGUAGCCAUGCUACCCUAGUGUAAGGUGAUUUAGGUUUUAUAAAUUUUGUUGAUAACACCCGUCUGGCGAAAGAAUCAAAUGGCGUUGUUGCCGGGGAUGGUGCCAAAGUACAUUGACAUUACUUUUGGUGAACACUUGUGAUCUUCAUCACGAGUUUGGUGAUUUUUCUUUUACUAAUUCUUUUUCUUUGUCUCUAUUUUAGCUUAUCUUUUAUUUAGUUUUUAGCUAACCUUAACCUCUUUUUAAAAUUGUAUUUCUUUUGUUUUCUUUGUUUUUGUUUCAAUGAUCUCUAGUUGUGCAUGCCCUAUUGGAUAAGAGAUAUUGAGGGAAGACUUGUGAAGAUUGAAACUCCUCAAGAAACUGAGUUGGAAGUGUGCUUGAACAUCAUGGAUGUUCCACCUGAAGACCAGAAUAGCCAACAUGGUCAAGAGGAUAAUUUCAAUGCAUACCGAUCCAUGAGGGACCGCAUGCAUCUACCUCGUAUGAGUGCACCUUCAUGCAUAGUGCAUCCUAUUGAGCAACUAGUAAUCUGACCUCACAUUAUGCCACUCCUACCUACUUUCCAUGGGAUGGAAAGUGAGAAUCCCUACUCGCAUAUUAAGGAAUUCGAGGAGGUUUGUAAUACAUUCCAAGAAGGAGGAGCUUCAAUUGACUUGAUGAGGCUCAAGCUAUUUCCUUUCACCUUGAAGGAUAAGGCCAAGAUUUGGCUCAAAUCUCUAAGGCCAAGGAGUAUCCGAACUUGGACUGAUUUGCAAGCCGAGUUUCUCAAGAAGUUCUGCCCUACUCAUAGGAUCAAUGGUCUGAAAAGGAAAAUUUCUAACUUCUCAGCUAAAGAGAAUGAGAAAUUCUAUGAGUGUUGGGAGAGGUACAUGGAAGCUAUUAAUGCUUGUCCUCACCAUGGCUUUGACACAUGGCUCUUAGUGAGCUAUUUUUAUGAUGGUAUGUCUUCUUCAAUGAAGCAACUUCUAGAAACUAUGUGUGGAGGAGACUUCAUGACUAAGAAUCUAGAGGAAGCCAUGGACUUUUUGAUUUAUGUGGCUGAAGUUUCAAGAGGAUGGGAUGAACCAAACGUUAGAGAGGUGGGAAGAAUGAAGUCUCAACCUAAUGCUAAGGGUGGGAUGUAUGUUUUGAAUGAAGACAUUGACAUGAAGGCAAAGGUUGUAGCUAUGGCAAAGAGAUUGGAAGAGCUAGAAAUGAAGAAGGCACAAGAAGUGCAAGCCAUUUCUGAGACAUCAGUGCAAGCUAUGCCUUGUUCCAUUUGUCAAUCUUAUGAGCACUUGGUGGAGGAAUGUCCUACCAUUCUAGCAUUGAGAGAGAUGUUUGGUGAUCAAACAAAUGUUAUUGUUCAAUUCAAGCCCAAUAACAAUGCUUCAUAUGGUAACACCUACAAUUCAAAUUGGAGGAACCAUCCAAAUUUAUCUUGGAAACCAAAGCCACCUUAGUACACAUAACCUGCUCAAACACCUCAGCAAGCCUAGAAUCUUGAACAAGCUAUUGUGAACCUUAGCAUGGUUGUGGGAGACUUUGUGGGAGAUCAGAAGUCCAUCAAUGCUCAAUUGAAUCAGAGAAUUGAUAGUGUGGAGAGUACAUUGAACAAAAUGAUGGAUAGGAUGCAAAAUGAUUUGUCUCAGAAGAUAGACAAUGUCUAAUACGCAAUCUCAAGGCUUACCAACCUCAACAUAGUAGGAAAGUUUCCUUUUCAACCUCAUCAAAAUCCCAUGGGUAUCCAUGAAGUGGAGGCUCAAGAGGGAGAAUCUUCAAAGGUGAGGGAAGUUAAAGCAGUUAUCACCUUGAAGAGUAGUAAAGAGGUUGAUCAGCUCACAUCCAAGCCAAAGCAUGAUGAAGAGAGUGUAGCAGAAAAAAAAAAGUGAGUAAAUUAAAGGAAAGAAAAAAGGGAAAAGUACAAAGAAAGAUGACCAUGAUUCUAGUGUGAAUAAAGAACCCAAGAGGAUAGUCAUCAAGGAAGAUAUGAUGAAGAAACACAUGUCUCCACCUUUCCCUCAAGCUUUGCAUGGUAAAAAGGGAACCAAUAAUACAUCAUAAAUUUUUGAAGUGUUGAGGCAAGUGAAGGUCAAUAUCCCUUUUCUAGACAUGAUCAAACAAGUGUUGACAUAUGCAAAAUUCUUGAAGGACUUGUGCACUGUAAAGAGAGGGUUGAAUGUGAACAAGAAAGCCUUCUUGAUUGACCAAGUGAGUGUCAUCAUAUAGUGCAAGUCUCCAGUAAAGGACAAAGAUUUGGGCUACCCUACCAUCUCAGUGUGUAUUGGAGGGACUUGUAUGGAGAAAGCUUUGUUGGACUUGGGAGCAAGUGUGAAUUUGCUACCCUACUCUGUCUACAAGCAGUUGGGACUUGAAGAGUUAAAGCCAACAUCCAUCACUCUAUCUCUUCCAGAUAGAUCGGUGAAGAUUCCAAGAGGGAUGAUCAAAGAUGUCUUGGUUCAAGUUGACAAAUUCUCUUAUCCAGUAGAUUUUUUUGUUCUUGAUACGGAUCCGGUUGUCAAAUGAACUAAUUAUGUUCCUAUCAUACUUGGAAGACCAUUCCUAGCUACAUCAAAUGCAAUCAUCAAUUGAAGGAAUAGAGUCAUGCAACUCACAUUUGGCAACAUGACAUUAGAGCUCAACAUCUUCCAUUUGUGCAAUAAGCAUAUCCAUCCGAAAGAAGAAGGAGGUCCAAAGGAAGUGUGCAUGAUUGACACUUUAGUGGAAGAACAUUGUGAUCAGAGAAUGCAGGAGGAUUUGAUUGAGAGUCUUGGGGAUCUUGAUGAAGGGUUACCUGAACCCUCAUAUUUGCUUGCUACCUUGUCUCCUUAGAGGAGGAGAUAAGAAAUUCUACCCUUAUUCAAUGAGGAGGAGACAUAAAGAGCUGCUAAGGAGGAGCCCCCAAAGCUUAUUCUUAAGCCACUACCCACAGAGUUGAAGUAUGCAUACUUGGAAGAAGACAAGCAAUGCCCUGUUGUUAUAUCUUCAACUCUUACCAUUCAUCAAGAGGAUUGUCUACUUGAAGUCCUUAGAAGAUGCAAGAAGGCUAUAGGGUGGCAAAUUUCUUAUUUGAAAGGGAUUGGCCCUUUAGUAUGCACCUAUCAUAUUCACAUGAAGGAUGAAGCUAAGCCAGUUCGUUAACCCCAGAGAAUGUUGAACCCUAGAGAAUGUUGAACCCUCACAUGCAAGAGGCGAUGCGAGUUGAAGUUUUUAAGCUACUUUAGGCCGGUAUUAUCUACCCCAUAUCAGAUAGCCCAUGGGUGAGUCCUACUCAAGUUGUGCCAAAGAAGUUUGGGAUCACGGUGGUGCAAAAUGAUAAGGGAGAAGAUGUCUCUACACGCCCCACUACAGGUUGGAGGGUGUGUAUCGAUUACAGGAGAUUGAAUGCAGUGACAAGGAAUGACCAUUUCCCAUUGCCCUUUAUUGAUUAGGUGCUUGAGAGGGUCUCUGGGCAUCCUUUUUAUUGUUUCUUGGAUGGAUACUCUAGGUAUUUUCAGAUAGAAAUUGAUGUUGAAGACCAAGAGAAGACCACUUUCACGUGCCCAUUUGGCACCUAUGCAUACAGGAUAAUGCCUUUUGGCUUAUGCAAUGCACCAUAACUUUCCAAAGAUGCAUGUUAAGCAUUUUCGGUGAUAUGGUGGAGCGUAUUAUGGAAGUCUUUAUGGAUGAUAUCACCAUAUAUGGAAGUGCAUUUGAUGAAUGCAUAGUCAACUUAGAAGUUGUUCUGAACCGAUGCAUUGAGAAAGACUUAGUGUUUAACUGGGAGAAGUGUCAUUUCAUGGUACAACAAGGGAUUGUCCUUAGGCACAUUAUCUCCAAGCAAGACAUUGAAGUUGACAAAGCAAAAGUUGAACUCAUUGUCAAGUUGCCAUUCCCAACAAAUGUCAAAGGAGUAAGGCAAUUCCUUGGCCAUGUCAGGUUCUAUAGGAGGUUUAUCAAGGAUUUCUUUAAGCUUGCAAGGCCUCUUUGUGAACUAUUGGUGAAGGAUGCUAAAUUCAUAUGGGAUGAUAGAUGCCAAAGGAGUUUUGAAGAAGUAAAGCUAUUUCUGACAACCGCAUCAAUAAUGAGGGCUCCCAACUAGCAACUGCACUUUGAGGUAAUGUGUGAUGCCAGUGACUUUUCCAUAGGAGCUGUUCUUGGGUAAAGAGAAGAUGGAAAACCCUAUGUGAUCUACUACGCGAGCAAGACAUUGAAUGAGGCACAAAGAAAAUACACAACCACCGAGAAAGAAUUGUUAGUUGUAGUUUUUGCCUUGGAUAAGUUUCGUGCUUACUUGGUGGGGUCCUUCAUUGUGGUUUUCACUGAUCACUCUACAUUGAAGUAUCUAUUGACUAAGCAAGAUGCUAAAGCAAGGCUGAUUAGAUGGAUCCUCUUGCUUCAAGAGUUCAAUGUUCAUAUCAAAGACAAGAAAGGAGUGGAGAAUGUGGUAGUAGACCAUCUUUCAAGGCUAGCUAUCGCUCAUAAUUCCCAUGGUUUGCCCAUCAAUGAUGAUUUUCCAGAGGAGUCUCUCAUGUUGGUGGAAGUUGCUCCUUGGUAUGCUCACAUUGCUAACUACCUAGUCACAGGAGAAGUUCCAAGUGAGUGGAAAGCACAAGAUAAGAAGUAAUUCUUUGCAAAAAUUCAUGCCUACUAUUGGGAAGAGUCAUUUCUAUUCAAGUAUUGUGCAGAUUAGAUAAUAAGGAAGUGCGUUCCUAAAGAAGAGCAACAGGGGAUCCUCAAUCAUUGCCAUGAAAAUGCAUGUGGAGGCCACUUUGCUUCUCAGAAGACAACCAUGAAGGUGUUGCAAUCGGGUUUCUGUUGGCCAUCACUUUUCAAAGAUGCCCACACCAUAUGCAAGAGUUGUGAUCGAUGCCAGAGGGUUGGGAAGUUGACACGCAGGAACAUGAUGCCUUUGAACCCCAUUUUGAUAGUUGAUCUUUUUUAUGUUUGGGGCAUUGACUUCAUGGGACCAUUCUCUAUGUCUUUUGGCUACUCUUACAUCUUGGUAGAAGUAGAUUAUGUUUCUAAGUGGGUUGAGGCAGUCUCAUGCAAGCACAAUGACCAUAGAGUGGUUCUCAAGUUUCUCAAGGAGAACAACUUCUCAAGCUUUGGGGUGCCCAAAGCCAUAAUUAGUGAUGGGGGUACUCAUUUUUGCAACAAGCCUUUUGAAACUCUCUUAGCCAAGUAUGGGGUGAAGCAUAAGGUAGUUACACCUUACCACCCUCAAACUAGUGGGCAAGUUAAGUCAGCAAACCGGGAAAUUAAAAACAUAUUGAUGAAGGUGGUGAACACAAAUAGAAAAGAUUGGUCUACCUAGCUCCUUGAUUCACUAUGGGCAUAUAGAACAGCUUACAAGACCAUUCUUGGGAUGUAUCCUUAUUGCCUAGUCUUGGCAAAGCAUGCCAUCUCCUUGUGAAAUUGGAAUACAAGGCUUGGUGGGCAAUCAAGAAGUUCAACAUGGAUUUGAGUAGAGUUGGGAUGAAGAGGUUCUUAGACCUCAAUGAGUUGGAGGAACUGAGAAAUGAUGCCUACAUCAAUUCAAAAAUUGCAAAAGAGAGAUUCCUGCAAAGAUUUUUAAAAUGGACAAAGAGUCUUGCUAUAUGACUCUAAGCUCCACAUCUUUCCAGGCAAGCUAAAAUCAAGGUGGAUAGGUCCUUUUAGCAUUCACCAAGUGCAUUCAAAUGGAGUAGUGGAACUACUCAACUCCAACAACACUAGUAGCUUCAAAGUGAAUGGCAACUGUCUCAAGCCCUUUGUGGAGCCUUUUUCUCAUGACAAUGAGGAAUUCAUCCUCCUUGAUUCACAUUAAGCUUGACAAGACCAGUUUUUGGAUGGACUUAGUCUUUCUAAAGACUAUCAAGUCCAUAUCUUUUUGUUUUAUUUUUUAUUUGAGAGUUUUCUUGUAUUGUAACUUGUUUUGAUUUUGAUUUCUCACUUUAAUUUCAUUUUGGUUUGAUUUAACUUAAGUUUUUGAUGAUCAAUUUCAGGGGAAACUUCAAAGCAGUUGGGCAUGUCCUUAAAGAUUCUUGGCAGACAAAAAACCUUGAAGAAAAAAUUCACCAAGGCAUUUCGCACACCCUUGCAAAAAUUUCGCCGGGUAUGCGAAACCCUUCUCAAAUAGUAAAGUCACCUACUACCAGUUUUGAGCCCUUUAAAUUCCAUUUCGCGCACCCAACACCAGUUCGCACACUCUACGAAAAUCUAAGGGGUCUACGAACCCAUUUCGCACACUCAACACCGUGCGAAACACCCUUGAGAAUUUAUUUUUAAAUACCUCCCGAACCCUAACUCCCCUUUUUUUCCCCCAUUUCGUAAGCACCCUUCCAUUGCCAAUCUUUCUACCACCUUGCGGUCUCUUCACAGUGUCACCCCAUGCCUUAGUUCUGGUUCCGCCCUCUGUUCAGACGCUCCCCCUCCUCGUAUCUCACUCCUCCGUCCCUCUCCCAUUCGACAACCCCCUUCGAGCACGGACCCGAGACUCAUUUCUCCAUUUCACUCGGGAGGUACCACUUCCUCCCUUUAUUUUCAAUUGCUCUUGACACAUUGAGGGUAAUUUUGAUCUUGGUUGGGGGGAGAGUUGAGGAAGGAAGUAUUGUUAAUAAUGCUAGGCUAAUUUGUUAAUUUAGUUAUAUUUUACUUAAUUUUAAAAUUUUUUACUCUACUCUCCAUGGUUAUUAAGGAAAAAUUCUCAAAAUGAAAUGGGAGAAAUUGAGUUCUUAUCUCUUUACUUGAAUCUUAGAGUUUGUAUUAUGCUUAUUGAGGUUGAUGAAUUAUUGAAACUCCUAUUGAAUUCAACCUUAAUUCUUCCACUUUAAUCUUACCACACAUUAUGCACAUUAGGUUCCGAUUAUAAGAUGAAAAACUAUCUCACCCCCUGAACUUAGGAAAAUUUCGACUUGGUACCUUUGACCUCAUUUUAAUAGUGUUGGGACACCUUAUAAAAGCCAAUGAGCCUUCAAAAAAAAAAAAAAAACAAAGUGUUUCACUUGCCUUCAAACCCGAGCAAGGUCCAAGGAGUAUAUGGUGAAAGUCUUUAAAACCCAGUUCCCUAAGCCUUUAUUGGUUGGGAGUCACCGACCUCAAUGAUCGUUACAAGGGUGACUAGGUGGAGUUUAACAUAUUGUAGGUGCUUGGGUAUUGAAUUUCAAUCUAAAAAAUCCGGGGUGAAAUCUGAGGAAUUAGUUGUCGAAAGAUCCUUAAAGCUUGAUGCCCUAAACCUUGAUUGGUUGGGAGUCAUCGAUGGAUCCUCGUUACAUGGACACUUUAGAAAACAAUACCUUUAGCAUUGCACUCCUACGAUGAAAAAAAAAUUGUGAAAUAAAAAAGGUGUGUUCUUAGCCUAUUGGAGGUUGGUCAGUUUGCUAAGGUUUGAGAAAGAACUAGGUUAGGGGGAGAGAAUAGUUCGACAUACUAUAAUCGAAAACUAAUAAGCUUAACACUUAGAUUUUUGUGGAAGAGUAAGGAUUGGACCUUUGGGAGUGGAAAUUCUUUUGAUGCUUAAAUUUUCAUAAUGUCUACUCUUUAUAAAUUGUGAUUAAGCAAUAUAUUUGAUGACUCUUGUUGAAGGUUGGGUUUUGCCUCUUUGAUGUUCCAUGAGAGAGUAUGAUCCGCAUCAUGCCACUUGAAAAUUUUUUAGACUGAUUAGCAUGAUUUUUUAAAUUAUUUUACUGUCUAUUUUUCUUUAUCUCUCCUUCAUUGCUAAGGGACUAGCAAUGUGUCAAUUGGAGGGAGUGAUUACUACUCAAAAAGUGCUCUUUUAUAGCUUGAAAUUAAUUGUUUUAAACACUUUUGAGUAGUAGUUAAUACUUUUUCUCAAUUGGCACAUUAAGGAACCUAGCAAGGGUUAUUAAUCAGUUUUUGCCUAGUUUUGGUGUUUUUGGUAGCUUUUUUAUCAUUAAAACAAGCAAAGAAUGAGGGAGAAUUUUGUGCAAUCCAUGGCAAUGCAAGUUGAAGCUCAAAUACAUGAAGAAUCCAAGUUUUGGAGCACUUCAUAGCCCUUUGCCAAGCCAAUCAGAGAUGCAAGGAAGAAAACCAGAAGAAAUUUUGCAUAUCAUGUGAAAUCAAGAGAAGGAGCAGCUGUAGGACUAAGUGAAGGAAAAUUUCGCACACUGUGCGAAAUUUCACACACCCUGCGAAACCACAAGAUGCAGCAAAAAUGAAUUUCACACACCAUGCGAAAUUUCUCAUGGUCUGCAAAAUCUUCCUGUGCACCGACUCCAUUAGAUUUUUAUCUCCAGAUUUUUGUGUAAAUUACUAUUUUCUCCUUGUAAUCAACCAAUGAUAGGAUUUCUUGGUUAGGAACUAUAAAGGGGGGUUGGAAAGACCUUUCUAUAGAAUAUCUUUUUGUAUAAUCUUUUGGAUAUACGGAACUUGUAAUUCCUGUAGGAAAAAAUAAACAGAGCCCUUGCUCUGCCUUUCCUUUUCAUUUUUCUUUCUAGCUAAACAACCUCUAAGGAUGAUUUCUCAAGGGAUGAGUGGCUAAGUUUUACAUUUCUUGGAGUGAUGGAAACUAGGUGAAGGACCCGGAUGCAAAUGUUGGAGUUUUCCUUUCUUUAAAUGAAGGUAGUUAUUAACCAUUAAUGGUUUUUAUUUCAAGGUUUAGCUUUAAAUCCCUUAGAAUCGCCUUGAAUGGCCAAUACUUGGUAAGCUUUCCGAAUUCUAUGGAUGCUUAUUGCUAGAUCCAUGGAUGUCCAUUAGUUAUCAAGUACGAGCCAUUGGAAGGUGGUUCAAGGUGAGAAUCACCUUGAAUGGCCAAUACUUGGUAAGCUUUUCGGAUUCUAUGGAUGUUUAUUGCUAGAUCCAUGGAUGUUCAUUAGUUAUCAAGUACGAGCCAUUGGAAAGUGGUUCAAGGUGAAGGUCUUUAGUGUUUGAAGCCAGUAAUGGGAAGCAACUACCAUUUUUCAGGAACCCUUUAGAUCAAAUCUUAAUUGCUAAAUACAAAACCGGUUCGGGAGAUAACCAUCCUUUAUGUUAUUGUCCCGAAUGCGAGGAGAAGAUCCGAAAUCUCCCCAAUUGCCUAAGGAACCCGAUCCUAGUGACUUAAAGCUCCAAGAGACAUUCUCUUUGUAGUUAACUUCAAUUUCUAUUUUUGCUUAACUUAAAAUCAACUUUUUCAACCACAAUUCCAUUUUCUUUAAAAGCUAAUUUUCAUAAGGAAAAGCACCAUUUCAUUACCUUUACUAAAGUCACUUGUACAAAGAAAACCCAUCCCUAUGGACGAUCCUAGAGCCACUAUACUAUAGUAGCCAUGCUACCCUAGUGUAAGGUGAUUUAGGUUUUAUAAAUUUUGUUGAUAACACCCAUCUGGCACAAGAAUCAAAUGGCGUCGUUGCUGGGGAUGAAUCAUUAUGCUAAAUGAAUCAGUUCAAGUUCCACAACAUGUGAAGGAUCAUAAACAUAAUUUUUUAAAGCUGAUACGUGAAACACAUUAUUAACCUUUUCCAAACUUGGGGAUAAAGCCACCAUUUAUGCUAAGGAGCUAACUUUAUCCAAAAUUUCAAAUGGUCCCACAAACCUAGGACUAAGUUUUCUUUUCAAACCAAAUCUCAUAACUGACUUAAGAGGUGAUACUAUAAGAAGCACAUGAUCACCAACCUAGAACUCCAAAUUUCACCUUCUAUUAUCAUUAUAACUAUUUUGUCUACUCUGAGCUAUUUUUAAUCUUUCUUUGAUUAAAGCAAUUUUUUUACAAGUUUCUUGAACUAAUUCUAGUUCCAAAAAUUUUAUCUCACCAACCUCAUCCCAAUAAACAAAGGAUCUACACUUUCGGCCAAACAAAGCUUCAAAAGGUGGCUUCCUACUAUGAAAAUUAUUGUUGUAGGCAAACCCCACUAAGAGUAGAUGGUUGUCCCAAUCACCUCCAAAAUCUAAAAUACAUGCCCAAACCAUAUCUUCCAAAAUUUGAAUUACCCUUUCUGAUUGUCCAUUGGAUUGAAGGUGAAAGGUUGUACUAAAAUUUAGUUGAGUUACCAUAGCUUUUUGCAACCUCUUCUAAAAUUGGGAAGUAAAACGAGCGUCUCAAUUUGAUAUUAUACAUAUUGGAACUCCAUGCAUCCUCACAAUCUCCUUAACAUACAACAAGGCUAAUUUGUCCAAGGACCAAUUAGUUUGAAUAGGUAAAAAGUGGGUUAAUUUAGUUAGUUUAUAAACAAUCACCCACACAACAUUACUUCCCACCACAAAUUUGGGAAAGCUAAAAACAAAAUCCAUUGUAAUGUGUUCUCGCUUCUAAUUAGGAAUGAGAAGUGGUUGCAACAUACCUAAUAGACGUUGAUACUCAGUUUUGACCUACUGACAACUCAAGAAUUGGGUAAUAAAUUAAGCGACACCACACUUCAAACCAGGUCACCAGUAAAGUUAUCUCUAAUACUGUUACAUUUUGGUCUCAUUGGGGUAGACUACAAAGUUAGAGGAGUGAGCUUCCUUUGAAAGUUCUUUCAUGAGAUUUCCAAGUUGGGGCACAUACGUACAAACGAAUUCUAAAUCUCAAUAUUCCAUCAUCUGGAAGUACAAAGUAAGACUUAGUUCCUCUUCCUAUAUAUAAUUUGAACAACCUGUAGAUCAUCUCUUUGUAAGGACUUGAUCCUCGCAAACAAAUUUGGUUGAACCUUGAGAUGAGCAAAUAAUACUCUAGACUAUAAAACUUCAAAUUAAACUAGCAGUCUAUUCAAUUCGAAUAACAUAUAUGGUUUUCUAACCCUCAAGGCUACUAAAGAACCAAAAUACUUCUUGCUUAAACCAUUUACUACUAUAUUCGCAUCAUCAGAAUGAUAUAGAAUAAAGCAAUUAUAGUUCUUGAGGAGUUCAAGCCACUUCUCUAUCUCAUAUUCAAUUCUUUUUGAGAAAACAAAUACUUUAGCCUUUUAUAAUUAGUGUAGAUCUCACAUGUCUCACCAUACAAAUAGUGUCUUCAUAUCUUAAGAGCAAAAAUCACUAUUGCUAAUUCCAAAUCAUGAGUAGGAUAGUUUCACUCAUAAGGUUUCAGUUGCCUAGAAGCAUAAGUGAUGACUUUCCCAUCCUGCAUGAGAACACAACCAAGCCCUUAAUGUGAAGCAUCACUAUAAAUAACAUAACCCCUAGAACUUGAGGGGAUUAUUAACAUUAUAUUCUUCAACUCUUGGAAGCUUUUCUCACAACCAUUAGACCAUAAAAAUUUGACCCUCUUUUGAGUAAGCUUUGUUAUUAGAGAUUCCCUUUAAAAUGUUUGUAAUAACCAGCUAAACCUAGGGGACUCCUAACCUUAGUUACCGAGUUAGGCUUGCUCCAACUAAGUCUACUAAUAUUCCCUCCUUGGAUAUUGCAUGGCUAAGAAAUAAAACUCUAUCCAACCAAAAUUCACAUUUCUUAAGCUUAAAAAAAAAAGUUGAUCUAGGUUUAGGAAGUAAGAAAAAAAAAAUAAUAAUAAUAAUUAAUAGUAGUACGAUGAAUGUUUUCUCUAAUUUAACCCUAGACAAAAACAAAGUCUUCAUGAGUGUGAGAGUUUUUAUUAUUAUUUGAAAGAAAUUUAUAUACAAUACAAUUCUAAAAUAAAAAAUCAGUAUUUAGUUUGAAGAAAAAUUCUAUAGAUUUAAGAAAUAAGGUUUCCAAGAAAAAUAUAAAGAUAAAUACAUUUAAAAAAAAUCAUUUUAGUUGUUCAAUAAAAGAAUGUAGUGCAUAAUGGAUAUUCGAUGUGAAUAAAACAUGAAUAAUAAAGGAAAAUAGGAAAAAUAAAAUAUGCAAUGUACAAUAGAAAAAAAAAUAUUAAUUAGGAUAAUUAAAAUAUAUAUAUAUAUAUAUAUAUAUAUAUAUAUAUAUAUAUAUAUAUAUAUAUAUAUAUAUAUAUAUAUAUAUAUAUAUUAAUUUAGUACUCAAUAAUGUAUGAAGAAAUAAAGAAUACAUUCUUACAUUUAAAUUUAAUUAUUAUAAGAAUAAAUUGGUACCAAGUGAUAUAAAAUUUCUAUUAGGUUAAAAUAGGUUUAUAUUAAUAAGAUUUAUUUUAUUUUUUUAGGUAAAUCCUAAGUUUAAUCAACUUCCUUGCUCAGUUCAACUUUUACCAGGUAAGGAAUUAUGAUCCUUAAAUAUUUUCUAAAGUAUUAUUUUUCUAAAAGGGUAGGAAAAUAUUUUACUAUAUGAAGAAUAUUUUAUAUUGUGAAAAAUAUUAUUAUUAUUAUUAUAUAUUCUGAUAUCUGGCCCUAGUCAAUAGGGGUUGUGUUGUUGGCCCUCAUUACUUAAUUGUAUGAGGAUUGGAAAACCUAGUCAAUGGGGUAGUUUGAUGGUACCAUCUGAUUGGUUAGUCCCUUCUGAAUUGAAGGAUCAUCCGUUUCUAAAGAUACCAUUAGUUUGGGAAAAUAAAAUUUUUUUUAUGCCUAUAUGUUUGAAGAUUAUAUUAUGUGUUAUGUCACUUUCUUUUUUUAUAUAUAAAAUAAAUUGUUAGUAUUUUCCUUAUUGAGCUAAAGCUUACUACUUUUGCUUUUCAAAACCCCUUUUAGGUUCCCCAAAUGUAGAUGGAAAUAAGUGACAUUGAAUAUAGGAGGGGUUCUUGUUAGUUAAGUUUAUGGAAGGCCUUAAAGCCUUUGUUUAGACAUGAUGAUUUGGACCAUGUGUUAUGUUUUAAUUAUCAAGUUAAUUUGAACAAAAUUAGUAUUUCAUAAUUAUGUGAAUCAUGAGACUUCUAUCUUAGAAAGAUAAUUUUAACUCUAUGUGCCUACUAGAAGGGAAGAAGAAGAAUCACUUUUGCUAGGAGGCAUAGAAAAGCAAGGACCUUAUUUAACUUUGUACGGUACAAUGCCUAUCAUACAGUUGCCCUGAAAUAUCAUUAGAAUUCACCCUUUUUUCCUUUUCUAUGUACAAACCUUUCCAUCCUCAAAGAUUUCCUCCAUAGAUCACAUCCACACAUAUUCAUUCCACACCAACAUUUAUUGUGUUAAUUCAACGUUUAUGCCCAAAUUUGUAAGUUCUGCUGGGAUUGCAGUUGAAGUUAUUGUCACCCCCAAAGCCAUACUUGGUGCGGUACCCUGGGUAGUCCCUAAAAUUAAAGGGCACUUCUUCUAUAAGUCGAAGCCCAACUCUUGAGGCUAGAAAUUCCAAAUUCCACUCACGAAAGAAGCCAUUGCUUUUGUGAGUAAUGUGGAUUUCUCCAUCUAUGUGAAUCAUCUUCUUAGCAUUUUCUAAAAACAGCUGUACCAGCAUUUGAUUUCUCCUGCAAGAAGAAACAAUGAUAUAGAAGGAAAAUUUUCAUGUGAGAAUUGGGAAUACAGGCUAUACAUAAAUUCGAUUGAAGAAGCUUUUCAAAGAAAGAAUCUACCAACCGGAUCUCAUCUUCCCUUGAUUCAUUGGGAAAAAAUCCAGCCAGCGGGAAGUUGUAGACAACUCGAUCAAAACGCAUGCAGUUGAAUGGUAAAACGUGUGCCAUUUUGGUGGCAUCAACAUCAUGCAUGACCUUAGCUCCCAAGCUCCAUAGUGUAUCGAUGUUGGACAAGGCAUGCCUAUAGUUUGUGCUCAAAAACUCUGAAAAUUGCAGUUGAUAGUCAUCAAUUAAGGCCAUAAGACAAACCCCAAAUGGGUGCUGGGGCACAUGCUAAUCAAGGUUUACUCGGGACUAGAAUGAGAAAAAUACCCAAAUCAACCAAAAUCAUGACAUUCAUGAGAAACACUCAAAGAAGGUUACCAACUUAUGAUUCAGGAUUUCUUAUUUGUUACCUAUAGAAUCAAGAGAAGUAGCGGUUAUGUUUGUAGCAGAAGCAAAAGCCACAGCCAAAGACGCAGAGAAUGAAAAGUCCCCUUCACCCACCAGCAAUAUUUUGUAUUCACUGCUGUAGUGCUUUAUCCAUCUUACUCCAUGCUUUCCUUCCUCUAGGUCUUCUUCACAGCUGCUGUAGUCCCACCAAUUUUUUCCUACCGCUCCUCUGGUUCGUUCUUCGUUUUCUUCAAUUAUGUCGUAAUGGUGGAGCCGUGCAGAAACUUGCUUCUCAUCACCUACAACUUGGACUUUAAAUUUUGCAGGAAUUAACAGAUCCAAUGCAUCAUCAGACCUGGAAUUGCUGCGUGAGUCCAAGCUCAGUGGAAAACCCAGAGAGUUUCGCUGCGAUGCACCACUGAUGCCUGAGUUGCUGCUUGGGACAGAGCUCAGUGGAAGAGUCACUGGAUUUGGCUGGAAAUGGGAUGCACCACUCACGCUAGAGUGGCUGCAGGAGCUAGAGAGUAGUGAAGGAUGAGUCUGUAUCUUUGGCAGAGCAUGAGAAGUACCACUUGGCCUGGAUAGGCCACACGAGUUGGAGCUGAGUGGCUGAGGAGUCUGCACUGGUUUUGGGUAAAAAUGGGUUGUGCUGGAUUGGCUGCAUGAGCUAGAACUUAGCUGUUGGUGAGUCUCUAGUUUUGGUUGGACAGGGGAUGAUACAGUCGUGCUGGAGAGGCCACAUGAGCUCAAGUUGAGUGGCUGAUGAGUCUGCACUAGUUUUGGGUAAAAAUGGGUUGUGCUGGAUUGGCUGCAUGAGUUAGAACUCAGUUGUUGGUGAGUCUCUAGUUUUGGCUGGACAGGGGAUGAUACAGUCGCGAUAGAGAAGCCACAUGAGCUCGAGUUUAGUUGAUGAUAAGUCUGUAGUGUUGGCUGAAGACGUGAUGCACUACUUGUUUUGGAGUGGGUGAAUGGGCUAGAGCUAGAGUUAGAGCUAGAGCUCACUGGAGGCGGAGGAUGAGUCCGUAGAUUUGUCUGCAAUGCGUAGUCCCUACAUGAUUCUAAGCUCGGUGGAGAAGUAAAUGGAUUCGGUGGCAACGCAGGCCUUGAGCUUGAAGAAUUGGUGUCUGAGGCAAAUCUCGGCAGAGAAAUCAGGGGUAGUUUUUCACUUGGCUUCUUUUUAUCAUCUUUUUCACCCCACAACCAGCGAAUAAUAACGGAGAGAAUUUGACCCAUUGAAUCACCCGUCCCCCCCUUCUUUUUCUUCUUCCUUCAUCAAGGAGCCUGUAAACAUAGAAAUGUCCCUUGUCAUGAAAACCUUGCGGGCGUGCACUGCAAUGUCAAUGGGCUUGACACAGGUCCCACCAACAUUGCAUUAAAUUUUCCUUCUCGGACAAGUAAGAUAAGGAAUGCCUCUGCCACAUGCUGUUGAGAAAAAUAAGAAGAUAUUACCCACAAAGCCUAUCAUGUUAACAUUCAAGUCAUCCCACAUCAGAAUAAGAGAGAGGCUUUUCGGUCUCACCCGUUCCCUCGUAAAAAGGGCUUUACCACAUAUUUUUCUUUUUAUUAUUAUAUUUUAAAAUUAUCGCUGCAGUAUCCUUUCAUAACAUAUUAAAUCAGGUAUCAUUUCAUAUCAAAUCAUUGUAGCCUGCUUGACUACUCCAAUUCCCAAGCCUUUCUCCUCCUUUUUGAAUGUUGAUUCCAUAAAUGUCUAGUUUCCAGUGAUGUAGGGUUGUGUGAGUCUUUCUCUGCCAUAUCAGACCGAGACAUUAAUAUGACUCAAAUGCAAUAUUCAUGUUAGAAUACAAAGGGAUUCAAAUUGCCAACAAAUAACCAAAAAUCAUCUUCACAGCCAAAUCUACAACUACUAAACAUCUUUUCCCUGUAAAACUAGUAAAAUUUUCAUCCAGACAUGUUGAUUAACUAUAAAAGAACAUGCUUCUGCAUUCAUCCCCAUCUAAGUUCAGCAUUUUAGCAGAAACCCAAUAUGAAAAAACAGAAUGACAGAAAGGGUAAAAGGGCGCCAAUAUCAAUACCAUGCAUGCAGAUGAGCUUGUGGGUGAUGAGAGCUUUGUUGAGACCAGAGAUCAAAGCUCCCAAAUCAGAGUUUUCCCACCAAAGAUCGGACGAGAUCAAACACUAGUGAUGCUUGGCUUGCAGGAGAUCCAUCAGUGUUGGGUGUGAGAAAUGAGAGUUGUGCUGAGAGUGAAGGGGGAGCAAUAUCAGAAGGUAAAGAAGCUUCCGAUGAUUCGUACGUCCAAAGACUUGGUUGGACCUGGCCAUUUUUAUGCUACGUGGAGGCACUCUAUUCGGAUUAAUAAAGUGAUAAAAGAAAAAAAUUAGGAAAGAUUCGAAAGAAGUCCAUUUCAUCAAGGAAUUUGAUACCCAAAGUGAUGGAAGUAAUUAAAAUAGAUUGAUGAUGAUGAUGAUGGCUCCACCAAACAGCAUUCCAUACCCAACCCACCAAUCAUAAAAUUCAGUGACAUGGGAGUGGAUAAAGCAAAAUAAGAUAUACUAAAAUUAUUUUAAAAUACUUUGUAUUUCCAGAUAAUUUUUUAUUUGGGGAUCGGCAAAGGAAACAAAGUUGAAGAAUUGUUUUAAAACAAUUUAUUCAUUUUAAUUUUUUUUAAAUUUUCUUUCACUUGGUAAAUAUUUCAUAAUUUUAAAAAUUAUUAUAUUAUUUAAUUCAUAUUAUUUUAAUACUUAUCAUUAUAAAAAUAAAUAUGCACUUAAAUAUUUAUAAAAAUAAACAUUAUAUAAUUUUUGUAAAAAUUUUCGUAAAGCCAACAGUUGGUCUAGUGGUAGCAAUCUCUUUUUUUUAUUGCUGCCUUUUAGGUUUGAUUUCUCAUACUCCUCUUUUCUACAUAUACCCAUCCCACAUUGAAAACUUAUACAAGCAUUUCCUCCCAUAAAUUACAUAUGAGCUUGGCAUAGAAAUUAGUUACUUAUAAUGUGGGCCAUCAAAAUAAAUAUAUUUGGGUUGUACAUCUUUUAGGGCUAGGUUGAGAUCGUACAACAUAUUUUUAAUUUAACUCAACUUGGAGGCAUUGGCAUCUUCCUCCAGGUUCACACUAUUUAUGAAACUCUAUGUAUUUUUAAUAAAGUUAAGAUCGUACAACAUAUUCUUAAUUUAACUCGACUUUGAGACAUUGGCAUCUUCCUUGGGGUUUACAUUGAAUCAAUAAAGAGGUGUUCACAUUAUCAUAUGAAGAACUCUAUGUGUUUUCAAUGAAGUUGAGAUCGUACAACAUAUUCUUAAUUUAACUCGACUUGGAGGCAUUGGCAUCUUCCUUGGGGUUCACAUUGAAUCAAUAAAGAAGGGUUCACAUUAUCAUAUGAAGAACUCUAUGUAUUUUUAAUAAAGUUGAGAUCGUACAACAUAUUCUUAAUUUAACUCGACUUGGAGGCAUUGGUUUCUUCCUCCCAAAUUCAUUGUAUGUGUAAAUGACAUCUUCCUCUUAAAUUCAUUGUAUGUAUGUAUAAAUGAAAGAAAGUUGAUUCGAAGAUCCAAACAAUCUUCUACUUUUAAAAUUUUAUGAACCCAAUCUAUGAUUUUCCAUUUAAAGAAAUCGACAAUGAACUAAAUUCAACCAAAAAUUACAUACAUAUCUAUAAUAUAUAAUAUCCAUUAGCUAUAUUACCAACUUAAUUUUAUUAUAGAGUAGCAUACCACAUCUAUAUAGUUUAUAAUUGAGCUACUUAGUAAUGUUAUGAGAAGGUUAUACCAAUAGCUAUAAACAUUCAUCUCCUCGAGUUAGAAUAAUAUGACUUGACAUAGAUUGCAAUAAUGUAAUUUAAAUAGGUCUCUCAUCUACUACUGUAGAUUUUUUAAUCAUUUUUCUUUUCUUUUAAGUGAAAGAUUGGUAAUUGGAGGGUUGGAGUUCACUUAUUCUUUCUAAAUUUUAUGGUUUUGGUUCAAAGACUAAUGAAAAGAGUUGAAGGUUCUAGGGGUUUCCAUGAAUAUCAAGUAGAAUAUGUAUCAAAUUGAUCAUGAUAAGAAUAGCAUUAUGAAUCUUAAAUUAUUUGACUAAUUAAAAAAGAAAAAACAGAGAGAAAAUAUUUUGAAGCAAAAAAGUAAGAAAGGACUCUAAAUUAGUAUUAUGUAUGAAUAUCGAGUGGUUAGCAAAUAAGUUACAAAUUAUGGUAACAAGAAACCACUGGUGUCACAAAAAUAUGCAACUUAUGAAUCUGGGUAUUGUUCAAAUGAUAGUUGAAAAAUAUAGUUUUGAGUGUUAGAGAAAAAAAAAAAAGACGAAAUAAAUUUGUUCAAUAUUAUAUCUACAUAUGGAUGUAGGGUUGGCAUUACUAGUUUUAUAUAUGCUUUCCAAUUUGUUUUCUAUAUUAUCAAUCACUUGUCCACACCUCUCUUGUCUCACAAAUCUUCUUUUGAAUAACUAAGUAACACAUUACCAAAUUACUCUACUAUUUGUAUCUUUGGUUCUAAACCUUAUGCAACACCUAUGGCCUCUAGAAUCGUGCUCUUUAUUAAUUAAAGACAGUACUCCUCUCUCGGACCCCACUCUGUAUAUAAAUCUUGUUGGGUUUUAUAGUAUUGCACCAUUACUUGCCUUCACAUUUCUUUUAAUGUUGAUAAUUUAUGUCAAUUCAUUCAUGCUUUAACUCACAUUCACUUUUAGAUAGUUAAAUGACUUCUUUGGUAUCAUAAGGGGGUUGUUCAUUUCAUGGUCUUACUCUUCAUGUAGCCUAUUUUUUGGAUCUUUUGUUUAUUUUGAUACAUGCCGGUAUAGUUGCCGGAAGAAUCAUUGGAGUACAAUGGCUAUUGUGCUUUCUUUGGAAAUAGUUUUGCCUCUUGAUAUGCUAGUAAACAAAAGGUGGUCUCUCAAUCUGGUAUUGCAUUUGAAUAACAUAGUUGCAUUUGAAUACCAUGUUAUUUACAAAUACUACCUCAAAAUUGGUUUGAAUUCAAUUCAUGUUUUUCCCUUAUUCCAUACACCUUUUAUAUUGUGUGACAAUUUAAGUUCAACCUAUUUGGCUAUGAACCCUAUUUCACAUUCUCAUAUCAAAUAUGAGGAUAUUGACUUCCCCUUAUGCAUAAUCGAGUACUUCAACAAAUCAUUAGAUGUCAAGUUCGUGUCUUUUACUCAUCCAUUGGUAGAUGCUAUAACUAAGCCACUACCUACUCAAAUUCUUAGGUCUUUAUCCCAAGCUCUUAGUUCUUCCAAGACAUUGAGCUUGUAAGGAAUGCUAGAAUAUAGGUCAACUAGCUCAACAUUCUUUUUAUCUUGUUAUAAUGAAAAUUAUAGAAUCUUGUUGGAGUAAGUUAUGUAAUAACCAAAAGUGGUAAUAACUAGGGAAUGAGCUCUUUGAAAGAGGGCAUUCAAAGAAGGAAAAAUACCCUCAUGUUCUUUAUGAGUAUGUAGAUUGCACAUUAAUAUUAAAUACAGAUGUGAAGUUAUAAUUAUAUAUAUAUAUAUAUAUAAAGGAGUACAAGUGCAUAGAGAUGGCAAUGGGACAGUUUGGGAUGGGUGACCCAUCCCAAUCUCAUCUCAUUUAUUCAAAAUAAUUUUCAUUCCUAUUGAUUCAUGCCCAGUUGGUGUAUCAGCUGAUUCAUGUCCAACUGGUGCUCCUUGAUGGAGGGAGUAAUCAACAAUAUUUAUAACCUAUUACACCAUGAACUAAGGUAGCAAAGACAAAGCUACUAUAGUAUAAUGGUUCUAGGAUUGUUCACUAGGAAGGGUUUCCAAAUUACAAAUGAUACCAAUUCAAAGUGAAUUGGUGCUGUUUCAUUUCAAGGUUAACUUAAGAAAUAAAACUCAAACCUUGAUUGGUAAAGAUUUAGAUUCAAACUAACUAACAAAACAAGUAAUGGGAAUAACUUAGGAAGAAAAACAUUCCUUAGAGGGUCAAGUUCACUAGGGUGGUUCCUCGUGCAAAAGACAUAGCUCCGGUCAGAUGGUUCAUUUCCUUGCAUUAAAGAUUCAACAUAUAGUCAAUUCUCUAACCGGUGUUGUACAGAUACAUCUUUUAAUUAGAUUUCAACUUUAAUUCUCUCACUGAUGCAACUUGCAAUGGUUCAAACCUCUCACUAAGCCUUAACCAUUCAAGGUGAUCUUUAACCUUGGACUUCCCUUCUCAAGCUCGCAAGAGAUAACUAAUGGAUGUCUCCUUGGAGUCCAAAAGCUUACCAAGUGUUGGCAAUUCCAGAAAAUCCUACCUUAAAGUCACCUCCUAGAGGCUCACAAGGGGUAAACUAGUGCAUCUCCUUGGUUGGAGAUCACUUGCCUUACCAAGUGUUGGCCCAGGUGACUCUAAGGUGUUUUAAGUUAACUAAAAACAUAGAAAUCACUAAAGGAUUUCACUUCCUCUUCAUUAAUGGCUGAAACCACAAAGCUUUGCAUUCUUGCACUUGGAACCUUCCCCGGCAACCUUAGCUCCAAGGAACUAAAGGUUUAGUUACUCAUUCUCUGGGGAAAAUUCCUCAGAGAGUGCAUAACUUAGUAAGAAAUAAAAAAUACAAAGUGAGAAGGUAAGGCAAAACAAAGAGCCUGAACUUUACUUGCUUUCAAACUUUUACAAAAAGGUUCCUCCUCCUGAGAACAGGCUCUCGAGAGGUAUUUAUAUAAACAUAAUACAAAACUAAUUAUUACAUGGAUAUUUACUCUUUUUCCUAACUUAAAAGCUAAGGAAUCUUGUAAUUGGUGGCUUACAAGGAGAAUUUUGGGAUUUAGACAACAAAAAUCUGAUGGAAAAUAUCUCCCAAUGUUAGUAGCAAAUAUCGGGACGCACUAAGGACCAUUUCGCAAGAGAAAAUGAUGUCUGCGAGAUUUCGCAGACACACAAAAAGGGCUGCGAGAUCACUUCGCAACAAAAGGUUAUUCUCGCAGGGCUGCGAAGUUGGCUUUCAUCUUGAGGUUCUCAGCUUCCAACUUGUCGCAUAUAUCGGGCAACUUCAGGAGGAAAUCCACCACACUAUACAAAAAGGCUGCGAAAUCACUUCGCAACAAAAGGUUAUUCUCGCAGGGCUGCGAAGUUGUCUUUCAUCUUGAGGUUCUCAGCUUCCAACUUGUCGCAUAUAUCGGGCAACUUCAGGAGGAAAUCCACCACACUGUACAAAAAGGCUGCGAAAUCACUUCGCAACAAAAGGGUGAUUUCGCAACACUUUUUGUAAAAUGCUUUCUUCAGCUUAGAGUGAUUGACUUGCAGUGACUGUAACUUCUUCGUUUCAACUCCAAAAUGUGCACCGUUUGAAGCAUUGGAUUGUUGACUUCCUGAGCUUUGAAAUGACAUAUAGCAUGCAUCAAUUGGACUUUAGAAAGUGCUCCAAAAGUGGCUGACACGACUGUCAUCAAGAAUAUGCUUCAUGGCAGAUUCUCUUUACUUCUUCUCCUUGCAUUCCGGAUUUACUUAUGGCAAAGGACUUCAAAGCUUCGGUUCUUCAUGUUUCUGAGCUUCCAAUUGCUUUGCCCAAGAUUCCAUAUAACUCUCCUCAAUCUCGGAUUGCUUUGGUGAUCAAAAGGCUAUCAAAACACCAAAACUUAACAUAAUUUGAUUAGAAUUGAUUGCAAGGGUCCUUAACAUGUUAAUUGGGUUAAAAGGCAAUAACUACUACUCAAAAGUGUUUAAAAGAGUUUAUUAUAAGCUAUGAAAUAGCACUUUUUGAGUAGUAAUCACCUAUCCCAAUUAAAAAAUUAAAUGGAAUGGGUGUGGUAUAAAUUAAGGUGAGGUGAGAUAGGACAAGACAAUAUUUGAAAUCACCUUGAACCUAUCUUGGGUUUUUAAAAAUCUCAAACUUGUUAAUAACCUAUUUAUUUAAAUUUUAAAUUCCCUCCAUUAAAGGCAAGGCAGAGUAGGUACCCAAAAAAAAUCCACCCAUUGUCAUCCCUACAAGUGCAUAUUAAAUAAAUUAAGGGUUAAUUGGUUAAAGCGGUCAAAAUAACCUCCAUAUUUGCAAAUAUAACCCAUCAGUCAAAAAGCAAAAAGGUUGACCUGGUUGAGACAAAAAUACCCUUCUUUUUUCUCUCCAACACAUACAACUUCUCCUCUUCUGCUUCAUUUACAGAACGACUCCUCAUAUUUUCCAAAAAAAUUCUCUCAUCAUCUUCUUCUACUUCAUUAUCUUCCUUUGGUGCACAAAACGGAAAUGUCAUCUCCUCUUCCGCUUCAUUUAUAGAACGAGUUCUCAUCUUUCAUCAUCUUCUUCCUUUGAUGCACAAAACGAAAAUCUCAUAUUUCCUUCAAAAACCCUAGAAAAUUUCUCGUUUAUCCUCUCAUCCUUUGUUUCAUUCCGAAUCCUUGGAAAAAUUAUUAUUCUAUUUUUUUUCAAGUUAUCUCAUAUUAUAUUUUCAAGCACGAAGGAAACAAUGAGUUCAUUGAAAAGUGAUAGGAGAAAAAGAUUUUUAAAAGUGGCAAAAAAUCAAAAAUGGCAAUUACGAACAGAAGAAAAAAGUGAAGCAGAAGAAAGUGAAGCAAAGGAAAGCGAAGCUACUUAGCAAAAAUCUCAAUUACCAAUAGAAGAGGCAAGUGAUUCUGCUAAACCGGUGAGUGUAGUCUUCACAUUUGAUAAAUUAUUGAAAUUUUUAGAGAUGUUAUACAAUAAUAUUUUAGUAUGGUUAAGUUUAUUAGUUAAAUGCACACACAAAAAAAAAAGAUUUAUUGAAUUGUAUUCAAAGUAUAAAAUUGUUAUAUUUAUAUAUAUAUAUAUAUAUAUAUUUUAGUUCUCCAUUAUUAUCAGUUAUGUAUUUUGAGUGAAUAAAUUUAAGUUUGUUAGCUGACAUUUGAAAAUAUUUGGGAACUAUUAUAGUGUGUUGAAAAAUAAUAAAUUGCAUAUUAAUAUUGUUUUAGUUUUCUGUAUUAUUAUCAAUCAUGUGUUUAGAGUGAAGUGAUAUAUUCAAUAUAAUAACAUCUAAUUAGGGAUAAGUUUACAGAUAAUUUAUGAAAUUUUAGGGAUUUUUGGAAAUUUUAGGGAUAUUAUACAUUGGUGUUUUAGUAUGUUUAUGUUCCAAAUGCAAGCAGAUGAUAUUCUUGUUGACUAUGUUAAUGGGCUUCACCCAAUUCCUUCCAUGAAAUGGUCUAAGGUGGACAUCGUCUAUGUCCCUAUUAAUGUCUGAAGUAUGCGUUAGGUAUUGGGAGUAAUUCACCUUGCUCAGAGGAUAAUAUUUGUGUAUGACUCAUUGAUAGGAAUUAAUAGUGAUAAUCGACUAAAAGGUGAUAUAAUACCUUUAGCUAAAGUGUUACUACGUAUUUUGCAUGCUACAUCAUAUUAUGAGAAGAGUGGCAAUCCUAAGAGUGAAGAACAGUGGGACAUUGAACAAUUGCAUGAUGUUCCUCAACAAGAGUAUGAGUAAGUAAACAAAUAUCCAAACUUCAUCUUAUCAUUUCACCUUUAUGCCUUAUACAGUAAAUUUUUUUUAGUCAUCUUAAUUUUGAUUAUUUGUGUUUAUGCAAUGGUGAUUGUGAGAUGUUCCUAAUUAAAUAUGAAAAAUACUUAAGGCAUGCUCAUCCAUUCAGCUCAUUGACCGGUGCCCGCAUUAAUUGGUUUAGAGAGAAAAUGGCAACUGAAUUGUUCUACUUCAAAAAUUUACCCAUGUAGUGGGUUUCAUUUUGAUUGUGUAAAAGGUUUAUAUGUUGUUGAGUGUUGACUGUUAUUUUGGAUGAAUUUGACUUGAUGCUCAAAGUUACAAUUUUUGUAAUGUAACUAUAAUUGUCAACUUAACUAUAGUUAAGUUAUUUGUUAAUGCAAUUCAACAAUUAUUAAGUUCAAGUGAAUAUUCUGAGUGUGAAUUUAACCUCAAUUAAGUUCUUUAUUAAUGCAACUCAACCAUUGUUAAGUUCAGGUGAUAAUUCUAACUGUAAACUUAAUUGUGGUUAAGUUUUUUGUAAAUACAACUCAACUACUGUUAAAUUCAGGUGAAAAUUCUAACUAUGAACUUAACUGUGGUUAAGUUAUUUAUUAAUGCAACUCAACUACUGUUAAGUUCAGGUGAAAAAAUAAACAAAAAACUUAACCACAAUUAAGUUCUUUAUUAAUGCAACUCAACCAUUAUUAAGUUCAGGUGAAAUUUAUGACUGUGAAUUUUCUUACCAUUAUUUGACCUUGUCAUAUGGAUAAAUCUUUUCAACUUCUUUUAAAUGAACUUUUCACUUUUUCAUAACUAACAAUGGAGUCUCUAUUUUUUACCAACAAUGUUGAAGUCAGAUUUUGAAUUUUCAAGAAAUAGAAAGAAAUAAAAUGAUAAUAUAAAAAAGAAAUUGUUGGUUGUUUACAUUUAUUUUUUCAUAUUUUCGUGACCAAGAAUGAAGAAUAGAUGAAACAAUGGUAAGAAGUUAAACUUGUUCUCUGCAAGAAAAGAGAGAGAAUGAGCAACCAAUGAUCGAAUAAAAAAAUUAGAACCUAAUCUGCUAUAAAACAAAGGGAAAGGGAAAAGAGAAGUUGUAUAUGUUAGAGAGAAAAAAGGACAUUUUUGUCUCAACUGGGUUAACUAUUUUGCUUUUUGACUGAUGGGUUAUAUAUGCAAAUAUGGGGGUUAUUUUGACCCAUUUAACCAAUUAACCCAUAAAUUAAUGUGGUGGCUCUAAUGGAGACAUGCUUAGAAUAUGAUAUGAUGGGAGUAUGAGUAUAUAUGCAAAACAUAGAAGAAUAUAGAACGUAUGAAUAAAUGUAACUUUUGAGUGUGAGAUCAUAACAAAUUGGGUGCAGCAUAUAAAAAUAUAUUGCUUUAAGAAUUCUGGUGGGCUGAGUGUUUUGGUAUAGGAAUUAUUGGAGAGAAUAUGGAAGGCAAAAAUCUGGAAUAUUUUGGAUAAAUGAAAACUCACUUGUUGAUACAAACUCACUUGGUGGUCGUAGAAUUCCAAAUUGAAGUGCAGCACCUUAAUAUUUUUGGACAAGAGGUAUAAAUAGGAGUCAUACCUAGAACAUAGUGUAAAUAUACAGUGUAAAGUAGUAAAUAAUCUUAAAUAUAUAUACUAUAUUUGAUUAUAUGUUAAAAAAAAUGAUUUUCUCAUAUUUGGUUUCAUCAUAGAAAAUACGGAAAAAAUAUCAAAUAUAAUUAAAAUUAAUUAAAAAUUUAAACAUUUUAAAAUUAUUUCAUAUUUACAUAGAAGGAGAAAAGGAAUGAAACACGUUUGAAUUAAUAUAUUAAAAUGAAUUAAUGAUUUUAAUUUUUUUUUUUUCAUUUUUUUUCUUUUCUUUAACUUUUCCUUUAUUUUCUUUCUUGUAUCUUCCCUUCAAUUUUCCAGAAACCAAACAUAGUUAAAAUAAACAUUUAAUUUGAAUUUCCUAAAAUAACCUAAUGGGAAUUUAAUUUAUUUUACUAUUUUGCAUUAAUUUAUGAAAUAUCUAUUUUUCUGUCCAAAUUUAGAAAUUUUUUUUUUGUAUUUUUGUAAAUUUUGUACAUGAAAUUUAUUCAUUCAAUUACACUAACAUUUAUAAGACAGUAUACAUCCUUAUCUGUAGCAUAAACUUUUCUUUCCAUUUUCACUAGUGUUCUUAACAGGCUAUGUUCAGACCCAACAAAUCCACUCAUGGUUCUUCCUUGGCAACUACGGAUCAUUGAAAACCAAAUCUCAAUGCUCCAUGCAUGAACACAAUCCCUCCAUUCGAGUCAGGUCUCUGAUGUGUUUGUGCCCAUGGCUGUGGUACCAUAAGCACAAAUUCAUUUCUGAGAAUGAAACAAGCAACCAAACGGACCCCAGGAUACUUCAGUUUGAGAUUUUGACUGGGAUUUUUCGGAAGAUCAUCCCUGAUUUGAAUUUUCAUGGCUCAAAACAUUCCCUAGAUUACUCAGCCUCCAUUAACGCUCAUUUCUCAAUGAAAGCAAAAUGCUGAAGUUUACCAACCCAGGUUCAAACUUAGUACACUUGUCAUAUGAUGCAGGACUGAGCUAAUUCAAAACUGUUCCAUCUCAUGUGGCAAUCCUAAAGUCAUAUUGCUUCCUUCCAGCAUUACAGAACAAAACUCAAAAGGUAAAAGCAAAGCAAAACUCAUUCUGUGUCGUAUCAUGCUGAACUUAGGAACUAAAAUAUCUAUGGUUAAACACCUGGAAAGUAAUAACUCCAUGGUUCCCUAGGAUGGGAUCAGUCCAAGUCUCAGGAAUUUGAAAAAGAUUUUAUGUGCCAGCAUGAAAAUAAAAUUUAGGCCCAAAGAUCCCUGACCAAGUUAUCUUGGCCUUCACAACCCUCUCCCAGCACAUUAUCAAGGGUAUCUACUUUGUUUCCCGAUGGAUAUUUAGACCAGCUUUCACUAAAAUGGUUUUGGGGAUCAAGCAGAAAGUACAAAAUAGAUUGUAUGCCAUUCUAAAUAGAAUGCAUGUCACACCAGGACUGCAAUUUGAUCAUGAAAAUUGACAGAGAUCAUCUCACCUAGAAGUAUGAAUUUCUAUAAAAUUUACAAUAAUUCCUGCUCUCCUGCAGACAAGUGUACUGAGACAAAAACCAAAAACAAAAAGAGGAGUAUAGUUUUCACCUAUAGAACAACACCGGUGCUUAACUUGUAUUCACUAGCAAACAAGGCAAAAGGUGCUCACUUCUCAGAAACAUGUUCUAUUUCUCCUUCUUUACAAGUAGUGAUCAGGACCCAAUAACAUCCUUUGUAGGAAUGCUGAUCUCAACCUGCUCAAAUGUUGAAGCUCUUGCAGAAGGUUUAUGUAACCAGUCAAGGUUCUUCCUGGACCUUCAGCCAUAUAUCUUUCAAAGCUAAGCCUAAGUGCUUCAUGAAUAGUAUAGCCCAUAUCGUAACCAGUUCUUCCAAAUGUUUCCACAGCAUGAUUGAAGUAUCCAUCAAAGAUCCAUUCAUUGCUGACAGAGAUUGUUAAAGGUAACCCCAUAUGCCUUGGGAUGCCAUUCAUAUUUGCUAAAAUAUUUCUUCCAGGACCUCUGUAAUCAGAUGAACCUGGACACUGCUGCAUUUGCAUUAGAUUAAUUUGCUGAGAUCCUCGGUGAUUUAAAUCAGAGUGGCACACGAUUCUGGACAUUUUCAUAGCAGUGGGGGAGAAUCUGAAUUUGAAAGUACUGCAAGCUCCCAAACGGAAGGGCUCAUCACAUCUUGAACCAGCUCCUCUCUUAUUGUUAUAGCCUGGGUAGUCCUCUUUCUUAAAAUCAACACACUCAAACAGCACCAGAGAGUUUUGAGAAGCAAGUUCCUCAAGAUUCCAGUGGGAAAAUGGAGCUGUGGUUUUGUGAUUUACAUGAAUUUCACCAUUGGCUCUUAGCAUGCCACUUGCAUUCCUGAAGAAACCAUGCACAAGAUCCCUAUGCAUACUGUAGCAUAAGAUGGGAUGACAACAUAAGUACAAUCCACACAGAAUUAAUAAAGAAAUCAGCCAUUCUAUAAAAGCCUUAGGUACAACUAGAUUGAACCAUUUGAAAUCAGCAGAAAACAAUGCAUCAAAGAUACUCGUAUUCCUUUUGAUUUUUUUUUUUUUUUUUUGGUUGUCAGACACACUGGUAGAAAAUAUUAUCAGAUGAUGAUGUCUAUAAUUAAUUUACCUGUGAUAAUGAAAAUUUUCUUCUACAUAUUUGUAUCUUUGAUAUAUAUUCUACCACUUCAAAAGAGAAACCCAGCACUCCCAUCAUUUGGAAGCAAAGGCACAAUAUUUCUGGUGCACCUGUAUAGCAGUUAAUCUUGUUUUAAGGUUGUAAGUUAGAUGCCUAGCAUCUGAGCUGAAGACCAGCACAUGGGCCAAUGCCCAUGGUACAUGAUAGUAACAACUAGAAUUCUUGAAAAUACUAUGAAGACAAUAACUGAUUCAGUUACAUGUAGGGUUCCAAAUACCCCACCCCCCCCCACCCCCCCAGUUCAAUCCUUUGCUGCCCUGGCUUUUGUGAUGGAGACUUUGUCCAUCAACAUGUAGAAGCUGAAAUUAUAACAUAAUCUCAGUAUGGAGGCAUUGGAAACCUACACAUGACCAUGUAGAUGUGAUUCAUUUGCCAAUACGAUGAAUCAUACUGCACUUGUGCAGACUCAUGGCUANNNNNNNNNNNNNNNNNNNNNNNNNNNNNNNNNNNNNNNNNNNNNNNNNNNNNNNNNNNNNNNNNNNNNNNNNNNNNNNNNNNNNNNNNNNNNNNNNNNNNNNNNNNNNNNNNNNNNNNNNNNNNNNNNNNNNNNNNNNNNNNNNNNNNNNNNNNNNNNNNNNNNNNNNNNNNNNNNNNNNNNNNNNNNNNNNNNNNNNNNNNNNNNNNNNNNNNNNNNNNNNNNNNNNNNNNNNNNNNNNNNNNNNNNNNNNNNNNNNNNNNNNNNNNNNNNNNNNNNNNNNNNNNNNNNNNNNNNNNNNNNNNNNNNNNNNNNNNNNNNNNNNNNNNNNNNNNNNNNNNNNNNNNNNNNNNNNNNNNNNNNNNNNNNNNNNNNNNNNNNNNNNNNNNNNNNNNNNNNNNNNNNNNNNNNNNNNNNNNNNNNNNNNNNNNNNNNNNNNNNNNNNNNNNNNNNNNNNNNNNNNNNNNNNNNNNNNNNNNNNNNNNNNNNNNNNNNNNNNNNNNNNNNNNNNNNNNNNNNNNNNNNNNNNNNNNNNNNNNNNNNNNNNNNNNNNNNNNNNNNNNNNNNNNNNNNNNNNNNNNNNNNNNNNNNNNNNNNNNNNNNNNNNNNNNNNNNNNNNNNNNNNNNNNNNNNNNNNNNNNNNNNNNNNNNNNNNNNNNNNNNNNNNNNNNNNNNNNNNNNNNNNNNNNNNNNNNNNNNNNNNNNNNNNNNNNNNNNNNNNNNNNNNACUGUUUCCCAAAAGUAUACAGGGCUAAGGACUACAAGAUUAGAGUAUAGUACACAAGUAACGAGUUGAUUCCAAUACAUAUAAAAUACAAGAAAAGGGAAAGAGAGAGACCGUAUGGGUCGAGAGAAGAAGCAACGAUGUUGGAAGCAGAAGCAAAAGAGUGAGCCAAACACAGAGAGAAAGAGAAGUCUCCUUCACCAACCAAGAGAAUUUGAUGAAACGAGGAAUAAUGCAUCAACCGUUUCUCUUGUUCUUCCACACCCACUUCAUCUUUCACCAUUUCCUCCCCGACAGCCAUUGACGCUUUCUACAGUUACAGAACCAGAGAGACUCACUGAGAGAGAAAGGUAGUGAAAGUUUGGCCGUGUUUAAAGGGCUUAUUUGAAAAAUAGAGAUUAUUUUCAAAUAGAAAUAUUUGGGCUGAAUUUACCGAGAUGCCACUGUUACCUGGAUGCUGCAAGCAGUGGGAUUGUCUCGUUUGUGAGCGAUGGAGCUUGGGAGGGGCAUUUUGGGAAUGGAAGAUGCAUGGCAUGGUCGCCCAUUAAUGGUGGCCUGCCCUAACAUUGGGGAGUUCAAGCGUCCUUAAGCUCGGCUCAUAUGGCUUCUGACGGUGCAGAUUAAAAGGGCUGGGGGAAUUACUUUCCUUUUUGGGUUUUUUUUUUGGGAAAAUUGUGUUUUGGCCUAGCUGGGCCCAAAAAUUAAUGUAUGAUUCAUAUAAGUUUCAUAUUUAAGCCCAACACCCAAUGAAAGAGUGAAAAUUAAGAGUAAGGAUAUUGUCUUUAAAAAAUCCCUAAAACGCCCUUAACUAUUAAAUGAAAAAAGUAACCACUCACCUCACCUUUCUCAUUCUCUCUUUGACUCUUUUGCCCUUCUCUCACCUAUUUAAUAGUGGAACCAACUUGAAUUAUUUUUCUUCCUCAAAUAUGAAAGAUGGUUAAAAAUUAUUAUUAUCAAAUAUAUUUUUGAAGUAAAUAACUUUUAAAUACCUCAUCAAAUAUUAUUAUUUUUUUCAAACUUACAUAAUAUAUAAUAAAUAUUUUUUAAAUAUAUUGAAAACUUACAUAAUAUAUAGUAAAUAUCAUUCUUUAUUUCAAACUUAUAUUAUUUCUCAUAUAUAUUAAAUAAUUUUUAAACACCUCAUAAAAUAUUAGUAUUAUUUGUUUACUCCAACUUGUAAAUUAGAUAUCAUCAAAUAUUAUAUUUUUUUUAAAUUUAUAGAACAUAUAAUAAAUACUUUUUAAAUACCUCAUAAAAUAUUAUUAAUUUUUUUUUCUAACUUGCAAAUUAGACACAUGGUGUUUAUUAUUUUUUCAAAAAUUAUGUAAACACUCACAUGCAUAUAUAUAAUAUUAAUCAAGAAAACAAUAUUUUUAAGACUAAUUUACCAACCUUCCAAUAAUUUUGAAAGUGUAAAUAGAGUAAUUGGCCGAAUUAAAGUCUUCAAAAAUAUUCAAAAUUUCUCCAUUCCAAAAUUACCUAAUUGCUCUCCACACUAAUUCUAAAUAUUUUUGAAUAAAGAUUUAAAUAUUUAAAACCAUUAAAUAAAUACUUUCUUAUUAAAGCAAUUUUUUCAAAGUAAUAUGAUAAAAAUCAUGAAAUCUUCAAAACUAUAAUUACAACAAAUAUUUUUUAAUUUUAAAACUAAUUUCAUAAUUUAAAUUAAUGAUUUAAAAAAAUAAAAAUGUUAUAAAAAUAAUUUUUAUUUAUUUAUAAUUUCAUUUAAAUAUGAUUUUUUUAAUCUCUAUUGAUAACAAUGAAAUUAUGUUUAUAAAGGCAAAAUAGUAAAAAUAUAUAUUUCAUUUAGUUUACUUAUAAUGAACAAUUCAAAUAUGAUUGAUUUUAAUUUUAUUUCCUAUGUGUUAAUUUUUGUAGGGAAUGUCUUAAUGACAUAGUUUGGUAAAAAAAGAAAAAAAAAACUAUCAAUAAUCGUCUUAAAGUCAAAUUCAAGUUAUUUAAAAAUCGUACAAAACCUAUUAGGAGCCUUGUACACCCUUGUACACUUAGCACAUUUCCCUUGUACAGUUAGUGUAAUACCUUUGUACAAUGACACAAAUUUCAUAUUUAUCUUAAGUUAUAUGUUCAUAUAGGUGUAUUAAUAAUAUUUUCAAUGGUUUGGUUAAGAAAAUGAUGGAUGACUUAGGAUCAAAUUUUUUUUCCCCAAAUAUCAUAAUUAGGGAAAAUAUUAGAAUUUUCAUGUGAGAGUUAAAUAAAAUGCAUGACAUAGACGUACAAUCUUUGGGUGACAAGGAAAAUAAAAAAGUGGUUUAGAAUUGAUUAAAAUAAUUCACAAAGGGUAAUCUUGUACACCUUUGUACAAUUAGUACAUUUUCCUUGUACAGUUAGUGUAAUACCCUUGUACAAUGACACAAAUUUUAUAUCCCUCCUAAGUUAUGUGUCCACGUAGGAAUGUUUAACCAUAUUUUCAAUGAUUUAGUUGAGAAGAUGGUAGACGAUUUAAGGUCAAUUUUUUUUUCUCCAAAUAUUAUUAUUAGGAAAAAUAUUGGAAUUUCCAUGCGGGAAUUAAAUAAAGUGCAUGACAUAUGUGUACAAUUCGUGAGUGAUAAAAAAAAAUAAAGGAAUGACUCAUAAUCAAUUAUAAUAUUUCAUAAAUGGUAGCUGUCACACCCUCGAAAAUCACCCUAAAAUUUUCACUUGGUGCGUGGUGCUAAGGACCCUUCCUUAGCCAACCUUCCUGCCCAGCCUUCUCAAAACGCACACAAAUAGUGGCAAACCAAAGAAAACAGGGACACAACGAGGUUACAGGAAAUCCUUCCCAACUUGUAUUAAUCUUAACUACAAGAUACAAAAUUGUUUCCCUGAGUCAGAGAGCAAUGCUUACAUCCUAAGCAUUCAGAGACACUUUCCCUCUUCUCUCCCUCUCUCAAGGUUGCAGGAGCCCUUUUAAACGACUCACCCUGCAGUUUUUCCCUUGGUGGUUAUGCAACCGCCCAUAACCCUCCCUGAAGCGCUUGCACAACCACCCACUACCCAGAUGGUGGUCUCUCUAAAAACUGCCACGUGGCUUCCUCUCUCUUGGACACGCAGACGUCCCCCUUUCGACGCGUGGCAUCACUCAUUCCACCCGGACGGAAAUUCUCCCUCAUUCCACCCGAACGGAAACUCUCCCUUAUUCCACCCGGAUAUAUCACAUCCGAAAUCCUGUCCGCUGACAUUCCAUCCACCCGGAUAUCUCAUAUCCGGAAUCCUGUCCGUCGACAUUCCAUCCACCCGGAUAUCUCACAUUCGAAAUCCUGUCCACCGACAUUUCCAUCCACCCGGAUAUCUCACAUCCGGAAUCCUGUCCGCCGACAUUUCCAUCCACCCGGAUAUCUCACAUCCGAAAUCCUGUCUGCCGACAUUCCAUCCACCCGGAUAUCUCACAUCCGGCGCUUGUCACCGGAUGGGAGAGGAGGAUGAUUCAACUUCCCCGGAUAGACAUGUUCGGAUCCUUCGGUAAUGCUUAUCCGGAGAACAUCCGUGGCCAACGAUUCAGAUUCCCCGGAUAGCUUGGCUUGUCAGAUACUCGCGACUCGCCAGAUCCACCUUAGCUCCUAGGGUUUGAACCACCAAAACUCCAGGCUUUCCUUGCUUUCCGCCUAGGCUCUCAUGGGUACAAGGCCUACCCAUGAGGCCUAUUUCUCCGGGUCUGAAUCAAGUGGCUAAGGGGCUGACGGUAGCCUUGUACACCUUUGUACACUUAAUACAUUUCCCUUAUACAGUUAGUAUAAUACAAUUGUACAGUGGCGCAAUAAAUGAAUAAAUAAAAUUUAUUAUUUUUUUAUUUUCAUAUAAAAAAAUAGUACUAAACAAGGUGUAGACCCCCAUUUAGGCAUGGGUCACUUUUUCUCUAUUUUUGUUUUUGCAGAUCACAUUUUUAACCAGGUGUCACUAUCCCAGUGGGCCACGUGUCACAUCCUUAGUGGCCAUAAGGAAUCAACCUCGCUUUUUGAAGCUGCAAUAGGACUUUGACACUUGGAGGAACUUUUUGGAGGGGGGUCCCGCAGGCUGUUGGGUAGCUAUAGAAGGAGUGGGACAGGAAAAGGUGGUUGCAGCAGAGAUCGUGGGAAAGGCAAAUCUGAGAGAGAAAGGAAGAGAAAAGAGGAAAACAGGAAAAUGAGGGAAAAGAGAGGAGAUAUUGGGGAAGCAGUAGAGAGAGUGAGAGGUGUUUUCCAUGAUCGUUUGAGAAGGAUUUUUGAGCAGAGCACCCACAAAAUAUGAAACAGUGAGUUGGAAGCCUCAAAAUAUCCAGCAGAGAAAGGGAUUUCCAAGUAUGUUUAUCAAUCCUCUAUAUCUUUUAUUGACAUUUGAAUGCUCAGUGAUUUGUUUGGGGUGGAUAUUAAAGGCCACUUGUUUGUUUGUUGGGAUGUAACCAUCUGUUUGUGCUUGCUAUUGUGAAUAUAAAUUUGGUUUGCCUCUAUUGUGAUUAUGAAAUGCCCGAGAAUCACGCCCAUGGUAGCUUUUGAUAUGAUUUUCCCACCUGCUCAGAGGACUCAUUGAUGAUUCAUGAAGUGAAGUCUCUGUAGUUUUAUCUAUUUAUUCGUUUUCUUUGGUGCUCUGUUUUUUUUCCAUCUUCCUCUGUUUCUGGCGCCUGUUCAUGGAAUGGGUUGUUUCUCUGAUCCCUGCUUGAAGGGGAUCCUAGAAAAUCUGGAGUAGUUGUCAUGGCAGCAAAGCUCACCUCAUCAGCAUCCCUAUACCCAUCGUUCAUCUAUCCACCUUUCUCUCUAGAUCUUCAUACCCAUUUCCUCACUCAAGCUUGCAGGAAUCAGGCAUCCUCCACUGCACCCAUUUUCCUCUCAUUCAUUCUCCAUCCCACUCCUCCACUUACAUGGGGUCUCACGGGUACGUGCUAUCCUUCACUCUUUCGCAUACCCAUUAAAACCACUCACUCAAGCCUCCAUAUCCAUACGGCCCACCAAACCCGUUUCUCUCUUUAAACUUUCACCUAUCUGUGGGAUCCUCCCUAAAAAAAUGCCACAUGGCUCUCUCUCCCGUGUGCAAGCAGGCGGCCCCUUUGCGACGCGUGGCAUAGCUCAUUCCACCCGGACGGAAAUCCGCCGCCAUUCCAUCCGGAUGUCUCACAUCCGGAAUCCUUCUCCGCCGCCAUUCCAUCCAGAUGUCUCACAUCCAGAAUCCUUCUCCGCCGCCAUUCCAUCCGGAUGUCUUACACCCGGAAUCCUUCUCCGCCGCCAUUCCAUCCGGAUGUCUCACACCCAGAAUCCUUCUCUGCCGCCAUUCCAUCCGGAUGUCUCACACCCGAAAUCCUGUCCCACUGCCAUUCCACCUUCUCCGGAUGUCUCACAUUUUAAAUUCUCAUCCUUAGGGUUUCAGGUCCUAAAAAUCACAUUUUUAAUAAAAAUUGGUUGCCACUUUCUUUCUGGCAAGCCAUUUUCACACCUUCUCUGUUUUAAAAAAUGUUUUGAAAUAAGCAAAGAAUCCAAUUUUGUAAUUCUGAAUAAUGGAAUUUACGGAUUUGGUCCAUGCAAAAAUAAACGAGCUAUGGUGGGGGCCCGACAUCAAAUAAGUUUCCUUUAAAAUAAAAACGGAAUUGAAUGAGAUACCAUGCAUGAUAUUGGUACUCCUUUAUCUAGUUGGAUGAUAUGAGUGAUAUACUUUAUGUUCAUUACUAUGCACUAACCCUAAUUUGUGAUAGCGCGUUGUCGUUUGCUGAUCAGGUACGCAUCCGCUUCCACUUUGGUUAUUCUCUAUGUAUAUUCUGAUUCUCAUAUGUGCAUGAUAGUUUCGGGUACUCAUUGAUUUCCUCAUCAAUUGCCAUGUUAGCUUCAUUUUAUUAGUAGAGACCCGACUUUAGGGACUUAGAGGGGUGCUACGGUCUUUACCGUACCUUCCCGAUAAGUAACCUGACCCCCGAACCCGAUCCGGUUUUUCGCAGAUCACCUUUUCCAAAUAAGGAGUCACACUUAGGGUUUUCUUUCUUAUUUUGUUUACCCUUUAAAAAAAUAAAACAAAAAUAAGUGGCGACUCCAAGUUAUUUUUUUUUAACCGAUUAAAUCAUUUUUUCGAAAUAAAAAUCAAGAGCUCGCCAUUCGAGUGGGAAACACAUUGAGCCGAAAUGCGGGGUCCACACAAGGUUUUUAAUUUUCAUUUUAAAAAAUACUUUUCAUUUUUUAAUUAAAAAUAUUUUCAAAAAGAGACAAUAUGGAAAAUAAAAAUUAUUUUUAAAAAUAAAAAAUAAAAACUAGAAAAAUAUUUUAAAACCAAACUCAAAUAUAAUCUAUAUAAUAUUUAACUACUUGUUUUCAUCUAAAAUAAGUAAAUAUAUCUUUCAACCAUUUUAUAUAAGAAAAAUUCAAUCUCUAUUAUGUAUUGAUAUAAUCCACUUCUAAAAUUAGGUCAUAUGAAAACAUUUUAAUUGAGUACUUAAAAUAAAAACUUUCUAUCCAUCCUCUUUCUUUCUUUUUCUUUUUCUUAUUUUAAUAAAUUUUCAAUUAAUUCAAAUCAUUAAAAUAAAUCCUUAAUAAACAAAUUUGCAACAUUUCAUAUAACUUAUUAUUAAAAGUCAUGUUCAAAAAGUUAUUAAAAUAAGGAAGAAAGAAGAUUAAAAAAAAUUAAACUUUUUAUUUUAUAAUAGUAAAAAAAAACUUUAAAAUAAUUUUUAAUAUAAAAAAAAUAAAAUAGUGAAUAUAUUUAUUUUAAAUAGUAUUUUAAUCAUUAAAUUAUUUACUUCUAAAAUAUAAAAGAUAAAAAUAAAUGUAAAAUGUAAUUUUUAUUUAUUUAAAUUAAUUUUUUUCGAAAGUAUUUUCCAAAAUAGUCUUUGAAUCAUUAAUAUAAUUUUUGUUUAUUUAUAAUUUAAAAAUAAAAAAAUAAUGUUGAUUUUUCAAUUAUUUAUAAAAGAGUUUAAAAAAAUAAUGAAAAAUCUAAAAAUGGUUAAAUAAGAAAGAAUAGUGGCAUGUAAAGGGUGGUAGAAUAAAGACAAAAGUGAGUCAAAUGAAUAUUUUUGUCUAUUCCCAUCUCAUAUCCUUGUAAUCGAUUAUGGGUGUUUGAUGGACUCUUUAUUAAUUAUCAAAACCAAAUGGGUCUAAAGCCCAAUUCUCCCUUUUUUUUUUUUUGGAAAGUAUGGUAUGUAAUUACAUAAAAUUAAUUAGUAUAAAAUAAUCUUUAGAAUUGUGAAUCUAACUGUUCCAUAAUUUUAUAAAAUAACCAAUUUUUUUAUAUAAAUAUUUUUAUUAUUUCAUGUAUUCACUCCUAGAUUUUUUUUUUCUUAAAUUAUUUUUAUAAGAAAAUAGUGAGGAUGUUUUCAUCAAAAAACGAGACCAAAAAUUGAUGAAAGGUUUAGGAUCUAUUUAAUAAUUGUUUUUGAAAAUUGUUUUAAAAAUAGUUUUAAGAACAGUUUUUAAAAACUGUUUUCUAAUUUUGUAAAAUAAAAAUUUGUUUAAAAAUUUAAAAUAUUUUUAAUAUUUUUAAAUAUGUUUUAAAAAUAACUUUUAUGUCUAGUGUUUUACUUUUAAUCAUUCUAUAUAUUUGUAUAACUAUAUUUUAAAAUAAUUCUCCAAAAACAAGUGAAAACAUAAAAAAAUAAAUAAAAUUUAUUAUCCGAAAAUACCAUAUUUUUUAUUUUUAAAAACAGAAAAUAAAAAACAAUUUUUUAUUAUCAAAUACAUUUUCCUAUUUUUUUGCUCUAGAUAACAAAAAACUAUUCUCCAAAACAGUUAUCAAAUUGACUCUUAAAUUUCUAACGUUGAGUGUUCAGUAACUCUUUUAAUCAAAUAAUCCAAAUAUAUAAAUGUUUUUAAUUGAAAUAAGAAAAAAAAAUUAUGAAUUAUUAAGUGUAAAAAAUAAAAAUUAUUUGUUCACAUGUGUGAAACAUGUCUCGGGAAAAGUUUUGCAAAAUAGGGAUAAUUUGUUGUAUAAGUGAUCAAGGAAGCAAUUUAAUGAGAUUGGUCUAGAAUACAUAACCAAUGCACUGCGGGUAAGUUCAUUUUUCAAGCCACGUGUCCUACGUAUUCGUACAAUUUAGUGGCAUCUACUGAAAGAAAUUGUUAGUUUUGUGGACUUAAUAAUCGUACGCUAAGAGACGCAAGGAGAAAUUCAUGCAAAAUGUGACAUUAUUGAGCUCUGCUAUGAACCCAAUGGAUAGGACUGUUAAAUAGAGGAAGAUCAAAGGCUACAAAUGGUCGGCCAAGGGAGGAGUUCGAGCCUUAAGAGGGCUAUUUUUAGCACAUUAGCUAUGGGAGGUAUGGCUUGGGCAUGUGUGGAGACAACUUGCAUCCACAUGGCCUGAGGCAUGUAGUGGAGGUAUGUCGAAACUCAAGCAUGGUGCUGGGCUUAGAAAACAUACUUGUCAUAGAGGCUUCAACUUCCGACACGCAUAGGUCAUAAUUUGGCGCAAGUGCAAACAACAUUGUCAAGACAUGUUGUUUAACUAGAGGCAUGGGGUGCGACAAUGGCGCCCCGUGGUGGCAAACUCACAUGGACUUGAGAUAGUAAGUGUUGGAUGUUGGUGUGUGUAUGAUAGGCGGUGAGUGGUACUAGAAGCACAUAAUAUUAUCAAGACACGUUGCAUAACUAGUGUUGAAUGUUGGCAUGUGUGUGGGUAUGCGCGUGCGUUUUGGGCGAGGAGGGUUGGGCUUGUGGUCUCACUUAGGACAACCUAAGGGUGUGGGCUAUGGCAUGACACUAGCUCACACAAGGUGCUUUAGGCCUCUCCAUUGAUAAGUGUAGGGCACCACACCUUUAGAACUUACAUACACCCAAGUGCCCAAUGGUUUAAGCAGGGUAUAGCUGCAUGAAGAAAACCUGAGCAAAGCAUGACAAAUGUUAGAUGUGGGUUGUAUGGCUGCAACAAAUUGGAUUAAUGUAGGCAACUUGAUGCAUGGGUUGUUGGCAAUUCAUAAUGCAUAUAAACAAUUCAUUCAUAUGUAACUUAUGCCAUACUUACCUCCAGCCAUUGUUGGGUUGCAAGUCUUUGGUUUCCAAAACUCUAUCUCUCCUUAUGGAUGGUGUAGUUUCUGAAGAUUUUCAGCAGCAUGAGAGAGGAGCUUGGGAACAAGACCAAUAUUUAAAAUACAAAGAAAACGUGGCUUCCCAUCAAAGCCACGUUUCUCUUAUUUGCCACACGAUGAGCAGUUGAAAGAAACGUGCUCCUUAACAGCAACUACAUGAUGAAGGACGUGGCCAAGUGUUGGACUACUUCAGGGCAGCGGAACGUGGGUGGUGAACGUCGGUUAUUUGAUAACAUUCUCCCACUUGGUCCACACUUUUAACCUCAUGUCCUAUCUUAGAUCAUCAUUUUUCCGCAUUAAGUAACAAAUAUAUGAAUCAUGGCGAUAAGUACUCUAUAUAACGAGUGUUAUCUUCCAUGUAUUAUAAUGUAUUCAUUUCUUAACAUUUUACUUUAUGUGGCAAUAUUGCUUAAUGAAUAAACCCUAUGUUCAUUCUUGGUCCAAUGAAGUUGAAUUUUCUCAAAAUUAAAUAAAGGUGCACAUCAAUAUGAGAAAACAUCAUAAUAAGAGUUUGUACAAUAAAAACUACAUAAGAGAACUAAGUCCCAUGUUCAUUACAUGAUCCUUGAAUUUCAACGGUGGCAUGCCCUUAGUCAAAGGAUCAGCAAUCAUCAAUUCAGUGCUAAUGUGCUCAAUAACCACUUUCUUUUCUUUAACACGUUCUCUUAUGGCUAGAUACUUAAUGUCGAUGUGCUUGCUUUGACUUCCACUUUUAUUGUUCUUUACCAUAAAGACUACAGCUGAAUUGUCGCAAUAUAUACUCAAUGGCCUAGAUAUUGAAUCCAUAACUCUAAGCUCGGAAAUGAAACUCUUAAGUCAUACACCAUGUGAAGUAGCCUCAAAACAAGAUAUGAACUUAGCUUCCAUAGUAGAAGUAGCAGUCAUGGUCUGCUUAAUGCUCCUCUAAGAUAUAGCUCCACUGGCUAAUAUAAAAAUGUAUCCAGAUGUUGAUUUACGUGAAUCAACACAGCCAGCAAAGUCUGAAUCUGAGUAGCCAACUACCUCUAAAUUGCUUGUUCGUCUAUACAUAAGCUUGUAAUCUUUGGUUCCUUGAAGAUAUCUCAUCACUUUCUUUGCAGCUUUCCAGUGGUCUAUACCUGGGUUACUCUGAUAUCGUCCUAACAUUCCAACAGCAAAUGCAAUGUCAGGCCUUGUGCAGACCUAAGCAUACAUCAAACUUCCGACUACAGAAGCAUAUGGAAUGUUCUUCAUUUGUUCCCUCUCAAGAUCGUUUUUCGGGCAUUGGUUCAGAUUGAACCUAUCACCCUUCACUAUAGGGGAAACACUAGGUGAACAAUUCUUCAUCCGAAAUCUCUCUAAAACUUUAUUGAUAUAGGUUUCUUGAGACAAACCUAAGAUACCUUUAAAUCUGUCUCUAUGGAUCUUAAUGCCAAUGACAUAAGAUGCCUCACCCAUAUCCUUCAUGUCAAUCUUUUUAGAGAGGAAUUGUUUCACCUCAUGAAGUAAACCCUUAUCAUUGGUUGCAAGUAAGAUGUCAUCCACGUAUAAAACAAGAAAACAAACUUUACUCCCACCGACCUUAAGGUAUAUGCAUUGAUCCAUAACAUUUUCAACAAAACCGAAUGAAGAAAUUAUGUUAUGGAAUUUUAAAUAUGAUUGGCAAGAUGCUUGUUUUAAACCGUAUAUGGAUUUCUUAAGCUUACAAACCAAUUGCUCACCAUCACUAGAGGGGAAUCCUUCAGGUUAUUUCAUGUAAACCUCCUCCUCUAGCUCUCCAUUAAGAAAUGUUGUUUUCACAUCCAUUUGUUGCAAUUCCAAAUCAAAGUGGGCUACUAAUGCCAAUAUAAUGCGUAAGGAAUCUUUCUUAGAUACAGGAGAAAAGGUUUCCGUGUAAUCGAUUCCUUCUUUCUGAGUGAACCCCUUUGCAAAAAGUUUGGCCUUGUAUCUCUCAAUGUUGCCUAAUGAGUCUUUCUUUGUCUUAAAAACCCAUUUACAACCAAUGGUUUUUGCACCAUUAGGCAACUCAAUAAGGUCCCAAACAUCGUUGCACUUCAUGGAACUCAUCUCAUCCUUCAUGGCAUUGUACCAUAAUUCUGAUUCUUUACAAUUCAUGGCUUGUGAAAAUGAUUCGGGAUCAUUUUCGGCUCCUAUAUUAUAGUCAGAUUCUUGUAGAUACACUACAUAAUCACUAGGAAUUGCUGACCUCUUAGUUCGAGCAGACCUUCUUAAGGUUGCACCAAUAUCUUCCGAGGAAGUAUGAGAUUCAACUUGUUGUUCAGAAGUGUUAGGCAAAUCCUGAUCAACUUGGUCUACUGGAAUGUUGUCAACAACUUGUAGAACUUCAAUGACUGGUUGAACUUCAUCGAUUGUUCGUUCAACACCCGUUUGUACUUGAGGGGUGUUAUGAACAAUAAACAAUCUAUCGCUUGAAGUGGAAGGUUGAGACUCUGUAUGAUCAAUAUCAGAAACUAUGUUUCUAAAUUGAUCGCUCCCAUUGACCAAGUCAUAUUCAAGAAAUUUAGCAUUUCUUGAUUCCACAAUCCUAGUGCUGUGAGAUGGACAGUAAAACCUAUACCCCUUGGACUUUUCAGCAUAUCCAAUGAAAUACCCACUAAUAGUCCUUGGGUUCAGUUUCUUCUCUUGUGGAUUAUAAAUUCUCACUUCAGACGAGCAUCCCCAAACGCGCAUAUGUCGCAAACUCGGUUUCCAACCUUUCAAUAACUCAAAUGGCGUUUUUAAGACAACCUUGGUUGGAACUCGGUUUAAUAUAUACACAGCUGUCUUAAGUGCUUCAAUCUACAAGAAUUUAGGAAGUUUUGAGCUGCUAAGCAUACUCCUCACCAUGUCCAAUAAAGUUCGGUUUCUUUUUUCUGCUACACCAUUUUGGUCUGGAGAACCAGGCAUGGUGUAUUGGGCAACAAUCCCAUGCUCUUGAAGAAACUUCGCAAAUGGCCCAGGUGAUUGUCCAUCUUCCAAGUAUCUAUCAUAAUAUUCUCCACCUCUAUCUGAUCUCACGAUCUUAAUUUGUUUACCAUAUUGUUUCUCUACUUCUGCCUUGAAGACUUUAAAGGCAUCUAAAGCUUCAUUUUUAUUAUGAAGUAUGUAGAGAUACAUGUAUCGUGAGAAAUCAUCUAUGAAAGAGAUGAAGUAUUUCUGACCAUGAGAGUCCAUGUCAAGACUACAUAUAUCAGUAUGUAUGAUCUCUAGUGUGGUAGAACUCCUAGUAGCACCUCUCUUUGACUUGUUGGUCUGCUUUCCCUUAAUGCAGUCCACACAAGUCUCAAAGUCAGUAAAAUCUAGAGUACUAAGUACCCCAUCAUUCACCAAUCUUUUGAUUCUAUCUAUGGAGAUAUGACCUAAUCUCCGGUGCCACAAUGUAGAGGAAUCCUCUUUUACAACACAUCUCUUAAUACCAGUUUGGACAUGUAAUGAAUUAUGAGCGGUAUCAUUUUGUAAGAAUAUACAAUAAAGACCAUCAGACAAGAUACCAUUCCCAACACAUUCAGAUUUAUAAAUCAAACUGAAAGAUGUUUCUGAAAAAUGAAAGAAAUAUCCAAACGGUACAAGUCUAGAAACUGAAAUCAGGUUUCGUGAGAAACUUGGUACAUAAAAGGUCCUUUGCAAUUCCAAAAUAAAACCACCAUAUAAAGUUAAAUAACAUAUCCCUAUUGCUUCCACAUGCGAGCCCAUCUUGUUUCCGGAUAAGAUGAAUUGUUCACUUGUCACUGGCUUCCUUAGGUUUUGCAUACCCUACAAGGAAUUUGAAAUGUGGAUUGUAGAUCCAGAAUCAAUCCACCAUGUGUUGGUGUUUACAUUAACCAUAUUAGAUUCAUAACAAACAAAUGAGGUAGGGUUACCUUUAUUCUCAAGCCAAUUCUGAAAUUUCAGACAUUUCUUCUUCACGUGUCUUUUCUUUUUACAGAAAAAACACUUUUCGUCUUUCUUAAUGUCAGAUUUAGGAGAAAUUUGUUGCUUCCCUUUCUGACUGGCUUGAGAUUUUCCUUUCUUUCCUUUCCUUUGCGUCACCAGCAUGGCACUUUCUCCUUAUUCCAUCAUUAACCUUCCUUCCUCUUGAACACACAUGGUCAUCAAUUCAUUGAUAGACCACUUAUCCUUAUGUGUGUUGUAAGAGAUUUUGAAAGGUCCAUACUGAGGUGGAAGAGUGUUAAGGAUAAAGUGCACCAAGAAGGAUUCAGACAUUUCUACAUUGAGUUUCUUUAAUUGAGCCACAAUGUCCCUCAUGUCCAUGAUAUGUUCACGCACACCUCUUAUAGCGGUGAGCUUCAAGGAUGUGAACUUCAUAAUUAGGGUGCUUGUCAAGGCUUUAUCUGAAGUGACGAAUUGCUCGUCAAUAGCCUUUAGCAAUUCACGAACAUUUUCAUGUUGCUCGAUUGAACCACGUAUACCAACACUGAUUUUUGUCUUAAUGUACAUCACGCUAAGGCGAUUAGAUUUCUCCCAGCGUUCAUACAAUAAAAUUUGUUCAGGUGUGCUGGUAUCAGUGAUCUUAUGCGGUUCAUCUUUCCUUAUAGCAUAAUCUAUGUCCAUGCACCCUAAUUGAAGAAGAAUUCUCUCAUUCCAUAUCUUAAAGUUAUCUCCUCUAAGUUCGGGAACCUCACAACGAAUAUCAAAUAUGCUAGGUAAAACUGCACAAAAGGAUUACAAGCUUAUUAAAAAUUUGAGGCUUUAAUAUAAAUUCAUGCUUUACCAAUGUAGAACAUACUUAAAAUUGAAUCUAAUUUUAUUAAAAAUUGUCUGUGGGCUAAAUCUUUAAUUCAAUCAGAUUAAUUAUCUUUAUGAUAUACUUUAUCAAACUAUUUUAUUGAAUUAUGAAAUUUAUUAUGAAUAUAGUUUGAUAUUUUCUGUCUAUAAUCUUUAUGAUAAACCUAUUAAAUUAAUUAUUCCUAACUCCUGUGGGUAAAUUAGGAAAAAUUAAUUUUAAUAUUUUAUCCUAAUUAAUUAUAUAAAUAUAAUGAAAACCCUGUGGGGUAAAAUCGUCAUAUUCAUAUAAUUAAUUACAAUUAAUGUCCAUAAUGUGAUCCAGAUUUACUUAAUAUAUAAUUUUUAUAUAAUUAAGGUUGCUGUGGCUAUUCCUUAAUUAUUAAAAAAUUAUAUUGUUCACUAGACAUUAAGAUUAUAGGAUAUAUAUAUUUUAAUAUAUCUUAUACAAUUUAGAUAAAAUUUGCAUGCAUCAAUAGCUACAACAUUUAAUUUAUCUAACACAAGAUUAAGCUACAUUUUAUACAUACAAACAAUAAAAUUAAUGAUUUAAUAUGCAUGUAUAAAGGAUCACAUAUAAUUUAGAAUUAACUUGAAAGGAUUUCAUAAUAUGAAAGGGUGCCUAAAUUCAUAUAAAAAAACAAUUAAUUCAAAUCCAAUAAAAUAAUUCAAACCGGGCCAUUAGAACCUAAACCGACCCAAAUAUCAUAUUUAACCCAUGGCCCAAUACACAAAGACCUUUAAUAAUUUUAUUGGGUCACUGCACAUGUAAUAAGCCUAAUGGGCCCAAAAGUAAAACCCAAUCUCUCUCUAGUUUUUUUUUUAUUUAUUUAUUAAUUUAUGGGUUCCAACAUUCAGCACGUUGGCAUCAUAACCACCCUUAGUCGCAUGCAGCCGCAUCAUCCGCGGCACCAAAACAACAUCGAACCGAUCUUUAAGCGACGCCGGCAGCGGCGCACCUUACAACCCAAAACAACACCUCAAAUGGCACUUCUAGAAAGGCUGAAAAUGGUGCCUGCAACGACGCUUGAAUAGCUCCUGAAUGACGCUUGCAGUGGUGCCUGAAUGGCACUCGAAACAGGCACCUGCAUCGGCGCUUGAAUAGCGCCUGAAUGGCGCUCAAAAUAAGCGCCUGAAUGGCGCUCGAAAUAGGCGCCUGCAGCAGCGCUUGAACAGCACCUGAAUGAGCUCAAAACGGGCACCUGUACCGGCGCUAAACAAUGCUUGAAUGGCGAUUGUAGUGGUGCUUGAAUGUCGUUCCCAACAGACUAUGACGCCAAAACGACAUCUCUGUCAUCCUCUGACGAGCACGGGAGGUGGAUGCAGCUGUGUGAAACCAGCCACACGUAGGCUCCUCCACUCUAGGAGCCACGCCACCCAGGCCUUCGCCCGGAUGUCGAGACUCAUCUCCUAACUUGGAAUGGGCAGGCCAACAUUUAUCCACAUUAAGCCUUACCCGCACAAACCAUCCACCCACCUUGACACCCCAACCAGAAGUUUCCAGAUUUAUUUGUUCUUAUUUCCAGAAAAAAAAAAAAAAAAAAACAAUUAUACAAGCUACUAAUACCAAGGCAAAGGUAAGAUUGCAUAGCUCUGAUACCAAAUGUUGGCAAUUCAUAAUGCAUAUAAACAAUUCAUUCAUAUGUAACUUAUGUCAUACUUACCUCCAGCCAUUGUUGGGUUGCAAGUCUUUGGUUUCCAAAACUCUUAUCUCUCCCUAUGGAUGGUGUAGUUUCUGAAGAUUUUCAGCAGCAUGAGAGAGAAGCUUGGGACCAAGACCGAUAUUUAAAAUACAAAGAAAACGUGGCUUCCCAUCAAAGCCACAUUUCUCUGAUUUGCCACACGAUGAGCAAUUGAAAGAAACGUGCUCCUUAACAGCAGCUACAUGAUGAAGGAUGUGGCCAAGUGUUGGACCACUUCAGGGCAGUGGAACGUGGGUGGUGAACGUCGGUUAUUUGAUAACAUGGGCUACAUGUGAACAAUGCUACAUACAUGAGCCAUGGGUGUGACCGAGAUCAUGCGACCCUCCAAAAUGUGGUGAAAGACUCUAAUUCUAGCAACAAUGAACUUAGUAAGGCGUACUUGGGCAUACGAGUACAAGACAUCUGGGUUGGUUGGCUAAAACACACAGGUUCAAGGAAGGGAAACAUGCAGAGACACGAGGUUUGUUGGUUUAGGCACAAGACAAAGUCUAGCGAGUAACAUCCGGGAGAUAUAGCCACUCCUAAUCUAUGAAUAUAGGGUUGCGUCUAGGAACAACAAUGGGGUGAGUUUUUUAAGUACCCGCCUUUAAUGAGAUAAGUUUAAAAUUUAAGGGCUUAAGAUUUUUUUUUAAAAUCCAAGACGGGUUCAAGGUGAGUUCGUCUCACCCCAUCCAGCCCCACCUUAAUCAUAUAUAAAAUUAAUUUAAUUUAAUUUUAAUUUUUUAUUUUAAUAUAUAUAAUAAUAAUGGUAAUAAAAUGUUUUUCAAUAAAAUAAGUUAUACAAAACUAUAAUAUUUUAAUUAUUUAUUUUUAAAAAAAGUUAAACAGGAUGAGAUAAGGUGAGUAUGGAAAAUUUGUAUACUCGUCCCGUCCCACCCCACUCCAUUUAUUUAUUUUUAAUGGGACAAAUAUGUGAAUUAUUUUGAAUAAAUGAGACGGGUGGGUUGGGAUGAAAGCGAUCCGUCCCGAACCCGCCCUAUUGCUAUCCCUAGUUGUGUUGUAGAAAUGCAUAAAUACAUCAUCUGAAACAAGGACAAAGUGUUUGGGACACCUGAUAGCACCUCAAGAGAAGUUGCAAGCCUUAAGAAACUACUAAGAUAGGUGAAAGAGCUUGGGUUGGAUCUCUAAUACAUGGGUAGUUAUUGAGAUUUUUUGGCUGCCUAUUAAUACCAUGUUGUACAGGUAAAAGAUAAAAUGUUUCCAUGGACUUAAAACUCGUUUUAUAGUAAUUCUAAGAAGCGAUUGUAAUAUUUAUAGUACUUAAAUUUUUUUAUUUUUCAAGUGUUAGAAGAGAUAAAAAAAUACUUUAUAAAAUCACUAUCAAACAGACACUUAGAGUUCGUUUAACAAUUAUUCUAAAAAAUGUUUAUAAUUUAAAAAGUAUUUUUUUAAAAAUAAUAAUAAUAAUAAAGUGUUUAACAAAAUUUAGGAAACAUUUUUAGAAAUCUGAAAAAUCACUUUGUAGUAUUGAAAAAUUAGUUGUAGUGUUAUUUAGAUAAAUACGUGAUGAAUUAUUCUUUUACAAACACUUUCAAAGAAAACAUUUGUACUAAAAACAAUUCAAGUAGAAACACUGCCAACUAAGAAGCUUUGAUUUUUUUUGUGUUGGGCACGGAAUUAUACAAGUUGAGCUGCUUGUAUACUUCGUGUGUCGGUUGCUUCGGUGUGGGCUUGCUAGGUCGAUCUUCACAACAUCACACAAAAAAAGAAUCUUGUGACAGCUAGCACUAUGAUGCUUAGGAUAGUAAGCAUCAUAAGAGAGUUGCCCUGCCAUCACCAGAAUUCACCCUUUUUCCUUUUCUACAUAAAAACCUUUGCAUCUUAAAAGAUUACAUCUAUAGAUCACACCCACACAUGUUCAUUCCACACCAACGUUCAUUGUAUUAAUUACAAAAACAAAGUUUCAAACUCCUCCCACUUGGAUCAUUUCAUAAAUCUGUAGCUAGGCUUCUCAGUCGUUUUUUUAUGCCCAAAUUUGUAAGUUUUGCUAGGACUGCAGUUGAAGUUACUGUCACCCCCAAAGCCAUACUUGGUGCGGUACCCUGGGUAGUCCCUAAAAUUGAAGGGCACUUCUUCUAUAAGUCUUAGCCCAACUCUUGAGGCUAGAAAUUCCAAAUUCCACUCAUAAAAGAAGCCAUUGCUUUUGUGAGUAAUGUGGAUUUCUCCAUCUAUGUGAAUCAACUUCUUCGCAUUUUCUAAAAACUGUUGUACCAGCAUCCGAUGUCGCCUGCAAGAAUUAACAAUGAUAUAGAAGGAAAAUUUUCAUGUAAGAAUUGGGAAUGCAGGCUAUACAUAAAUUCAAUUCAUAGGAGCUUUUCAAAGAAAGAAUCUACCAACCAGAUCUCAUCCUCCCUGGGUUCAUCGGGAAAAAAUCCAGCGAGUGGGAAGUUGUAAACAACUCGAUCAAAACGCAUGCAUUUGAAUGGGAAAACGUUUGCCAUUUUGGUGGCAUCAACAUCAUGCAUGACCUUAGCACCCAAGCUCCGGAGUUUAUCGAUGUUGGGCAAGGCAUGCCUAUAGUUUGUGCUCAAAAACUCUGAAAAUUGCAGCUGAUAGUCAUCAGUUAAGGUCAUAAGACAAACCCCAAAUGGGUGCUGGGGCACAUGCUAAUCAAGGUUUACUCAGGACUAGAAUGAGAAAAUACCCAAAUCAAUCAAAAUCAUGGCAUUCAUGAGAAACACUCAAAGAAGAUUACCAACUUAUAAUUCAGGAUUUCUUGUUUGUUACCUAUAGAAUCAAGAGAAGUAGCGGUUAUAUUUGUAGCAGAAGCAAAAGCCACAGCCAAAGACGCAGAGAAUGAGAAGUCCCCUUCACCCACCAGCAAUAUUUUGUACUCACUGCUGUAGUGCUUUAUCCAUCUUACUCUAAGCUUUCCUUCCUCUAGGUCUUCUUCACAGCUGCUACAGUCCCACCAAUUUUUUCCUACCACUCUGGUUCGUUCUUCGUUUUCUUCAAUUAUGUUGUAAUGGUGGAGCCGUGCAGAAACUUGCUUCUCAUCACCUACAACUUGGUUUUUAAAUUUUGCAGGAAUUAACAGAUCCAAUGCAUCAUCAGACCUGGAAUUGCUGCGUGGGUCCAAGCUCAGUGGAAAACCCAGAGAGUUUCGCUGCGAUGCACCAUUGAUGCCUGAGUUGCUGCUUGGGACAGAGCUCAGUGGAAGAGUCACUGGAUUUGGCUGGAAAUGGGAUGCACCACUCACGCUAGAGUGGCUGCAGGAGCUAGAGAGUAGUGAAGGAUGAGUCUGUAUCUUUGGCUGAGCAUGAGAAGUACCACUUGGCCUGGAUAGGCCACACGAGUUGGAGCUGAGUGGCUGAGGAGUCUGCACUGGUUUUGGGUAAAAAUGGGUUGUGCUGGAUUGGUUGCAUGAGCUAGAACUUAGCUGUUGUUGAGUCUCUAGUUUUGGCUGGACAGGGGAUGAUACAGUCGUGCUGGAGAGGCCACAUGAGCUCAAGUUGAGUGGCUGAUGAGUCUGCACUGGUUUUGGGUAAAAAUGGGUUGUGCUGGAUUGGCUGCAUGAGCUAGAACUCAGUUGUUGGUGAGUCUCUAGUUUUGGCUGGACAGGGGAUGAUACAGUGGCGAUAGAGAGGCCACAUGAGCUCGAGUUGAGUUGAUGAUGAGUCUGUAGUGUUGGCUGAAGACGUGAUGCACCACUUGUUUUGGAGUGGGUGAAUGGGCUAGAGCUAGAGUUAGAGCUAGAGCUCAGUGGAGGCGUAGGAUGAGUCCGUAGAUUUGUCUGCAAUGUGUAGUCCCUACAUGAUCCUAAGCUCGGUGGAGAAGUAAUUGGAUUUGGUUGCAACGCAGGCCUUGAGCUUGAAGAGUUGGUGUCUGAGCCCAAUUUCGGUGGAGAAAUCAGGGGUAGUUUUUCACUUGGCUUCUUUUUAUCAUCUUUUUCACCCCACAACCAGCGAAUAAUAAUGGAGAGAAUUUGACCCAUUGAAUCACCCGUCCCCCUUCUUUUUCUUCUUUUUCUUCUUCUUCUUCAUCUAGGAGCCUGUAAACAUAGAAAUGUCCCUUGUCAUGAAAACCAUGCGGGCGUCCACUGCAAUGUCAAUGGAAUUGACAAAGGUCCGACCAACAUUGCAUUAAAUUUUCCUUGUCUGACAAAUAAGAUAAGGGAUGCCUCUGCCACUUACUGUUGAGAAAUAUAAGAAGAUAUUUCCCACAAAGCCUAUCAUGUUAACAUUCAAGUCAUCCCACAUCGAAAUAAGCGAGAGGCUUUUCGGUCUCAUCUCAUGUGGGUUUCCUCGUAAAAAGGGUUUUACCAUAUAAGCACUUUUGCUCAUUGUUCUAUUUAUUGUUUGAUUUUUCUUUUUAUUAUUAUAUUUUCAAAUUAUCGUUAUAAUAUCAUUUCAUAACACAUUAAAAAUAUAUUUGACAAUGAUUUUAGAAAAUAUCUUUAUUCUUUCUAAUACUUGUAAAAUAAACAUUUUUAAGUAUUAGAAAAACCAAAAAUACUUUCUAGAAUUAGUACCAAACAUAUUCUAAAUCAGGUAUCAUUUCAUAUCCCAUCAUUGUAGCCUGCUCGACUACUUCAACUCCCAAGCCUUUCUCCUCUGUUUUGAAUGUUGAUUCCAUAAAUGUCUAGUUUCCAGUGAUGUAGGGUUGCGUGAGUCUUUCUCUGCCAUAUCAGACCGAGACAUUAAUAGUGGGAUUCUUUUUUUCUUUUCAAACCAAUAUGACUCAAAUGCAACAUUCAUUGUAUUCGGGAUUCAAAUUGUCAACAAAUGAACCAAAAAUCAUCUUCACAGCCAAAUCUACAACUACUAAACAUCUUUUCCCUGUAAAACUAGUAAAAUUUUCAUCCAGACAUGUUGAUUAACUAUAGAAGAACAUGCUUCUGCAUCAUCCCCAUCUAAGUUCAGCAUUUUAGCAGAAACUCAAUAUGAAAAAACAGAAUGACAGAAAGGGUAAAAGGGCGCCAAUAUCAAUACCAUGAAUGCAGAUGAGCUUGUGGAUGAUGAGAGUUUUGUUGAGACCAGAGAUCAAAGCUCCCAAAUCAGAGUUUUCCCACCAAAGAUCGGACGAGAUCAAACACUAGUGAUGCUUGGCUUGCAGGAGAUCCAUCAGUGUUGGGUGUGAGAGAUGAGAGUUGUGUUGAGAGUGAAGGGGGAGCAAUAUCAGAAGGUAAAGAAGUUUCCCAUGAUUCGUACGUCCAAAGACUUGGUUGGACUUGGCCAUUUUUAUGCUACGUGGAGGCACUCUAUUCGGAUUGAUAAAAUAAAAGAAAAAAAUUAGGAAAGAAGUCCAUUUCAUCAAAGAAUUUGAUACCCAAAGUCAUGGAAGUAAUUAAAAGAGACUGAUGAUGAUGAUGGUUGUACCAAACAGCAUUUGAUACCCAGCCCACCAAUCAUAAAAUUCAGUGACAUGGGAGUGUAUAAAGCAAAAUAAGUUAUACUAAAAUUAUUUUAAAAUACUUUAUAUUUCCAAAUAAUCUUUUAUUUGGGGAAAUGAAAACAAAGUUGAAGAAUUAUUCUAAAACAAUUUAUUCAUUUUAAGAUUUUUUUUCUUUCACUUGGUAAAUAUAUCAUAAUUUUAAAAAUUAUUCUAUUAUUUAAUUUAUAUUAUUUAAUACUUAUCAUUAUAAAAAUAAAUAUGCACUUAAAUAUUUAUAAAAAUAAACAUUACUUAUUUUUCGUAAAAAUUUUCAUAAAGCUUACCGUUGGUCUAGUGAUGCCAAUCUCUUUGUUUAUUGCUGCCUUUUAGGUUUGAUUUCUCAUACUCCUCUUUUCUACAUAUACCCAUCCCACAUUGAAAACUUAUACAAACAUUUCCUCCCAUAGAUUACAUAUGAGCUUGGCAUAGAAAUUAGUUACUUAUAAUGUGGCCCAUCAAAAUAAAUGUAUUUGGGUUGUACAGCUUUUAGGGCUACAGAAGGUGUUAAUUUUGUCGAUCCAAUUUUGAAAACAUUUAGAAUCAAUAAAGAGGGGUUCACAUUUUCCGUACAAAAAUAUUCUUAAUUUUUGUGUAUUCUUUGAUAAAGAACUCUAUGUAUUUUCAAUGAAGUUGAGAUCGUACAACAUAUUCUUAAUUUGAGGCACUGACAUAUUGUGAACCCUGCAUUUCGGCUCAUGCGCUUCCACUCGAAUGGCGUGACUCGUUUUUCUAUUUUGAAAAAAUGAUUUAUUAUUAUUUAUUAUUAUUUUUUUAGAAAAUGACUUGGAGUCGCUAUUUAUUUUUGUUUUAUUUUUAAAGGGUAAACAAAAUAAGAAAGAAAAACUCUAAGUGUGACUCAUUAUUUGGAAAAGGUAGUCUGUGAAAACCAAAAAUGGGUUCGAGGGUCAGGUUACUUAUCAGGAAUGUACGAUAAAGACCGUAGCACCCCACUAAGUCCCUAAAAACGGGUUCCUACUAAUAAAAUGAAGCAAGUAUGAUAAUUGAUAAGUAAAUCAAUGGAUACCGAAUGAAAAUCAAAACAAAAUACUCAAAUGAAUACGAGAGGCCAAGAACAUACCUAAGUGAGGAACUGAUUUAUUUCAUGGGAAGCAAAGGUUAGUGAACAAACAUAGGAUGAUUAUGUGCAUAUCAUGGAACAAAGUAAAUCAAUUAUGUAAAGCAAUCAGAUUAAUCAAUCAAUCAUAAAAUCAUGUAUGUGGGGCCCCCCACCAAGGCCGGAUUUAUCUUAGCAUAGAUUAACUAUAAAUUUCAUUAUUUGAAAUUAUAAGAUUAUUCAUGCUUAUUAAAAAUGUGAAAAUCGAAAAAUUAUUAAAGAUCGAGGAGAAUUUAUGAAAGGUGACUAUCGGGGAGAAAUAUGGCAACCUAGUUUAUUAAGGAGCGGAAAAUAUUUAAAAUCAAUGAAAGAAAGUAAAAAUAAAAUGAAAAUAAAAUAAAAAUAAAUAAAUAAAGAAAAAUAAUAAUAAUAAUAAAAGAUAAAAUAAAUGAAAUAAAAUAAAAAUAGAAAUGAAAAUGAAAAUAAAAAUAAUAAUAGUAACAAUAAUAGGAAAUAAAUUAGCAAAAUGAAAAAGGCACGCCCCUGAGGAAAAUGGCAAGAGUUGAUUUGUUAAAAUUGGAUUUAUUUAAGAUCAAGAAAGAAGGAGAAAUGAAGAAUUAAAAUCAAGUAAAAACGAGAUUUUUUUGGAAAUCCAUUUUUGAAAGUGUGCAUGAGAAAAGAGGAGUGUGGGACACGUGGGAAUUGGAUGGGCAAGUGGUGGAAGUGAAUACUGGGGGUUUAAUUGAAUGCAGAUUCAUAAUCUCAGUACUGAUUCCAUCCUUUGCAAGAAUAUCAGCAGCCUUGAGUGCUAGGCCUCCCUACCCAUUGUCUUUAUAGUCCACCCAUGUUGUUUCUCAAAUCUGUACCUCUCUGAAUUAGUCGCUUUUUGUGCAUCGGCUACCCCACUCAGCAAAGGCCGCUUAAAAGUUGUUCUCAUCAUGUACUCAGCAAAAAUUUCUUGGUCAAUGGCAGAUGGGUUUUUGUAAUAAUGAGAGGUGGAGAUGAGAAUGGCGAGGGCGUGAACAUGGUUAACACUAACGCUGAAUUGAUCUUGCAACACUCUCUCUCUCACUGAUCACACAUGCUCAUAGGCACUUCCUCCUUUCUUUCCUUGUUAGCAGAAUCCAUCUCAUUGUAGACGAAGUUACUGGAAACGGCCAUCAACAUGAUCCAGAACACCAGAAAUUUUCUUUCUCAGCUAGUUCUCUUCUCCUUGCUCUCCCCUCCUUCUCAGUUUUUCCAUUUUUCAUCACUCUCUGAAAAGCUCCCUCUAAAUCUUCGCCUCUCAAGCAACCUCCUUCCCUUUCUAUCUCUUCUUCCUCGCUCAAAAGACCCUCAUUCUCCAGCUGAUCUCUUCCCUCUCUCUAUCUCCUGCUUCAAAAUCUGAAUAAUCAUGGAUUUCUCAAUCAACCCGUGUUUUCAAGGAGUUGAGCACACCAUACAUGUUCUAAACCUGACCAUACUGCCUCAAAAGGGUAAUCUCCUACUCCGCCUCGUUCUUCAUCUUGGCCCUGUACUGGUAAGGAAUGGCAGCAACCCGAGCCCAUAGUACAAACAUAAACGCAUAACUCAAGGCAAAAACAGGGACUGCAAGUCCAUUCAUGAGGGGAAUCGAGUUGUCUGCAAUUGAUUGAAGCUGUUUAGCCGCUGACCAAGAGCAAGAUACACUCCAUGAAAGAGAUCAAGAAUGCCCAGGCGGGUGAUGUCGUUGAUACUUGCUGGAUUGAUGAUGCCCAAAUGACUGGUUACAGGUGUGAAAAAAAAAGACCCAGUUUCCUUCUCAGACGCGAGAAACAUGCUCAUGUCGAUCAACAAUUCUUCUUCAAGCUUCGGAACGCAGCAUCUGUGCCUGUGUGCGUGAGCAGUAGGCUAAGGAAUUCAGACAUUAUGUGUGUUGUAUUAUUGAUGCCGAGGUGAGACACUACUUUUAUUAUUGAUCAUGUGGAAUGAAGGUACGUGAAUGGGUGAGGUCACUCCGGGGUUAUUUUAGGUUGAUUGAUGGUCAUUAUCUGAAGAGCAUGCUAGUGGGAGAAAUGAGAAUGACGAUCUGGGAGGGAAUAUGAUGGGUUAUAAGCUGAGGAAGGGGCAUGAGGAGGGACUAGCGGGUAUGGAGAUGAGGAACGAACAGGUGGUGGCGAGCAUGUUAAUGGGUAUGAUAGGUGUAUUGGGUAUGGGUGUGAUCAGUAGAGUGACUUGUGGAGAGUAUAGCAUGGGGAAUGAGUAAAAAAAGAAUGGGUAUGCCGAUGGCUUUGAUGGGUAUGAAUGUUUAGAAGACGGUAAGCUGGUCAUGACGUCCUAGGCGAGAAUGGUUUGGCCUGGUACUCAAAUUUGAUGGAAUGGAUUUUGGAUGGAAAAGUUUGUGAAGGUAUGUCUAGCCAUGCACGGCCAUGCAUAGGCGCGCCCAUUUCAUCUCAAUGUCCAGAACUGUUCCUGAGAUUUCCUGGUAUCUCUACCCAAUGAUGGCGUCACCUACCACAUCUGGACAACUCUCCACUAUUAUUCACUUGAACCAAAACCUUCAAAUGCUUUCUUCUCAUUAUUUACACCUUCAACCAUGGCCAGAUUGAGGACUGUAGCCAGGAGCUGUUUCAUCUUAUUGCUCCGCAAAUGCUCAAUAAAAUACCAUUCAAUGUCUUUUGGAAGCUGUGGUGCUCUUUCAUUCAUCUCCUGAACGUAGCUUUCGCCAAAACAACGGUGACCAACGUCGUGGACUUGCCAGAUGUGAGAGACUGGUUUAGUUCUUGAGACAGCCAUAACGCGGACUUGAUCGGACCGACGAUCUGACCUCUCUGCUGUUUGACGAACACGGAAUAUGACGGACCGGAGCGGCCUUGCCAGAGUCAUUUUACAAGCUGGAACUAUAUGGUCAAUAGACAAAUUCUUGAAACUUGGGGAAAAAGAAACAGCUCUGAAAUCCAAGUCUCAGACCGAUUCCCCAACACUGUUUUCCAUAAUGAUCCUUGCAUGCUCUAACAAGAUCAUGCAUAAAGCUGCAUGCCCAGUAGGCCGUAUCAUGAUUGCUGAAUCCUUUUUGAAGCAGACACAUAGCCCGGUGGAUGACUGCGUCUGAUAGGUCAGAUGCUGCUACAGUUCAUAUACCAAUGACCAUCAUCCUCUUCAUCUGAGCUCUCUCAGAAACACUCCGAUCAAGACAACCAGACCAAACAUGAUACCCAACUUUCGAAAAAUUUACCAGAAACAGAGGGGAGGGUGAAGAAAAACAGAGCAUUUAUAUAAGAGAGAAAAAAACAUGUUGUAAAUAUAGCUUCAUUUCAUGAUGAUCAAUGAGCAGGAAGUGGGUGGGAAAAUCUCAAGCAGAUCCAAAGCAGAAGUGAAAACAAUAACUCUAAACACCUCACAGUUAAUAAGAUAACAAGAAGUUCACCAAUUUUUCGAGUCAAAUCAAAGAAACAGAGGAAGAAUCAGCAACACAGGUGGAAAACCGACAAAUAAAUCAUCGAAGACAUCCAGUGAAAUGAUACCCAGAAUCAAAAAAAUGUAUGGUUCACCGUGAGCUUACCUGAAAAUGCACUAGAUGUCUUCCCGGCCCCCAGCUUCCUCUCUCUCUCCCCCCGUUUUUUUUCUCUGUAACCUCUGCUUCCUUCUCUCCUAAGCUCCCCCAAAAACGGCAGCAAAAGCACCACCCUCUCUCUCUGUAACCAAAACCAGAAUAUCCCCCCCGCCUGCUGGCAGCUUGCUCUCCAAGAAAAUAUCUCUCCCCAAAAACCACCCAGCAAGCUUGCCAAAAACACCUCCUCUCUAACGGCCAAAAGAUUCCAUAACAGUGUCCAUUCUUCAUUGCUUCCUCAACCCACUAUUGAGAUUCACUGACAGCCAGUCCAAAGACAACACGUGGCUCCUUGAGAGCCCUCCACCUGGUAAGAACAAGCUGUAGAAAACCUACCCCAAAAUGGGGGUCUACACAUACAUGUACAAAAAUAUUCUUAAUUUUUGAGUAUUCUUCAACGAAGAAUUCUAUGUAUUUUCAAUAAAGUUGAGAUCGUACAACAUAUUUUUAAUUUGACUCGACUUAGAGGCACAUGCAUAUAUUCUCUAGCUAUACAAAAAUAUUCUUAAUUUUUGUGUAUUCUUCAAUAAAGAACUCUAUGUAUUUUCAAUGAAGUUGAGAUCGUAUAACAUAUUCUUAAUUUGACUCGACUUAGAGGCACUAACAUCUUCCUCCCAAAUUCAUUGUAUGUGUAAAUGGCAUCUUCUUCCCAAACUCAGUGUAUGUGUAAAUGAAAGAGAGUUGAUUCAAAGAUCCAAACAAUCUUCUACUUUUAAAAUUUUAUGAACCCAAUUUAUGAUUUUCCAUUUAAAGAAAUUGACAAUAAACUAAAUUCAACCAAAAAUUACAUACAUAUCUAUAAUAUAUAAUAUCUAUUAGUUAUAUUACCAACUUAAGUUUAUUAUAGAGUAGCAUACCACAUCUAUAUAGUUUAUAAUUGAGCUACUUAGUAAUGCUAUGAGAAGGUUAUAUCAAUAGCUAUAUACAUUCAUCUCCUCGAGAUAGAAUAAUAUGACUUGACAUAGAUUACAAUAAUGUAAUUUAAAUAGGUCUAUUAUAAUAGUAUUUUUCAGCUUUUCGGAUCAUAAUGUUUGAUAGACUUUUUGGUUUGGGCCAAAAUAUAACAUUUUAAAAAAUAAUUAUUGGUUUUUAUUAUUAAAUUGAAUUGAAACCAAAUGGGCAUUAUUGUUACUAAACUGAAUUAAAUGUUAUUCUUAAUAUUAAAAAAAUUAAAUAUUUUGAUUUUUUCUAUUUAAUGAAAAAAAUUAAAAAUAAGUAGCAGAUUAAUAAAAAAAAAAUGAACAAUUUAAAAUCUUAGCAAAAAGUUAAAAAAAAAAAAACAAGACUUAAGUUAAUUUUCUUUGAGUGUCGAACGACUCCCCUCUAGAUAAGGGAUUGGAAGUAGAAGGAAUAAUUAUGAAGCAUAUACAUGCGGGAAAGAGUAUUGACAAGGAUGUUUUAAUCAGUAGCUAUGGCUUUUCACCCAGAAAUAUAGAAUUGAUUUUCCAAGUGCUUGUGAAUGCAAGGAUAUGUCCUUCCAUGUAAUACCCCAACCCAAGAUUUUGUUAGCUUUGUAAAGUACGAAGAAUAACUAUUUUAUGUUUUUUAUUUUUUGUCUGGGCUUAUUAAUAAUUCCCUGAUUGGGCUUUUAAUUCAUGACUGAAAAUUUUGGGCCAAAACUUCCAAAGGUUAGUCUCCAACGUUUCAAAUUGGGAUGGCAACUUUAUCCAAAUCUUGUCCAGUUUAUUUAUACCCAUUCUCAUCCGAUCCAUACCUAAAAAUAAAAUAAAAUAAAAUAAAAUAAACACGCAAAAAUUAAAAAUAAAAAGUAAAAAAUAAACUGGACAAGGUAAUAUUAGGAAAUUUUCAUAUCUGCCCCACUUGAUUUUUUUUAUUUUGAAAAUUUUAAUUAUAUUAAAAAUAAAUAUAAUUUAUAAAAAAAUAAAUAUUAGAACUUUUGAUUAUUUAUUUAUAUGAAAAGUAUAAGAAUUUAUUUUUAUAUGCUAAAAAGAGGUGAAAAUGAAAAUAAAAUAAAAUAAAAUAAAAUAACUUUUUAUUUAAUAUUAUGUAUAAUAAUUGGGACAUGCAAGACAAAACUUAUGUUUUAAAAUUUUUUUAUCAAACUCAUUUCAAAUUCAUCUUUAUCUCAAAUUCAUCACUUUAAAGAAGGGGUAUCCCAAAAACCGUCUCAUUGUCAUCCCUAGAUCCAAAUCCCAUAUAUCAUGUCAGUUUCCUAAUUAUACUAUAGUGGAUAUUGAAAAACAAAAACAAAAACAAAGAGAAGGAAUGAAAAGUUGCACAACUUAUGUGGUUGAGAAAGUUAGACAAAGUAGAUAAGAUGGUGAUCGAUUCAACUCACAUAGUAGGUCUCUCAUCUAUACUGUAGAUUUUUUAACCAUUUUUCUUUUCUUUUAAGUGAAAGAUUGGUAAUUGGAGGGUUGGAGUUCACUUAUUCUUUCUAAAUUUUAUGGUUUUGGUUCAAAGACUAAUGAAAAGAGUUGAAGGUUCUAGGGGUUUCCAUGAAUAUCAAGUAGAAUAUGUAUCAAAUUGAUGAUGAUAAGAAUAGCAUUAUGAAUCUUAAAUUAUUUGACUAAUUAAAAAAGAAAAAACAGAGAAAAUAUUUUGAAGCAAAAAAGUAAGAAAGGACUCUAAAUUAGUAUCAUGUAUGAAUAUCGAGUGGUUAGCAAAUAAGUUACAAAUUAUGGUAACAAGAAACCAUUGGUGUCACAAAAAUAUGCAACUUAUGAAUCUGGGUAUUGUUCAAAUGAUAGUUGAAAAAUAUAGUUUUGAGUGUUAGAAAAAAAAAAAAUAAAGACGAAAUAAAUUUGUUCAAUAUUAUAUAUACAUAUGGAUGUAGGGUUGGCAUUACUAGUUUUAUAUAUGCUUUCCAAUUUGUUUUCUAUAUUAUCAAUCACUUGUCCACACCUCUCUUGUCUCACAAAUCUUCUUUUGAAUAACUAAGUUACACAUUACCAAAUUACUCUACUAUUUGUAUCUUUGGUUCUAAACCUUAUGCAACACCUAUGGCCUCUAGAAUCGUGCUCUUUAUUAAUUAAAGACAAUACUCCUCUCUCGAACCCUACUCGGUAUAUAAAUCUUGUUGGGUUUUAUAGUAUUGCACCAUUACUUGCCUUCACAUUUCUUUUAAUGUUGAUAAUUUAUGUCAAUUCAUUCAUGCUCUAACUCACAUUCACUUUUAGAUAGUUAAAUGACUUCUUUGGUAUCAUAAGGGGGUUGUUCAUUUCAUGGUCUUACUCUUCAUGUAGCCUAUUUUUUGGAUCUUUUGUUUAUUUUGAUACAUGCCGGUAUAGUUGCCCGAAGAAUCAUUGGAGUACAAUGGCUAUUGUGCUUUCUUUGGAAAUAGUUUUGCCUCUUGAUAUGCUAGUAAACAAAAGGUGGUCUCUCAAUCUGGUAUUGCAUUUGAAUAACAUGGUUGCAUUUGAAUACCAUGUUAUUUACAAAUACUACCUCAAUAUUGGUUUGAAUUCAAUUCAUGUUUUUCCCUUAUUCCAUACACCUUUUAUAUUGUGUGACAAUUUAAGUUCAACCUAUUUGGCUAUGAACCCUAUUUCACAUUCUCAUAUCAAAUAUGAGGAUAUUGACUUCCCCUUAUGCAUAAUCGAGUACUUCAACAAAUCAUUAGAUGUCAAGUUUGUGUCUUUUACUCAUCCAUUGGUAGAUGCUAUAACUAAGCCACCACCUACUCAGAUUCUUAGGUCUUUAUCCCAAACUCUUAGUUCUUCCAAGACACUGAGCUUGUAAGGAAUGCUAGAAUAUAGGUCAACUAGCUCAACAUUCUUUUUAUCUUGUUAUAAUGAAAAUUAUAGAAUCUUGUUAGAGUAAGUUAUGUAAUAACCAAAAGUGGUAAUAACUAGGGAAUGAGCUCUUUGAAAGAGGGCAUUCAAAGAAGGAAAAAUACCCUCAUGUUCUUUAUGAGUAUGUAGAUUGCACAUUAAUAUUAUAUACAGAUGUGAAGUUAUAUAUAUAUAUAUAUAUAUAUAUAUAUAUAUAUAUAUAUAUAUAUAUAAAGGAGUACAAGUGCAUAGAGAUGGCAAUGGGGCAGUUUGGGAUGGGUGACCCAUCCCAAUCUCAUCUCAUUUAUUCAAAAUAAUUUUCAUUCCUAUCCCAAUUAAAAAAUUAAAUGGAAUGAGUAUGGUAUAAAUUAAGGUGAGGUGAGACAGGACAAUACAAUAUUUGAAAUCACCUUGAACCUAUCUUGGGUUUUUAAAAAUCUCAAACUUGUUAAUAACCUAUUUAUUUAAAUUUUAAAUUCCCUCCAUUAAAGGCAAGGCAGAGUAGGUACCCAAAAAAAAUCCACCCAUUGUCAUCCCUACAAGUGCAUAUUAAAUAAAUUAAGGGUUAAUUGGUUAAAGGGGUCAAAAUAAACUCCAUAUUUGCAAAUAUAACCCAUCAGUCAAAAAGCAAAAAUGUUGACCUGGUUGAGACAAAAAUACCCUUCUUUUUUCUCUCCAACACAUACAACUUCUCCUCUUCUGCUUCAUUUACAGAACGACUCCUCAUAUUUUCCAAAAAAUUUCUCUCAUCAUCUUCUUCUACUUCAUUAUCUUCCUUUGGUGCACAAAACGGAAAGGUCAUCUCCUCUUCCGCUUCAUUUAUAGAACGAGUUCUCAUCUUUCAUCAUCUUCUUCUAUUUCACUAUCUUCCUUUGAUGCACAAAACGAAAAAUCUCAUAUUUCCUUCAAAAACCCUAGAAAAUUUCUCGUCUAUCCUCUCAUCCUCUGUUUCAUUCCGAAUCCUUGGAAAAAUUAUUAUUCUAUUUUUUUCAAGUUAUCUCAUAUUAUAUCUUCAAGCACGAAGGAAACAAUGAGUUCAUUGAAGAGUGAUAGGAGAAAAAGAUUUUAAAAAGUGGCAAAAAAACAAAAAUGGCAAUUGCAACCAGAAGAAAAAAGUGAAGCAGAAGAAAGUGAAGCAAAGGAAAGCGAAGCUACUUAGCAAAAAUCUCAAUUACCAAUAGAAGAGGCAAGUGAUUCUACUAAACCGGUGAGUGUAGUCUUCAAAUUUGAUAAAUUAUUGAAAUUUUUAGAGAUGUUAUACAAUAAUAUUUGAGUAUGGUUAAUUUUAUUAGUUAAAUACACAAAAAAAAAAUUAGGAUUUAUUGAAUUGUAUUCAAAGCAUAAAAUUGUUAUAUUUAUAAUUUUUUUUUUAGUUCUCCAUUGUUAUCAGUUAUGUAUUUUGAGUGAAUAAAUUUAAGUUUGUUAGCUGAUAUUUGAAAAUAUUUGGGAAUUAUUAUAGUGUGUUGAAAAAUAAUAAAUUGCAUAUUAAUACUGUUUUAGUUUUCUGUAUUAUUAUCAAUCAUGUGUUUAGAGUGAAGUGAUAUAUUCAAUGUAAUAACAUCUAAUUAGGGAUAAAUUUACAGAUAAUUUAUGAAAUUUUAGGGAUUUUUGGAAAUUUUAGGGAUAUUAUACAUUGGUGUUUGAGUAUGUCUAUGUUCCAAAUGCAAGCAGAUGAUAUUCUUGUUGACUAUGUUAAUGGGCUUCACCCAAUUCCUUCCAUGAAAUGGUCUGAGGUGGACAUCGUUUAUGUCCCUAUUAAUGUUUGAAGUAUGCAUUAGGUAUUGGGAGUAAUUCACCUUGCUCAGAGGAGAAUAUUUGUGUAUGACUCAUUGAUAGGAAUUAAUAGUGAUAAUCGACUAAAAGGUGAUAUAAUACCUUUAGCUAAAGUGUUACUGCGUAUUUUGCAUGCUACAUCCUAUUAUGAGAAGAGCGGCGAUCCUAAGAGUGAAGAACAGUGGGACAUUGAACAAUUGCAUGAUGUUCCUCAACAAGUGUAUGAGUAAGUAAACAAAUAUCCAAACUUCAUCUUAUCAUUUCACCUUUAUGCCUUAUAUAGUAAAUUUUUUUUAGUCAUCUUAAUUUUGAUUACUUGUGUUUCAUGCGAUGGUGAUUGUGGGAUGUUCCUAAUUAAAUAUGAAAAAUACUUAAUGCAUGAUCAUCCAUUCAGCUCAUUGACCGGUACCCGCAUUGAUUGGUUUAGAGAGAAAAUGGCAACUAAAUUGUUCUACUUCAAAAAAUUACCCAUGUAGUGGGUUUCAUUUUGAUUGUGUAAAAGGUUUAUAUGUUGUUGAGUGUUGACCGUUAUUUUGGAUGAAUUUGACUUGAUGCUCAAAGUUACAAUUUUUGUAAUGUAACUAUAACUGUCAACUUAACUAUAGUUAAGUUAUUUGUUAAUGCAAUUCAACAAUUGUUAAGUUCAAGUGAAUAUUCUGAGUGUGAAUUUAACCUCAAUUAAGUUCUUUAUUAAUGCAACUCAACCAUUGUUAAGUUCAGGUGAUAAUUUUAACUGUAAACUUAAUUGUGGUUAAGUUUUUUGUUAAUGCAACUCAACUACUGUUAAGCUUAGGUGAAAAUUCUAACUAUGAACUUAACUGUGGUUAAGUUAUUUAUUAAUGCAACUCAACUACUGUUAAGUUUAGGUGAAAAAAUAAACAAAGAACUUAACCACAAUUAAGUUCUUUAUUAAUGCAACUCAACCAUUAUUAAGUUCAGGUGAAAUUUAUGACUGUGAAUUUUCUUACCAUUAUUUGACCUUGUCAUAUGGAUAAAUCUUUUCAACUUCUUUUGAACGAACUUUUCACUUUUUCAUAACUAACAAUGGAGUCUCUAUUUUUUUACCAAUAAUGUUGAAGUCAGAUUUUGAAUUUUCAAGAAACAGAAAGAAAUAAAAUGAUAAUAUAAAAAAGAAAUUGUUGGUUGUUUACAUUUUUUUUUUUUUCAUAUUUUCGUGAUCAAGAAUGAAGAAUAGAUGAAACAAUGGUAAGAAGUUAAACUUGUUCUCUGCAAGAAAAGAGAGAGAAUAAGCAACCAAUGACCGAAUAAAAAAAUUAGAACCUAAUCUGCUAUAAAACAAAGGGAAAGGGAAAAGAGAAGUUGUAUAUGUUGGAGAGAAAAAAGAAGAAGGACAUUUUUGUCUCAACUGGGUUAACUAUUUUGCUUUUUGACUGAUGGGUUAUAUAUGUAAAUAUGGGGGUUAUUUUGAUCCAUUUAACCAAUUAACCCAUAAAUUAAUGUGGUGGCUCUAAUGGAGAGAUGCUUAGAAUAUGAUAUAAUGGGAGUAUGAGUAUAUAUGCAAAACAUAGAAGAAUAUAGAACGUAUGAAUAAAUGUAACUUUUGAGUAUGAGAUCAUAACAAAUUGGGUGCAGCAUAUAAAAAUAUAUUGCUUUAAGAAUUCUGGUGGGCUGAAUGUUUUGGUAUAGGAAUUAUUGGAGAGAAUAUGGAAUGCAAAAAUCUGGAAUAUUUUGGAUAAAUGAAAACUCACUUGUUGAUACAAACUCACUUGGUGGUUGUAGAAUUCCAAAUUGAAGUGCAGCACGUUAAUAUUUUUGGACAAGAGGUAUAAAUAGGAGUUAUACCUAGAACAUAGUGUAAAUAUACAGUGUCAAGUAGUAAAUAAUCUUAAAUAUAUAUACUAUAUUUGAUUAUAUGUUAAAAAAAAUGAUUUUCUCAUAUUUGGUUUCAUAAUAGAAAAUACGGAAAAAAUAUCAAAUAUAAUUAAAAUUAAUUAAAAAUUUAGACAUUUUAAAAUUAUUUCAUAUUUACAUAAAAGGAGAAAAGGAAUGAAACACGUUUGAAUUAAUAUAUUAAAAUGUAUUAAUGAUUUAAAAUUUUUUUUUUCAUUUUUUUUCUUUUCUUUAACUUUUCCUUUAUUUUCUUUCUCUCGUAUCUUCCCUUCAAUUUUCCAGAAACCAAACAUAGUUAAAAUAAACAUUUAAUUUGAAUUUCCUAAAAUAACCUAAUGGGAAUUUAAUUUAUUUUACUAUUUUGCAUUAAUUUAUGAAAUAUCUAUUUUUCUGUCCAAAUUUAGAAAUUUUUUUUUUGUAUUUUUGUAAAUUUUGUACAUGAAAUUUAUUCAUUCAAUUACACUAACAUUUAUAAGACAGUAUACAUCCUUAUCUGUAGCAUAAACUUUUCUUUCCAUUUUCACUAGUGUUCUUAACAGGCUAUGUUCAGACCCAACAAAUCCACUCAUGGUUCUUCCUUGGCAACUACGGAUCAUUGAAAACCAAAUCUCAAUGCUCCAUGCAUGAACACAAUCCCUCCAUUCGAGUCAGUCUCUGAUGUGUUUGUGCCCAUGGUUGUGGUACCAUAAGCACAAAUUCAUUUNNNNNNNNNNNNNNNNNNNNNNNNNNNNNNNNNNNNNNNNNNNNNNNNNNNNNNNNNNNNNNNNNNNNNNNNNNNNNNNNNNNNNNNNNNNNNNNNNNNNNNNNNNNNNNNNNNNNNNNNNNNNNNNNNNNNNNNNNNNNNNNNNNNNNNNNNNNNNNNNNNNNNNNNNNNNNNNNNNNNNNNNNNNNNNNNNNNNNNNNNNNNNNNNNNNNNNNNNNNNNNNNNNNNNNNNNNNNNNNNNNNNNNNNNNNNNNNNNNNNNNNNNNNNNNNNNNNNNNNNNNNNNNNNNNNNNNNNNNNNNNNNNNNNNNNNNNNNNNNNNNNNNNNNNNNNNNNNNNNNNNNNNNNNNNNNNNNNNNNNNNNNNNNNNNNNNNNNNNNNNNNNNNNNNNNNNNNNNNNNNNNNNNNNNNNNNNNNNNNNNNNNNNNNNNNNNNNNNNNNNNNNNNNNNNNNNNNNNNNNNNNNNNNNNNNNNNNNNNNNNNNNNNNNNNNNNNNNNNNNNNNNNNNNNNNNNNNNNNNNNNNNNNNNNNNNNNNNNNNNNNNNNNNNNNNNNNNNNNNNNNNNNNNNNNNNNNNNNNNNNNNNNNNNNNNNNNNNNNNNNNNNNNNNNNNNNNNNNNNNNNNNNNNNNNNNNNNNNNNNNNNNNNNNNNNNNNNNNNNNNNNNNNNNNNNNNNNNNNNNNNNNNNNNNNNNNNNNNNNNNNNNNNNNNNNNNNNNNNNNNNNNNNNNNNNNNNNNNNNNNNNNNNNNNNNNNNNNNNNNNNNNNNNNNNNNNNNNNNNNNNNNNNNNNNNNNNNNNNNNNNNNNNNNNNNNNNNNNNNNNNNNNNNNNNNNUGUAUAAGUUCCUCCAUACCUCUGGCAUGCUUCUUUCUCUCCCAGUCAUGACAACCAAAUUAAGAAAAUAAUUCCCCUUCUACUGUUUCCCAAAAGUAUACAGGGCUAAGGACUACAAGAUUAGAGUAUAGUACACGAGUAACGAGUUGAUUCCAAUACAUAUAAAAUACGAGAAAAGGGAAAGAGAGAGACCAUAUGGGUCGAGAGAAGAAGCAACGAUGUUGGAAGCAGAAGCAAAAGAGUGAGCCAAACACAGAGAGAAAGAGAAGUCUCCUUCACCAACCAAGAGAAUUUGAUGAAACGAGGAAUAAUGCAUCAACCGUUUCUCUUGUUCUUCCACACCCACUUCAUCUUUCACCAUUUCCUCCCCGACAGCCAUUGACGCUUUCUACAGUUACAGAACCAGAGAGACUCUUUGAGAGAGAAAGGCAGUGAAAGUUUGGCCGUGUUUAAGGGGCUUAUUUGAAAAAUAGAGAUGACUUUCAAAUAGAAAUAUUUUUUAAGAAAAUAGUGAGGAUGUUUUUGUCAAAAAAAAGGAGACCAAAAAUUGAUGGAAGGUUUAGGACCUAUUUAAUAAUUGUUUUUGAAAGUACCGGUUCUAAAAAAUAAGUAUUAAGAAUAGUUUUUAAAAAUUGUUCUUUUAUUUUGUUAAAUAAAAAUUUAUUCAAAGAUUGAAAAUGUUUUUAAUUUAUUUUUAAUAUUUUUAAAUGAAUUUUAAAAAUAACUUUUAUGUUUAGUGCUUUAUUUUUAAUUAUUUUGCAUGUUUGUAUGAUUAUUUUUUAAAAUAAUUAUCAAUAAACAAGUGAAAAUAUAAAAAAAUAAAAAUAAAAAAACAAUUAAAAUAUAUUAUUCAAAAUAUUUUUAAAAAUAGAAAACAUAAAACAAUUUUGGACUCUGUGAUGAUCAGACCCUCAUAACCGGACGAAUCAUAAAAAUUUAGUGAAAUGGGAGUGUAUAAAGCAAGAUAAGAUGUACUAAAAUUAUUUUAAUUGAGGAUUCUAAUUGAACUCAAAAACCUUUCAAAAGAAAAAUAAGCUUUUUUGUCAUAACUUAUAUUCAGUACUGGUGCUUGAAUUGCAGGAGAUCCAUCAGUCUUGGGUGUGAGAGAUGAGAGUUGUGCUGAGAGUGAAGGGAGAGCAAUAUCAGGAGGUAAAGAAGUUUCCCAUGAUUCGUACGUCCAAAGACUUGGGUGGACUUGGCCAUUUUUUUAAUGUGCAAAUAUGCUACGUGGAGGCACUCUAUUCGGAUUAAUAAAGUGAUAAAAGAAAAAAAAGAAAAAAAGAAAAAAGGGAAGUAAAGUCCAUUUCAUCAAAGCAUUUGAUACCCGAAGUGAUGGAAGUAAUUAAAAGAGAUUGAUGAUGAUGAUAGCUACACCGAACAGCAUUUGAUACCCAACACAUGAUCAUUUCAUCACAGCCCUUCGUUUAGUUUGGACUCUGUGAUGAUCAUACCCUCAUAACCUCACGAAUCACAAAAAUUCAGUGAAAUGGGAGUGUAUAACGCAAAAUAAGAUGUACUAAAAUUAAUUUAAUUGAGGAUUCUAAUUGAACUCAAAAACCUUUCAAAAGAAAAAUAAGCUUUUUAUUCAUAACUUAUAUUCAGUAGAAACUGACAGUCCAACAACCCAAGAACCAGUACAUAAAAGGCAAAUGCUUUAUCAUUUGCAAUGAAGCACCUUUUCUUCAAAGAAUACUUAAUGGUUAAGAAGUUGGAAGAUAGAGUCCCAAAAUGAUAGAUGAGUUUGAAUGCACCUUUUCUUUUUGGCUAAGACGAAGUAACCCGACCCAUUGCAACCCUCAGCCCUAAGAAUACUAGUGUCACAAACUCAGGACGACCAAUGGUUACUUUGAGUAAANNNNNNNNNNNNNNNNNNNNNNNNNNNNNNNNNNNNNNNNNNNNNNNNNNNNNNNNNNNNNNNNNNNNNNNNNNNNNNNNNNNNNNNNNNNNNNNNNNNNAUGGACUGAGACCAUGCAAAUAAUUUGCCCAUUCAGUUUAUGGGCUGUGAUUGGAAGAUGAGAGGUUUCCAUCUGAUGAGAGGAUGAAGAUGAUGAGAUGAUGAUAUCAGAAGUAGAGGAUGAUGAAUUGGUAGCCAUUCCAAAGGCUGGACCGUAUUUAGGCAUAAAUUAGAAGAAUAGAAUUGAGUAAAAAAAAAACUGACUAAAGAUGAAGACGAUGAGACAGGAUUAAACCUGCUCUGAUACCAUGAAGAAUUUGAAGAAAAAUAUGAAGAAUUUGAAGAAAAAAUAUGGAGGAACACCUCAAUUCAUUCUGUGAUACCUCGCUUUACAAUGAAUGAAAGCAUAAAUAAAUAGCCUACGGAUAUGAGACAAUUCCGGAAUGGAAUUUCCCUUACAUGGAAAGUGAAUAAACUCUUACAUGGAAAGUGAAUAAACUACCUUGCUAGAAUUACUCCUAAAUAUAUAAACUACUCUUACAUGGAAAGUGAAUAAACUACCUUGCUAGAAUUACUCCUAAAUCAAUUAUAAUAAAGGCUGUACAUUACACUAAUUAGGGAAGUAAACAGAGGAUGCUGGCUUGAUUUCCAACAAUGAUGAUGAUAGCUACACCGAACAGCAUUUGAUACCCAACACAUGAUCAUUUCAUCACAGCCCUUCGUUUAGUUUGGACUCUGUGAUGAUCAUACCCUCAUAACCUCACGAAUCAUAAAAAUUCAGUGAAAUGGGAGUGUAUAACGCAAAAUAAGAUGUACUAAAAUUAAUUUAAUUGAGGAUUCUAAUUGAACUCAAAAACCUUUCAAAAGAAAAAUAAGCUUUUUAUUCGUAACUUAUAUUCAGUAGAAACUGACAGUCCAACAGCAACCCAAGAACCAGUUCAUAAAAGGCAAAUGCUUUAUCAUUUGCAAUGAAGCACCUUUUCUUCAAAGAAUACUUAAUGGUUAAGAAGUUGGAAGAUAGAGUCCCAAAAUGAUAGAUGAGUUUGAAUGCACCUUUUCUUUUUGGCUAAGACGAAGUAACCCGACCCAUUGCAACCCUCAGCCCUAAGAAUACUAGUGUCACAAACUCAGGACGACCAAUGGUUACUUUGAGUAAAGGAGAGCUUUUUUGUGGACCUGACAUGAUAUGACCACCGACAUUAAGUUUUAAUGUAAAUCCAACUAGGAUUCAGCCAUCUAUUAUGCUAAUAACAUCACUCCCACCUCCCAAAAGGGAAAAAGCCUGUAAUAGGAAGAAGAGAGGGUUAAGAAUGCCGAGAGCCAAUUUCUAUCCUAAUGAUUGUUGCCCUGAUCUCAACACGCCACUUUGCAGAGAUCUCUAGUUUUGCCAUCUGGUCACCAUAACAUAAAUUAUGUUAUCUUGAUCCAUAACGUCCAACUUUUUUCAAAUACUUUCUUAGUGGGUAAGCAUCAAUAUACCACAUAAAACAUUGGUAUCACAGACCAAGACCAAUGUGUGGUUAAACAUACAAUAAAUCAUUUCAAUGCAAAGAAGAAACCUUCUGUGAGAUGGGGAGGGGCAGACAAGUGACCUAGAUCAAGAACUUCCUCCUCGCUUAUUGAUAUUACAAGCAAAGAAGAAAGAUGUUUCAUCUUCUGGAUGGAUGCACACAAAUCCUUCCCAUCCUUUCUUUCAAGUUCUGUGAUCGCGAGUUUCCUCAUUGCAGUCAAAUUUCCCAAUUCCUUAGCAAUUCCCUGGCUUGUUUGCCUUGACAAGUGACAACCUCUGUAUUGAUGAUAAAACCCACCAAUUCCUGAAAACAAUUCUGCUCCUACACGGGCUUGAUCUCCAUCUUGCUGAUGAUCAACCAAAAGUAAGACAAGUUUGUGGAGUUUACGGAUAGUUUUGGGCAACUUGGAAACAAAAGUUUGUCUGAGUUCCAAAGUUUCUAGGUUUUGAAUCUUCUCCACUGAGCUUGAAACUGCCUUUAUCUUGGUAUUCCUCAGUUUCAAUUACUUUAGUAGGGUGAGAUUAACAACCACUUCGGGAAAAGUUUCCAAAACUGCAUCUUUCAACUCCAAAACUCUCAAUAAUCUUAAUCUCUAGUGUUUUUCUAAAUAUGGAAGUAGUGAAAUUCUCUCUUCCAAAUUUGAACAAGGUGCGAAGACAAGAGAAAUCCUUGCUUUGCAAUGAAUCUGUGAAAGCAUCAUGGAUUGCUAUACAUCGAUGGCUAAAGUGAUAAUAUCGAUCUACGUUUUGUAUGGUCAAAACUUUGCAGAAGCUUGCAUCUUCAGAUAUUGGAAAUAAGGUAUUCUCGCACAAGAUUCUUAACUUGACACCUUCUUACUACGCCUUGGAAAUCCCUUUUGUUUGCGUCAACCAAGCACCCAUUGAUCAGCUCAUCGAGGUAGGCAUCCGCCACCUCCUUCAGUGUUUUACCUCUUUUCUCCUCAACAAAUCCUUCAGCUAUCCACAAGCUAAUCAGCCUUCCACUAGCAAAAGAAUAAUCCUCGGGAAAUUUGCAGAAGUGAAAGAAACAGCGCUUAAGAUGGAAAUAUCUUUGCUGUAAUACUCUCCGAAUAAUCCCAAGUUUGGAAUUGCUUUAGAUGAAAGGGGUGAUGAAACGAGAGAGAUGAGAGGAAAAGAUGCUAAUAUUAUUUAUCUCAGUGGUCUUCUACAAUAACAGAGCAGACAUUAUAUACAAGCAGAAGAUACACAUCCUAACCAACUGUACAUGUGGAGCUAAAAGACUAGAGAGAAAAUAAUAUCCUAACUAAUUACAGCUUUAGGCUUAAUAUCCCCCCUCAAGCUCAUUGGUCUAGUGAGAACAGUGAGUUUGGAACGUAGAGUGAUGAAACGUUGGGUGGAAAGAGGCUUGGUCAUACAAUCAGCAAGUUGAUCAUCAAAAGGUGUGAACUAGAGAGAGAGAGCAUUGAAGAACAUGUUCCCGAACAAAGUGGUAGUCGAUUUCCACAUGUUUGGUUCGGGCAUACAAAAUAGGAUUGGCAUCUAAGUAUGUUGCACUGAUAUGGUCACAGAGAAUGAGAGGAGGUGAGUGGGAGUAAUGGAAAGUUCACGAAGAAGAGAUUCAGUCCAAGCAAUUUCAGCAACCCCAUUUGCUACCCCUCGGUACUCUGAUUCGGUGUUGGACCGGGAUACCACUUCUUGUUUGGAAGGGCACCAACAAAAAUGCGAUAAUCUGAAUCAUUUUCAAGAGCCACACCAUCAUGAAGAGAGAGAUUUGUGUUGGAGGACAAGGGAGUGGGACAUGGCUUGGCAUCCAACAUAGCAGCUCAGGUAAAGAGAUCAAUGAUAUGCUUUGCUUGGCUGAGGUGAAUACCAGUAGGGGUGUGAUGAACCUCCAAGCCCAAAAAAUAGUGUAGAGGACCAAGAUCCUUUAAAAAAAAACUGAUGAUGCAACUGUUAGAUAAGGUGAGUAACCUGAGUAAAGUGGCUAGCUCCCAAUGACGAUUAUAUCGUCCACAUAUACAAGAACAAGAAGUAAUCCAUGAGAAGAAUGACAAAUAAAUAAGGAAGAGUCAUUCUUAGAAGUAACAAAUCCCAAGUGUAACUGAGAAUUACUGAGCUUAGUAUAUCAAGCAUGGGGUGACUGUUUAAGGUCGUAGAGAGACUUAUCUAACUUGCAACCAUGAGUAGGAUAGAGAGGAUAAAAAAAUCUAGGUGAUUGUUCCAUGAAGAUGUCUUCAACCAAGUUGCCAUGUAAAAAGGCAUUAUGAGCAUCCAGUUGUCUAAUACACCAAUUUUGUGAAAGAGCAAGGUUGAACACAAUACGGAUAGUAAGAGGCUUGACAACAAGGCUAAAUGUUUUGAAGUAGUCAAUACCUUUGGUUUGAUGAUAACCCUUAGCUAUUAAGCGGGCCUUGUAUCUCUCAAUUUGGCCAUCAGGCUGGAGCUUUAGCUUCUAGACCCAUUUACAACUGAUUACUUUUACUGAGAAAGGUGAAGGAAUAAUAUGCCAGGUCUUGUUGUGCUGAAGGGCAGCAAAUUCCAAUUACAUGGCCUACUUCCAUGAAAGAUCUUUAAUAGCUUGGAGAAAGGAAGUUGGCGCAAUGAGAGAACCUGUGGAGACACUCAACAACAGUUUAGGCUUAUAGAUACCAGCCUUAGACCUGGUCACCAUAUGAUGAAUAUUGUGAGUGCGAAAAAAAGUAAGUAAAUUUGUAUCCACAUUAGGUACAAGCAAGUCUACACUAGGAGGAAGAGGAAAAAAAAAGUGGAGCAGAUGAAGACAUAGAGUGUGAAAAAAAGGGAAGGGAUGUAAGGGCAAUGAGAAGGGAACAAGUACUAGAGGUAGAAGAGGAAGAGGAAAAAGAAGGAGGUAUAAAUGGAGAAGUAAGAGGAGAUGAGGAAAUGAGAGGCAAGGGAAUGGACAGGGGAAUUUAUAAAAAAGAGGAAGAAGAAAUAGACGAAAAGGGAGAAGAUGAAAAAUUCUUGAAUGGAAAAGAAUCCUCAUUAAAAAUCACAUGGCAAGAAAUAUACACCCUGCCAUAAUGAAUGUCAAGACACAAAUAACCUUUAUGGUGUGAACUGUAACCAAGAAAAGCACACUCCAAUGACCUGUGUAGGAGCUUAUGGGUAUUAUAAAGGUGCAGAUAUGGAAAACAAGAGAAACCAAAAACCUUAAGAUGGGUAUAAGCUAGGAGUUUAUGAUAGAGUACAAAGUAAGGGGAUUGAUGGUGCAACACAAGGGUGGGAAGACGAUUAAUAAGGUAAGUGGCAAUUUGAAAGGCAUAAAGCCAAUAAGAUAGGGGCAUACCCAAGUAAGCAAGAAAGGAUAAUCCCAUUUCAACCACAUGGCGAUUUUUUUGCUUAACUCGCCCAUUUGAGUUGUUAUGUGUAUAGACAAGAUAAACAAUGGACAAUGCCUUGAGUAGAAAACAGUAUGGAGAGAGAUCAAAACUCAUCUCCGCAAUUAGAUUGGACAACCUUAAUCUUGGUAUUAAAUUGAUUUGCAAUGAGAGCUUGAACUUGAGAAAAGUAGGAUAUGUUUCAUAUUUUGUUUUGAGCAAAUAAAACCAAGCAAAACAAGUAUGAUCAUCAAUAAAAAAGUAAAAAAUAACUAGCACUAGAAAUAAAGCUAAUAGGAGAAGGACCCCAUAGGUUUGUAUGAAUUAACUCGAAAGGUUUUAUUGCAAUGGAUGGAAAUAAAGAAAAAUGAAGCUUGUGGAUUUUUUCUAAUUGACAAGAAUUACAAAAUUUAAGACGAAUUUUCUGUGUUCGAGCAAUAUUACAAGAAUCCAAGAUUUGAUUAACAACAGAUAAAACUGGGUGGCCUAGUCUCUUAAGCCAUAGAUUUGGAUCCUUGAUGUUGGCUAUGAAAACUCGAGGAGGAAAGAACGCAGUAGAAGGAGAGCAUGAUGACUGAACUUUGUAUAAGCCAUUAUCAAGUUGACCCUGAAGGAAAACCCUCUUCGAAACCUGACCCUUGAGAAGAAAAUGAGUGGCAUAAAAUUCAACAAAAACUUUAUUAUCAUAACACAAUUUUGUAACACUAAUAAGAUUAUUUGAAAUUUUUGGAGUGUGAUAGACCUGAUGUAGAACAAAAGGAGAAUACGAGGAUGGUAGUUUUGCAGUACCAAGAUGUGAGAUAUAGAGUUUCUUACCAUUCCCAACUACCACUUGAUUUGAACCACUAAAUGGUGUCACAGUGUCAAGUAUGUUGAUGUUUAGACUAAAGUGAUGUGUAGCACCUGAGUCCAUGUACCAAUUUGUACCAGGAAUAGUGUUAUGCAUAGUAGUAGGAUGAGCCAUUGCAGGGUAAGAAAAUUCUAGAGGAUUAGAGAGCUGGAAUUUUUGGUGAAAUAGUAUUGAAAGAUUUAGGAGAAGGUUAGGAUGGAUAGUUCAAAUUUGUGCGAUGGAAGCAAAUAUGAGUAGUGUGUCUAAAUUUGGCACUGAGGCUUUUGAUUCUGGAUUGAAAAAUGUGGUUUCCAUUGAGGUUAAGGUUGUCGUGGUUGUGGUUUGCCCAAAAUGAUGGGUUGAUAUUGACUAGUGGUUGGCUCAAAAGGUGGAGGAGAGGAUCUAGGUUGAAUGUGAAUGUGAUUGAAUGUAAGUUGAGGAAUUGAUUUAUAAGGUUUCUUGUUCAGAUGAGCCAUAUGGACUUGAGCAUAAUUGAGAGAAACAGAGUUUUGUUGUUCAAGACGGAAGUCAUAGCUAAGUAAUAGGCUAUGGAUUUUCUCAAUAGUCGGUUGGUCAGAUCGAUUUUGAAUUGAGGUAACAAAAGGAUUAUUCUCAUGAUCUAAUCCACUAAACAAAUAGAUGAGAUGGUCUUUCUCAGAAAUUGGUUUUCUUAUUGUUGCAAGACUGUUGCAAAUGAAUUUGAGUUGUUGAAUAUAUUCUCCAACUAAGAGUCUAUCUUUCCCGAGCGUUUGAAGUUUGGUGCGAAACUUUGUAACCCGUGCCAUAGAAAAGGCAAAGUAAAUCUGAUUAAGGUUAUUCCAAAUCUCCAUAGCUAUUGAAUACCCAACAAUCUAAGCCAUUUUAUCUUCGAACAAGGAUGAGUAUAGCCAACUCAUCAAAAGUCGAUUAUAUCUUUGCCAGAUCAAGUACUUUGGAUUGAUGAUCUGUUGUUACAGAUCAAGGAAUUGAGGAGGGCAAGGUUGAGAUUCGUCAAUGAAAUCAUCAAGUCCUUUAGCGAUGAUGACAUUCAGAAACUAAUUCUUCCAGAUGAGGUAGUUCCCAUUAUCUAGCUUUACUAUGAGAGGUUGAUUCAUAAACGGGAGUUGGUGGAGGAAGGUUGUUUGACUGAGAUAAUGGGUUUUGCACAUUCACAAUGCUAACAGAAGGUGAUUUAGAGGUUUCAUUGAAAGAAGCCACGGAAGCUCUGAUACCAAGAUGAAAGAGGUGAUGAAAUAGAGGGAAACAAAAAGAGAUGAGAGGAAAAGAUGCUGAUAUUAUUUAUCUCAAUGGUCUUCUACAACAACAGAGCAGACAUUAUAUACAAGCAGAAGAUACACAUCCUGACCAACUGUACAUGUGGAACUAAAAGACUAGAGAGAAAAUAAUAUCCUAACUAAUUACAGCUUUAGGCUUAAUAGCUUUUCAUAUUAGAUCCUAGACUGGUAUUCACUUUCUGGAACUCUAAUGGUGUUGGUUGUUUAGUUGAUAAUAGACUAACCAAGGUGACUAUUGUAAGUGGCAGCCCUUCAAACCUGCUCAAGAGAUCAUCAGAUAUGUUUUUUUAAGUGCUUAGGACAUUCAGUGCUAUGGAAAGCCUUCUUAAAUAAGAGCUCUAAAGCCUCGUUCCCUACUCAAGGAUGUAGAUUGUAGAUAUCAUCUGAACAUUUAGAAGCUAAAUCACGCCUACAUGUAGAUGAUUACUACUCAAAAAGUGCUAUUUCAUAGCUUGUAAUUAACUCUUUUAAAAACUUUUGAGUAGUAGUUAUUGCCUUUUAACCCAAUUAACAUGUUAAGGACCCUUGCAAUCAAUUCUAAUCAAAUUGUGUUAAGUUUUGGUGUUUUGAUAUCUUUUUUAUCACCAAAGCAAUCCAAGAAUGAGGGAGAGCUGUAUAUAGUUAUGGCAAAGCUUUUGGAAGCUCAAAUUCAUGAAGAACCAAGCUUUGGAGCCUCAUAUUCCUUUGCCUUAGUCGUUCAAAGUAUGCAAGGAAAGAGCACUGGAGAGAGGAAAACAGAGUGAAGAAAACAGAGGACAGCAGCUGCAGUCUUCUUGUGCACUUUUGGAGCACUUCCCGAAGUCCAUUUUCUACAUGCUAUAUACCAUUUCAAAUCUCAGGAAGUCAAGAAUCCAACGCUUCAAACCGUCUACGAUUUGGAGCUGAAAUGAGGAAGUUACAGCCUUUGGAAGAUGACUGCUCCAAGCUGAAGGAAGGAUUCAGCAAAGUGUUGCGAAAUCACCCUUUUGUUGCGGAAUGAUUUCGCAGCCUUUUUGCACAGUGCUUUGGAUUUCCCUUGAAGUUUCACGCCGCGAUGGAAGCCAAACACCACAAGAUGAAAGCCAACUUCGCAGCGGUGCGGAACCAGCCUUUUGCUGCGAAGUAAUUUCGCAGCCCUUUUUGGAUGUCUGCGAAAUCUCGCAGACCUCGUUUUCACCUGCGAAAUGGUCCUUAGUGCUUCCCGAUAUUUGCGACCGACUCUUUUAGAUCUUUUCUUCAGAUAUUUUUGUAUAAAUUUCCAUUUUCUCCUUGUAUUCAGCCACUCAUGUAAUUCCUUAGCUAGGAAGUAUCCAAGGAAGGGUAAAUUACCUUCCUAUAUAAACUCUCUUGUAAACACUAAAAAGACGACGCUCGGAGAAGUAUGUAAUAUAGAAAGAUAUAUAGAUAUAUCAUAUAUAGAAUCAACGAACAGAGCACUUGCUCUGUUUUUCAUAUAUAUUCUUGUUUUCUCUUUAGUUUUCUUUCUAGCUAAUCAAACUCUGAGGAUUUUUCCUCAGAGGAUGAGAGGCUAGGCUCUUUGUCUCUUGGAGUGAGGAAAGCCGGGUAAGUUUCCACAUGCAUAAAUUGGAAGUUUUGUUGUUUUAGUUUUUAAUGAAGAGAAAGUGUGACCCGUUAAUGGUUUUUAUUUUUUUAGUUAACUUAAAAUGCCUUUAAAUCACCUGGGCCAACACUUGGUAAGGCAAGUGAUCUCCGUCCAUGGAGAUGCACUAGUUUACCGCUUGUGAGCCUUUGGGAGGUGACUUGAAGGUAGGAUUUUCUAGAAUAGCCAACACUUGGUAAGCUUUUGGACUCCAAGGAGACAUCCAUUAGUUAUCUCUUGCGAGCUUUUGACGGGUAAUCCAAGGUUAAAGAUCACCUUGAAUGGUAAGUGCUAGUGAGAGGCAUGAACCAUUGCAAAGUGCAUCAGUGAGAGGGAUUUAGUGUUUGAACCCAUUAAUGGGAAGCAUCUGUACAGCACCGGUUGGAGAAGGAACUAUAUGUUAAUUCUCUAAUGCGAGGAAAAGAAACAAGUGACCGGAACUCUCCUUUUUGUAUGACGAACCUGAGCCUAGUGAUCUGAACUCCAAGAAACAUCUUUCUUUGUAAGUAAAAUCAGUUACUAUUUUUGGUUAGUUUAAAACCAAACCUUUUUCAUUCAAACAUCUUUAUGUUUUCUUUUAAAGCUAACCUUGAAAUGAAAAGGCACCAAUUCAGCUUUGGAUUAAUAUCAUUUGUGAAGUGAAAACCCAUCCCAGUGAACGAUCCUAGAGCCACUAUGCUAUAGUAGCUUUGUCUUUGCUACCCUAGUAUAUGGUGUUAUAGGUUAUAAAUUUUGUUGAUUACCCCCUCAAUCAAGGAGCACCAGCUGGACACGAAUCAGCUGAGACACCAAUUGGGCACGAAUCAAAUGGCGCCGUUGCCGAGGAUCGAACCUCGAAUCAAAUGGUGCCGUUGCCACUACCGCUGCUAGGGACGAAUCAAAUGGCGCCGUUGCCGGGGAUGGUGCCAAUUUGCAGUGAUAUCACCUUUUCAGAGUACUUGUGAUCUUCAUCACAAGUUUGGUGACUUUUCUUUUCCUUUUACUAACUCUUUUUAUUUCUUUAUUGUUCAUAUUUUAGUAUACCUUUUCUUUAGUUUUUAGUUUACCUUAAUUUUCUUUCUUUGAAUUGUUUUUCUUUUAUUUUCUUUGUUUUCUCUGUUUUUAAUUCACAAAUUGCUAGUUGUGCAUGCUAUAUUGAUUACGAGAUAGCAGAAGAAGCCAUGAACUUCUUGAGUUAUGUGGCUGAAUUUUCAAGAGAAUGGGGUGAACCAAAUGCUAGAGAUAUGGAAAGAAUGAUGUCUCAACCUAAAGCUAAGGAUGAGAUGUAUAUUUUGAAUGAUGGUAUGAACAUGAAGGCAGAGAUUGCAGCUAUGGAAAGGAGAUUGGAAGAGCUAGAAAUGAACCAGAUGCAAGAAGUGCAAGCCAUCUCUCAAACACCAUUGCAAGCUAUGCCUUGUGCCAUUUGUCUAUCUUAUGAGCACUUAGUGGAUGAGUGUCCUACCAUUCCAUCCGAGAGGGAAAUGUUUGGUGAUUGCAACACCUACAAUUCUAAUUGGAGGGACCAUCCAAAUUUCUCUUGGAAACCACAGUCACCUCAGUAUCAGCAACCUGCUCAAGCACCACAGCAAGCCUCAAUCCUUGAACAAGCUAUGGUGAAUCUUUGCAAGUUCGUGGGAGAUUUUGUUGGAAAGCAAGAAGCCACCAAUGCUCGAGUCGAUCAAAGAAUGGAUAGAAUGGAGAGUAUGUUGAAUAAAAGGAUGGAUGAAAUGCAAAAUGAUCUAUCUCAGAAGUUAGAUAUUCUCCAAGAUUCAAUCUCAAGGCUUGCCAACCUCAACAUAGUGCAAGAGAAAGAAAACUCUCCUUCUCAACCUUGUCAAAAUUCUAUGAGUAUCCAUGAAAUGGAGGCUAAGGAGGGAAAACCUUCAUAAAAGAAGGAAGUCAAAGAAGUGAUCACUUUGAGGAGUGGUAAAGAGGUUGAUCUGCCCACAUGCAAGCUAGAGCAUAAGGUAGAGAGUGAAACAGAGAAAGAAAAGAGGGAGGAAAUCAAAGGAAAGAAAAAGGGGAAAAGCAUAGAGAAAGAUGGCUAUGAUGUUAAUGUACAGAGAGAACCACAGAGGAUAGUCAUCAAGGAAGAAUUGAUGAAGAAACACAUGCCUCCACCUUUUCUCCAAGCUUUGUAUGAGAAAAUCAUACAAAUCAAGUCUCAAGGGAGGGAUGCAAACUUCAUAUGGGAUCCGGGCAAGCUAAAUCAGGAUCAAAUUUUUUGAUGGACUUAGUCUUUCUAAAGACUAGCUAGUCCAUAUCUUUUUGUUUUGUUUUUUUUUACUUGUUUUAAUUUUGAUUUUAAUGUUUUAAUUUUGAUUUCAAUGCUUUAAUUCUAGUUUGUUUUGAUGUAAUAUAGGUUUUUGGAUGAUCAAAAUCAAGAGGAAUUGUAAAGAAAUUGAAGGAAGUCUUUCGGAGCAAAAUCGGAGUCAAACGGAGCGAAAACAGGAGAAAAACAAGGGAAAAACAGGGGUCUGCGAAAUUUCGCAGCCUCUGCGAAAUCGGCACUUUGUUGCGAAACCAUUUCGCAACUCAAUUGACUCCUCUGCGAAAAUUUUCGCAGCUGCGAAACCAACUUUGACACACGAGUGCCACUUCGCAGCACAAGAGCCAUCAUUUGGCAGCUGCGAAACGCAUUGCGAAGUGAAAAAGGCUGAUUUCGCAACAAAAGUCCCAUUCCGUAGAGGAUUUCGCGACUGCGAAGCACAUUUUGGCACACGAGUGCCAUUUCGCAGCACAGUGACCCUCAUUUCGCAGCUGCGAAACGGCUGCGAAGUCCCAAAACGUGAAAAAUCCCAAUUUCGCAGCUAAAGCUCCAUUCCGCAGGGUAUUUCGAAGCUGCGAAACCACUUUUUGGCACACGAGUGCCAUUUGGAAGCCCUGUACACUCAUUUCGCAGCUGCGAAAUGGCUACGAAACCUCAACACCUUAAAAUCCUUUAGCGCACACACCAUGAGCUGUCAUGUCACAGCCGCACCCCCAUUUCGGCAAUUGUUGGACACAUAUCGAUCACUUUCUGAAGUUCAAAUUAUGCAUGCAAUAUCUCGUUUCAAAGCUUGGGAAGUCAGAAGUCCAUAUAUUCAAACGGUACUUGAUUUGGAUUUGAAACGGAAAAGUUAUGGCCAUUUGAAGAUGACUGUGCAAACCAUGAGCGGAAAUGUCGCACCUCCAUUUCGCUACUGUUGGACACAUUUUUGAAGCACUUCCUGGAGCUCAAAUUAUGCAUACCAUAUCUCGUUUCAAAGCUUGGGAAGUCAGGAGUCCAACGCUUCAAACGGUAUGCGAUUUGGAGGUGAAACGAAGAAGUUAUGGUCGUUUGAAGACAAGCGCGCAAAGCUAAGCGGGAAUUUCGCAGCCAAGACACCAUUUGGAAGGGUGUUUCGCAGCUGCGAAACCACUUUUUGGCACACGAGUGCCAUUUGCAGCAUAGUUCCCCUCAUUUCGAAGCUGCGAUACAGCUGCAAAACCACUUUUUGGCACAUGAGAGCCAUUUCGAAGCCCCGUACACUCAUUUUGCAGCUGCAAAAUGAGCUGCGAAAUCAAUUUUGGGCUACGAAAUCACUUUUGAGCUGCAAAAUGGCUAUGAAAUGAUCUCCAAACUUUGAAAUGGCUGCGAAAUCUCCUCCAAGCUUAGAAAUGGCCUUCAAAUUGCAAAAUUGACUUGCAAAAUGGAGGGAGGUUUGCAAAAACACCUUGCAAAGCCAAGAGAAGUUGCUAAAAUACCAACAGAGCCUCACGACCAUGCAUAUGAAGAGGGGAGCCCUGCGUACCCUGGGAUCACACACACCAAGCCUCUCACUCCAUUUCUAACCUCCUAAAACCAUCAAAUCCCAUAGCUACCAACUGAAAGCUCCAGUUGAGAAGACUAUGCCAUCCAAGGAGAUUACCAAAACAGAGGUCAAAGUCCUGAUCCAACCCAUUCAAGAGGCCACCACAGACGCAUCAGCUCCACAGAACCUUACCAUUACUUGAUCAUCUUUUUAUUUUUUGUAUUUACUUAUUAUAUUAGUAUAGAUAAUUCCAUGCUUUGAUGUCUUACAUUUUGGGAUUGGAUGUAUUACUGAUGAUACAUCAUACAUAGACAUCAUUUUUUGUUUAAACUUGGCAUUUUUUUUAUUUUCUCUACUCACUAACUCUUUUGUGUUUUUUUUUAAACAUGUGGUUUCUCCUAUACGACUCAGACUCCAUGUUACUUAAGAGGUACCACUUCCUUCCUAUUUUUCAAUCGUUUUUGUCACAUUGAGGACAAUGUUCAGCUUGGUUGGGGGGAGAGUUGAGGAAGUAAGUAUUGUUAAUAAUGCUAAGUUAUUUUGGUAAUUUAGUUACUUUUUGCUUAAAUUUUAAAAUUUUUGCUUUAAACUCCAUGGAUAUUAAGGAUUAACUCUCAAAAUUAAAUGAGAGAAGUCGAGUUUCAACUUGAUUACAUGAGUCUUAGAGUUUGUAUUAUGCUCUUCUAAAAGUUGAUGAAUUGUUGAAACUCCCAUUGCUGCAAACUUAUCUCUUCCACCUUAAGCUAUUCGCACACAUACAUUAGAUUCCGGUUAUAAGAUGUGAAACUAUCUCACCCUCUAAGCUUGAGAAAUCAUAAUUUGACACCUUUAACCUCUCUUUAAUAGUGUUGGGACACCUCAUAAAGACCAAUGAGUCUUUGUAGAAAAAGAAAAAGAAAAAGAAAAAGAAAAAAAAAAUAAAUAAACUUCUUUACUUGCCUUGAAACCUGAGCAUGGUUCAAAGGGGUGGCGAAAGCCUUUAAAGCCUGGUGCCCUAAGCCUUUAUUGGUUGGGAGUCACCGAUCCUCUGCUUGUUACAUGGGUGAAUUGGUUAAGUUUAGUAAGUGAAAAGAAUUGUGAAUAAGAGGUGCGUUCCUAGCCUAUCAAGAGAUGGUUAAUUUUGCUAAGCUAAUCACAUUAACACUUAGCUUUUAGUGGAAGAAUUUGAUUUGGAUCUUUUGAGAGUGGAAAUUCUUUUGAUGCUUAAACUUGCAUAAUAUCCAUUCUUUGUACUCUAUGAUCAAGUGAAUGCUUUGACAACUCUUAUUAUAGGUUGAUUUUCACAUCUUUAUUGAUCCAUGGAUGUCCGUCAUGCCACUCAAUUAUUUUUUGGAGUGAUUUGCAUGACCUCUUUUAUGUAUAUUAUUAUGUUUGCUUAGUUUUUCUCUCCUUCAUUGCUAAGGGACUAGCAAUAUGUCGGUUGGGGGGAGUGAUUACUACUCAAAAAGUGCUAUUUCAUAGCUUGUAAUUAACUCUUUUAAACACUUUUGAGUAGUAGUUAUUGCCUUUUAACCCAAUUAACAUGUUAAGGACCCUUGCAAUCAAUUCUAAUCAAAUUGUGUUAAGUUUUGGUGUUUUGAUAGCUUUUUUAUCACCAAAGCAAUCCAAGAAUGAGGGAGAGCUGUAUAUAGUUAUGGCAAAGCUUUUGAAAGCUCAAAUUCAUGAAGAACCAAGCUUUGGAGCCUCAUAUUCCUUUGCCUUAGUCGUUCAAAGUAUGCAAGGAAAGAACACUGGAGAGAGGAAAAUAGAGUGAAGAAAAUAGAGGACAGCAGCUACAGUCUUCUUGCGCACUUUUUGAGCACUUCCCGAAGUUCAUUUUCUACAUGCUAUAUACCAUUUCAAAGCUCAGGAAGUCAAGAAUCCAACGCUUCAAACCGUCUACGAUUUGGAGCUGAAAUGAGGAAGUUACAGCCUUUGGAAGAUGACUGCUCCAAGCUGAAGGAAGGAUUCAGCAAAGUGUUGCGAAAUCACCCUUUUGUUGCGGAAUGAUUUCGCAGCCUUUUUGCACAGUGCUUUGGAUUUCCCUUGAAGUUUCACGCCGCGAUGGAAGCCAAACACCACAAGAUGAAAGCCAACUUCGCAGCGGUGCGGAACCAGCCUUUUGCUGCGAAGUAAUUUCGCAGCCCUUUUUGGAUGUCUGCGAAAUCUCGCAGACCUCGUUUUCACCUGCGAAAUGGUCCUUAGUGCUUCCCGAUAUUUGCGACCGACUCUUUUAGAUCUUUUCUUCAGAUAUUUUUGUAUAAAUUUCCAUUUUCUCCUUGUAUUCAGCCACUCAUGUAAUUCCUUAGCUAGGAAGUAUCCAAGGAAGGGUAAAUUACCUUCCUAUAUAAACUCUCUUGUAAACACUAAAAAGACGACGCUCGGAGAAGUAUGUAAUAUAGAAAGAUAUAUAGAUAUAUCAUAUAUAGAAUCAACGAACAGAGCACUUGCUCUGUUUUUCAUAUAUAUUCUUGUUUUCUCUUUAGUUUUCUUUCUAGCUAAUCAAACUCUGAGGAUUUUUCCUCAGAGGAUGAGAGGCUAGGCUCUUUGUCUCUUGGAGUGAGGAAAGCCGGGUAAGUUUCCACAUGCAUAAAUUGGAAGUUUUGUUGUUUUAGUUUUUAAUGAAGAGAAAGUGUGACCCGUUAAUGGUUUUUAUCUUUUUAGUUAACUUAAAAUGCCUUUAAAUCACCUGGGCCAACACUUGGUAAGGCAAGUGAUCUCCGUCCAUGGAGAUGCACUAGUUUACCCCUUGUGAGCCUUUGGGAGGUGACUUGAAGGUAGGAUUUUCUAGAAUAGCCAACACUUGGUAAGCUUUUGGACUCCAAGGAGACAUCCAUUAGUUAUCUCUUGCGAGCUUUUGACGGGUAAUCCAAGGUUAAAGAUCACCUUGAAUGGUAAGUGCUAGUGAGAGGCAUGAACCAUUGCAAAGUGCAUCAGUGAGAGGGAUUUAGUGUUUGAACCCAUUAAUGGGAAGCAUCUGUAUAGCAUCGGUUAGAGAAGGAACUAUAGUUAAUUCUCUAAUGCGAGGAAAAGAAAUAAGUGAUCGGAACUCUCCUUUUUGUAUGACGAACCUGAGCCUAGUGAUCUGAACUCCAAGAAACAUAUUUCUUUGUACGUAAAAUCAGUUACUAUUUUUGGUUAGUUUAAAACCAAACCUUUUUCAUUCAAACAUCUUUAUGUUUUCUUUUAAAGCUAACCUUGAAGUGAAAAGGCACCAAUUCAGCUUUGGAUUAAUAUCAUUUGUGAAGUGAAAACCCAUCCCAGUGAACGAUCCUAGAGCCACUAUGCUAUAGUAGCUUUGUCUUUGCUACCCUAGUAUAUGGUGUUAUAGGUUAUAAAUUUUUUUGAUUACCCCCUCAAUCAAGGAGCACCAGCUGGACACGAAUCAGCUGAGACACCAAUUGGGCACGAAUCAAAAGGCACCGUUGCCGGGGACCGAACCUCGAAUCAAAUGGUGCCGUUGCCACUGCCGCUGCUAGGGACGAAUCAGUAGAGAAGAUUAUUCUACUGUUAUUGCCAUUGUCGGGUAAUUUUUUAAUGUUGUUGCACCAACCAUGGUUCCAAACUCCCUUUAAAACCAUUAGGUACCUUCUUUGUUGCAAGUAACUGACCAAAUUUUGUUCAAAAUUUCCUCCUGGGGAAAUUGGUACUCCCAUUUCUUUUCAAUUUUUUUCCCAGGAAUCUUUACAAGAGGUUAAGUGAGGAACCCAAGCAUGACAUUCAAAAUGGCCCUUCACCCUUUCAUUCUCGCAAACUUUUUUUUAUCAGAAUGGUCUUACCAGAGCUAGUGGAUCCAACUACUGAAAUCACCAGAUGCCUUAAUUCUUUCUUGAUAAGAGAUCAAUUGUAUGUCUCUCCAUUCCUAUGAGCUCAUCAUUGCUAAGGACGGGAUAAGCCAUGUCAGGGACCUCUCCUGCAAUGGAACUUGAGGCUACUCCAAAGGAAGAUUUUCGAAAUGGAUCUAACUCUUUGAAAAUUUUGAUCUUGGCUUGAAUAACAUAUGUAUAGGAGGAUAAUAUAUGGAAUGCUCUCUAGUCCAUGACCUUGUGGGAAAUGUUAUGAAGAGCUAUGGAGAUUUUAUGUUCAUGGAAGUGUUCGAGCACAUCAACCAUGAACUAUUCAAGAGCAUCCUCAAUCUCAUAUGCAAUCUCCCAUACUUUGUUUUGCGUCGAUCUUUAGCACCUUCAGUGCCUUGUUCUCGUUGCAUGGUGUCUUUGAGGUAGGCUUGCAUGGUUUCCAAAUCUUCUUCAAUAAUGACGAUUUUUAGCUUCGACUUUGGGUUUCUUUAACUAAAGAAGGUCUGUACAACACCAAGUGUUGUUGCAACUGCUAUUUCUGCCAUGAUCUAGUCCUCUCUGUCAAGUCCCUACCUUCUUAAUCCCAAUUUUAUCUCUUUAACCAACAACGACCUUGCUUAUUUUUGUGAAAAGACCUCCACCCCAAUUUAUUAAAGCAAUUGGGAUUAAAAACUUCCUACUUACUUGUUGAUAACUGACUGCUGAAUUUUCAAUUGUUCCUGUCAAUUAAGCUUUUGUCUUGAAUUUUCCUACGUUCAUUUAGAAGAUUGUUGAUAUAUGUAUUGUAACUUGCAACACUAUGUAUAACGACCCAUACCCAACCGUAUAACAUGGAUCAAAAUCUAGUUCGGAUAUCAUUUGUAACAACUUAUACCCAACCAUAUAGAUAUUUGUUAGCCUGAGGGUUCUCCUAAUCGGGUUUUGAUGAUAACACACCAUGGUUAAAUGACUAAUUGGUUUAAAUGUUUAAGAAUCUCAGGUAUAAACUCGAAAAUUCAUCAAAGGACCAAAUGGAUACAAGAUCGAGAUGCUUGGAAGACUUGUGAUCAUAGGAAACUAAUGUAAGAUGAAUGCUUGAGUGCACUUAAGAUUUUCAUACAUUUCAUGCAUCUUAAGAAACUCGGUUUAUUCUUUAAAACUUUGAUUUCAUUAAAACCCGAGUUUCUAACUAAUGUACCUUAGGCAAAAUGUUUUAUAAUUGGCUUAAUAAUUUACCUAAAGACCUUGCCUAAGUGUUAGAAAAGAAAGGAAUAAAAAAAUAGGUUUUCAGGGCCAAAAAGGCUCAACCAGUCGAGACUAUGGCCAACCGGUUGAGGAACCGGUCGACCAGUUAUGCUCAUUCAGGUCGAGGACCGAUCGAGGGAGGUAAAAAAUCUUCUCUUUCUCCCAGUAGCUUUCUCUUCCCAGUCGAGGGAUUUCUCUUACUGGUUGAGGUCCGGUUGAGGCAACGGUAACUUGUCAUGCCCUAAAUGCUCCAAUGGCUAGUGAACCGAUCGACCCUUAGCUCGACUGAACGAGGUUACCUUUUGCUGUUUUUGACUCCCAAGCUUAGAAACCUAUAAAUUGAGAGCUCCACUUAAUUUAUUAACAAAAGAACACUUGCAUUCAAUAGCCUACUUACCUGUUCUUGAUAAAAAAGCUUUCAUUUCUUUCAUAGUGCAUUAAAUCACCACUUGCAUAUCCUUUAGUGCACUCUUGUGUGUCAUCCUAGCUUUGUCUUGUAUUUGAGCUAUCCUUAAGCUAAGUUGAGGGAUUAUAUCUUGUAAAAUCUGAGUGUUAAAGCCUUCAAGAGGGUUGAAUCUUGAAGAGGUUGUGUAAGAGCCAAUUGGAGUCGGAAUCCAAGUGUAAGAAGAUUGGAAGCUUGGUUGAAGCUUUAAGUUAGUGGAACCCUCACUCGGUUAGGAGGUUGAAGAGAGUGGAUGUAGGCAAGGAAGUGUCGAACCACUAUAAACCCGAGUUUGAAUUCUCUAAACUCUAUCUCUUUACUUUACUUAUAUUGUGUUUGAAUUUGUUGUGAUUGAAAAGAUUUUAAAAACCCAAUUCACCCCCCUCUCCUCCUCCCCCCCCCCCUCCUUUUGGGUGUUUUUAUUAACUAAGCAUAGUCUUUGCUUUCUCAAUUGGUAUUAGAGCUAGACUUCUUUUUAAGACUUAAUUGUUUAAGAGGUAAUGACUAUUCCAUCAAGCUUAUCCCAAGCUGAAAAUUUUUCAAAACAUAGAGCUCCAUUCUUUACGGGAACCGACUAUCCCUAUUGGAAAAUUAGAAUGACUUGGUAUUUACAAUCUAUUGAUUUAGAUGUAUGGGAUGUCAUUAAAGAUGACCCAACUUUUCCCAAUAAACUAGUUGAUGGAGUUUUGGUUCCAAAACCCAAGCAAGAAUGGAAUGAGCUUGAUAGAAGAAACUUUCAAUUAAAUGCUAAAGCCGUUUUUACUUUGCAAUGUGCUAUGGAUAGAAAUGAAUAUAAUAGAAUAUGUCAAUGCAAAUCGGCUAAAUAAAUUUGGAGGUUGCUUGAAAUAACUCAUAAAGGAACUAAUAAAGUGAAAGAGUCAAAAAUCAAUUUACUUGUUCAUAACUAUGAAUUGUUUUCAAUGAAAGAAACUGAGACUAUUGUUGAGAUGAUUACUAGGUUCACCGACAUUGUCAAUGGUCUUGAAGCUUUGGGAAAAACCUACAAGGAAUCCGAGAAGGUGAUGAAGAUAUUGAGGUCUCUCCCAUCAAAGUGGCAUACCAAGGUCACCGCAAUUCAAGAAGCAAAAGACUUGACUAAGCUACCUAUGGAAGAGCUCAUAGGGUCAUUAAUGACAUAUGAGAUCAAUUUGACAAAGAAGUUACAAGAGAGUGAAGACAAAAAGAAGAAGAGCAUAGCCCUCAAAGCUACAACUAAGGAAGAAGAAGAUGUUGAAGAAGAAAAGCCAAGUGAUGAAGAUGAUGAUCUAGCCCUCAUCAUAAGAAAGCUCAACAAAUACAUGAGAUGUGAAAGGUUUAGAGGAAGGAAAUUUACCUCUAGAAGGGAUCUUUCUAAAAAGGAAUCUUCAUCCCAUGGUGACAAGAAGAAAUGGGAAGAGAAAAGAGAUUUGACAUGCUUCAAGUGCAAAAAACUGGGACACAUCAAAUAUGAUUGUCCUCUUUACAAGAGUGAAGCCAAGAGAAGAAUGAAGAAGGCAAUGAUGGCCACUUGGAGUGAAAGUGAAGAAUCCUCCAAAGAAGAAAAUGAGAAAGAAGUGGCAAACAUGUGCUUCAUGGCAAUAGAUGAUCUAAAUGAGGUAAACUCUAACUUUAGUGAUGAAGAUAUGCAUGAUGUUUUUGAAGAAUUAUAUGAGGAUUUUGAAAAACUUAGUUUGAAAAAUAAUUCUCUUCAAAAGAAAAUUCAAGAACUUGAAAAUGAACUUGAAGAAGUGAAAGAAAAAUUUUCAAUUGUUGAAAUAUCUAAAACUCAUCUUGAAAAAGAAAAUGAGAUUUUGAAAAAGAAAAAUGAACAGUUAACCUCCUCUCUUUCAAUUUUCUCUUGUGGACAAAAAUCUUUUGAAAUGAUCUUAGCUAGCCAAAAAAUGUGUUUUUGACAAACAAGGGCUAGGAUUCAAAUCAUCAAAAAAUCAAAAGUAUUUUAAAAACUACUUUGUAAAAGAAUCCGCAAGUGCAAGUCCUUCCACCACUUGCAACUUUUGUGGAAAAGGAGGGCACAUUAAUAGUACAUGUCCCUUAAGAAAUGGUUCUCAAAAGACUUCAAAUUCUAAAACUAAAAAGGUUUGGGUUGAGAAAUCCAAGGUUAUUAACCUUCAAGGACCCAAAAAUAUAUGGGUACCUAAAUCAACUUAAAUUUUAUUUUGUAGGGAUCAAAGAAUGAUAAGUGGUUCUUGGAUAGUGGAUGCUCAAGACACAUGACCAGGGAUGAAUCCAAGUUUGCUUUCCUUACAAAGAGAAAAGGAGGAUACGUUACCUUUAGAGACAAUUCAAAAGGAAGGAUCAUUGGUCAAGACAACAUUGGUAAUGGCACAUCUUCUCUUAUUGAAAGUGUUUUAUUAGUGGAUGGUUUAAAACAUAAUCUUUUAAGCAUAAGUCAACUUUGUGACAAAGGUUUUAAAGUGAUUUUUGAAGCAUCUCAUUGCAUCAUCAAAGAUAUUCAAAAUGAUAAAACCAUCUUCAUGGGCCAUAGAUGUGAUAAUGUUUAUGCAAUAAAUAUUUCAAAAUAUGAUGGCCAUGAUAGAUGCUUUUCAAGCAUGCAUGAUCAAAGUUGGUUGUGGCAUAGGAGGUUGAGACAUGCUAACAUGGACCUCAUUUCCCAACUCAACAAAGAUGAACUUGUUAGACGCCUUCCCAAAAUAAAUUUUCAAAAAGACAAAGUUUGUGAAGCUUGUCAAAUGGGAAAGCAAAUAAAAAACUCUUUUAAAAACAAAAAUUUCAUUUCAACAACUAGACCUCUUGAAUUGUUGCAUAUGGAUUUAUUUGGUCACUCUAGGAUACCAAGCCUUGGAGGAAAAUCUUAUGCUUUUGUUAUUGUGGAUGACUUCUCUAGAUACACUUGGGUCUUAUUUUUAAGUCAAAAGAAUGAAGCCUUUUAUAAGUUUUCAAAGUUUUGCAACAAGGUUCAAAAUGAAAAAGGUUUUACAAUUACUUGUAUAAGAAGUGAUCAUAGGAGAGAAUUUGAAAAUAUUGAAUUUGAAGACUAUUGCAAUGAGCAUGGUAUUAACCACAACUUUUUGGCUCCUCGAACUCCUCAACAAAAUGGGGUAGUUGAAAGGAAAAAUAGAACUCUUCAAGAAAUGGCUAAAACCAUGCUAAAUGAAAACAAUUUACCAAAAUACUUUUAGGUCGAAGCGGUUAACACUUCUUGUUAUGUUUUAAAUAGAAUUUUAUUAAGGCCUAUUCUUAAGAAAACUCCCUAUGAGCUUUGGAAAAACAAGAAACCUAACAUUAACUAUUUCAAAGUAUUUUGGUGCAAAUGCUUUAUAUUAAACACCAAAGACAAUCUUGGAAAAUUUGAUGCAAAAUCGGAUGUUGGAAUUUUUCUUGGCUACUCAACUUCAAGUAAAGCCUUUAGAGUUUUUAACAAAAGAACCAUGGUUGUUGUGGAGUCCAUCCAUGUUAUUUUUUAUGAAUCUAACAAUUCUCUCCAAGAAAGAGAGAGCUUUGAUGAUGAUUUAGGCUUGGAGACCUCCAUGGAAAAAUUACAAAUUGAAAAUAAAAGGCAACAAGAAUAAGUUGUAAAGGAUCCCAAGAAAGAAGAAUCACCUUUGGCACUACCUCCUCCUCAACAAGUGCAAGGUGAAUCAAGCCAAGACCCCCCUAAAGAUUGGAAGUUUGUCAUCAACCAGCCACAAGAUCAAAUUAUAGGUAAUCCAUUUUGUGGGGUAAGAACUAGAUCAUCUCUUAGAAAUAUUUGCAAUAAUGUUGCUUUUAUCUCUCAAAUUGAACUUAAAAAUAUAAAAGAUGCUCUAGUUGAUGAAAAUUGGAUGAUUGCCAUGCAAAAAGAGUUAAACCAAUUUGAAAGAAGUGAAGUAUGGGAAUUAGUGCCAAGACCUCAAAAUCAAAGUGUUAUUGGAACUAGAUGGGUCUUUAGAAAUAAAAUGGAUGAAAAUGGCAUAAUUAUACGGAAUAAAGCAAGAUUGGUAGCCCAAGGUUUUAAUCAAGAAGAAUGGAUAGAUUAUGAAGAAACCUUUGUUCCCGUAGCUAGAUUGGAAGCCAUUAGAAUGCUACUUGCCUUUGCAUGUUUUAAAGACUUUGUUUUAUAUCAAAUGGAUGUGAAAAGUGCUUUCUUAAAUGACUUUAUAAAUGAAGAGGUAUAUGUUGAACAACCACCUGAUUUUCAAAGUUUUAACUUUCCUAAUCAUGUUUUUAGACUUAAAAAGGCACUUUAUGGUUUGAAACAAGCACCUAGAGCAUGGUAUGAAAGAUUGAGUAAAUUCCUUUUGAAAAAGGGUUUUAAAAUCGGAAAAAUUGAUACAACUCUUUUCAUAAAAACCAAAGAAAAUGACAUGCUCUUAGUACAAAUUUACGUUGAUGAUAUCAUUUUUGGAGCUACUAAUGUCUCUCUUUGUGAAGAAUUCUCUAAAUGCAUGCAUAGUGAGUUCGAAAUGAGCAUGAUGGGAGAACUUAUCUUCUUCCUUGGACUUCAAAUCAAGCAACUAAAGGAAGGAACCUUCAUCAAUCAAGCAAAGUAUAUAAGAGAUCUCCUUAAAAGGUUCAAUAUGGAGGAAACCAAAACAAUGAAGACUCCAAUGAGUUCAUCCAUCAAGCUUGACAUGGAUGAGAAAGGUAAGCCCAUCAACUCAACUAUGUAUAGAGGCAUGAUAGGUUCUUUGCUAUAUUUGACCGCUAGUAGACUCGACAUCAUGUAUAGUGUAUGCUUGUGUGCUAGAUUUCAAUCUUGUCCUAAGGAAUCUCAUUUAAGUGUUGUAAAACGAAUUCUUAGAUAUUUAAAAGAGACUAUGGACAUAGGUCUAUGGUAUCCUAAGGGUGAUAACUUUGAAUUAAUUGGAUACUCGGAUGCCGACUUUGCCGGUUGUAAAGUUGAGAGAAAAAGCACUAGUGGCACUUGUCAUUUCCUAGGACACUCACUUGUUUCAUGGCAUAGUAAUAACCAAAAUUCAGUAGCUUUGUCUACAGCGGAAGCCGAAUACAUAGCAGUCGGUUUAUGUUGUGCACAAAUCCUUUGGAUGAAACAAACACUAGUGAUUUCAAUUUGAUUUUUGAGCAUGUUCCUAUAAAAUGUGAUAACACUAGUGCAAUAAACAUUUCAAAAAAUCCGGUACAACAUUCUAGGACUAAGCAUAUAGAGAUAAGACACCAUUUUCUUAGAGACCAUGCAUAAAAGGGUAACAUUACACUUGAAUUUGUAAGCACAAAAGAUCAACUAGCCGAUAUUUUUACAAAACCCCUAAGUGAAGAGCAAUUAGUUGAUAUUAGAAGACAACUAGGGGUGAUUUCUUUAUGAUCAAAUGAUUGCUUGAUGAAUUCUUGAUUGAAUAUACCCUAUGAUUGCGUGAAAUUCAUAUCAUAUGCAUCAUAUAGAAAUAAUCCUAGGAAAGAGGUCAAAUUUUGACCAAAAAUCAAAAUUCCCAUGGCAUUGGACAUAAAAAAAUUGGGGAUUUCAACUGAAAAGGGCAGGGGGAGGAUCACGAGACAAGAAAAUGCAACAAAAUUUUGAAAAAUUGACCAUUGACCGUUGACCAAGUGGUCGACAGGUUGAGGAACCGGUCGACCAGUUCGUCGAGGCUGGGAAUUUAAAAAGCCCCCCUUCCCACUUCAUUUCUCACCUGUUCUCCUCCAUAGCUUGAAGCCUCUUCACAUCCCUGCUUCCAGAAGACUGUUUUGGCCAGAUUUCGGACCGAUUGAAGGCUAUGAACUUGAUUUUGGGACGCCUUAAGGUUAGGGUUUUGAUUUGAAACCCAGGGUUUCAGCUUUUGGGAGUGUUUCUUCUCUACACCACACGCCUCAGGGUUGGUUCAACUUCAUUUCUGUGCGCCUAGGGCUUCGGGUUUGUGAUUGCUCCUUCUCGUUUCAUUUCAUUCUCUCUUUUUGGACUCUUCCUUCUCAUUUUCAUUCAUUGGAUGGCACCAAGGUGAGAAACGGGCACCUCCAGGGCUCAGGGCAAGCGCCCUAUUGAGCCAUAUCAGCCUGAGUAGACGGAGGCUCGCCGAAAGGUGAGGUAUGACACGACCUUUUUCAGUUCGAUUGAAGAUUAUCAGCACUACAAGCAAAAGUUCGCCUAGAGGAAAGUCGUCCUGGGGAGAAGUGUCAAUUUCUCCCAACUUCAGCACUUCGGGUUUGAGGGACCAUUCGGUUGGAUGGGAUGGCUGUCAGUUAUGACAAUUUCUGAGCCAAUCUUCCCAACUUUGGUGCGGGCUUUUUAUUCCCGGGUGACUUAUGGGCUUAGAGAACCGGUAUUGUCCACUAUGAAGGGAGUUGAGAUCAAAUUGAGUCCCGAGAGUAUCUGCCGCAUUCUCAACAUCCCUUCAGUUGGACUCCGAGUGUAUGAGGCCAAGGCGUGGGCCAUUGUGCCGAGAUUUGAGCCUAGAGAGGCUGUUCAGAGGUUGUGCGGACUCGCAGAUGCCUAGGAGAUGGGCAAACCAUCAGCACACAGCCUGACUAUGCCCAGUCGAGUCCUUCACCACAUGAAAUGCUCCAUUUUAUUGCCACGUGGAGGACAUCGAGACGAGGUCUCCUACCUUGAGGCAUUUAUUGUGGACUCGAUCAUCACCAGGAGACGGAUUCACGUGGGAUAUCUGAUUAUGAUGCAUAUGAUCUCCUGCGUUGAGAGCACGACACGAGUACUCCCUUACGACUGCUUUCUUACCCGAGUAUUCAAGGAUGCUGGGGUCGACUUGAGUAGAGAGAUGGAUUUCAAGGCCCCCAUCAGCUAUGACACGUAUGAUGAGCAGUUUUUGGGGCGCAUGAAGUUCGAAAAGGCACCCGAUGGCUCCUAGGUUAGGAAAGCUGAGCGACAGGCCCGAGGACAGGAUCAGAUGCAUCCCGGAGCAAAGGAGGAGACCGAUAUCAGAGAGAUGGAGGAUGGGUUAGACCCUCACAGGGACUUUGAGCAAAGAGGGCCCGAGCUUGACAUUCUGCCUCCACCUCAAUCAGAAGGCAUUCAUGUUGAGGCUACCUACUCAGAGCCUAUGAUGACUGAGUCGUCUUUCACAGUAGGACCAUCAUCUCAACCAUCAUUUACCGAGCUACCAUCUCAGGCACCUCACACUCCUGAUUAUGCGCCUUGGAUGGAUGUCUCCGCUCAGAUCAGCUCACUUGGGACUCGUAUGGAGGAACUUGCCUUAGUCCAUGACUCUCGCUUCUACUCUAUGGAGGAGCACAUGGAUUAGUAUCAGACUAGAGUCACUUCUCGAUUUGAUCACUUCCAACAGCGAUUUGAGCGCAUAGAGGAGCGUAUGGAUCAACAGCAGGCUACAUUCGAGCAUCUCCAACAAAGCAUUGAUCGUAUUAAGAGUCGUCAAGCGAGUUAGCAUGAAGAGAUGAUGACCUACUUUCGCUUUGUGUUUCCUCCUUCACCCCCUUAGCCUUGAGACUAUCUAGACAUCCCCCUCUGUUUAUUUUUUAUGUUGCCAAAGGGGGAGAAAUUUAUAGGAUCUAGGAGACUCUCAUGCAUGUCAUUGUCAUCAUAGUCAUAUCUAUUUUGUUUGUACAUGUGAGGUUUCGUUUCCAUAUAUAUAUGAUAUGAUAUUUUUAUGAUCUAGUGUUCAUUUUCGUGUUUCACAUUGCUUCCUAUUAAAAAUCGUUUGAAUUGAUCCAUGAUUGGUUUGAGGAGGAGAUUUUUUUUCUCUCCUAGAUAACCAAGGUUUGUCAUCAUCAAAAAGUGGGAGAUUGUUAGCUCAAGGGUUCUCCUAAUCGGGUUUUGAUGAUAACAAACCAUGGUUAAGUGACUAAUUAGUUUAAAUGUUUAAGAAUAUGAGGUAUAAACUCGAAUAUUCAUUAAAGGACCAAAUGGAUACAAGAUCGAGACGCUUAAAAGACUUGUGAUCAUAGGAAACUAAUGUAAGAUGAAUGCAUGAGUGCACUUAGGAAUUUCAUACAUUUCAUGCAUCUUAGGAAACUCGGUUUAUUCUUUAAAACUUCGAUUUCAUUAAAACCUGAGUUUCUAACUAAUGUACCUUAGGCAAAAUUUUUUAUAAUUGGCUUAAUAAUUUACCUAAAGACCUUGCCUAAGUGUUAGAAAAGAAAGGAAUAAAAAAAAAAGGUUUUAGGGGCCAAAAAGGCUCAACCGGUCGAGAAUAUGGCCAACCGGCUCAACCGAUUAUGCUCGUCCGGUCGAGGACCUGUCGAGGGAGGUCAAAAACCUUCUCUCUCUCCCAGUAGCCUUCUCUUCCCGGUCGAGGUAUUUCUCUUACCGGUCAAGGUCCGGUCGAGGUCCGAUUGAGGCAACGGUAGUUGUCAUGCAUUAAAUGCUCCAACAGUUAGUGAACCGGUCGACCCCUAACUCGACCGGACGAGGUUACCUUUUACUGUUUUUGACUCCCGAGCUUAGAAACCUAUAAAUUGAGAGCUCCACUUCAUUUAUUGACAAGAGAACACUUGCAUUCAAUAGCUUACCUACCUGUUCUUGAUAAAAAAAAACUCUCAUUUCUUUCAUAGUGCAUUAAAUCACCACUUGCAUAUCCUUUAGUGCACUUUUGUGUGUCAUUUGUAUUGUAUUUGAGCUAUCCUUAAGCUAGGUUGAGGGAUUAUAUCUUGUAAAAAUCUGAGUGUUAAAGCCUUCAAGAGGGUUGAAUCUUGAAGAGGUUGUGUAAGAGCCCAUUGGAGCCGGAAUCCAAGUGUAAGAAGAUUGGAAGCUUGGUUGAAGCUUUAAGUUAGUGGAACUCUCACUCGGUUAGGAGGUUGAGGAGAGUGGACGUAGGCAAGGAAGUGCCGAACCACUAUAAACCCAAGUUUGAAUUCUCUAAACUCUAUCUCUUUACUUUACUUAUAUUGUGUUUGAAUUCGUUGUGAUUGAAAAGAUUUUAAAAACCCAAUUCACCCCCCCUCCCCCCUUUUGGGUGUUUUUCUUAACUAAGCAUAGCCUUUGUUUUCUCAAUUAGUAUCAGAGCUAGACCUCUUUGUAAGACUUAAUCGUCUAAGAGGAAAUGGCUAUUCCAUUUUGCAUGUCCAUAGAAAAAUUUUGAGCUUGUUUGCCCACGAUAUGGACCUGCUUUAUUUAUUUCAAACUUGCUUUAUAUAUGUGUGUGAUAUGAUGUAUAGUUUUUAAGGUUAUGAUUUUUUUUUUCUUUCCCUGUGAAUUUUCCCGUUUAGAGUUUUUCACAUAAAUUUGUGUGUUCUUAUUUUGUUUUUUCUUAUUGUCUAUUCUCGUUAUUUUAUAACACAAACAAUCUUCAACUUUUUCAAGCCACAUAAAAUAUCACUUGAAUUGUAAUAUUUUGGGUGGUUGGGAAAUAUUUUUUUUAUAUGCUUAUUUGAUUAGUAAUUUGAAAUUAAGCAUAUGGUAAGAUCCAAAAUGUAUCAUAACUCAAUUAAUUAGGCAUAAAAAAUUGAGGUAUUAAAAAAAUUAUUUAAAAUUUUAUGAACCUAAUCUAUGAUUUUCCAUUUAAAAAAAAAAAUUCGACACUAAACUGAAUUGAACUAAAAAUUAUAUACUUAUGUAUAAUACUUAAUAUCUGUUUGUUGUAUUACUAAAUUUUUGCUAUAUGAUAGCAUACCACAUCUAUAUACUUUAUAAUUGAACUACUUAGUAAUGCUAUGAGAAGGUUAUAUCAAUAGGUAUAUGUAAUAUCCCUAAUUUAGUUUUCACAAAAUAAUAAUAAUAAUAAUAAUGGUGGAUAGGGAAGUUACAAUUUUAAAUCACAACCAAUGAGUUACAAAUUUUAUACCACUUUGGAGAAGUUUUAGUUUUAAAAGAAAAAAAAAUAUUUAACAAUUUUGAAAAAUCAAGAAAAGUGAGAAAAACCCUAGAGAGAUAGGAUAAGAGGUAAAAGAGAGAAAAACCCAAAGAUAAACGUCAAGAUUGAUUUCACAUCGUUGAUUAUUUUUAUUCUCUACUAAGUAAAAUUUAUGGUAAGUCUUUAAAAUAUAUUCUUUUUUUUUUUAAAGAUAUAUGUUCAUGAUAAGAUUCUUAUAUUAAUCAAAGGUAGUACUAUGAAUGUGGCCUCUAAUUUAAUCCUAGACAAAAACAAAGUCUUCGUGAAUAUAAGAGUUUUUAUUAUUAUUUGGAAGAAAUUUUUAUACAAUACAAUUCUAAAAUAAAGAUAUGUAUUUAGUCUAAAGGACAAUUCUAAAAAUUUAAGAAGGUUUUGAAGAAAAAUAUAAACAUAAAUAAAUAAAUAAUUCAUUGUAGUUGUUCAAUAAAAGAAUGCAAUGUAGAAUAUAUAUUCAAUGAGAAAAAAAUGUGAAUAAUAAAGGAAAAUAAGAAAAAUAAAAUAUUCAUUGUACAAUAAAAAAUAUUAAUUAGGAUAUACAUAAGGUUUUGAAGAAAAAUAUAAAGAUAAAUAAAUAAAUUCAUUUUAGUUGUUCAAUAAAAGAAUGCAGUGUAGAAUAUAUAUUCAAUGUGAAAAAAAUAUGAAUAAUAAAGGAAAAAAGAAAAAUAAAAUAUGUAUUGUAAAGCGAGGAUAAAUGUGACUCAAAUAAAAGUAGAGACAACUAUAUAUUACUUUAAUAAUAAAUAUAAUGGGGGAAGGAAUCAUAGAAGAGAAAUGAAAUAGUUGAAAAAAUGAAAGCAAGAGAGAAUAUGAGAGAAUGAGAAUUUCUUUCUUUUCUUGGGAUACUUUUGUACAAAGGAUGGAAGGUCUUUUAUAGGCCUCACAAAAAUGUUCCAUUAAUGCUCUCCAUUAAUAUCAAUAAAUGAAGCCAUUAAUGGAAGACUUUAUAUAAUGUUUUAAUAUAAGUUUUAAUGCAAAUGGGACUUUAACUGGUGACAUCCACCCUUGGAUGUCCAUCACACUAAAGAAUAUACCUCACUAAAACCUUGCUAGUAAAAGAACUCUAUGGCAAAAACCUAGCGAAGGAAAAAAAAAGUACAAUUUAAGUUGUUUUUUGUAUGUUAGAAUUGCCUCGUUAAAAAACUUGCCUGUAAAACCCAAUGAGACAAAACCUAGAUGAAGGGAAAAAAGAGUACAAUACACUAACACCCUUUUAAAAACAUUCUCCUCCUCAUGUUGAUAUCCUUGAGUUGACACAUUCCAAUUUGAUAUACUAAGAUAUCAUCAGUAAAGAUAACCACAAACUGAUCCAAAUAGGAUUUGAACACCCUAUUCAUCAAAUCCAUAAAAGUUGUAGGGGCAUUAGUUAAACCAAAAGGCAUCACUAAGAACUCAUAAGGCCCAUAUCAAGUUUGAAAAACGAUGUUGGGUACAUCCUCCCCCUUCAUCUUAAGUUGAUGGUAACCAAAAUGAAUGUCAAUCUUUAAGAAUAUAGAAGCACCUUGCAAUUGAUCAAAUAGAUAAUCAAUUUGAGGUAGUGGGUAUUUAUUUCUAAUAGUCACCUUGUUGAGUUCUCUAUAGUAGAUACAAAGCCUCAUUGACCCAUGUAUUUUUAACUAAUAACACUAGAAUACCUCAAGGUGACACAUUGGGCCUAACAAUGCUCUUUUCCAACAUUUCCUCAAGUUGCAUCUUCAACUCAUUAAAUUCCAUGGGUGUCAUACAAUAAGGUGCCCUAGAUAUAGGAGUUGUCUCAAGCAUUAACUCAAUGAUGAACUUCGCCUCUCUUUCUAGUGGAACUUUUCAAGAAAGACAUUUGGAAAGUGUCUCACAACCAGAAUGUUUUCUAUCCUUAAAUACUUUGUCUCUAACAAUAUUUCUUUUAUGGCCAAAAGGCUUUCUUGACAAAAAAUUUCAUCUCGACAAUUGUCUCCAAAAUUGUGUCACCCUAUAGUUUUGGAGACGAAUAAUUACAUUUUGUUAGGAAAACGUAUCUAUGACGAAAUGAAAUCUCAUGGCCAAAACUAUUUGGCAACGAGAGUUUUUUAUGGCGUAAAAUAAAAUGUUUUGUUGGGAAUUAGAUUUUCAAAUAUCUAGUAAACCAUUUGGUGACACAAGAUUUCAUUGGACAACGAAAUUAUUUCAUCUCUAAAUGUUAAUUUAUACAUUAGGAGAUGAAAUAUUUUAAUCUCCAUCAUGUUAACAUAGAGUUUCUACAACGAAAUAAUUUUAUGUCAAAAUAUUGACAUAUAGUUUCAGUAACAAAUAAAUCUUGUCUCUAAAUGUUUUCAUUACAAUUGGAGACAACAUUAUUUCAUCUUUAAAACUAAUCAUGUUUAGGUAAUGAGAUAGUUUUAUCUCUAAAUGUCUUUAUUCAUAUUAGAAGAUAAAAUAAUGAAACAAAUUUCGUAUUUAUACUAAUUUGAGGAUGAAAUAAUUUCCUCCCUAAAUAUAAUAUUAUUAUUAAUUUUUAAAAUUUUAAAUAAUCCUAUUGAAACAUUUAUAAACCUGUAUGAUAUUCAACACUUUCAAAUAUAAGAUGAUAUUAUACAAAAUGAAUAAUUUAAUAAUGCAAAAAUACAAUAACCUAUAGAAAAUAAGUAAGAACAAAACAUUUGUUUUAUCAAUGCAAACCAUACUUGCAAAUAAAAUUAUCUAUGCUAUUUGAAUAUUAUCUAAAAUAAAAAUGACUAACAUAUAAUAGUAAACCACAUAAUAAUGUCAACUUGAUAGUGAAGGUGGUGGUUAGGAAGCUAAGCCAAAAUGAGGUGGUAGUGAGUUAGAAGUAUUGGUUUGUUGUGGCACGAAACUCUAUAUCAUUGCCUUCAACUAGUCCAAUUAAGUGGUAGUUGUAGUCUUAAACUCUUGUAACUCUAUGAUCUAUUGUCACAACUUCUUUGUCUCUUUAUUAGGAAAUUUAGUUGCACUUGAAUGGUUAAGUUGUGAUCCAUAUCCCAAACCUUGAACAUAACUUGAUUGCUUCUUAAGCACUCAAUGAGUUAUCACUAAGUCAGACAAGAGUACCAACCUUCUGGGUACUUUGCUCUUGAAUCUCAUGCAUCUCUUCGUGAAAAAUAUAGUAUAAUUUUAAUUAGUAAAAAUAUUACCAUAACAUAUUUACCUUUUACUACUACAAGUAACAUGACUCUUACGUAUCGAGAUUUAAGAGUAUCAUUUAUCCAUCCUUUACUCGCAUUGUAGUAGGUGGCACAAAAUAACUCCACUUCCUUUUCAACCCUUCAAUGGUAAGACUCUUUUACAUGCACAAAAAAAAAUAAUUAAGUUACUUUUAAAGAUAAUGAAUAAACUCCCCUUUACAACUUUUUAGGUAAAACAUGUCUUUUACAUAAAUAGAAUAAAAUAAAAAUAUUAUUUUAAAGAUAUAAUUAAGAAGUAUAUAUUAUAUCAUUGAGUUAUGGUGAUGAUAAAACGCUAAUCAUUUAGAUCCAUCACAAUGAUUGAAUGGAAGCUUUUCAUGAUUUUCAUUAUUUAUAGCGGCCAUUUUCUACACAAUAAUAUUACUAAAAGAGUAAGUAAAACGAAAAUGAAAAAAUUAUAGUAACCUAAGAAUUAGAUAAAUAUGUUAGACAAAUAACCAAACAUAUAAUAAAGUAAAGUUUUUCUACCAUGUUUUAAGUAGUCUCCUCCAUUAAUCAGACUAUAUAUACACCUAUGUACAAUAUUUUAAUUUUUCAUAAUAAAUCAACAUUCCAACAUAGCAUUUCAAUUAUUCAUAAUAAACAAACAUUCUAAUAGAAUACUUCAAUUUUUCAUAAUGAAUCAACAUUAUGACAUAAAUUUUGAUUUUCAACUUGGUUUAAAUGACAAAUUCCUACUUUAUACUUCAAAAUAUACCAAUUAAUGAAAAAUUCACUUUUUCUUUUUUAUCUUUCCAACUUUUAACAUCUACGAUACUUAAACUUGAUUUUUCAAUCACAGUAAAACCAAAUUCUUAAUUUAAAAAUAAAUUAAAUUUUUGAGCUUUCAUUCAAUACUGUGACAAAUUAAUUUAUUAUCAAUUAGUAAUAAUUAUUAAUAGAAAUAAAAUAUAAUUUAUAUAUUUUCUUUUCUUUUUUUUAAAGAAUUUCUUCCUUACUUCUUAAGUAAAUUUAGAUAUAUCAUUUUCUCAAGAAUAUUUACUGAAUAUAAAUACAAAAAAUAUAAGAACAAAUUAAUUUUAAUAUGAAAUAAAUUUAAACUCAUAUAUUUUGACUUGACAAUAUGAAAACGUUUACUGUUUUCCAAACAAACAUAAUUAAAUACAUCAAUAUGAUAAUGAAUUACCCACACUAAGACCUGCAAAUAUAUCUAAUAAUUAUAAUUUUUAUUUUAAAAUAAAUAUUUGAACAUCACUAUUUAAUAAUUUCAGACACAUAAAGAUAUAUCUUUAGCCUUAUAAAAUAAACAAUAAUGCAUAAAUUCUCAAACCAAAUUCCACAUAAUAACAAACAAAUUGGAUGAAAAAAAUGGGGAAAAUACACAAUUUCUCAAACAAAAUUCUACUUAAUAGCAAACUACUCAAAAAAAUGAAAAACAAAAUAAAUAAUUUUAGAAACAAAAAAAAAAAUUAUGUAUAAUAACAAACAAACACAUAGGAAUCUUAAAAAUAACAAACAAACCAAAAUUAUGUAUAAUAACAAAAAAGAAACAAGAAAAUAUAAAAUAAAAAUAAAUAAUGUAUUACAUGAUGUGAAAAAUACGUCAAAUACCCAUGUAAACCCCUUAAAAGACCAAUGUUUUUUUUUUUUUUUUAUUUAGCUGGGGACCACCCGAGGAGGUUUGUUUGGCAUUCAUUUUUCAAGAUGUGGGGGACCCCUCUCCAUGCAUGGGACGUGCAGCAGCAGGGGGGUGAUGGCUGGCCAUGCUUGCUGAUGGGUGAACAGCAGGGCAAGUAGUGGCUUGCCAAGGAAGAAAAGAAGACGAAGAUUUUAAGGAGAAGGAUAAGAGAGAAAAAAAGAAAAGAAAAAAACGAGGGGGGAGGAGAUCUGAAACGGGGAAGAGAUUUUCAGGUAUGAGCACUGCGGAUUUCCUUCUUCAUCUUCUUUAUUACAUCAUUCUUCAUGCAUUUAUCUGGUGUUUCUCUUGCUUUCAUUUGUUAUUGGGGUAUUUUAUCGCUCUGUUUUCUUUGCCAUCUUCUCCGAGCAUUCAGUUCAAAGGUAAACCCGGAUUCUAUUUGAGUUAUGCCACUGACCACGGAGCCCGUUUAUGUCGGCAUGAAAUGGGUUCCUAUGAUUGUUUGUUUGUUUUAUUAUUUUGGGAAGUGCUCAGUUUGAGGUUGUUCAUCUCUGUUUCUUUUCUUUUUUUUCUUUUUUUCUUUCCUGGUACCUCAAUCUUUGUCCUCCAACACGCGUGUGGAGAUCACGUGUCACUCAGCCGGCGACCAUGCCUACGUCCGCAUUGACUCACCGGCCGGAGGACCUGCUCACACGGCUGCGCUGCGCCAACGCCGAAGCCUGCCCUCCCCCCCUCUGUGAAAUCCAAUUACAGAAACCUAAAAAAAUCUAACCCUGAAAGUCUUCUCUUUGUCUUCACCAUGGACGACCUUGGGCCACCUACAGAGACGAAGACGAAGAAGACGACGAUUGCGCUGACACUGCCGGAGGAGAACCAAGCGACGGAGCAAGCCAUCGAGAUGGCCACAGCAGCGGUGGAAGCGACGGAGAUGCCGAAAGUCACACAGAAGGCGAAGAAAGUGGAGCUGGCCUAUGAUAGAAUGCGUGCCGCGAGUGGGAAAGGGUACAGAGUGGUUAAGGCUACUAGAGGGGUUGUGUAAGGAGCUUGGUAUUUUGAAAUCAGGUUUUGAAGUUGAGGGAGACAAGGCAUACGAGGCUUGGAUGGUCAACGGAGAAGGGGGCUUGCAGGCGCCAGUGGGGUACGAUGCAAAUGGUUUCAGGUAUAGGGAUAUAGGUGGGAUUAAGGUGCACAAGGCCAUGGAGGAGAAUGUGGAGAGGAAAGAUUAUUUAAUUUGUUUAAAAGAGUUAAUGGCCACGUGCAAGCCAAAGGAAUGUUUAUUUAAUUUUUUUAAAAGAGUUAAUGGCCACGUGCAAGCCAAAGGAAUGUUCUUGGGGUAGCAAUAAAAAAAAAAUACCCAGGCCACUUUAUGGUCCCGGUGUUAGCAUAUGAGACAUGAGUUUUAUUUAUUUAUUUAUUUAUUAUUAUGUGUGUUUCUAGUUUAUCAUACCUAUUUAAAUAAUUCCUCCAAGUCCCGGAUUCCAAAUUCUAAUCCUCAAUUCCCACAAUUCCAAUUUUUCACACUUGUUUAUUUAGUCGUUAUUAUUAUUAUUAUUAUUAUUAUUAUUAUUAUUAUUAUUAUUCCAUAUUUAUUUAAUUAUUUCAUUUAAAAAUUCAAAUCAUUCAAGUUCAGUAAUUAAAAAAUCUGACUUCCUAAUUUAAUAUUCAAUUGCAAAAAUUCCAUUAUUCAUUUUUACUCGUUUAAAUAUUGUUUUCGUUAAUUAGUAUUACUACCCCAUAUUUAUUUAUUAUUUUGAUCAUUAAAGUCCAAUUCUUCAAAAAUCUAGAGUCCUAAUUUAACUUUUAAUCCCAAAAUUCCACUAUUCAUUUUUACUCGUUUAAAUAUUAUUUUCGUUAAUUAGUAUUAUUACCCCAUAUUUACUUAUUAUUUCGAUCAUUAAAGUCCAAUUCUUCAAAAAUCUGACUUCCUAGUUUAAUAUUCAAUCGCAAAAAUUUCACUAUUCAUUUUUACUCGUUUAAAUAUUGUUUUCGUUAAUUAGUAUUAUUACCCCAUAUUUAUUUAUUAUUUCGAUCAUUAAAGUCCAAUUUUUAAAAAAAUCUAAUGUCCUAAUUUAAUUUUCAAUCCCAAAAAUUCCACUAUUCAUUUUUACUCGUUUAAAUAUUGUUUUCGUUAAUUAGUAUUAUUGUCCCAUAUUUAUUUAUUAUUUCGAUCAUUAAAGUCCAAUUCCUAAAAAAAUCUAACGUCCUAAUUUUUAUUUUCAAUCCCAAAAAUUCCACUAUUCAUUUUUACUCGUUUAAAUAUUGUUUUCGUUAAUUAGUAUUACUACCCCAUAUUUAUUUAUUAUUUUGAUCAUUAAACUCCAAUUCAUAAAAAAUCUAGUGUCCUAAUUUAACUUUUAAUCCCAAAAUUCCACUAUUCAUUUUUACUCGUUUAAAUAUUAUUUUCGUUAAUUAGUAUUAUUACCCCAUAUUUACUUAUUAUUUUGAUCAUUAAAGUCCAAUUCUUCAAAAAUCUGACUUCCUAAUUUAAUAUUCAAUCGCAAAAAUUCCACUAUUCAUUUUUACUAGUUUAAAUAUUGUUUUCGUUAAUUAAUAUUAUUACCCCAUAUUUAUUUAUUAUUUCGAUCAUUAAAGUCCAAUUCUUAAAAAAAUCUAAUGUCCUAAUUUAAUUUUCAAUCCCAAAAAUUCCACUAUUCAUUUUUACUCGUUUAAAUAUUGUUUUUGUUAAUUAGUAUUAUUGCCCCAUAUUUAUUUAUUACUUCGAUCAUUAAAGUCCAAUUCCUAAAAAAAUCUAACGUCCUAAUUUAAUUUUCAAUCCUAAAAAUUCAACUAUUCAUUUUUAUUCGUUUAAAUAUUGUUUUCGUUAAUUGGUAUUAUUACCCCAUAUUUAUUUAUUAUUUUGAUCAUUAAAGUCCAAUUCUUCAAAAAUCUAGCGUCCUAAUUUAACUUUUAAUCCCAAAAUUCCACUAUUCAUUUUUACUCGUUUAAAUAUUGUUUUCGUCAAUUAGUAUUAUUACCCCAUAUUUACUUAUUAUUUCGAUCAUUAAAGUCCAAUUCUUCAAAAAUCUGACUUCCUAAUUUGAUAUUCAAUCCCAAAAAUUGCACUAUUCAUUUUUGCUUGUUUAAAUAUUGUUUUCCUCAAUUAGUAUUAUUGCCCCAUAUUUACUUAUUAUUUCAAUCAUUAAAGUCCAAAUUCUUCAAAAAUCUAACGUCCUAAUUUAAUUUUCAAUCCAAAAAAUUUUCACUAUUCAUUUUUACUUGUUUAAAUAUUGUUUUCGUUAAUUAGUAUUAUUACCCCAUAUUUACUUAUUAUUUCGGUCAUUAAAGUCCAAUUCUUCAAAAAUCUAAUGUCCUAAUUUAAUUUUCAAUCCAAAAAAUUUUCACUAUUCAUUUUUACUUGUUUAAAUAUUGUUUUCGUUAAUUAGUAUUAUUACCCCAUAUUUAUUUAUUAUUUCGGUCAUUAAAGUCCAAUUCUUCAAAAAUCUAAUGUCCUAAUUUAAUUUUCAAUCCCAAAAAUUUCACUAUUCAUUUUUUUGUCCGUUUAAAUAUUAUUUCCGUUAAUUAGCAUUAUUAUUCCAUAUUUGUUUAUUUAUUCCAAUCAUUAAAGUUCAAUUCUUCAUAACCCGACUUCCAAAUUUAAUUUCCAAUAUCAAAAACCACACUAUUCACAUUCAAUUGUUUAAUGAUUAUUUUCGUUAUUAAUGUUAUCCCAUCCAUUUAUUUAUCCACUCAUUUCUAUGUUAAAGAUCUCAUCUCUAAAUAAUUUCUUAAAUUUUCAACCUCUAAGUUUAAUCACCAAUUUCUAAAAAUCUCAUCUUUCGCAGUUAUUUACCUGACCUCUAUUAUUUCGUCAUCGUUAUUAUUCCAUUCAUUCACUUAUUCACUCAUCUGCUUAUCCACUUAUUUAAAAUUCCAUCCCUAAGUAAUUCAACAAAUUUCCAAUCCCAAAGUCCAAUUUCCAAUUUCCGAAGCCCCUAACUUCCGCAAUUAUUUAUCCAAUCAUUAUUACUUCGUCAUCAUUAUUCCAUUCAUUUAUUUAUUCACUUAUUCAUUUAUUUAAAAUCCUGUCUUUAAAUAGUUCCUCAGAAUUCCGAUUUCCAAAUUAGUUCUCUGAAAUUCCAAUUCUCUAAUUUCCGAACUUAAUUUUCGGUUUCCCAUGCUCUAGUUCUCGUAUUUAUCCCAUUACUUAUUAUUAUCAUUACCACUAUUAUCUUAUCCAUUAUUUCUAAAAAUUCUGCCUUUGAAUGAUUUUCAAGAUUUCCAAUUUUUAUAAUCCAAUUUUCAUAAUCUCUACUUCUCAAAUAAUUUUCAAUUAUGAUUUCUUUCAAAAUUUAAUUCCCAAAGUCCCAAUUUUCAUAAUUUAAUUUUUUUUUAAAUCCCGAGCUCUCAAAUAAUUUUCAAAAUUCCAAUUUCUUUCAAAUUUAAUUUCUAAAAUUCUCAUUCUCACAUUUAAUCUCUAAAAGUCUGAUCUUCAAAUAAACUGUAAAAAAAAUUCCAAUUUUCUAGUAAUCUUCGAGAUUCCAAUUCUUCAAAUAAAUUUCAAAAAUCCAGUUUUCUCUCAAAUAGUUUUAAUUCCGCUCUGGUUUUCAAACGAUCUUCUGUUCCUUUUGAUUUCAAUAAGCAUGAAUGAUUACUACUCAAAAAGUGCUAUUUUAUAGCUUGUAAUUAACUCUUUUAAACACUUUUGAGUAGUAGUUAUUACCUUUUAACCCAAUUAACAUAUUAAGGACCUUUGCAAGCAUUUCUAAUCAAAGUGUGUAAGUUUUGGUGUUUUUGUUAGUAAAUUGACCACCAAAGCAAUCCGAGAUUGAGGAGAGUUCUUUAGAAUCCAUGGCAAAGCAAUGGAAAGCUCAGAAACAUGAAGAACCGAAGCUUUGAAGUCCUUUGCCAUAAGCAAAUCCGGAAUGCAAGGAAGGGAAGCAAAGAGAAAUCUAACAUGAAGCAUUCUAGAUGACAGUCAUGUCAGCCACUUUUGGAGCACUUCCUGGAGUUCAAUUUAUGCAUACUAUAUGUCGUUUUGAAGCUCGGGAAGUCAACAAUCCAAUGCUUUAAACGGUGCGUGAUUCGGAGUUGAAAUGAAGGAGUUACAGCCAUUGGAAGCCGAUCACUCCAAGAUGAAGGAAAAUUUCACACGACUGCGAAAUCAGCCUUAGGCUGUGAAAAGGGUGUCCUUUUGCUGCGAAAUUUUGCAGCCCUUUUGCUGUGAAAUUUCUCCUAAAGCUUCUCGAUAUUUGCGACCGACAUUUUGAGAUUUUUUGCUUUAGAUGUUUGAUGUCUAAAUCCUCAAACUCUCCUUGUAACCCACCUAUCAUAGGAUUCCUUAGUCUUUAAGUAAGAACAAAGGGUGAAUAACUUGUUAUAUAUAGUUGUAAUUUUCUUUACAAAUAAAAAAUCUCAGGAGCUUGUUCUCAGAGACAACCUUUUUUAAUAGUUAGAAAUAUAUUUUACAGAGCACUUGCUCUUUUUUUUCCUUCAUAUUUUUAUUUUCUCGUUCUUUUUAUUUCUAGCCAAUCAAACUUUGAGGAUUUUUCCUCAGAGGAUGAGUGGCUAGGCUCUUCGUCUCUUGGAGUGAAGAAAGCCGGGUAAGUUUCCUCAUGCAUAAAUUGGAAGUUUUGUUGUUUUAGUUUUUAAUGAAGAGAAAGUGUGACCCGUUAAUGGUUUUUAUCUUUUUAGUUAACUUAAAACGCCUUUAAAUCACCUGGGCUAACACUUGGUAAGACAAGUGAUCUUGGUCCAUUGAGAUGCACUAGUUUACCUCUUGCAAGCCUUUAGGAGGUGGUUUGAAGGUAGGAUUUUCUAAAAUAGCCAACACUUGGUAAGUUUUUGGACUCUAAGGAGACAUCCAUUAGUUAUCUCUUGCGAGCUUUUGACGGGUAAUCCAAGGUUAAAGAUCACCUUGAAUGGCAAAUGCUAGGUGAGAGGCACAAGUCAUUGCAAGAUGCAUCAGUGAGAAGGAUUUGGUGUUUGAACCCAUUAAUGGGAAGCAUCUGUACCACACCGAUUAGAGAAUUAACUAUAUGUUAAUUCUUUAAUGCGAGAAAAAGAAACAAGUGACCGGAACUCUCCUUUUUGUAUGAGGAACCUGAGCCUAGUGAUCUGAAACUCCAAGAAACACUUUUCUUUGUAAUUAAAAUCAGUUACUAUUUUUGGUUAGCUUAAAACCAAACCUUUUCCACCAAAGAUUAUGUUUUCUUUUAAAGCUAACCUUGAAAUGAAAAGGCACCAAUUCAUCUUUGAAUUAAUAUCAAUUGUGAAGUGAAAACUCAUCCCAGUGAACGACCCUAGAGCCACUAUGCUAUGCUAGCUAAGGCUAUCCUAGUACAUGGUGUAAUAGGUUAUAAAUUUUGUUGAUUACUCCCUUCUGAGGACCACAAUCAAGGAGCACCAGCUGGACACGAAUCAAAUGGUACCACUUUCAGGGACCAUUGAGAGGACAUGAAUCAGUUGAGACACCAAUUGGGAACGUAUCAAUGAAUAAUUUUUUUUUAUAUAUAAUUCCAGAAUAAUGGAAUUUGUGACAUUAAGUCAUGCUGAAUAAACGGGUAUUGGUGGAGGCCCAACAUGGGUGACUUUAUGAUUGAUUGAUUGAUUGUUUGAUUGGAUUAUCAUACAUGAUUGAUUUAUCCUACUCUCUGACAUGCAUGAGAUUAUUUCUUAAUUGUGCACUAACCCGCUCUCUUGAUAGCGCAUUGACGUUUGAUGCCAAGGUAUGCCCCGCUCCCACUUUGAUCGUUUUUUAUUGAGUGUUUUAAUUCUCAUAUGCGCAUGAUCAAUUUGAGUAUACAUUGAUUUUCCUACUAAUUGCCAUGUCAGUUUCGUUUUAUUAGUAGAAGCCCGACUUUAGGGACUUAGAGGGGUGCUAUGGUCUUUACCUACCUUCCCGAUAAGUAACCUGACCCCCGAGCCCGACCCGAUUUUUCGUAGAUCACCUUUUCCAAAAUGAGGAGUCACACUUAGGGUUUUCUUUCUUAUUUUGUUUACCCUUUUAAAAAAGUAAAACAAAAAUAAGUGGCGACUCCAAGUCAUUUUUCAAACAAUAAAAUCAUUUUCAAAGUAAAAUCAAGCUCGCCAUCGAGUGGAAAACGCAUGAGUCAAAAUGCAGGGUCCACAACCCAUAAAAAAAAUAUUUAAUCAAAUAUCUUCUCCAAUAAAAUUAUGUAUAAUAACAAAAAAUUUCAGAAUAAAAGUGACCAACAACAGUCAGUAGAACAAACCGAAAUAAAAUUAUGGGUCAUAACAAUCCUAAAAUUAAAUAAAAUAAAAACAUAAAGUUAUAAUAACCCCACACCUGUGUUAUGUGUGGCGUUGUGCAUUGAUAGCAGCAUCAGCGAAACAAGAUUGACCAACAACAGUUGGCAACAUCACUUAAUGGCGAAGAAAGCAGCAACUUGCGACAACAAGUAUGGUGAUGAGUUUGGAAUAAUUGAGGAGAACUAAGAGCAAGGGUUUUUGUAGGGAGUUUAGGAAAGCUUUUAAUUUUAGUUAUUUUUUUUUUUGUUUUUUUAUGUUUCCAUUUAACAUCCCAGAAUAUUACUUUAUAAUUCCUUAUAUAAAUAUUUGCCAAUUAUAAAAUGGUUUUUAGGAUUGUUUUUUAUUUUGGUUUUUUUUUUAAAUUUUUAUUCUUUUAAAAAAUUAUCAAGAUUACUUUAAAAAUAUUUGAUUAAAUAGUUUUAAAAUUUUAAAUAAGAUAAAUGUAAAGUAACUAGUUUCUUUUAGUCCUACAAAAUUGUAAUAUUCUAAGAAUUAAAACUAUUAAAAGAGAUUAUAUUUAAAAUUUUAAUAAUUAUUAAUAUAACUUAAAGUUUCAAAUUAAUUUGGAUAAUUAUUUAAGAUAGUUUAGAAUAUUGAUAUUAAAAUUAAAUACUUAUAGAUAAAGGCAUGAGGUAGUUUUAUGGCAAGUACAAGAUUAAGUAAAUUGCCAAAAGUUUUAGAAAUUUUUUAUACAGGAUUAAUUUAAAAAAAAACAAUAUUAAUUUAUUGUUUUAUAUAGUUAAAAUUAGAAUUUUUUUUUAUAAAGAAUAUCAAUAAAAAAUACCUAUAAAAAAUUUAAGAAGAUAGAGAUAAUUUUAUAGAAAGGUAAAACAUUAUGUGGUUAAAUUAUUGAAAAACAAAAGAAUUUUUUGUAUCAAUUUCAAGGGAUUUAUAACUUUUUAUAUAUGUCUAAAAAUAAUCAAGGAGAUAAAUUAUAAAAAGAUAUAAAUAAAUUAUCAUUAAAAUGUUAUUAUUUUAUAAAUUCAUAUAUAAAAUUAUAAUAAAAUAUAAUAUUAUAAAAAUUAAAAUAAAUUACUUUUUUUUUUGUCCUAUACAUUCACAAUUUAGAUUUAUUUUUAUGUUUUCAUAUGAAAAAGACUAACAAUGUUAGGUUCUCACAUGAUAAACUAAUUUUUAUAUUUUGUAUAAUCAAUAUAAUCCAAAUUAGACUAUAUAUAUAGAAUAAAAGUUAUAAACAAAAUAAAUGAUUUUAACUUAAUAUAUUUUUUUUAUAAUUUAAUUUUUAUUUUAUUAUAAGUUAUUAAGGAUAGUGUAAAAUAUUGGCAUUAAAAUCAAAUACCUAGAUAACGACAUAAGGUGGUUUUGUGGAAUGUAUAAAAUUAGGAAAUAUAGAAUUUACUAAAAGUUUUAUAAAAAUCUUUAUAAAGGAUUUAUUUUUAAAAUUUUAAAUUUAUUGUCUUAUAUAGUUAAUAUUAGGAUUUUUUUUUCUAAAAAAUAUCCAUAAGAAAUACCUAUAAAAAAAAUUAAGGAGAUAGAUGAUUUUAUAGAAAACAUGAGAUUGGUAAAACGUUAUAUGAUCAAAGUAUUAAAAAACAAAUGAAUUUUUUUUUUAAUCAACUUUAAGUGAUCUAUAAAUUUUCCUAUGUCUUUAAAAAAUCAAUUAGAAAAAAUAUGAAAAAAAUAGAAGAAUUGAAAUAAAUAUAUUUAUAAAUUUCAUUAUCUUAUAAAUUUAUAUAUGAAUCAUAAUAAGAUAUAAUACUGUUAUCCUAAGGGUUCUCCUAAUUAGAUUUUGAUGAUAACAAACCAUGGUAAAGUUACUAAUUGGUUUAAAUUGUAAAGAAUCUCAAGUAUUAAUUUGGAAAUUCAUCAAAGGACCUAAUGGAUACAAGAUCAAGACGUCUGGAAGAUCUUUAAUCAUAGGAAACAAUUGUAAGAUGAAUGCAUGGGUGCACUUAGGUUUUACAUAUCAUUUCAUGCAUCUUUGGAAAACUCGGUUUAUUAUUUAAAGUUACAAUUGCAUUAAAACCCGAGUUUUAUCAAAUGUACCUUAGGCAAAACGUUUCAAAAUUGGCAUAUUAAUUUACCUAAAGAGCUUGUCUAAAUGUUAGAAAAGAAAAGAAUAGAAAAGAUAGGUUUUCGGGGUUCAAAGGUUGAAUCAGUCGAGGCACUAGGCCAACCGGCUAGGGUAUCGGUUGCCGGUUCCUCUUGCCCGGUCGAGGAGUGCUAAAAACACUCUCUUUAAUCCAGUAGCCUUCCAUUCCUGAUCGAGGUAUCCUCCUUCCUGGUCGACCUCCAGUCGAGGUCCAGUUGAAGUAACGGUAACCUACCAAAGCAUUAAAUGCUCCAACAGCUAGUGAAUUGGUCGACCCCCAGCUCGAUCAGUUGAGGUUGCUUUUUGUUUUUCUUGGCUCCCAAGGUUAGAAACCUAUAAAUUGAGAGCUCCACUUCAUUUAUGACAUAGAGAACACUUGCAUUUAAUUGUCUACCCACUUGUUUUUUACUUAAAAGCUCUUACUUCUUUCUUAGUGCAUUAAAUCUUCAUUUGCAUAUCUUUUAGUGCGCCCUUGUGAGUCAUCCUAGCUUUGAUUUGUAUUUAAGCCAUUAUUGAGCUAGGUUGACAAAAGAUCAUCCUUGUAAAUUGAGUGUUAGAGCCUUCAAGUGAGUUGAAUAUUGAAGAGAUUGUGUAAGAGCUCAUUGGAGCCAGAAUCCAAGUGUAAAAUAGAUUAGAAGCUUGGUUGAAGCUUCAAGUUAGUGGAACCCUCACUCGGUUAGGAAAUUGAGGAGAGUAGACGUAGGCAAGGAAGUGUCGAACCACUAUAAAAUCUGAGUUUGAAUUUUCUAACUCUAUCUCUUUAUAUUUGCUUCUAUUGUGUUUGAAUUUGUUGUGUUGAAAAAGUUUUAAAAAAAACCCAAUUCACUAUUUCUUAGGUGUUUUUCUCAUUUAAGGUUAGCCUUUAUUUUCUCAAUUGGUAUCAAAGGUAGGCCUCUUGUUUAAACUUAAUCGUCUAAGAGGAAAUCGUUAUUCCAUCAAACUCAUCUUACACUGAAAGUUUUGCAAAAAAUAGAGCUUCAUUUUUUACGAGAACCGACUAUCCCUAUUAAAAAACUAAAAUGACUUGGUAUUUACAAUCAACCGAUUUAAAUGUAUGGGACGUCAUUGAAGAUGGCCCAACUUUUUCCUACAAAACUAGUUAAUGGAAUCAUGGUUCCAAAACCCAAACAAGAAUGGAAUGAGCUUGAUAGAAGAAUUUUUCAAUUAAAUGCUAAGGCCAUUUUCACUUUGCAAUGUGCCAUGGAUAGAAAUGAAUAUAAUAUCAUAUGUCAAUGCAAAUUGGCUAAAGAAAUUUGGAGAUUGCUUGAAAUAACUCAUGAAGGAAUAAAUCAAGUGAAAGAGUCAAAAAUCAAUUUACUUGUUCAUAGCUAUGAAUUGUUUUUUAUGAAAGAAAAUGAGACUAUUGUUGAGAUGAUCACUAGGUUCACCGACAUUGUCAAUGGUCUUAAAGCAUUGGGAAAGACCUACAAGGAAUCCGAAAAGGUGAUGAAGAUCUUGAGGUCUCUCCCAUCAAAGUGGCAUGCAAAGGUCACCGUAAUUCAAGCAGUAAAAAACUUGACCAAGAUACCAAUGGAGGAGCUCAUAGGGUCAUUAAUGACAUAUGAGAUCAAUUUAGCAAAGAAGCUACAAGAAAGUGAAGACAAAAAGAAGAAGAGCAUAACUCUCAAAGCUACAACUAAGGAAGAAGAAGAUGUUGAAGAAAAAAAACAAAGUGAAGAAGAUGAUGAUUUAACCCUCAUCACAAGAAAGCUCAACAAAUACAUGAGGGGCGAAAGGUUUAGAGGAAGAAGGUUCACCUCUAGAAGAAACCUUUCUAAAAAGGAAUCUUCAUCUCAUGGUGACAAGGAAAAAUGGGAAGAGAAAAGAGAUUUGGCGUGUUUCAAAUGAAAGAAACUGGGACACAUUAAAUAUGAUUGUCCUCUCUACAAAAGUGAAGCCAAGAGGAGAAUGAAGAAGGCAAUGAUGACCACUUGGAGUGAAAGUGAAGAAUCCUUCGAAGAAGAAAAUGAGAAAGAAGUAGCAAACAUGUGCUUCAUGGCAAUAGAUGAACUUAAUGAGGUAAACUCUAACUUUAGUGAUGAAGAUAUGCAUGAUGUUUUUGAAGAAUUGUAUGAGGAUUUUAAAAAACUUAGUUUGAAAAAUAUUUCUCUUAAGAAGAAAAUUCAACAACUUGAAAAAGUAAAAUAAAAAUUUUCAAUUGUUGAAAUUUCUAAAACUCAUCUUGAAAAAGAAAAUGAGAUUUUGAGAAAGAAAAAUGAAUGGUUGACCUCCUCUCUUUCAAUAUUUUCUUGUGGACAAUUUUUUUUUGAAAUGAUUCUAGCUAGCCAAAAAUUUGUUUUUGACAAAUAAGGACUAGGAUUCAAAUAUUCAAAAAAUCAAAAGUAUUUUAAAAACUAUUUUAUAAAAGAAUCCACAAGUGCAAGUCCUUCCACUACUUGCAACUUUUGUAGAAGAGGAGGGCACAAUAGUAGUACAUGUCCUUUAAGAAAUGUUUCUCAAAAGAUUUCAAAUGUAAAAGUUAAAAAGGUUUGGAUUGAAAAAUCCAAGGUCAUUGACCCUCAAGGACCCAAAAUGAUAUGGGUACCUAAGUCAACUUGAGUUUUAUAUUAUAGGGUUCAAAGAAGGAUAAGUGGUUCUUAGAUAGUGGAUGCUCAAGACACAUGACCGAAGAUGAAUCCAAGUUUACUUUCCUUAAAAAGAAAAAUGGAGGAUAUGUUACCUUUGGAGACAAUGCAAAAUGAAGAAUCAUUGGUCAAGGCAACAUUAGUAAUGGCACAUCCUCUCUUAUUGAAAGUGUUUUAUUAGUAGAUGGUUUAAAACAUAACCUUUUAAGCAUUAGUCAACUUUGUGACAAAGGUUUUAAAGUGAUUUUUGAAGCAUCUCAUUGCAUCAUCAAAGAUAUUCAAAAUGAUAAAACCAUCUUCAUGAGUCAUAGAUGUGAUAAUUUUUAUGCUAUAAAUAUUUCAAAAUAUGAUAGUUAUGAUAGAUGUUUUUCAAGCAUGUAUGAUCAAAUUUGGUUGUGGCAUAGAAGGUUGGGACAUGCUAACAUGGACCUCAUUUCCCAACUCAACAAAGAUGAACUUGUUAGAGGCCUUCCCAAAAUAAAUUUUUAAAAAAUCAAAGUUUGUAAAGCUUGUCAAGUGGGAAAACAAAUCAAAAACUCUUUCAAAAACAAAAAUUUUAUUUUCAUAUCUAGGCCUCUUGAGUUGUUGCAUAUGGAUUUAUUUGGUCCCUCUAGGACUCCAAGUCUUGGAAAAAAAAUCUUAUGCAUAUGUUAUUGUGGAUGACUUCUCUAGAUACACAUAGGUCUUGUUUUUAAGUUAAAAGAAUGAAACCUUUUCUGAGUUUUCAAAGUUUUGCAAUAAGGUUCAAAAUGAAAAAGGUUUUACAAUUACUUGUAUAAGAAGUGAUCAUGGAAGAAAAUUUGAAAAUAUUGAUUUUGAAGAAUAUUUCAAUGAGCAUGGAAUUAACCACAAUUUUUCGGCUCCUAGAACUCCCCAACAAAAUGGGAUAGUUGAAAGGAAAAAUAAAACUCUUCAAGAAAUGGCUAGAACCAUGCUAAAUGAAAACAAUUUACCAAAAUAUUUUUGGGCCGAAGCGGUUAACACUUCUUGUUAUGUUUUAAAUAGAAUAUUAUUGAGGCUCAAUCUUAAGAAAACUCCUUAUGAGCUUUGGAAAAACGAGAAACUCAACAUUAGCUAUUUCAAAGUCUUUGGGUGCAAAUGUUUUAUAUUAAACACCAAAGACAAUCUUGGAAAAUUUGAUGCAAAAUCGGAUGUUGGAAUUUUCCUUGGUUACUCAACUUCAAGUAAAGCUUUUAGAGUUUUUAACAAAAUAACCAUGAUUGUAGAGGAGUUCAUCCAUGUUAUUUUUUAUGAAUCUAACCAUUCUCCCCAAGAAACAAAGAGUUUUGAUGAUGAUUUAGGUUUAGAGACCUUCAUGGAAAAAUUACAAAUUGAAGAUAGAAGGCAACAAGAAGAAAUUAGAGAGGAUCCCAAGAAAGAAGAAUCACCAUUAGCACUACCCCCUCCUCACCAAGUGCAAAGUGAAUCAAGUCAAGACCUUCCUAAAGAUUGGAAGUUUGUCAUCAACCACCCACAAGAUCAAAUUAUAGGUAAUUCAUCUAGUGGGGUAAUAACUAGAUCAUCUCUUAGAAAUAUUUGCAAUAAUCUUGCUUUUAUUUCUCAAAUUGAGCCUAAAAAUAUAAAUGAUGCUUUAGUUGAUGAAAAUUGAAUAAUUGCUACGCAAGAUGAGUUAAAUCAAUUUGAAAGAAGUGAAGUAUGGGAAUUAGUACCAAGACCUUCAAAUCAAAGUGUUAUUGGAACUAGAUGGGUCUUUAGAAAUAAAAUGGAUGAAAAUGGCAUAAUUGUUAGAAAUAAAGCAAGAUUGAUAGCCCAAGGUUUUAAUCAAGAAGAAAAGAUAGAUUAUGAAGAAACCUUUACCCCGAUAGCUAGGUUGGAAGCCAUUAGGAUGCUACUUGUCUUUGCAUGUUUUAAAGACUUUUCUUUAUGUCAAAUGGAUGUGAAAAGUGCUUUUUUAAAUGGCUUUAUAAAUGAAGAAGUAUAUGUUGAACAACCACCCGGUUUUCAAAGUUUUAACUUUCCUAACCAUGUUUUUAAACUUAAAAAGGCAUUCUAUGGUUUGAAACAAGCACCUAGAGCAUGGUAUGAAAGAUUGAGUAAAUUUCUUUUGAAAAAGGGUUUUAAAAUGGGAAAAAUUAACACAACUCUUUUCAUAAAGACCAAAAAAAAAAAAAAUGGUCUUAGUUCAAAUAUAUGUUGAUGAUAUUAUUUUUGGAGCUACUGAUGUCUCUUUUUGUGAAGAAUUUUCUAAGUGCAUGCAUAGUGAGUUUGAAAUGAGCAUGAUGGGAGAACUCAACUUCUUCCUUGGACUGUAAAUCAAGCAACUAAAGGAAGGAACCUUCAUCAAUCAAGCAAAGUAUAUAAGAGAUCUUCUCAAAAGGUUCAACAUGGAAGAAGCCAAAACUCCAAUGAGCUCAACGAUCAAGCUUGAUAAGGAUGAGAAAGGUAAAUCCAUUGACUCAACUAUGUAUAGAGGCAUGAUAGGUUCUUUGUUGUAUUUGACCGCUAGUAGACCCAACAUAUGUAUAGUGUAUGCUUGUGUGCUAGAUUUCAAUCUUGUCCUAAAGAAUCUCAUUUAAGUGUCGUAAAACAAAUUCUUAGAUAUUUGAAAGGGACAAUGGACAUAGGCUUAUGGUAUCCUAAGAGUGAUAACCUUGAAUUAAUUGGAUUUUCGGAUGCCGAUUUUACCGGUUGUAGGGCUAAAAGAAAAAAGCACUAGUGGCACUUGUCAUUUCCUAGGACACUCACUUGUUUCAUGGCAUAGUAAGAACCAAAAUUUGGUAGCUUUGUCAAUGGCUGAAGCUAAAUACAUAGCAGCCGGUUUAUGUUGUGCACAAAUUCUUUGGAUGAAACAAACACUUGGUGAUUUUGAUUUAUCUUUUGAGCAUGUUCCUAUUAAAUGUGAUAAUACUAGUGCCAUACAUAUAUCAAAAAAUCUUGUGCAAUACUUUAGGAAUAAGCAUAUAGAGAUUAGACAUCAAUUUCUUAGAGACCAUGCACAAAAGGGUGACAUAACACUUGAAUUUGUAAGCACAAAAAAUUAACUUGUUGAUAUCUUUACAAAACCUCUAAGUAAAGAACAAUUUGUUGACAUUAGAAGACAACUAGGGGUGAUUUCUUUAUGAUCUAAUGAUUGCUUCUUGAUGAAUAUAUCUUCUGAUUGCAUGAAUUUCAUGUCAUAUGCAUCAUAUAGACACAUACUUAGAUAAAUGGUCAAAUUUUGACCAAAAAUCAAAAUUCUCUUGGCAUUGGGCAUAAAAAAUUGGGGAUUUCAACUAAAAAUGGCAGAGUGAGGAUGAGAAAAUGAGAAAAUGCACAAAAUGUGAAAAGUCAAACCCGUUGACCAUGUUGACCAGACUGUCGACCGAACCAAGACCAAUCGACCGAUUCGUCAGGACUAGGUAUUUAAAGAGACUCCCGUGUAUUGUUUUCUCCACUGUUCUCCUCCAUUUCUUCAGGGUUUUUCACAUUUCGGCUUCCAGAGAUCAGUUUAAGCAAGGUUUAGACCGAUUGAAGGCUUUGGAUUGGAUUUUUGGGAGGAUUAGGGGCUAAGGUUUUGGUUUUGGACUACACUUUCUUCCUCUCGCGCACCACAACCAGGGUUUUCUUCCUUUCUGCACACCUAGGGUUUCGGUUAUGAGUGUUUCUCUCUCUACCAACCUCGUCUCCUUUGUUUCUUUCAUUCUCAUGGCUCCUAGGAGAGAGUUGAUUGCCUUUAGGGCACAGGGCAAACGCCCAGCUGAGCCGACUCAGCCCCCUCUAUCGAAGGCUCGCCAAUAGGCGAGGUUUGACACCUCUCUAUUCAGCUCCGUGGAAGACUACCAAUGGUACAAGCAAAAGUUUGCUUAGAGGAAAGUAGUUCUAGGGAAAAGUAUCAAUUUCUCCCAACUCCAGCAUUUCAGAUUUGAGGGAUUGUUUGGCAGGAUGGGUUGGCUACCCAUGGUGACAGUUUCGGAGCUGAUUUUUUCGACAUUGGUGCGAGCGUUCUAUUUAAGGACGACAUAUGGCAUUGGUGGCCCGAUUAUUUCCACUAUUAGAGGACUCGAGAUUCAGCUGGACUUGGAAAGCAUCUGCCGCAUUUUCAAUAUUGCUCCAAUUGGACUCAGGGUGUACGAGUCCAAGAUUUGGCCCAUUAUGCCGGGUUUUGAGCUUAGAGAGGCCAUUCAUAGAAUGUGCGGACUUGCAGACGCCUAGAGGAUGGGCAAACAAUUGGCCCACAGCUUGACCGUGAUCAAUAGAGUACUAUACCACAUGAUUUGCUCUAUCUUGCUACCACGAGGCGGACACAAAGACAAGGUCUCCUAUUAUGAGGAAUUCCUCGUGAACUCUAUUCUAACAGGGAGACGAAUUCACUUGGGGUAUUUGAUGAUGAUGCACAUGAUCUCAUGUUGCGAGAGCAUGACCCGUGUACUCCCCUAUGGUAGAGUGUUCAAGGAUGUCGGAGUUGAUUGGAGCAGAGAGACAUAUUUUGAGGCUCCCAACAUAUAUGAUACAUAUGAUGAGCAGUCUUUGGGGCGAAUGAAAUUUGAGAAGGCCCCCAAUGGUUCUUGGAUUAGGAGAGCAAAGAGACCACCAGCACAAGCCCGAGGACAGUGACAGGUACAUCCUGGCGUAAAAAAGGAGGCCAAGAUACGAGAGAUAAAUGGUGGAGUAGACCCUUAGAGAGGCUUUCAACAGAUAGAUCUCGAGCUUGACAUUCUUCCACUCCAGUCAGAGGGUGUUUAGUUUGAGGCCAUAUUUUCUGAGCCGAUGAUGUCUGAUCUGACUUACAUAGUGGGACCAUCUUCUCAGCUAUCAUUCACUUAGCCUCCUCACAUAGAGAUACCACCUCAUCAGGCACCUCAUGUUUCUAAUCAUGCACCUUGGAUGGAUCUAUCUGCUCAAAUUAGCUCUCUUGGCACUCGCAUGAAGGAGCUUGCAGUAGUCAAUGAUACUCGAUUCUUCUCCAUGGAGGAUCGCAUGAAUCGAUAUCAGACUGGUUUCACUUCUCAAUUUGAGUAUUUGCAAUAGAGAUUUGAGUGUAUGGAUGAUCACAUGGAUCAACAGUGGGCUGGGUUUGAGCAUCUCCAGCGAAGAAUUGAGUGCAUUGAGAGUCGUCAGAAGAGUCAGCAUAAGGAGAUGAUGGCUUACCUACGCUCCGUGUUUCCACCUCCACUUCCUUAGCCUUGAUUUAAUAGAGACCUCCUUUGUUUCUUUUUUAUAUUGCCAAAAAAUGGAGAGAUAUUUAGGAUCUAGGAGACUUACAUGCAUAUCAUUGUCAUAUCUUUUGUUUGGAUCAUAUAUAUAAUAGGCUUAUAUGUUUCGUGUACAUUUGACUUAUAUAUGAUAUGCUAUAUGUUUCAUGACUUACACUGUUUCAUAUUGAAAAUUUGCAUGUCUUGAUUAUCUUGGUUUUAACUUCAUAAAUUUUGAUUGAUUGAUCCAUGAUUGGUUUGAGAGGGAGAUUUUUCUUCUCCUAGAUAACCAAGGUUUGUCAUCAUUAAAAAAAAGGGAGAUUGUUAGCGCAAGGGUUCUCCUAAUUAGGUUUUGAUGAUAACAAACCAUGGUAAAGUUACUAAUUGGAUUGAAUUGUAAAGAAUCUCAAGUAUUAAUUUGGAAAUUCAUCAAAGGACCAAAUGGAUACAAGAUCAAGACGUCUAGAAGACCUUUAAUCAUAGAAAAAAAUUGUAAGAUGAAUGCAUGGGUGCACUUAGGUUUUACAUAUCAUUUCAUGCAUCUUUGGAAAACUCAAUUUAUUCUCUAAAGUUACAAUUUCAUUAAAACCCGAGUUUUAUCAAAUGUACCUUAAGCAAAACAUUUCAAAAUUGGCAUAUUAAUUUACCUAAAGACCUUACCUAAGUGUUAGAAAAGAAAAGAACAUAAAAAGAUAGGUUUUCGGGGCCCAAAGGUUGAACCGAUCGAAGCACUAGGCCAACAGACUAAGGUAUUGGUCGAUUGGUUACCCUUGCCUAGUCGAGGUCCGAUCAAGGAGUGCUAAAAACAUUCUCUCUCAUCCAAUAGUCUUCCCUUCCUGGUCGAGGUAUCCUCAUUCCCGGUUGACCUCCGAUCGAGGUUCGGUUAAAGCAACAGUAACCUACCAAAGCAUUAAAUGCUCCAACGGUUAGUGAACCGGUCGACCCCCAGCUCAACCGAUUGAGGCAACUUUUUGUUUUUCUUGGCUCCUGAGGUUAGACACCUAUAAAUUGAGAGCUUCACUUCAUUUAUGACAUAGAGAACACUUGCAUUUAAUUAUCUACCCACUUGUUCUUGCCUUAAAAGCUCUCAUUUCUUUCUUGGUGCAUUAAAUCUUCACUUGCAUAUCUUUUAGUGCACCCUUGUGAGUCAUCCUAGCUUUGACUUGUAUUUGAGCCAUUAUUGAGCUAGGUUGAUAGAAGAACAUCCUUGUAAAUUGAGUGUUAGAGCCUUCAAGUGAGUUGAAUCUUGAAGAGAUUGUGUAAGAGCCUAUUAGAGCAGAGAUCCAAGUGUAAAAGAGAUUAGAAGCUUGGUUGAAGCUUCAAGUUAGUGGAACUCUUGCUCGGUUAGGAGAUUGAGGAGAGUGGAUGUAGGCAAGGAAGUGUCAAACCACUAUAAAAUCUGAGUUUGAAUUCUCUAACUUUAUCUCUUUAUAUUUGCUUCUAUUGUGCUUGAAUUUGUUGUGUUGAAAAAGUUUUUGAAAAACCCAAUUCACCCUCCUCUUGGGUAUUUUUCUCAUUUAAGAUUAGCCUUUAUUUUCUCAAAUAUUAUAAAAAAUUAAAGUAAAUUACUUUUGAAAUUUUGUUAUUUUUUACAUUUACAAUUUAGAUUUUAAUACAAAGAAGACUAAUAGUACAUUUUAUUGAGGAUGAAAUAUUUUCGUCUCCAAUAUUGAGUUUUUACAACAAAAACAUUUCUUCUCUAAUAAAUUUCUUUAUUCCUCCAUCUAAUGGUAUUAGGACAAUAAUUUUGUCCCUCAUUGUGAGGUUUUUCCUCUCCAAAACUAUUUAACAACAAAAUAAUUUUUAUUGCCCAUUAUUUACCUUUUGGGACGACAUUAAGUUUUCAUCUCCUAAUAUAUUUUCUACCAUGAAAUAUUUUGUUAUUAAAAUUUAUGAUGUCGUCACAAAUAAUUUGGCCUCAUUUCACACUCAAUUAAAAUUUUAGACACAAAUUUUUGUAACAAAAUCAAAUUUUGUUUCCCAAAAUCAUAUUUGGAGACAAAAUUAUAUUCAUGUCCAAAAAAAUUGUGCCAAAAGGUAGAAUUUCUUGUAGUGCCUUUACUUAUUAGAUGAACGAUAAAAAAAUUUCCUUUAUCAUUCUCUCUCUCUCUCUUUAACAUGUAAGCUAAAUAAAUAAAUAAAUAAACAAGAAUACAUUUCUUCAAAGACUUUUACCAUAAAUUUUACUCUAUAGAGAAUAAAAAUUGUCAAUGGUAAAAUCAAUCUCAAUAUUUAUCUCUUUGUUCUUCUCUUUUUUAUUUCUCCAUCUAUCUUUCUAGGGAUUUUCUAUCAUCUCCAGAUUCUUCAGACUUAUAUAUAUUUAAAACUAAAACUCCCCAAACUUGGUUUAAAAUUUGUAACUCCCCAAUCAUGGUUUAAAAUUGUAACUUUUUUUUUUUAUUAUUUUGUUUUUAAUAAUGUAUCCUUAUCUUUAUCCUUAUUAUUAUUAUUCUAUGAACUAAAUUAGGAAUUUUAGACUAUCCACUCUUUAAAUUAGGAAUAUUAUUUAAACCUAUUUUAACCUAACAAAAAUUUUAUAUCAAUUGGUACUAAUUUAUUCCUACAAUAAUUAAAUUUAAAUGUAAGAAUUUAUUCUUUUUUUCGUCAUACAUUAUUGAGUACUAAAAUAAUUUUUUUUAUAUAUAUAAUUUAUUCUUAAAAUAAUUUUUUCGUCAUAUAUAUAUAUAUAUAUAUAUAUAUAUAUAUAUAUAAUUUUUUUUAUAUUGUACAUUGCAUUUUUUUUUCCUAUUUUCCUUUAUUAUUCAUGUUUUAUUCACAUCAAAUAUCCAUUUUGCACUACAUUUUUUUAUUGAACAACUAAAAUAAUUUUUUUUUAUGUAUUUAUCUUUAUAUUUUUCUUGGAAACCUUACUUCUUAAAUCUAUAGAAUUUUUCAUCAAACUAAAUACAGUUUUUUAUUUUAGAAUUAUAUUGUCUAUAAAUUUCUUUCAAAUAAUAAUAAAAACUCUCAAACUCACGAAGACCUUGUUUUUGUCUAGGGUUAUAUUAGAGAAAACAUUCAUCGUACUACUAUUAAUUUUUUUUUUUCUUUUCUUACUUCCUAAACCUUUACUUAUUAGAUGAACGAUAAAAAUUUCUCCUUCUCGUUCUCUCUUCAACAUGUAAGUUAAAUAUAUAUAUAUAUAUAUAUAUAUAUAAGAAUACAUUUCUUCAAAGACUUACCUUAAAUUUUACUCUAUAGAAAAUAAAAAUAAUCAAUGGUAAAAUCAAUCUCAACAUUUAUCUUUUUGUUCUUCUCUUUUUUAUUUCUUCACCUAUCCCUCUAGGGGUUUUCUAUCAUCUCUAGAUUCUUUAGAUUUGUUAUAUAUAUAUUUAAAACCGAAAUUCUCCAAACUUGGUUUAAAAUUUGUAACUCCCCAGUUGUGGUUUAAAAUUGUAGCUUUUUUUAUUUUUUAUUUUGUUUUUAAUAAUGUAUCCUUAUCUUUAUCCUUAUUAUUAUUAUUAUUAUUAUUAUUAUUAUUAUUAUUAUUAUUCUAUGAACUAAAUUAGGAAUAUUAAACUAUCCCCUCUUUAAAAAAAAGUUUAGUCUUCUAAACUUAGCAUACUUGAAAUUAGAAAAAAAAAAAUGUGAAAACUUUUCCCUCAUCUCAUCUUCAAGUCCCCAAAUCACCUCUCAGUUAGAGUUAUUACUCCAUUGAACUUUGACUAAUUUGAUUGUUACAAGAAGAAACAUCUUAUCCAUCAUGUCAACAAUCUGAAUUGGAACUUCCUCAUAAGAUAGAUUUUAUGCUAAAUGAAUCGGUUAAAGUUCCACAACAUGUGAAGGAUCAUAAACAUACUUUUUUAAAGCUGAUACGUGAAACACAUUAGGAACCUUUUCCAAACUUGGGGGUAAAGCCACCCUUUAUGCUAAGGUGCUAACUUUAUCCAAAAUUUCAAAUGAUCCCACAAACCUAGGACUAAGUUUUCUUUUCAAACAAAAUCUCAUAACCAACUUAAGAGGUGAUACUAUGAGAAACACAUGAUCACCAACCUAGAACUCUAAAUUUCACCUUCUAUUAUCAAUAUAGCAAUGUUGUAUACUCUGAGCUAUUUUUAAUCUUUCUCUUAUUAAAGCAAUUUUUUUAUAAGUUUCUUGAACUAAUUCUGGUUCCAAAAAUUUUAUCUCAACAACCUCAUCCCAAUAAACAAAGGACCUACACUUUCGACCAAACAAAGCUUCAAAAGGUGGCUUCCUACUUUGAAAACUAUUGUUGUAGGCAAACCCCACUAAGAGUAGAUGGUUGUCCCAAUUACCUUCAAAAUCUAAAAUACAUGCCCAAAUCAUAUCUUCCAAAAUUUGAAUUACCCUUUCUGAUUGUCCAUUGGAUUGAGGAUGAAAGGUUGUACUAAAAUUUAGCUGAGUUACCAUAGAUUUUUGCAACCUCUUCUAAAAUUGGGAAGUAAAACGGGCGUCUCAAUUUGAUACUAUAGAUAUUGGAAAUCCAUACAUCCUCACAAUCUCCUUAACAUACAACAAGGCUAAUUUGUCCAAGGACCAAGUAGUUUGAAUAGGUAAAAAGUGGGUUAAUUUAGUUAGUUUAUAAACAAUCACCCACACAACAUUACUUCCCACCACAAAUUUGGGAAAGCUAAAAACAAAAUCCAUUGUAAUGUGUUCCCACUUCUAAUUAGGAAUGAGAAGUGGUUGCAACAUACCUAAUAGACGUUGAUACUCAGUUUUGACCUACUAACAAGUCAAGAAUUGGGUAAUAUAUUAAGCGACACCACGCUUCAAACUAGGUCACUAGUAAAGUUAUCUCAAAUCCUGUUACAUUUUGGUCUCAUUGGAGUAGACUACAAACUUAAAGGAGUGAGCUUCCUUUAAAAGUUCUUUCAUGAGAUUUCCAACUUAGGUCACAUACAUACAAACAAAUUCUAAAUCUCAAUAUUCCAUCAUUUAGAAGUACAAAGUAAAACUUAGUUCCCCUUCCUAUAUAUAAUUUGAACAACCUGUAGAUCAUCUAUUUGUAAGGACUUGAUCCUCUCAAACAAAUUUGGUUGAACCUUAAGAUGAGCAAAUAAUACUCCAAACUAUAAAACUUCAAAUUAAACUAGUAGUCUAUUCAAUUCAAAUAACAUAUAUGGUUUUCUAACCCUCAAGGCUACUAAAGAACCAAAAGACUUCUUACUUAAAGCAUUUACUACUAUAUUCGCAUCACCAGAAUGAUAUAGAAUAAAGUGGUUAUAGUUCUUGAGGAGUUCAAGCCACUUUCUCUAUCUCAUAUUCAAUUCUUUUUUAGAAAACAAAUACUUUAAUCUUUUAUAAUUAGUGUAGAUCUCACAUGUCUCACCAUACAAAUAGUGUCUCCAUAUCUUAAGAGCAAAAAUCACUAUUGCUAAUUCCAAAUUAUGAGUAGGAUAGUUUCACCCAUAAGGUUUCAAUUGCCUAGAAGGAUAACUGAUGACUUUCCCAUCCUGCAUGAGAACACAACCAAGCCCUUAAUGUGAAACAUCACUAUAAAUAACAUAACCCAUAGAACUUGAGGGGACUAUUAACAUUAGAGUAGUUACCAAUCUAUUCUUCAACUCUUGGAAGCUUUUCUCACAACCAUUAGACCACAAAAAUUUGACCCUCUUUUGAGUAAGCUUUGUUAAAGGUUCUUAGAGAUUCCCUUUGAAAUGUUUGUAAUAACCAUCUAAACCUAGGGGACUCCUAACCUUAGUUACCAAGUUAGGCUUGCUCCAACUAAGUCUACCGAUAUUCCAUCCUUGGAGAUUACAUGGCUAAGAAAUAAAACUCUAUCCAACCAAAAUUCACAUUUCUUAAGCUUAAAAAAAAAAAAAAAAAGUUGAUCUAGGUUUAGGAAGUAAGAAAAAUAAUAAUAAUAAUAAUAAAUAGAAGUAUGAUGAAUGUUUUCUCUAAUUUAACCCUAGACAAAAACAAAGUCUUCAUGAGUGUGAGAGUUUUUAUUAUUAUUUGAAAGAAAUUUAUAUAUAAUACAAUUCUAAAAUAAAAAAUCAGUAUUUAGUUUGAAGAAAAAUUCUAUAGAUUUAAGAAGUAAGGUUUCCAAGAAAAAUAUAAAGAUAAAUACAUUUAAAAAAAAUCAUUUUAGUUGUUCAAUAAAAGAAUGUAGUGCAGAAUGGAUAUUCGAUGUGAAUAAAACAUGAAUAAUAAAGGAAAAUAGGAAAAAUAAAAUAUGUAAUGUACAAUAGAAAAAAAAAACAUUAAUUAGGAUAAUUAAAUAUAUAUAUAUAUAUAUAUAUAUUAAUUUAGUACUCAAUAAUGUAUGAAGAAAUAAAGAAUAAAUUUUUACAUUUAAAUUUAAUUAUUAUAAGAAUAAAUUGGUACCAAGUGAUAUAAAAUUUCUAUUAGGUUAAAAUAGGUUUAUAUUAAUAAGAUUUAUUUUAUUUUUUUAGGUAAAUCCUAAGUUUAAUCAACUUCCUUGCUGAGUUCAACUUUUACUAGGUAAGGAAUUAUGACCCUUAAAUAUUUUCUAAAGUAUUAUUUUUCUAAAAGGGUAGGAAAAUAUUUUACUAUAUGAAGAAUAUUUCAUAUUGUGAAAAAUAUUACUAUUAUUAUAUAUUUUGAUAUCUGGCCCUAGUCAAUAGGGGUUGUGUUGUUGACCCUCAUUACUUAAUUGUAUAAGGAUUGGAAAACCUAGUCAAUGGGGUAGUCACUAACCCUCAUUACUUAAGUUUAUGAGGAUUGAAAAACCUAGUUAGUGGGAUAAUCACUAGUCUGAUGGUACCAUAUGAUUGGUUAGUCCCUUCUGAAUUGAAGGAUCAUCUGUUUCUAAAGAUCCCAUUAGUUUGGGAAAAUAAUUUUUUUUUAUACCUAUAUGUUUGAAGAUUAUAUUAUGUUAUGUCACUUUCUUUUUUUAUAUAUAAAAUAAAUUGUUAGUAUAUUCCUUAUUGAGCUAAAGCUUACUACUUUUGCUUUUCAAAACCCCUUUUAGGUUCCCCAAAUGUAGAUGGAAAUGAGUGACAUUGAAUAUAGGAGGGGUUCUUGUUAGUUAAGUUUAUGGUAGGCCUUAAAGCCUUUGUUUAGACAUGAUGAUUUGGACCAUGUGUUAUGUUUUAAUUAUCAAGUUAAUUUGAACAAAAUUAGUAUUUCAUAAUUAUGUGAAUCAUGAAACUUCUAUCUUAGAAAAAUAAUUUUAACUCUAUGAACUCACUCUUAAGGGGAAUGUAUGAAUUUUGUUCUUUUUUAUUAUUUAAUCAUUUUUGCAUAUUUUGCCUUUAUGUUGGACAUCCAAAAUUUACAAGGUUAGCCCUAGCCUCAGGACAUAAGGUGUUACACUAUAUAUAUAUAAUAUGAUUUGAAAUAAUGUAAUUUAAAUAUGAUUUGAAAUAGAUUGCAAUAAUGUAAUUCUAAUAGGUCUAUUAUAAUAGUAAUUUAAUUUUUUUUCCUUUUUUUAAUCUUUGGAUCAUAACAUUUGAUAAACCUUUUGGUUUUGACCAAAAUUUAACAUUUUAAAAAAUAAUUAUUGGUUUUUGUUAUUAAAUAGAAUUGAAACAAAAUGGACAUCAUUGUUAUAAACUAAAUUGAAUGAUUUCUUUCAAUUAAUUCAACUUUUAAUAGAUGAGAAUUCAUUACAUGGAUUCAAUCGUAUACACCCUAAAGUUGACAGCAAAUUUAUGGGAAGGAUAAAAGGAAUGAAGGCUUAUAAUUUUAUAUUUUGAUAUAGCAUUCGACACAAGAAAAGUAUUCAAGAACAAAAGUGUUUGUUUUUUCAACUUGCUUUCAAACCUUAAGUAGUUUGUUUUUUUACUUUUUCUUGAUUUAUUACUUAUUUUUUUAAAAUUUGAUUAAAUAGAAAAAAAUAAAAUAUUUGAUUUUUUUUAAUACUAAAAAUAGUUAAACGUAAUAUCAUAAUUACAGGGAACCUGUUGAAUUUUAUUUUAUUUUUUUGUUACUUUUUAACACUUAAUAGAAAUACAAUAUUAAAAAAUAAACUAGCUUAAUACUUAACGCUAUCAAGCAAUAUUUAGUUUUAAAUUCCAUUUAGUUUUAAAGUCUUUGUUUAGUUAACCUAAGAAGACAUUCCUACUUUUCUUUGUGUUGAGAGUCACCUAAAUGGAAUAAAAUAUUCAAUAUCAUAGGAGAGUAAAAAGUAUUGUAGAAAUGAUUUUGUUGAGAGAGUUAUCUAAAUGGAAUGAGAUAUUGGUAGGUGAAUAAAAUAUUAUGGUGAUUGUAAUAGUUGACUUAGUGAGUGGAGGAGAAGUGUAUGCUUCUUUGUUUAUUCUAUAAAAACAAUAAUUUUAGUAGUUGAAAACGUGUAUGAAAUGACUGAAAAUAUUUUUUGAAAAAUAAGAAAAUAAUAAAUGGAUAAUAGUUCAUUUCCUAAAAAUCUUUUGAUAAAUUAAAAUAACUUGUAGUUAAAAUAUAUUCUUGUGAAAGUAUUUAAAAAUGAACCAAUAUAUUAAUAAUUGUUAUUUUGUUUAAAAAUAAUUUAAGAAUAAAAAAAUAAUGCUGAGUUCAAAUAUGACUACUUUGUUAUGAGAUUCAUUAAAGAAAUAAUUGUUGAUUUUACAGUUAUUGCAUCAAAGGUUGUACUCAUUUAAUGAAUUGUAUAUAAUUUCAUACUUUCAAUUAUUGUGAUAUUAAUGUUAUUCUCAUUUGAUUUCAGUUUGAUGACAAAUAAAACAUAUUCUCAAGUAGAAUUUGAUGAAAUUAGAGAAGAAUGGAUUACUUUUGUGUUAUAACUAAUCAUGAAUCAUAUUGAUGUAUCGUGAUCAUUCAUGAUAAGUCCUUUAGUUGUUAUAUGAUUGAAUUUUCCAUUGAUAUUGUCUAACAUUACUUAUUCUUUACGAACUAUUUUUAUACCAAAAUGAGAAAAAGGAAAAAGAAAAAGAAAACAUUAGUACUUAGAUUUGUUUAUUGUUUAUAACAUCACAUUUUCAUUUUCAAUAAGAACUCUAAAACUCAUUAAACUAUGAAAUGCAGGUAUACACUCUUGGGAGGACAAUAUGAAGAAUAAAAAGAAAGGAGAAAGAGGCAACAAGAUUUAGGUUUUUAGAUAUGACUCUUAUGUCAUACAUUAUAGGACAUAAACGUUACUUUAUUUGGAAUUGAGAAUUUUGGAUUUUUGGAUGCAACUCUUGUGUCAUUUUAUGGUUAGCCGGUUUUAUGCAUAUGAAAUGCAAGUAUACAUGAAUGUUGGGAAGCUUAACAUUUCUAAAUCAUGUUUUAAUGUACAUUCACUUUUCUUUUUUAGUUUUGGUGGGUUUGAUGUGUUUGAUGUACUAUCAUUUUGUGAACAUUUGAUAUACAAAUAUUAUUGGAUGAUGUAAUAUGUUACAAAUUAAUUCAUAAGUAUUAUGAAAAUAUAAGUUAAAUGUAAUAUGAUUAUUAUAUUUAUGGACAAUUUACACAGGUUAGUCUUAUUUAUUAAUAAGCAUUACAAAAAUCUACAAAUUAAUCAACAAAAAACAACCAUAUCUUCCAUAAUCAUUUACAAUGAUGUGACACCAUAAAUUAAAGGUGAUACAUUUAACGUGACACCAUAACUCAAAGAUGAUGCAUUUAAUAUGACACCUUAUAUAUCUCAUACAACUCUAUGUCAAAUUAAGCAUCACUAAAAAUAUAUGGUGUCUCUUCUAAAUGUGUCACCAUUUAUCUGCUUUGGUGUCGCUUCCAAAUACGUCACCAAUUGAUACCCUCUAUGGUGUCAGUGGAUAAGGUGACGCUAUGUUGUAGUGACACCCUAUGUUUAUAGUGACUUAUUAUAAAUGUCACCAUAUAUCUUUUUCCUUGUAGUGAAGAAAACAAAUACUGCCUAUGUUUUAAGUAUAGCAUGUGUUUUAAAAAAAUUUCAAACUCAUCCCUAACCUAUUUAUUUAAAUUCCAAUCCCGCCUUCAUCUCUACAAGUACAUAUUAAAAUGUGGGUUCCACACAAAUAAAUUAACGUGGUGGCUGUGUUGGAGACAUGCUUAGAAUAUGAUAUAAUGGGAGUAUGAGAAUAUAUACAAAACAUAGAAGCAUAUAAAGCAUAUAAAUAAAUGUAACUUUGAAAUCACAAGAAAUUGGGUGCAGCAUAUAAAAACAUAUUGCUUUAAGAAUUCUGGUGUGCUGAAAAUAAAGUUUGGUGGGCUAUGACUGCAAUCCUUAGGAUCGUAAGAUAUCAUGCUUAUGCUUUUGUGUGUGUUAAUAUAAUGGCUAGUGACAUCUAAAAACCAAAGCACAAUGUUUCAUGUGCUGAGCAUGCAUUGUGCCUUUGUGAUAACAGGUACUUUGAUUACAAGAUUAUAGGAUUUCUAAUCUCAGUGCUUGCAACUUGGGGUGCAAUAUGUGCCUACUAGAAGGGAAGAAGAAGAAUCACUUUUGCUAGAAGGCAUAGAAAAGCAAGGACCUUAUUUAACUUUGUACGGUACAAUGCCUAUCAUAGAGUUGCCCUGCAAUAUCAUCAGAAUUCACCCUUUUUUUCCUUUUCUAUGUACAAACCUUUCCAUCUUCAAAGAUUUCCUCUAUAGAUCACAUCCACACAUUCUCAUUCAGUUUUUUAUGCCCAAAUUUGUAUGUUCUGCUGGGAUUGCAGUUGAAGUUAUUGUCACCCCCAAAGCCAUACUUGGUGCGGUACCCUGGGUAGUCCAUAAAAUUAAAGGGCUCUUCUUCUAUAAGUCGAAGCCCAACUCUUGAGGCUAGAAAUUCCAAAUUCCACUCAUAAAAGAAGCCAUUGCUUUUGUGAGUAAUGUGGAUUUCUCCAUCUAUGUGAAUCAUCUUCUUAGCAUUUUCUAAAAACAGCUGUACCAGCAUUUGAUUUCGCCUGCAAGAAUUAACAAUGAUAUAGAAGGAAAAUUUUCAUGUAAGAAUUAGGAAUACAGGCUAUACAUAAAUUCGAUUGAAGAAGCUUUUCAAAGAAGGAAUCUACCAACCGGAUCUUAUCUUCCCUAGAUGCAUUGGGAAAAAAUCCAGCCAGCGGGAAGUUGUAGACAACUCGAUCAAAACGCAUGCAAUUGAAUGGGAAAACGUGUGCCAUUUUGGUGGCAUCAACAUCAUGCAUGACCUUAGCUCCCAAGCUCCGUAGUGAAUCGAUGUUGGACAAGGCAUGCCUAUAGUUUGUGCUCAAAAACUCUGAAAAUUGCAGUCAAUUAAGGCCAUAAGACAAACCCCAAAUGGGUGCUGGGGCACAUGCUAAUCAAGGUUUACUCGGGACUAGAAUGAGAAAAAUACCCAAAUCAACCAAAAUCAUGACAUUCAUGAGAAACACUCAAAGAAGAUUACCAACUUAUGAUUCAGGAUUUCUUAUUUGUUACCUAUAGAAUCAAGAGAAGUAGCGGUUAUGUUUGUAGCAGAAGCAAAAGCCACAGCCAAAGACGCAGAGAAUGAGAAGUCCCCUUCACCCACCAGCAAUAUUUUGUAUUUACUGCUGUAGUGCUUUAUCCAUCUUACUCCAAGCUUUCCUUCCUCUAGGUCUUCUUCACAGCUGCUGUAGUCCCACCAAUUUUUUCCUACCGCUCCUCUGGUUCGUUCUUCGUUUUCUUCAAUUAUGUCGUAAUGGUGGAGCCGUGCAGAAACUUGCUUCUCAUCACCUACAACUUCGACUUUAAAUUUUGCAGGAAUUAACAGAUCCAAUGCAUCAUCAGACCUGGAAUUGCUGCGUGAUUCCAAGCUCAGUGGAAAACCCAGAGAGUUUCGCUGCGAUGCACCAUUGAUGCCUGAGUUGCUGCUUGGGACAGAGCUCAGUGGAAGAGUCACUGGAUUUGGCUGGAAAUGGGAUGCACCACUCACGCUAGAGUGGCUGGAGGAGCUAGAGAGUAGUGAAGGAUGAGUCUGUAUCUUUGGCUGAGCAUGAGAAGUACCACUUGGCCUGGAUAGGCCACACGAGUUGGAGCUGAGUGGCUGAGGAGUCUGCACUGGUUUUGGGUAAAAAGAGGUUGUGCUGGAUUGGCUGCAUGAGCUAGAACCUAGCUGUUGGUGAGUCUCUAGUUUUGGUUGGACAGGGGAUGAUACAGUCGUGCUGGAGAGGCCACAUGAGCUCAAGUUGAGUGGCUGAUGAGUCUGCACUAGUUUUGGGUAAAAUUGGGUUGUGCUGGAUUGGCUGCAUGAGCUAGAACUUAGUUGUUGGGGAGUCUCUAGUUUUGGCUGGACAGGGGAUGAUACAGUCGCGAUAGAGAAGCCACAUGAGCUCGAGUUUAGUUGAUGAUGAGUCUGUAGUGUUGGCUGAAGACGUGAUGCACUACUUGUUUUGGAGUGCCUGAAUGGGCUAGAGCUAGAGUUAGAGCUAGAGCUCACUGGAGGCGGAGGAUGAGUCCGUAGAUUUGUCUGCAAUGCGUAGUCCCUACAUGAUUCUAAGCUCGGUGGAGAAGUAAAUGGAUUCGGUGGCAACGCAGGCCUUGAGCUUGAAGAAUUGGUGUCUGAGGCAAAUCUCGGCGGAGAAAUCAGGGGUAGUUUUUCACUUGGCUUCUUUUUAUCAUCUUUUUCACCCCACAACCAGCGAAUAAUAACGGAGAGAAUUUGACCCAUUGAAUCACCCGUCCCCCCCUUCUUUUUCUUCUUACUUCAUCAAGGAGCCUGUAAACAUAGAAAUGUCCCUUGUCAUGAAAACCAUGCGGGCGUGCACUGCAAUGUCAAUGGACUUGACACAGGUCCCACCAACAUUGCAUUAAAUUUUCCUUCUCGGACAAGUAAGAUAAGGAAUGCCUCUGCCACAUACUGUUGAGAAAUAUAAGAAGAUAUUACCCACAAUUACAAAGCCUAUCAUGUUAACAUUCAAGUCAUCCCACAUCGGAAUAAGAGAGAGGCUUUUCGGUCUCACCCCAUAGUGGUUCCCUCGUAAAAAGGGCUUUACCACAUAUUUUUCUUUUUAUUAUUAUAUUUUAAAAUUUUCGCUGCAGUAUCCUUUCAUAACAUAUUAAAUCAGGUAUCAUUUCAUAUCAAAUCAUUGUAGCCUGCUUGACUACUCCAAUUCCCAAGCCUUUCUCCUCCUUUUUGAAAGUUGAUUCCAUAAAUGUCUAGUUUCCAGUGAUGUAGGGUUGUGUGAGUCUUUCUCUGCCAUAUCAGACCGAGACAUUAAUAUGACUCAAAUGCAACAUUCAUGUUAGAAUACAAAGGGAUUCAAAUUGUCAACAAAUAAACCAAAAAUCAUCUUCACAGCCAAAUCUACAACUACUAAACAUCUUUUCCCUCUAAAACUAGUAAAGUUUUCAUCCAGACAUGUUGAUUAACUAUAGAAGAACAUGCUUCUGCAUCAUCCCCAUCUAAGUUCAGCAUUUUAGCAGAAACUCAAUAUGAAAAAACAGAAUGACAGAAAGGGUAAAAGGGCGCCAAUAUCAAUACCAUGCAUGCAGAUGAGCUUGUGGGUGAUGAGAGCUUUGUUGAGACCAGAGAUCAAAGCUCCCAAAUCAGAGUUUUCCCACCAAAGAUCGGACGAGAUCAAACACUAGUGAUGCUUGGCUUGCAGGAGAUCCAUCAGUGUUGGGUGUGAGAAAUGAGAGUUGUGCUGAGAGUGAAGGGGGAGCAAUAUCAGAAGGUAAAGAAGCUUCCGAUGAUUCGUACGUCCAAAGACUUGGUUGGACUUGGCCAUUUUUAUGCUACGUGGAGGCACUCUAUUCGGAUUAAUAAAGUGAUAAAAGAAAAAAAUUAGGAAAGAUUCGAAAGAAGUCCAUUUCAUCAAAGAAUUUGAUACCCAAAGUGAUCGAAGUAAUUAAAAUAGAUUGAUGAUGAUGAUGAUGGCUCCACCAAACAGCAUUCCAUACCCAACCCACCAAUCAUAAAAUUCAGUGACAUGGGAGUGCAUAAAGCAAAAUAAGAUAUACUAAAAUUAUUUUAAAAUACUUUGUAUUUCCAGAUAAUUUUUUAUUUGGGGAUCGGCAAAGGAAACAAAGUUGAAGAAUUAUUUUAAAACAAUUUAUUCAUUUUAAUUUUUUUUUUAAAUUUUCUUUCACUUGGUAAAUAUUUCAUAAUUUUAAAAAUUAUUAUAUUAUUUAAUUCAUAUUAUUUUAAUACUUAUCAUUAUAAAAAUAAAUAUGCACUUAAAUAUUUAUAAAAAUAAACAUUAUAUAUUUUUUGAAAAAUUUUCGUAAAGCUUAGUUGGUCUAGUGGUAGCAAUCUCUUUUUUUAUUGCUGCCUUUUAGGUUUGAUUUCUCAUACUCCUCUUUUCUACAUAUACCCAUCCCACAUUGAAAGCUCAUACAAGCAUUUCCUCCCAUAAAUUACAUAUGAGCUUGGCAUAGAAAUUAGUUACUUAUAAUGUGGCCCAUCAAAAUAAAUAUAUUUGGGAUGUACAACUUUUAGGGCUAGGUUGAGAUCGUACAACAUGUUUUUAAUUUAACUCGACUUGGAGGCAUUGGCAUCUUCCUCCAGGUUCACACUAUUUAUGAAGAACUCUAUGUAUUUUUAAUAAAGUUGAGAUCGUACAACAUAUUCUUAAUUUAACUCGACUUUGAGACAUUGGCAUCUUCCUUGGGGUUUACAUUGAAUCAAUAAAGAGGGGUUCACAUUAUCAUAUGAAGAACUUUAUGUGUUUUCAAUGAAGUUGAGAUCGUACAACAUAUUCUUAAUUUAAGUCGACUUGGAGGCAUUGGCAUCUUCCUCGGGGUUCACAUUGAAUCAAUAAAGAAGGGUUCAUAUUAUCAUAUGAAGAACUCUAUGUAUUUUCAAUGAAGUUGAGAUCGUACAACAUAUUCUUAAUUUAACUCGACUUGGAGGCAUUGGUUUCUUCCUCCCAAAUUCAUUGUAUGUGUAAAUGACAUCUUCCUCUCAAAUUCAUUGUAUGUAUGUAUAAAUGAAAGAAAGUUGAUUCAAAGAUCCAAACAAUCUUCUACUUUUAAAAUUUUAUGAACCCAAUCUAUGAUUUUCCAUUUAAAGAAAUUGACAAUGAACUAAAUUCAAUCAAAAAUUACAUACAUAUCUAUAAUAUAUAAUAUCUAUUAGCUAUAUUACCAACUUAAUUUUAUUAUAGAGUAGCAUACCACAUCUAUAUAGUUUAUAAUUGAGCUACUUAGUAAUGCUAUGAGAAGGUUAUACCAAUAGCUAUAUACAUUCAUCUCCUUGAGUUAGAAUAAUAUGACUUGACAUAGAUUGCAAUAAUGUAAUUUAAAUAGGUUUAUUAUAAUAGUAUUUUUAAGCUUUUCUGAUCAUAAUGUUUGAUAGGCUUUUUGGUUUGAGCCAAAGUUUAACAUAAUAAAAAAUAAUUAUUGGUUUUUAUUAUUAAAUCGAACUGAAACCAAAUGGACUUUAUUGUUAUUAAACUGAAUUAAAUGUUUUUUAAUAUUAAAAAAAAUAAAUUUAUUGAUUUUUUCUAUUCAAUAAAAAAAUUUAAAAAUAAGUAGCAGAUUAAUAAAAUAAAAUUUAAAAAAUGAGCAAUUUAAAAUCUUAGCAAAAAAGUUAAAAAAAUAAACAAGACUGAAGUUAAUUUUCUUUGAGUGUCGCAUGACUCCCCUGGGCUUAUUAAUAAUUCCCUGAUUGGGCUUUUAAUUCAUGACUAACAAAUUUGGGCCAAAACUUCCAAAAGUUAGCCUCCUAACGUUUCAAAUUGGGAUGGCAAUAUGGGUCAACUUCAUCCAAAUCUUGUCCAGUUUAUUUAUACCCAUUCUCGUCCGAUCCAUACCUAAAAAUAAAAAUAAAAAUAAAAAUUUUGAUUUUUUUUUAUUUUGAAAAUUUUAAAUUAUAUUAAAAAUAAAUAUAAUUUAUAAAAAAUAAAUAUUAAAACUUUUUAUUAUUUAUUUGUAUGAAAAGUAUAAGAAUUUACUUUUAUAUGCUAAAAAGAGGUGAAAAUGAAAAAAAAUAUAUUAAAUUAACUUUUUAUUUAAUAUUAUGUAUAAUAAUUGGGACAAGACAAAACUUAGGUUUUAAAAAAUUUUUAUCAAACUCAUUUCAAAUUUAUCUUUAUCUCAAAUUCAUCACUUUAAAGAAGGGGUAUCCCAAAAACCGUCUUAUUGUCAUCCCUAGAUCCAAAUCCUAUAUAUCAUGCCAGUUUCCUAAUUAUACUAUAGUGGACAACCGAAAAAAAAAAAAAGAGAGAAGGAAUGAGAAGUUGCACAACUUAUGUGGUUGAGAAAGUUAGACAAAGUAGAUAAGAUGGUGAUCGAUUCAACUCACAUAGUAGGUCUCUCAUCUACUACUAUAGAUUUUUUAAUCAUUUUUCUUUUCUUUUAAGUGAAAGAUUGGUAAUUGGACGGUUGGAGUUCACUUAUUCUUUCUAAAUUUUAUGGUUUUGGUUCAAAGACUAAUGAAAAGAGUUGAAGGUUCUAGGGAUUUCCAUGAAUAUCAAGUAGAAUACGUGUCAAAUUGAUCAUGAUAAGAAUAGCAUUAUGAAUCUAAAAUUAUUUGACUAAUUUAAAAAGAAAAAACAGAGAGAAAAUAAUUUGAAGCAAAAAAGUAAGAAAGGACUCUAAAUUAGUAUUAUGUUUGAAUAUCGAGUGGUUAGCAAAUAAGUUACAAAUUAUGGUAACAAGAAACCAUUGGUGUCACAAAAAUAUGCAACUUAUGAAUCUGGGUAUUGUUCAAAUGAUAGUUGAAAAAUAUAGUUUUGAGUGUUAGAGAAAAAAAAAUAAAGACGAAAUAAAUUUGUUCAAUAUUAUAUCUACAUAUGGUUGUAGGGUUGGCAUUACUAGUUUUAUAUAUGCUUUCCAAUUUGUUUUCUAUAUUUUUAGUCACUUGUCCACACCUCUCGUCUCACAAAUCUUCUUUUGAAUAACUAAGUUACAUUACCAAAUUACUCUGCUAUUUGUAUCUUUGGUUCUAAACCUUAUGCAACACCUAUUGCCUCUAGAAUCGUGCUCUUUAUUAAUUAAAGACAGUACUCCUCUCUCGGACCCUACUCUGUAUAUAAAUCUUGUUGGGUUUUAUAGUAUUGCACCAUUACUUGCCUUCACAUUUCUUUUAAUAUUGAUAAUUUAUGUCAAUUCAUUCAUGCUCUAACUCACAUUCACUUUUAGAUAGUUAAAUGACUUCUUUGGUAUCAAAAGGGGGUUGUUCAUUUCAUGGUCUUACUCUUCAUGGAGCCUAUUUUUUUGGAUCUUUUGUUUAUUUUGAUACAUGCUGGGAUAGUUGCCCAAAGAAUAGGUGAAGUACAAUGGCUAUUAUGCUUUCUUUGGAAAUAGUUUUGCCUCUUGAUAUGCUAGUAAACAAAAGGUGGUCUCUCAAUCUAGUAUUGCUUUUGAAUAACAUGGGUGCAUUUGAAUACUAUGUUAUUUACAAAUACUACCUCAAAAUUGGUUUGAAUUCAAUUCAUGUUUUAUAAGGGAAGGUUCCCUUAUUCCAUACACCUUUUAUAUUGUGUGACAAUUUAAGUUCAACCUAUUUGGCUAUGAAUCCUAUUUCACAUUCUCAUAUCAAAUAUGUGGAUACUGACUUCCCCUUAUGCAUAAUCUGAGUAUUUCAACAAAUCAUUAGAUGUCAAGUUCGUGUCUUUUGCUUAUCCAUUGGUAGAUGCUAUAACUAAGCACCCACUCAGAUCAUUCAAAACCGAAUCUCAAUGCUCCAUGCAUGAGCACAAUCCCUCCAUUCGAGUCAGGUCUCAAAACAUUCCCUAGAUUACUCAGCCUCCAUUAACACUCAUUUCUCAAUGAAAGCAAAACGCUGAAGUUUACCAACCCAGGUUCAAACUUGGUACACUUGUCAUAUGAUGCAGGACUGAGCUAAUUCAAAACUGUUCCAUCUCAUGUGGCAAUCCUAAAGUCAUAUUGCUUCCUUCCAGCAUUACAGAACAAAACUCAGAAGGUAAAAGCUAAGCAAAACUCAUUCUGUGUCGUAUCAUGCUGAACUUAGGAACUAAAAUAAUUCCAUGGUUCCCUAGGAUGGGAUCAGUCCAAGUCUCAGGAAUUUGAAAAAGAUUUUAUGUGCCAGCAUGAAAAUAAAAUUUAGGCCCAAAGAUCCCUGACCAAGUUAUCUUGGCCUUCACAACCCUCUCCCAGCACAUUAUCAAGGGUAUCUACUUUGUUUCCUGAUGGAUAUUUAGACCAGCUUUCGCUAAAUUGGUUUUGGGGAUCAAGCAGAAAGUACAAAAUAGAUUGUAUGCCAUUCUAAAUAGAAUGCAUGUCACACCAGGACUGCAAUUUGAUCAUGAAAAUUGACAGAGAUCAUCUCACCUGGAAGUAUGAAUUUCUAUAAAAUUUACAAUAAUUCCUGCUCUCCUACACACAAGUGUACUGAGACAAAAACCAAAAACAAAAAGAGGAGUAUAGUUUUCACCUAUAGAACAACACCGGUGCUUAACUUGUAUUCACUAGCAAACAAGGCAAAAGGUGCUCACUUCUCAGAAACAUGUUCUAUUUCUCCUUCUUUACAAGUAGUGAUCAGGACCCAAUAACAUCCUUUGUAGGAAUGCUGAUCUCAACCUGCUCAAAUGUUGAAGCUCUUGCAGAAGGUUUGUGUAACCAGUCAAGGUUCUUCCUGGACCUUCAGCCAUAUAUCUUUCAAAGCCAAGCCUAAGUGCUUCAUGAACAGUAUAGCCCACAUCGUAACCAGUUCUUCCGAAUGUUUCCACAGCAUGAUUGAAGUAUCCAUCAAAGAUCCGAGAACAUUCAUUGCUGACAGAGAUUGUUGAAGGUAACCCCAUAUGCCUUGGGAUGCCAUUCAUAUUUGCUUAAAUAUUUCUUCUAGGACCUCUGUAAUCAGAUGAACCUGGCCACUGCUGCAUUUGCAUUAGAUUAAUUUGCCGAGAUCCUCGGUGAUUUAAAUCAGAGUGGCUGUAAAGUGUGAUUGAAGGGUCAAAGCUUAACCCUAAUUGAUAUUCAUCCACGUAAAUAUAUAGUACAUCAAGCAAACCUAAUUAAGGGAAAACCGUGAGUUUAGGAAACAAUCCUAAACAAUAGCAACUACUUUCCUAGAAUAUAUCAUAAUAAUAUAUCAUAAUAUCUCAACAGUGGCACACGAUUCUGGACAUUUUCAUAGCAGUGGGGGAGAAUCUGAAUUUGAAAGUACUGCAAGCUCCCAAACGGAAGGGCUCAUCACAUCUUGAACCAGCUCCUCUCUUAUUGUUAUAGCCUGGGUAGUCCUCUUUCUUAAAAUCAACACACUCAAACAACACCAGAGAGUUUUGAGAAGCAAGUUCCUCAAGAUUCCAGUGGGAAAAUGGAGCUGUGGUUUUGUGAUUUACAUGAAUUUCACCAUUGGCUCUUAGCAUGCCACUUGCAUUCCUGAAGAAACCAUGCACAAGAUCCCUAUGCAUACUGUAGCAUAAGAUGGGAUGACAACAUAAGUACAAUCCACACAGAAUUAAUAAAGAAAUCAGCCAUUCUAUAAAAGCCUUAGGUACAACUAGAUUGAACCAUUUGAAAUCAGCAGAAAACAAUGCAUCAAAGAUACUCGUAUUCCUUUUGAUUUUUUUUUUUUUUUUUUUGGUUGUCAGACACACUGGUAGAAAAUAUUAUCAGAUGAUGAUGUCUAUAAUUAAUUUACCUGUGAUAAUGAAAAUUUUCUUCUACAUAUUUGUAUCUUUGAUAUAUAAUCUACCACUUCAAAAGAGAAACCCAGCACUCCCAUCAUUUGGAAGCAAAGGCAUGAUAUUUCUGGUGCAUCGGUAUAGCAGUUAAUCUUGUUUUAAGAUUGUAAGUUAGAUGCCUAGCAUCUGAGCUGAAGACCAACACAUGAGCCAAUGCCCAUGGUACAUGAUAGUAACAACUAGAAUUCUUAAAAAUACUAUGAAGACAAUAACUGAUUCAGUUACAUGUAGGGUUCCAAAUACCCCCCAGUCCAGUUCUAUCCUUUGCUGCCCUGGCUUUUGUGAUGGAGACUUUGUCCAUCAACAUGUAGAAGCUGAAAUUAUAACAUAGUCUCAUUAUGGAGGCAUUGGAAACCUACACAUGACCAUGUAGAUGUGAUUCAUUUGCCAAUACGAUGAAUCAUACUGCACUUGUGCAGACUCAUGACCACAGAAUGUGUGUUAUGCAUUAAAGAGGUUUAGACAAAAUGAUUCACACAAUUCUUAUUAGAAGAAGAGGUAUAAAUACAGAUUUGAGAAACUUAAGUUACUCCUAAACUUGUGCUAACGUAUAACAACAUAUGUGAAAAUAAAGGAAAGAAUGAGCUGUACAGAUUUCCUAAACUAGCUGAUCAAAUGCAGUUACAAAUUCUGAUGCUGAUUUUCUGCAUGAAUACUAGUAGUCCUUAUAUGCCCCCUCAAGAUGGAGGUGCCAUCUGCAACACCAAUCUUGGAUCUUAAUAGUUGAAAGCGUUGACGUGAGAGUGAUUUUGUAAGGAGAUCAGCGAGUUGAUCAAUGGUAUGGAUGUGCUGAACACGAAUAGUUCCCUUUUUGACAAGAUCUCGUACAAAGAGGAGAUCAAUUUCAAUGUGUUUCAUCCGUGUGUGUUGGACUGGAUUUAAACUGAAAUGGUUGGCGCCAAUAUUAUCACAAAACAUUUGAGGGGCUUCUCUGAGAGUGAGACCAAGUUCCUUGAUAAGAGAAUGAAGCCAAACUGUUUCUGAUGUGGCAGUAGCUAGUGCCCGAAACUCUGCUUCUGUAGAUGAUCUUGAGACUGCCCUUUGCUUGCGUGCAGACCAUGAGAUUGGAUUAGGACCAAUGAAUGUGAUGAAAGCAGUGGUUGAAACACGAGUGUCCGUAUUUGAUGCCCAGUCCGCAUCACUAUAGGUCUUGAGUUGGAAUUGAUCAUGCUUUUGGAAAAGGAUACCAUGAAACAUGGUCUGUUUAAGAUAUCUGAGUAGUCUUUUUGCUGCGACCUAAUGGUUUGUUGUCGGCUUCUACAUGAACUGAGAUAAUCUGUUGACUGCAAAGGCAAUAUCGGGACGAGUGAGUCCCAAAUACUGAAGUGCACCAAUGAUCUUGCGAUACUCAGUGUUGUCAACACAUUCAGAAUUAUCUUGAACCGUAAGCUUGGCUGUAGUGGACAUUGGAGUGAGUGUUUCUUUAGCAUUUUCCAUGGAGGUUCGUGAAAGGAGAUCCCGUAUAUACUGAUGUUGAGAUAGAAAGAACCUCUGUGGUGUUGGAAUCACUUCUAUUCCCAAGAAAUAAUGCAAGGAGCCCAUAUCUUUGACUGAGAAUGUAGAGCCAAGCUUGUUUAUAAUGUUAUUCACAAAGCUGAGUGUGUUGCUUGUGACAAUUAUGUCAUCAACAUAAACAAGGCAGUAGCACAAGAUAUCAUGAGACUUAUAGAUGAACAAAGAGUUGUCAGUGGCCGAGUGAAUAAAACCAAAGCUGAGGAGUGCAUCCCGAAGGGCCUUGUACCACUGUCGUGGGGCUUGUUUAAGACCAUAGAUACUCUUUUUUAGCUUGCAAACAUGCUGAGGUUGAGAUGGAUCUUCAAAUCCUGGAGGUUGAUGCAUGAAGACUUUCAAGAUUACCAUGCAAGAAUGCAUUAUUGAUGUCUAACUGACGAAGGAGCCAGCCAUGCAUGACAGCAAUGGUUAAAAGAAGCCUAAUUGUUGCUGGCUUUACGAUGGGGCUGAAGGUUUGAGAGUAGUCAAUACCUGGUCGUUGAUGAAAUCCUUUAGCGACAAGUCGAGCUUUAUAUCGACUGAUUGUUCCAUCUGGAUUUUGUUUCUUCCGAAACACAAAUUUACACCCAACAAGAUUCUGGCCAGGAGUGGGAGGAACCAGUUCCCACGUCCCAUGUUGAAGGAGGGUUGUCACUUCUUCUGACAUAGCCUUGCGCCAGUGAGGAUCUUUAAAAGCUUGACUUACACAACUUGGUUCGGGUGGUUUAGGUAAGGGGUGCUUGGUGGUGGUGUGGAGUUGUUUUGGCCGAAAGAUAUUGUUCAAGAAGCGAGUGAUGAUGGUUCGUGGACAUGGUGGUGGAGAGGAUGGUAUUGAAUUUUCUAGUUGAGAAAUAGAAGUAGAAGGUCUAAGAGUUACUUGAUCUGAAGUGGAGAGUGGUGCCUCUUGAGGUUGCACAAGAGCUGGAUCUUCACUUGGAGUCGAAGAAGCAGAGGGGAUAUCUCCUUGAGCCUGUGUGAUUGUUGGAAGCUCCUUGGAAGCAAGCUGCAAAAUUGGUCCUGAAAAAGAAGAGAUUUCUGGUGGGGAUGAGUCAGUGGGUGAUUGCAUGGAAACCUGUUUGAAGGGGUGAACAGAUUCAUCAAAGGUUACGUGUUUGGAAGUGUAUAUGCGCUGACUUUGUAGAUGAAGACAUAGAUAUGCACUUUGGCUAGUAGAGUAGCCAACAAAGAUACAAGGAACAAAUUUCUUUUGAAAUUUGUUUGUGUUAUACGGCUUCAUCAAGGGAAAGCAGAGACAUCCAAAGGAACGUAAUUUUUCAUACCGAGGUUGUUGCUUGAAAAGAGCUUGAAGAGGUGAUUUAUGAUGAAGAACAGGUGAUGGAAGUCGAUUGAUUAGAUAUGUGGCUGUUGCAAAAGCAUAAGCCCAAUAUUCUGAUGGAAGAGAGGCAUGACUUAGAAGGGUUUGACCUGUCUCCACAAUAUGGCGAUGACGACGCUCAGACACUCCAUUUUGUUGGGGUGUAUAAGGGGCUGUCGUAUAAUGACUAAUGCCAUGGGUUGUGAAAAAAGGUCGAAGAACAGUGAACUCUCCUCCAUUAUCGGAAUAAACUCCUUUAAUUUUUAUGUUAAAAUGAGUUUCAAUCAUUUUGUAGAAAUGAGGAAAUAUGGUUUUAACAUCUGAUUUUUGAUGCAAUGGAAAGAACCACACAUAUUUGGUAAAGUGAUCAACAAAAAUAACAUAAUAUCUGUGGCCAUUGAGACUAGGAGUGGGAGAAGGUCCCCAUACAUCAGUGUAAAGUAAAUCAAAUGGUGUUGUGCUAGUUAGACUGUGUUUAUGAAUGGGUAACUGAUGAGCUUUAUUGGUCAAACACGAAUGACAAUUAUUAGAACCAGAAAGACAUGAAGUGGUGGGAAGGGAGAAAGAACUAAUGAGGCGAGUGACAACUUUGAAUGAUGGAUGACUAAGGCGCUGAUGCCAACCAGCUACUGAUGUGCGUUCAUGGACAAAAGCAAUUGGAGUAGCAGCAGGCGAUGAGGGCAGAGGGUAGACUCCAUUUUCACACGGUCCUUGAAGAAGAAUCUCCCCCGUUCUCCGAUCCUUCACAAGAAAAUAAGUUGGGUGAAAUUCCAGGAUAACAUUGUUUUGCUUUGUGAAGUGGUGAACAGAUAUCAAGUUUUUGUUAAUGGUAGGAACACAUAGAGUAUCUUCAACUUGAAAUUUUCUGUUUGGAAAUGAAAGAGUAAGAGAACCAGAAUGAGUAAUGGGCAAACCUGAUCCAUCUCCAAUAAUAACUUCAUCAGUACCAUCAUAUUCAGAGUGAAAUUGUAAAUUUGAAACCUGAGAAGUGAUAUUAUGGGAAGCCGCAGAAUCAAUGAGCCAACGUUUGUCUAGACUGGAAGUAGUAGUUGUGCAGUUCACAGUGGCUUCAGAGGGUUUCAAUUUCGGACAGUAUUUUGCAAUGUGGCCUUGUUGAUCAUAAUAUUGACACCUUGGAGGGUACUUGUAUUGUUUCGACUGUCGAGACUUUGAUCUGGAGUCAUUCUUGGAUUGUUGAUAAGUUGAUGAAGACUGAUUCUUUAAGGAGCGUGAGUCCCUGCGUUGAGUGGUAUUGGCAGUAACUACCAAGGAUUGAGCAGUGGAAUCAAGCCUUCGAAGAUAUGCCUCAUGACCAAGUAGCAAAUCAUGUAAUUCUUCAAAUGAGAGUGAAGACUCUCGAGCUCGAAUCGAGGCAACAAUGUCACAAAAAUCUGAUCCUAAGCCAUGAAGAACAUAUAGGGUGAUGUCAUCUUGAGAUAAUGGGGCAUCGAUGAGAGCAAGCUCAUCGGCAAUGGUUUUUACAGAGUGUAGGUACUCUGUAAUGCUGCGAUUGCCACGUUGCAUGAGGGUGAGAUCCUCUUUGAGCUGCAUGACACGAGUCCUGGAUCGACUAGCAUACAGUUUUGUUAGUUUAGUCCAGGCUUGAUAUGACGUCUGGGAUGUUGCUAUGAGUGGUAUCAUAGUUGGGGACACUGAAGUCAGAAUUGCACUUAGAACAAGUUUAUCCUGACGGAACCAAAGGUGAUGAGAUGUAGUGGCAGCUGCAUCAGUUGACGUCGGUAGGGGUGGGCAGGUAUGAGUGCCAUCGACAUAGCCAAAGAGGUUAUAGCCGAGGAGGAGAGACUCAAAUUGGGCAUGCCAUGAAGGGAAGUUGGUUGGUGUGAGACGUGCAGUAAUUUGUUGGGUGGCAUUGAUGGCUAUUGGAAAACUAUCAGAGGAAGAAGUGGCCAUAGCAGAAGCAAGAAAGACAAGAAAUACUCGUUGGAGUUUUGAGGUGUGCUCUGAUACCAUAAAGAGGUUUAGACAAAAUGAUUCACACAAUUCUUAUUAGAAGAAGAGGUAUAAAUACAGAUUUGAGAAACUAAAAUUACUCCUAAACUUGUGCUAACGUAUAACAACAUAUGUGAAAAUAAAGGAAAGAAUGUGCUGUACAGAUUUUCUAAACUAGAUGAUCAAAUGCAGUUACGAAUUGUGAUGCUGAUUUUCUGCAUGAAUACUAGCUGUCCUUAUAUGCAUCUUCACCACUUUGAUAAAGUGGUCAAAAUUUCCCCUUUUGAGGACUUGAAUGGGAUCAUCAAAUGUGUGCUCCAAACCUACAGCUAGCUACCUUGAUGAGCAUCACCAUCUGAACCAAUUGAACAAACGCAGUUCUGUGCAUAGACAAAAAGGGCAUGAAAUGUAAAUGAACUCACAAACACAAAUAAAACAUAGGAGAAAAGUAACAUUGACCAUGACGAGCAACUACAAUGUAUGGAAGAUUGUACUAUGAAAUUCAAGCUACAUAUCAUAUCCAUAACAACAAUACGUUUUCUUCAUACAGAGAGAAGGUAGUUUUGAGGAAUUAUGAAAUUUCCAUCACAUAGAUAAGAAAUAAAAGAUGAAGCCUUACUUAAUCAUAAGCCUAUUGUCUUCCUUUCCAUGGAAGCUUGCAUGAGGAAAGUUAUAUAUAAUGCGGUCGAAUUUCCGCAUCUUGAGACCAAUAUGAAGCUUCAUCUUGGUUGCAUCCACUCCAAAUAAAAGAGAUGCUCCCAGCUUCUCUAAAGCUUCCAAAUUUGAUUUUGCUUUCUUGUACAUCUUUAUCAGAACAACUAGUUUGAGAUUGUGUCAGAAAACAAGUUGUCCAAGAAAUGUAAACUAAAAGGAAGAAACAAAAAUAAAAAAUAGCAUUCCUCAUAAAACAGAGAGACUACAACUUAAUUUAAAAUUUUGUAUAUUGAACUCAACAAAGACUAAACCUCAACUAAACAAUUGAAACAUUCACAAAUGUGAUAACUCCCCAAAUAUUGAAUAUAACAACCUUCAAAUUCUUAAUUUGCAUAUCCUUUUACCCAAAAUGAAAAUGACAUUUCAAUUUUAGAGCAUCAUAGAAGUCAGAACCCUUGUCAAUUUUGAUAUUUGGAAAGUACAAUAACAAUGGGGAAUUCUUGUCCAACAGGAGGAUUUGGAAAAACAUAAACCCAUAAAAAACUCACACAAUGUUAAAAAAUAUUUUGUUGAUAAUAAAAUAAAAGCUCUCCAAAUUCCACCUCUUGACUCUCCCCGGUUGCUUUCAUUUCAAAAUAGUCCUUCAUCUCCAAACCCAGAUGUUUGGUUCUCAGAAACUAAGAAAGAAAAAUAAUACAAAAGCAAGUUUCACUUAUAUUUCAAGGUUGACCAUUUCUUCAACCCAUAAAAUGAGUGUCAAAAUGUAUAAGUUCCUCCAUAUUUCUGGCAUGCUUCUUUCUCUUCCAGUCAUGACAGCCAAAUAAAGAAAAUAAUUCCCCUUCUACUAUUGCCCAAAAGUAUACAGGGCUAAGGACUACAAGAUUAGAGUAUAGUACACAAGUAACGAAUUGAUUCCAAUACAUAUAAAAUACAAGAAAAGGGAAAGAGAGAGACCAUAUGGGUCGAGAGAAGAAGCAACGAUAUUGGAAGCAGAAGCAAAAGAGUGACCCAAACACAGAGAAAAAGAGAAGUCCCCUUCACCAACCAAGAGAAUUUGAUGAAACGAGGAAUAAUGCAUCAACCGUUUCUCUUGUUCUUCCACACCCACUUCAUCUUUCACCAUUUCCUCCCCGACAGCCAUUGACGCUUUCUACAGUUACAGAACCAGAGAGACUCUUUGAGAGAGAAAGGCAGUGAAAGUUUGGUCGUGUUUAAGGGGCUUAUUUGAAAAAUAGAGAUGAUUUUCAAAUAGAAAUAUUUAGGCUGAAUUUUCCGAGAUGCCACUGUUACCUGGAUGGUGCAAGCAAUGGGAUUGUUUCGUUUGUGAGCGAUGGAGCUUGGGAGGGGCAUUUUGGGAAUGGAAGAUGCAUGGAAUGGUCGCCCAUUAAUGGUGGUUUGCCCUAACAUUGGGGAGUUCAAGCAUCCCUUACACUCGGCUCACAUGGCUUCUGACGAUGCAGAUUUAAAAGGGCUGGGGGAAUUACUUUCCUUUUUGGGUUUUAUUUUAUUUUUUAUUUUUGAGAAAGUAUGGUAUGUAAUUAUAUAAAAUUAAUUAGUAUAAAAUAAUCUUUAGAAUUGUGAAUCUAACUCAACUUAAUAAUCGUACGCUAAGAGACGCCAAGGAGAAAUUCAUGCAAAAUGUGACAUUAUUGAGCUCUGCUAUGAACCCAAUUGAAAGGACUGCUAAAUGCCCCACUGAGCUUGGAACUGCCUUUAUCUUGGUAUUGUGUACAUAAAAUCUAUGGCAGUGGCUUGAAUGUGAACUUUGAUGGAAGAAGGGCAAUUACUGAAGCGCCAGCCAGUGUGACAUCCAUUCAGGUUAGAGAUGCAGGUCGGAUCAUUCAAACUGAUAUGGUAGAUAUCCACUGUUCUAAUUGUGAAGGUCAUGUUGGAUGGAAAAUAGUAAGGAUUCGAUGAUGGUCCCCUUGUCCCCCUUAUGGUGGAUUUUGUGUUUUACUUUUAUUAUAUAUGUACAUUAAUUAGCAUUGGAUGGUGAUAUUGUCACGACCCAAAUUUCGGGCGACCCAAAAUUUGGCCCGUGACCUAGGUCAAAGGUUUGACCCUAAGGGUUUCUCCUAUUCCACGUUGGCAGUCAACUAAAACACUCAAAAUUAUUUUUUUUUCACAUAUAAGUCCCACUAGGGUUCUCACCAACUAACAAUAUUUUAAAACCUUACUCAAACACAUCAAGAUUUAAUAAACAUCAUUGCAUCCCAAAAUAAAGUUUCAUAAAAAUCCUCUUAAUCAAACUAGGGUCUUAUUACAUUAUCCAUAAUUCACUUAUUACAAGGUCUCAAUGCCACAAACACAAUAAAAAAAAAUAAAACCUUUCCACUAAACCGCUCCAGGGGCAUCCUGAAGUCCUCCCUGUCCCAUCUGUGGAUCCUCAGGAGUGAUAUAUGCAUCUAAAAAGAUAUAAAAAUGAAGGGGUGAACAUUUCCACAUUGCUCAGUAGGGUGCCUAACACUCACAGGGUUAAUGGGGGAUUACUAUAUUUUGAGAACCCAAACGCAAUAGUUCACCAAUAUAAAUCAAGUCACACAAUUUAACAUAUAAUAUUAAACUCAAUUCCACAACAUCCAAUCAUUAAAUGAAUGCAUAUAACCGUAUGACACACAAUCAUACAAUGCACUAUCGUUCUCGGGCUUUCACCGAAGGAUACGCGUCCGCGCCCAAAUAUACUCCCCAUUCGGAGUCUUCCCGGGGUAAACUUUUGGGUCUUUCACCCUAGGGAUCUCUCUCCCUUCUUAGUUCGCCUCACACGGGCUUUCACUUUUCAUUACUAUUUUUUUUUUUUCCAUUUCAUACACUUUUCACAAUUUUUUUUUUCUUCAUACAACCAUGAUGCAAAUGAAUGCCACAAACUCCAAAAUUCCUUAAUAAUUUCAACAAUUCCAACAUUUUCAAUAACCCAAUAAAAUAAAAUUUUCACAUUAAAAUUCCCGAAAAUAUACCAACGAAUUUUUGGAAAUUCACACAUCAAUAUACUUGAAUUUAUAUCACAAUUUCAGAAUUUUUCAAUAAUUCUAAUAAUUCCUAAUAUUUGAAAAUAACUAAUUUUUCACAAUAAAAUUAUCGCAAAUAUUCCAAUCAAUUUUCAAAAAUUCAUAAAUCACUAGAUUUGAAAUCUUGCCCUAAUUCCGGAAUUUUCCUACAUUUCUAAUAAUUUUUAACAACCUCAAAUAAUUAUUUAUCAAUUACAAAGAAUUCCGAAAAUUACAAAAAAAUCCAGAAAAAAUCUCAAAUCAUUCCGAAAAAUUCACACAACAUCACAAUUACCUACUUAACUCAUAAUUAUCAGAUUUAUAACUUUUUUCCAAUAAAAAAUACAUUAAAUUUGAGUUUUAGGGUUAGUUUUCCCCUACCACAAAUAUGAGAAUUUGGCCUUUAAAAACGAAAUCAGUCACCGCAAACUUGUUCCUCUAGUCGAAUAGAGUAUUUCCUCCGAAUUUGGGCCAAAACGGAGAUCGUUUGGUCGUCCAAACGGCCGGUCAAAGAUCCGGCGAGUGCCCUAAUUCCACAACUGCCGAUCCUUUCUUCUCCCCGCGUUCUGCCCUUUUAAAAAAAAAACUCCUUCUUUUCCUUUUUUUUUUUUUUUUUUUUAACAACCCACUUCACAUGGCUUUUAAAAGCCACCAGCCACUUAAGCCCAUAUCCAAGCCCAACUCAAUUCCUUUCUUUUUAACAAUCCAUACCACAUUCACAUAGCCCAAGUUUAAUAGCCCAUUUGAAUAUUUUCAUUUCUUUUCUUUUAUUUUGCUUUUCUUUUGUUUAUUCUAUUUGUUUUAUUUGAUUUCCAUUUUUUUUUUAACACACAAAUUUAUUUAUUACCACCAAUCUAAAACUAAUUUUCUUAAUUUUAUUAUUCAUCAAUUUAAUUUAAUUAACUUUUCUUAAUUAAUUCUAAUUAAUCUUAAUUUAUUUAUUUUUUUCGUUUUCGGAAAAUUUCAAUUUCUAAAAUCCUAAGAAAUUUUCUACCCUAAGGUUGACAUGGCAUAAAAUUUCAACUCGUUUAAUUGACCGACACAAUAAAACAAAAUUCACCAAUUUGAAAUUGACACGUGUUCUCCAAACACUUUUCUUUUUGACUUUUCAACCAUCACACAAAAUAAGACUUUUCAAACUAAAAAUGCUAACGUGGCAUAAAAUACCCGGUCAUUACAUCCUACCCCCCUAAAAGAAAUUUCGUCCCGAAAUUUAAACUAGCUUACCUUAAAAUUCGUAGAAGAGUUGCGAAUAGUGUCGUCUCAUUUCUUCCUCAGGUUCCCAAGUGGCUUCUUCUAUCCCAUGGUGUUGCCACCACACUUUGACUGCAGGAAUCACCUUGUUCCUGAACCUAUGCUCUCCAACUUCCAGAAUUCGUAAAGGUUCCUCCACAUAAGAAGUAUUUCACUAAUCUGAACAUCUUGCAAGUCCACUACCCAAGUUGGAUCUGGAGUACACUUCCUUAGCAUUGACACAUGGAAAACAUCAUGCACAAGGGACAAUUGUUGAGGCAAAAUUAACUUGUAUGCCACUGGGCCAACUCUCUUAUCAAUCUGAAAUGGUCCCACAAACCUAGGGGCUAACUUCCCCUUCUUCCCAAAUUGAAAUAUGCCUCUUCGAGGGGACACUUUUAUAAACACCCAAUCCCCUUCCUCAAACUCCAAGGGUCUUCUCCUUUUGUCUGCAUAACUUUUCUGUCUAUCUUGGGCAGUCUUAAGUUUUUCCUUGAUGAGUUAUAUCUUCUCUGUAGUCUCUUGGACACUCUCAGGUCCCAACAAAUGACUCUCACCCAUCUCUAUCCAACACAAGGGCGAUCUACAAGGUCUCCCAUAGAGUGCUUCAUAAGGUGUCAUGCCAAUACUAGAUUGGUAACUGUUGUUAUAAGCAAACUCUGCCAAAGGUAAGUAAUCUGCCCAAUUUCCUCCAAAAUCCAAAACACAAGCCCUUAACAUGUCUUCUAAGAUCUGGAUUACUCUUUCUGAUUGACCAUCUGUCUGAGGGUGAAAAGCGGUGCUAAAAUUCAGUUGGGUGCCCAAAGCCCUUUGUAAACUCUGCCAAAACUGAGAAGUAAACUUAGGGUCCCUGUCAGACACUAUAGAUACAGGUAUCCCAUGCAAUCUCACAAUCUCUUGUAUAUACAACUUAGCCAAAGAGUUCAUGGAAUCAGUAGUUUUCAUGGCUAGAAAAUGGGCUGACUUAGUAAGAUGAUCCACAAUCACCCAAACCCCAUUUUUCUUGCUUCUAGUUGUUGGCAACCCUAUCACAAAGUCCAUAGUGAUAUUAUCCCACUUCCACUUAGGUAUAGGUAAAGGUUGCAACAACCCUGCAGGUCUCUGGUGUUCAGCCUUCACUUGCUGACAAAUCUGACAGUUAGCUACAAACUGAGCAAUAUCUCUCUUCAUCCCACUCCACCAAAACUGUCUCUUUAAGUCUUGAUACAUCUUAGUAUUCCCAGGGUGAAUGGUAUACUUCGCCCUAUGAGCAUCUGCUAGAAGUUCAUUUCUCAACUCCACAUCUUUUGGCACACACAAUCUCCCUUUGAACCUCACACUCCCAUCUUCAUACAUAGACCAAUUUUCAUCUAUUUCACCUGCUACCAACUGGGCUUUAACCUUUUCUAAAAACUCAUCAUGAACUUGGGCCUCUACUAUUCUCUGGAUAACCAUUGGUCUAGCUGAUAUAUUGUACAAGCAUGGACCAUGCCUUUCCAAACCAAGACAUAAUUUAAAAUCCUCAAUAACUACAUGCAUCUCAAACUCUCUCAACUCCAAGCUAGACAACUGGCCAACACUCUUCCUACUCAAAGCAUCUGCUACAACAUUCACCUUUCCUGGAUGAUAAUGAAGAGCAAAAUCAUAAUCUUCCAAUGUCUCCAUUCAUCUCCUUUUCCUAGAGUUCAGAUCCUUUUGAGUGAAAAUAUAUUUCAAACUCUUGUGAUCAGAGUACACCUCAAACUUCUCUCCAUACAAAUAGUGUCUCCAAGUCUUAAGGGCAAACACCACUGCUGCAAGCUCCAAAUCAUGUGUUGGAUAAUUCCGCUCAUGCUGCUUUAACUGUCUUGAGGCAUAAGUACCACCUUGCCUUGCUGCAGUAGCACACACCCUAGCCCCACUGUGGAAGCAUCACAAUAAAUUGUAAACAACUCUCCACUAAUAUGAGCAGUUAACACUAGAGCAGUGGUCAAUUUCCGUUUCAACUCUUGGAAAGCAGUCCAAUCAAACUUCACCCUUUUUCUAGUCAACCGAGUCAUUGGUGCUGCAAUUCUAGAGAAGUCUUCCACAAACCUCCUAUAAUAUCCAACCAACCCCAAGAAACUUCUAACCUCAAAUACAUUAAUAGGCCUUUGCCACUCCUGUACAGCUUCCACCUUGGAAUGGUCUACUGCUAUUCCUGCCUCAGAAACCACAUGGCCUAAGAAAUUCACUUCAGUAAGCCAAAACUCACUUUUGUCCAACUUCCCAUACAAUUGAUGCCUUCUCAAAGUUCUAAGGGUGGUCACCAAAUGCUGCUUAUGCUCCUCCAAACUCCUGGAGUAGAUCAAGAUGUCAUCCACAAAGACAAUCACAAACUGAUCCAAGUAAGCACGAAAUACUUUGUUCAUUAAAUCCAUGAAAGCAGCAGGGGCAUUAGUUAACCCAAAAGGCAUGACUAAGAACUCAUAAUGCCCAUAUCUCGUUCUAAAAACGGUUUUAGAAACAUCUUCUUCCCUAACCCUCAAUUGAUGAUACCUAGUUCUCAAGUCAAUCUUACUAAAAUACUUUGCACCCUUCAACUGAUCAAACAAGUCAUCUAUCCUUGGAAGAGGCUACUUAUUCUUCACAGUAACUCUAUUCAACUUCCUAUAGUCAAUACAUAACCUUAGUGUGCCAUCCUUCUUCUUCACAAACAACACUGGGGCUCCCCAUGGUGAUGUACUUGGACGAAUAAAACCCUUACCCAACAAUUCAUCUAACUGAGUUUUCAAUUCUUUCAACUCAAGAGGGGCCAUCCUAUAAGGGGAUACUGAAAUAGGAUCAGUUCCUGGGUAUACUUCAAUAGAGAAAUCAAACUCUCUAUGAGAUGGUAAACCUAGUAACUCAUCUGGGAAUACAUCCUGAAACUUCCUCACCACUGGAAUUUCUAUAAUGUCCUUUUGGGCUUUCUCCUUACCACGAAGACAAGCUAGGAAAUUUAUUGAUCCCUUCCCCAACACAUACUGAUAGCACGGAUCGGACUGCGAAAAAGCCAAACUAACACACUUCCCUCCAACAAAGCAAACCUCAAAUCCCUCUGGCAGACAAAAUAUUAUCCUGCGGCGAUGACAAUCAAUAACCGCUCUAUACACUGUCAACCAAUCCAUUUCCAAGAUAACAUCAUACCCAGUCAUAUCCAAAAUCUUCAAGUCCACAUUUAGUGUUUUAUCUGCCAAGGUAAUAACACACCCCUUGCAUAUUCUAUCAACUCUAGAAUUCGUACCCAUAAGGGAUUCAAUAAGUAACAAAUUUUCUACCAUUUAUGUUUUCAACCCCAAUGCAUUAGCACAAGAUGCAGAAAUGAAAGAAUGAGUUGCACCAGUAUCAAACAAAACACGCACCCAAGUACUAUAUACCAAAAUCAUACCUUCCACCAAAAGGACGUCCUCCUCUGGCUCUGUUAGGGUCAAGGCAAAAACUCUUCCUCCUGCCUGCCUUCCCCUACCUCUAGCAUUCGACCCUUGAGAAGAACGGGUCUGACUACUCAUAGUAGUUGUCCUGGUUCCCUGCGCUGCUGGGGGUAAUUGUGGCAUCUGGUAGUAAGGCAAUUGAAACUGAGGGGGCUGGAAAGACACUACUGGUUGCUGCUAAGAACUUCCCUAAGACUGAGGUCGAGCCUGUUGUACACCUCGCAAUGGGCAAGCCUUCCACAAGUGGUCUCCCGCUCCACAACCAUAACAUACUCUAUUAGCAGCCACCCUCUGAGCACUCUGCUCACCUCCUACAUAGAAUGAGGAAUGCCUCUCAGACUGCUGAGUCCUCUGCCUCUACUGCGGACCCUGAGAUCUCCCUUGGGAACUUUCACCCAUUCUUUGUUUCCCUUUUCUAUUCCCCCCUUUGCUCCCGAAUUUGGUUGGUCUCCUCAAUAUCCUACUCCACCAACAAAGCCCUCUUAACCAACUCAGAAUAGUCCCUUAUUGCCAAUGGGACUAAUCUAUUCCUAAUAGCAGGCCUCAACCCCUGCUGGAACCUCCUAGCCUUUUCUCCUUCCUCACUGAUCAUCCCCAAAGCAAAACGAGACAACUCUGAGAAACGUGACUCAUACUCCAACACCGACAUGGUUCCUUGGAUGAGGUGCUCAAACUCCAUCCUCUUGGCAUGCUUAGCCACCUCCCCAAAAUACUUGCCUAGGAAGAUUCUCUCAAAUUCCUCCCAGGUCAUAACCUCAGUGUCAUACACCCUUUUCAUUGAUUCCACCAGAAAUCAGCUUUAUCAACAAGCAUAUAUGCUGCCAGACCUACCCUUAUUUCCUCAAGUAUGUCCAGUUCCACCAGAAUUCUUCUCAUCCUCCUCAACCAAUGCUCCGCUGCUUCAGCACUGGGCUCUCCAUUAAAAGAUGGAGGCUGCAUCACCAUGAACCUCUUCAUUGCUUCCAUUUGGCUCAUUACUGGCCUUUCAGUGCGGCUCCUCCUAUGUGAGUGGCCUGAAUCCUCAUGGCCCUGGGUACCUCUUGAUCUCCUGGAACCCUGGCCUCUCAUCAAUUCAACAAUUUCUCUCAACUCUCUUCUUACUUCUCGAAGUUCUUCUCUUAUCGUCUCCAACUCCUCAUUCCUCUCUGAUCUUCCUCCUCUGGUCCUUCCCGCCAUUUCAAGUUUAACAAACCCUAAUUCAAUCACAUUACUAAGGUGAGCAAAAAUAAAUUUCACAUAUACACACUUAGCAACUUCAACAAUUAUCAAAACUUUCACUUUCAUACACUCACAAUACAUAAUUCAAUUAAUCAUCAACUUAUUAAUUAACACAUACAAAAAUCAUAACAUUAUAACACACAUAAGCACCCACAAACAUUGACCCCAAGGUAUUAUUGCAACCUUGGCUCUGAUACCACGCUGUCACGACCCAAAUUCCGGGCGACCCAAAAUUUGGCCCGUGACCCCAGGUCAAAGGUUUGACCCUAAAGGUUUCUCCUAUUCCACGUUGGCAAUCAACUAAAACACUCUAAAUUUUUUUUUUUUACAUAUAAGUCCCACUAGGGUUCUCACCAACUAACAAUAUUUUAAAACCUUACUCAAACACAUCAAGAUUUAAUAAACAUCAUUGCAUCCCAAAAUAAAGUUUCAUAAAAAUCCCCUUAAUCAAAAUAAGGUCUUAUUACAUUGUCCAUAAUUCACUUAUUACAAGGUCUCAAUGCCACAAACACAAUAAAAAAAAUAAAACCUUUCCACUAAACCGCUCCAGGGGCAUCCUGAAGUCCUCCCUGUCCCAUCUGUGGAUCCUCAGGAGUGAUAUAUGUAUCUAAAAAGAUAUAAAAAUGAAGGGGUGAGCAUUUCCACAUUGCUUAGUAGGGUGCCUAACACCCACAGGGUUAAUGGGGGAUUGCUAUAUUUUGAGAACCCAAACACAACAGUUCACCAAUAUAAAUCAAGUCACACAAUUUAACAUAUAACAUUAAACUCAAUUCCACAACAUCCAAUCAUUAAAUGAAUGCAUAUAACCGUAUGACACACAAUCAUACAAUGCACUAUCGUUCUCGGGCUUUCACCGAAGGAUACGCGUCCGCACCCAAAUAUACUCCCCAUUCGGAGUCUUCCCGGGGUAAACUUUUGGGUCUUUCACCCUAGGGAUCUCUCUCCCUUCUUAGUUCGUCUCACACAGGCUUUCACUUUUCCUUACUAUUUUUUUUUUUUUUUCCAUUUCAUACACUUUUCACAAUUUUUUUUUUCUUCAUACAACCAUGAUGCAAAUGAAUGCCACAAACUCCAAAAUUCCUUAAUAAUUUCAACAAUUCCAACAUUUUCAAUAACUCAAUAAAAUAAAAUUUUCACAUUAAAAUUCUCGAAAAUAUACCAACGAAUUUUCGAAAAUUCACACAUCAAUAUACUUGAAUUUAUAUCACAAUUUCAGAAUUUUUCAAUAAUUCUAAUAAUUCCUAAUAUUUGAAAAUAAUUAAUUUUUCACAAUAAAAUUACCGUAAAUAUUCCAAUCAAUUUUCAAAAAUUCAUAAAUCACUAGAUUUGAAAUCUUGCCCUAAUUCCGGAAUUUUCCUACAUUUCUAAUAAUUUUUAACCUAAAAUAAUUAUUUAUCAAUUACAAAGAAUUCCGGAAAUUACAAAAAAAUCCAGAAAAAAAUCUCAAAUCAUUCCAAAAAAUUCACACAACAUCAUAAUUACCUACUUAACUCAUAAUUAUCAGAUUUAUAAUUUUUUUCCAAUAAAAAAUACAUUAAAUUUAAGCUUUAGGGUUAGUUUUUCCCUACCACAAAUCUGAGAAUUUGGCCAUUAAAAACGAAAUCAGCCACCGCAAAUUUGUUCCUCUAGUCGAAUAGAGUAUUUUCUCCGAAUUUGGGCCGAAACGGAGAUCGUUUGGUCGUCCAAACGACCGGUCAAAGAUCCGGCGAGUGCCCUAAUUCCACAGCCGCCGAUCCUUUCUUCUCCCCGCGUUCUACCCUUUUAAAAAAAAAACUCCUUCUUUUCCUUUUUUUUUUUUUUUAACAGCCCACUUCACAUGGCUUUUAAAAGCCACCAGCCACUUAAGCCCAUAUCCAAGCCCAACUCAAUUCCUUUCUUUUUAACAAUCCAUACCACAUUCACAUGGCCCAAGUUUAAUAGCCCAUUUGAACAUUUUCAUUUCUUUUCUUUUAUUUUACUUUUCUUUUGUUUAUUCUAUUUGUUUUAUUUGAUUUCCAUUUUUUUUUAACACACAAAUUUAUUUAUUACCACCAAUCUAAAACUAAUUUUCUCAAUUUUAUUAUUCAUCAAUUUAAUUUAAUUAAUUAAUUAAUUUUUCUUAAUUAAUUCUAAUUAAUCUUAAUUUAUUUAUUUUUUUCGCUUUCGGAAAAUUUCAAUUUCUAAAAUCCUAAGAAAUUUUCUACCUUAAGGUUGACAUGGCAUAAAAUUUCAACUCGUUUAAUUGACUGACACAAUAAAACGAAAUUCACCAAUCCGAAAUUGACACGUGUUCUCCAAACACUUUUCUUUUUUACUUUUCAACCAUCACACAAAAUAAGACUUUUCAAACUAAAAAUGCUAACGUGGCAUAAAAUACCCGGUCAUUACAGAUAUACAAAUUCGUGAGCGCAACAAUCACCCAAUAGUCCAUAAAGGCCAGUUCAUACUGCAGAGUUUUUAUCAGGAUGGUUGGGAGAGUCAGAUAUUCUCUCCAUGCCAUAAAACACAAGGAAGAAAACAUGGCUGAAAUUUCUAAUUCUGUUUAUAUUCCUUGCUAUCAUGGUUGUACGUAGACAAGAUUUGACAUUCGUUUCAUUUCUUUUCCCAGCAUACCCAAUCUGCUAUGUGACAUUAUAUGACUAAAGUUUGUCUGAGUUCCAAAGUUUCUAGGUUUUGAAUCUUCUCCACUGAGCUUGGAACUGCCUUUAUCUUGGUAUUCCUCAGAUUCAAUUUCUUUAGUAGGGUGAGAUUAAUAACCACUUCGGGAAAAGUUUCCAAAACUGCAUCUUUCAACUUCAAAACUCUCAAUAACCUUAAUCUCUAGUGUUUUUCUAAAUAUGAAAGUAGUGAAAUUCUCUCUUCCAAGUUUGAACAAGGUGCGAAGACGAGAGAAAUCCUCGCUUUGCAAUGAAUCUGUGAAAGCAUCAUGGAUUGCUAUACAUCGAUGGCUAAGGUGAUCAUAUCGAUCUACGUUUUGUAUGGUCAAAACUUUACAAAAGCUUGCAUCUUCAGAUAUUGGAAAUAAGGCAUUCUCGCCAAAGAUUCUUAACUUGACACCUUCUUACUAUGCCUUGGAAAUCCCUUUUGUUUGCGUCAACCAAGCACCCAUUGAUCAGCUCAUCGAGGUAGGCAUCCACCACCUCCUCCAGUGUUUUACCUCUUUUCUCCUCAACAAAUCCUUCAGCUAUCCACAAGUUAAUCAGCCUUCCACUAGUAAAAGAAUAAUCCUUAGGAAAUUUGCAGAAGUGAAAGAAACAACGCUUAAGAUGGAAAUAUCUUUGUUGUAAUAUUCUCCGAAUAAUCCCAAGUUUGGAAUUGCUUUAGAUGAAAGGGGUGAUGAAACGAGAGAGAUGAGAGGAAAAGAUGCUAAUAUUAUUUAUCUCAGUAGUCUUCUACAAUAACAGAGCACGCAUUAUAUACAAGCAGAAAAUACACAUCCUAACCAACUGUACAUGUGGAGCUAAAAGACUAGAGAGAAAAUAAUAUCCUAACUAAUUAUAGCUUUAGGCUUAAUAUCCCCCCUCAAGCUCAUUGGUCUAGUGAGAACAGUGAGUUUGGAACGUAGAGUAAUGAAACGUUGGGUCACUACAUGGAAAAAGAUAUAUGGUGACAUUUAUAAUAAGUCACUAUAAACAAAGGGUGUCACUACAACAUAGCAUCAUUUUAUCCACUGACACCAUAAAGGGUAUCAAUUGGUGACGUAUUUGGAAGCGACACCAAAGCAGAUAAAUGGUGACACAUUCAGAAACGACACCAUAUAUUUUUAGUGAUGCUUAAUUUGAUAUAGAGUUGUAUGAGAUAUAUAAAGUGUCAUAUUAAAUGCAUCAUUUUUUAGUUAUAGUGUCCCGUUAAAUGUAUCACCUUUAAUUUAUGGUGUCACAUCAUUGUAAAUGAUUAUGGAAGAUAUGGUUGUUUUUUGUUGAUUAGUUUGUAGAUUUUUGUAAUGCUUAUUAAUAAAUAAGACCAAUUUGUGUAAAUUGUCCAUAAAUAUAAUAAUCAUAUUACAUUUAACUUAUAUUUUCAUAAUGCUUAUGAAUUAACUUGUAACACAUUACAUCAUCCAAUAAUAUUUGUAUAUCAAAUGUUCACAAAAUGAUAGUACAUCAAACACAUCAAACCCACCAAAACUAAAAAAGUAAAGUGAAUACACAUUAAAACAUGAUUUAGAAAUGUUAAGCCUCCCAACAUUCAUGUAUACCUACAUUUCAUAUGCAUAAAACCGACUAACCAUAAAAUGACACAAGAGUUGCAUCCAAAAACCCAAAAUUCUCAAUUCCAAAUAAAGUAAUGUUUAUGUCCUAUAAUGUAUGACAUAAGAGUCAUAUCUAAAAACCUAAAUCUUGUUGCAUCUUUCUCCUUUCUUUUUAUUCUUCAUAUCGUCCUCCCAAGAGUGUAUACUUGCAUUUCAUAGUUUAAUGAGUUUUAGAGUUCUUAUUGAAAAUAAAAAUAUGAUGUUAUAAAAAAUAAACAAAUCUAAGUACUAAUGUUUUCUUUUUCUUUUUCCUUUUUCUCAUUUUGAUAUAAAAAUAGUUCGUAAAGAAUAAGUAAUGUUAUACAAUGCCAAUGGAAAAUUCAAUCAUACAACAACUAAGGGACUUACCAUGAAUGAUCACGAUACAUCAAUAUGAUUCAUGAUUAGUUAUAACACAAAAGUAAUCAAUUUUUCUCUAAUUUCAUCAAAUUCUACUUGAGAAUAUGUUUUUUUGUCAUCAAACUGAAAUCAAAUGAGAAUAACAUUAAUAUCACAAUAAUUGGAAGUAUGAAAUUAUGUACAAUUCAUUAAAUGAGUAAAACCUUUAAUAUAUGCAAUAACUAUAAAAUCAACAAUUAUUUUUUUAAUGAAUCUCAUAACAAAGUAGUCACAUUUGAACUCAAAUAAAAACAAUUCAAGAAAAUAAAAAAUAAAUCAAAACUACAAAAUCAAAAUAUAAAUCUAAAAUUUUAAAAAAUACUAAUUUUCUACUUAAAAUUUUCACUUUUUAAUGUUUUUUUAUAAUUCAUUUUGCUUUUAAAAAUCAUUUUUAACAUCUAAUUCUUUAUAUAUAUAUAUAUAUAUAUAUAUAUAUAUAUAUAUAUAUAUAUAAAUUCUCUUAUUUUCAUACAAGAAAUUUCCAUUUAUGCCUAAAAUACUUUUAGAAAAAUCAUUGCCAACAAAAUUUUAUUUUUAAAAUUAUUUUCAACAUUCUUAUUUAAAAAAAUUAUCACUGGAUUAUUUUCAAAAAAGAUAGUCCUAAAAAAAUUAAUAUUUUAUAACCCAAUUUAAACUCAAAAAUUAUCCCCAAUAUUAUUUUAUAUUCCUAAAUUAUUUUCAAACAAAAUAAAAAUUAUUAAUAUUUUGAUUCAUUUUUAAAUACUUUCACAAAAAUAUAUUUUAACCACAGAUUAUUUUAAUUUAUCAAAAUAUUUUUAGGAAAUGAGCUAUUUUCCAUUUAUUACUAUCCUAUUUUUCAAAACAUAUUUUCAAGCAUUUCAUUCACAUUUUAAAAUUUCAAAUACUAAAAUUAUUGUUUUUAUAAAACAACAAAGCAUGUAAAUUUCAACUACUAAAAUUAUUGUUUUUGUAGAAUAAACAAAGCAACAUACACUUCUCUUCCAUUUACUAAUUCAACUAUUACAAUCACCCCAAUAUUUUGUUCACCUACCAAUAAUUCAUUCCAUGUAGGUGACUCUUUAAAAAAAAAUCAUAUUUAUAAUACCCUUUACCACUCUGAUACCCAAUAUUCUAUUCCAUUUAGGUGACUCAAUACAAAGAAAGUAGAAAUGUUUUCUUAGGUUAACUGAAGAAAACCCUAAAUAGCUUAAGUGUUUUUGGAUUAAUUGAGCAUCAUCUUGUAGUAGAUGUCAAUCUCUAUUGUUAGACUUCACCAAAAAGCUCCUAGCACGGUGGAAAAAAUUAUCAAAUAUAGUCAAGUCUUCAAUAAAAUAUUAUUUCAUGUGAAAAAUUACUACAAACUAGUGUAUCUCUCAUUCUCAAUUAGACAAAAAUUUUAAAAAUCAUUCAUUUAUCUUGUUUUCAUUUGUUUUGGGGCUUAUUAGCAAUGAAACGAAAAAUAUGUUAGAAUGUUAAACCUAGUUUUUACUUCCUUGGAACUCGAUAAAAGACACCAUUUACAAAACCCACAUCAUAGAUAUACUAAAUCAAGAGAUAUAAAACAAUUAUACUAACAAAGAUUUUUGCAUUAAUAAAAAAAAAAUGAAGAUGAUAGAUAAGGGAUUUUGACUUACCCGAGAUUUUACAAAACAAAGAAUAUCAAUUAUGGGUGUGCCGACCAUGGGUGUGAGAAGAAGGAGAAGAAAACGAUGGUUAGGGUUAAGCAAUAAGAUCUUUUAUAUUAGUUAAUGUAUAUAUGGAAACAAUGGACUUUUCAUAAAUUGUUCCUACUCACUAUUUUAAAAAAAGGCCCAUUGAGUUAUAAAAUUUAAUUUUUUUAUUUCAUAUGGUGUCACUUCCAAAAAAUGACACCAUAAAUCUAAAAUUAGCAUCAUCUAACUACCCUAAUUGAAGAUUUUUUAUAUGAUGUGUCACCUUUAUAAAUUUUAAGCUCAAUGGUGUCAUUAUUUUAAAUGCGACACCAUAAAUAAUGACAUCAUAAAUUAUUUUUGUAGUAGUGGGUGGAAAGAAGCUUGGUCAUGCAAUCAGCAAGUUGAUCAUCAGAAGGUGUGAACUAGAGAGAGAGAGCGUUGAAGAACAUGUUCCCGGACAAAGUGGUAGUCGAUUUCCACAUGUUUGGUUUGGGCAUACAAAAUAGGAUUGGCAUUUAAGUAUGUUGCACUGAUAUGAUCACAAAGAAUGAGGGGAGGUGAUGGGAGUAAUGGAAAGUUCACAAAGAAGAGAUUCAGUCCAAGCAAUUUCCGCAACCCUAUUUGCUACCCCUCGGUACUCUGAUUCGAUGUUGGACCGGGAUACCACUUCUUGUUUGGAAGAUGACCAAGAAACCAUAUUUGAGCCAAGAAAAAGGUAGUAGCCACUAGUGCAACGCUUGUCAUCAGGGCAAGAGGCCCAAUUGGCAUCUGUAUAGCAAGUGAUGUUGAAGUCCAGUGAAGGCUGUAGGAAGAUACCAAAAUGAGAUAUGCCCUUUAAGUACCAGAGAAUACGUUUAACAACCUACCAAUGAACAUCAAAGGGAUGGUGCAUGAAUUGACACACUUUAUUUACUACAAAAGCUAUAUCUGGGCGUGUCAAGGUACAAUACUGAAGAGCACCAACAAAACUGCGAUAAUCUGAAUCAUUUUUAAGAGCCACACCAUCAUGAAGAGAGAGAUUUGUGUUGGAGGACAUAGGAGUGGGACAUGGCUUGGCAUCUAACAUAGCAGCUCGGGUAAAGAGAUCAAUGAUAUGCUUUGCUUGGCUGAGUUGAAUACCAGUAGGGGUGUGAUGAACCUCCAAGCCCAAAAAAUAGUUGUUUUUUAUAUGUUAGAAUUGCCUCGUUAAAAAACUUGCAAGUAAAACCCAAUAGGACAAAACCUAGAUGAAGGGAAAAAAGAGUACAAUACACUAACACCCUUUUAUAAACAUUCUCCUUCUCAUGUUGAUAUCCUUGAGUUUACACAUUCCAAUCUUCUGUAUUAACUUCUUAAAUGUUGAGGUUGGCAACGACUUUAUGAACAAAUCUACUAUAUUAUCACUUGAGUGUAUUUGUUGCACAUCAAUAUCACCACUCUUCUGGAGUUCAUGUGUAUAAAAGAAUUUUAGUGAAAUGUGUGUAGUUCUAUCUCAUUUAAUAUAACCCUUUGUUAUCUGUGUAAUGCAUGCAGCAUUAUCUUCAAAUAAUAUUGUUAAGUCACCUUUGAUAGAAAAGAGUCCACAUGAUUCCCGAAUAUUCUAGAUCAUAGAUCUUAGUCAUAUAUAUUCACAACUUGCUUCAUGAAUUGCCAGUAUUUCUGAAUGAUUUGAUGAUGUGGCCACCAUUGUUUGUUUGACAAAUCUCCAUGAAAUAGCAGUACCAUUACAAUUAAACACAUACCCUAUUUGUGACCUACCUUUAUGUGGAUCUAAAAGAUAUCCUGCAUCUGCAUAUCCAAGCAAUUGUUGUUUUGAUUUCCUUAAGUAAAAUAGACACAUAUCAGUAGUUCCGUAAAGAUAACGCAAUAUAUGUUUGAUGUCAUUCCAAUGUCUUCGAGUUGGAGCGGAACUGUAUUUUGCUAAUAAAUUGACAAAAAAAACAAUGUUUGGGCAUAUACAAUUGGCAAAAUACAUAAGUGCACCAAUAACACUAAGAUAUGGUACUUCAGGACUAAGUAAUUCUUCAUCUUUUUUGCAAUGAUGAAAUGGGUCCUUUUUCACAUCAAGAGAUCGGAUAACCAUUGGAGAACUUAAAAGAUGUGUUUUAUCCAUAUAAAAAUACUUCAAAACUUUCUUAAUGUAUGUUGAUCGAUGUACUAAAACUCCAUUUUGAAAAUGCUUGAUUUGGAAGCUAAGACAAAUUUUUGUUUUUCCAAGAUCUUUCAUCUCAAAUUCCUUUUCAAGUAAUUUUUAAUUUUGUGACCUUUUCAGGAGUUCCAACAAUAUUUAAGUCAUCAACAUACAUUGCAAUAAUUGCAAAUUCGGUUUUUGAUUUCUUAAUGAAGAUGCAUGGGCAUAUAAGGUUAUUCACAUGCCCUUAUUUUAGCAAGUAUUUGCUAAGGCGACUGUACCAUAUGCGUCCAGAUUGCUUUAAUCCAUACAAGGAUCGUUGUAACUUGAUUGAGUACAUGCUACAAGACGAUGUACUAUUUGCUUCAGGCAAUUUAAAUCCUUCAGGGAUUUUCAUGUAUAUCAUUAUCCAUGGAUUCGUAUAAAUAUGUUGCAAUAACAUCCAUGAGAUGCAUAUCUAGUCCUUUUGAGAUUAUCAAACUAAUUAAGAAAUGGAAUGUGAUUGUGUCCAUGAGGGGAGAGUAUGUUUCCUCGUAGUCAAUACCAGGUCUCUAUAAGAAACCCUGUGCUACUAAUCGUGCUUUAUAUCUUAUGAUCUCAUUAUUUUCAUUGUGUUUUUGUACAAAUACCCAUUUGUACCCAAUAGGCUUUACAUCUUCAAGUGUUUGGACUAUAGGUAAAAAAACUUCUCGUUUUGUUAAUGAGUUUAACUCUGCCUGCAUAGCUUCUUUCCAUUUUGGCCAAUCAUUUCUAUGUCAGCAUUCUUUCACAUUUUGUGGUUUGGGAUCUUCAUCAUUUCUUAUGAUAUCAAAGGCUACUUGGAAAGUGAAAAUAUUGUUAAUAACAAUAUUAUUUCAAUCCCAUUUUUCUCUCAUGUGUACAUAACUUACUGAGAUCUCACAAUUUUCAGGUACUUGUGUCUCUUUAGGGGUUUCUCAUUCAAUAUGUGCCUCUUCAGGGGCUUCUUAUUCAAUAUGUGUCUAUUUAGGGGCUUUCUGCAUUAUUUAUGCCUCUUUUGGGGCUAUAGAGUUAUCAAUUUUAAACUAAUCAGUCAUUUUGAUGGCCUUUUCUAGAGUGCUAAGUUUUUCUUGUAUUCUCAUCUUAUAGAGAGUCACAUCCUUUAAGUCGACAGGUCUACCACACUUCAGGUGUAUUUUAGAUUCAUUUAUUAAUUGUCCUGCAAGAAAUCAAUCCAUGUUGGAGUAACCAAGAUAUGUGACUUUGUCACUUUCUUUAUAUCAAUGAAUGCAUCUGGUAAUUGAUUUGCAAUAUUUUGAAAAUGAAUGAUCCUUUGAACUUCUAGUUCACAUUGAUUUGUACGAGGAUCAAGAUGGGUCAUAGUAGAUACCUUCCAGCUAAUUUCUCGUUGUUCUUUAGGAAUCGACUUUUCUCCCCCUAAUAACGGGAAAACACUCUCAUUAAAAUGACAAUUCGCAAAGCGGGUUGUAAAAACAUUUAUUGUCAAAGGUUCAAGAUAUCUUAUGAUAGAUGGAGAAUCAAAACCUACAUAAAUACCAAGUUUUCAUUGGGAACCCAUUUUAGUGCGUUGUGUAGGUGUAAUUGGUACUUAUACUGCACAACUAAAGAUUCGUAAGUGAAAGAUAUUUGGUUGUUUUCCAAGCACAAGUAGUGAAGGGGAGCAUUCAUGGUAAGUUGUAAGUUGAAUAAGGACUAAAGCUAUAGCAUGCAUAAUAGCAUGUUCCUAGGUGAAAGUAGGUAAUUUGGUUUUCAUUAGUAAUGGUCAAGCUAUUAAUUAGAGACCUUUGAUGAAGGAUUCUACUAAUCCAUUUUGGGUAUGAAUAUGAACAACAUGAUGCUUAAUAUUUAUCCCUACUGACAUACAAUAGUCAAUGAAUGUUUGUGAAAUAAAUUCGUCAACAUUAAUAUCAAGACGUAUUGUCUUAAUUGGAUAAUUUGGAAAUUGUGCUCGUAAUAUGAUCAUUUAUGCAAGGAGUCUAGCAAAGGUAACGUUAUGUGUAGAAAUGAGACAAAAAUAUGACCACCUAGUAGAAACAUCUAUUAAGAUCAUAAAAUAACAUAAUGGUCCACAUGGUGGAUAGAUAGACCCACAUAUGUCCCCAUGUAUUCUUUCUAAAAAUACUGGUGACUCGGAUAUGACUCUAGUAAAAGAUGGUCUGACUAUCAAUUUACAUUAUGAGCAGAUAGCACGUGAAUAUUCAUUGGGCAAAAGAAUCUUAUGGUUCUUUAGUGGAUGCUCAUGUGAGUGUUUGAUUAUUCGAUGCACCAUUGAAGACCCUGGGUGGCCUAGUCUAUCAUGCUAAAGGACAAAAACUUUUGGGUCGUUGAACUUUUGGUUUAUGACAACAUAUGAUUCAAUAGGCAUUAUAAUUGUAUGAUACAACCUAGAGGAGACAGCCAAGAGUUUUUCCAUUAUAAGCUUCUGGCUAGAUAUAAUGGAAGUAAUAUAAAGAUAUUUUACAUUAUCUUCAUUCAUAGUUUCAAUAUGAUAUCCAUUUCUGUAGAUAUCUUUAAAGUUGAGCAAAUUUCUUUUGGAUUUUUUAAAAUAUAAAGCGUCAUUUAUAUGGAAUCUAGUUCCAUUAGGUAGCAUUAUAUUUGUUCUUCUAGAGCCUUCAACUAAGUUUGUAAUACCAGAUAUGGUACUUACAUUAGCUUUUAUUAAUGUCAAUUAGAGGAAUAUUUUUUGUCUCGAAGAAUUGUGUGUGUGGUUGCAUAGUCUACAAGACAUACAUCAUCCUCAUUCAUCUUGAGACCAAAUAACACAUAGAUUUUAGAUAUAACUAAUAUUAAAAAAAAAACAGGGCAUAAUAUAAAUAACAAAAAAAAUCAGAUGUGAAUAUCAGACAUAAUAAUAUAUUAUUUGAUAUAUAAAGUAACAUCAAUCAAUGUUAAUAUUCUCAUCAUUUAUUAAACGGUCUGCUUUUUCACUAGGACCUCCAAAGAAAUCAAUGUCAUAGUAGGUUAGGUCCAAUCCAUCACCAUUGGCAAAGUUCAUCUCUAUCUCUUUUUCUUUUGCUUUUAUUAAUGCUUGGUAAAGGUCAACCAAAUGGUUGGGUAUACAACAGGUACGCGACCCAUGCCCCUUCAUACCAUAUCUAUAAUAAUUAUUUUCAUGGUUCUUAGGGGGUUUAUCUUGUAAACACUUCCCAUUUUCUUGUUUUGCCUCAGUAUUAUUCCACUUUUGGUGGUGCAAUGAGGCUUUCCUCUUAUGAGAAUUUGAUGAAUUGUUACCAUAAGAAGCAUGGUAUCAGGGAUUUUUUCCACGACCAUGUCCUCGUCCUCAUCCAUGUCCAUGAGUUUGGGACGAUAUUGCAUUCACUUUUGGGAAUGGUUCAGAUCCAGUUGGACGAGACUGGUUAUUUCUCAUCAACAGCUCAUUAUUUUGUUCAGCAACAAGAAAACAUGAUAUUAAUUCAGAAUAUUUUGUAAAUCCACACUCUCAAUAUUAAAAGUUUUUUCUAAUUCAGUUUUUUAUGCCCAAAUUUGUAUGUUCUGCUGGGAUUGCAGUUGAAGUUAUUGUCACCCCCAAAGCCAUACUUGGUGCGGUACCCUGGGUAGUCCAUAAAAUUAAAGGGCUCCUCUUCUAUAAGUCGAAGCCCAACUCUUGAGGCUAGAAAUUCCAAAUUCCACUCAUAAAAGAAGCCAUUGCUUUUGUUAGUAAUGUGGAUUUCUCCAUCUAUGUGAAUCAUCUUCUUAGCAUUUUCUAAAAACAGCUGUACCAGCAUUUGAUUUCGCCUGCAAGAAUUAACAAUGAUAUAGAAGGAAAAUUUUCAUGUAAGAAUUAGGAAUACAGGCUAUACAUAAAUUCGAUUGAAGAAGCUUUUCAAAGAAAGAAUCUACCAACCGGAUCUUAUCUUCCCUAGAUGCAUUGGGAAAAAAUCCAGCCAGCGGGAAGUUGUAGACAACUCGAUCAAAACGCAUGCAAUUGAAUGGGAAAACGUGUGCCAUUUUGGUGGCAUCAACAUCAUGCAUGACCUUAGCUCCCAAGCUCCGUAGUGAAUCGAUGUUGGACAAGGCAUGCCUAUAGUUUGUGCUCAAAAACUCUGAAAAUUGCAGUCAAUUAAGGCCAUAAGACAAACCCCAAAUGGGUGCUGGGGCACAUGCUAAUCAAGGUUUACUCGGGACUAGAAUGAGAAAAAUACCCAAAUCAACCAAAAUCAUGACAUUCAUGAGAAACACUCAAAGAAGAUUACCAACUUAUGAUUCAGGAUUUCUUAUUUGUUACCUAUAGAAUCAAGAGAAGUAGCGGUUAUGUUUGUAGCAGAAGCAAAAGCCACGGCCAAAGACGCAGAGAAUGAGAAGUCCCCUUCACCCACCAGCAAUAUUUUGUACUCACUGCUGUAGUGCUUUAUCCAUCUUACUCUAAGCUUUCCUUCCUCUAGGUCUUCUUCACAGCUGCUACAGUCCCACCAAUUUUUUCCUACCACUCCUCUGGUUCGUUCUUCGUUUUCUUCAAUUAUGUUGUAAUGGUGGAGCCGUGCAGAAACUUGCUUCUCAUCACCUACAACUUGGAUUUUAAAUUUUGAAGGAAUUAACAGAUCCAAUGCAUCAUCAGACCUGGAAUUGCUGCGUGGGUCCAAGCUCAGUGGAAAACCCAGAGAGUUUCGCUGCGAUGCACCAUUGAUGCCUGAGUUGCUGCUUGGGACAGAGCUCAGUGGAAGAGUCACUGGAUUUGACUGGAAAUGGGAUGCACCACUCACGCUAGAGUGGCUGCAGGAGCUAGAGAGUAGUGAAGGAUGAGUCUGUAUCUUUGGCUGAGCAUGAGAAGUACCACUUGGCCUGGAUAGGCCACACGAGUUGGAGGUGAGUGGCUGAGGAGUCUGCACUGGUUUUGGGUAAAAAUGGGUUGUGCUGGAUUGGCUGCAUGAGCUAGAACUUAGCUGUUGGUGAGUCUCUAGUUUUGGCUGGACAGGGGAUGAUACAGUCGCGAUAGAGAGGCCACCUGAGCUCAAGUUGAGUUGAUGAUGAGUCUGCACUGGUUUUGGGUAAAAAUGGGUUGUGCUGGAUUGGCUGCAUGAGCUAGAACUCAGUUGUUGGUGAGUCUCUAGUUUUGGCUGGACAGGGGAUGAUACAGUCGCGAUAGAGAGGCCACCUGAGCUCGAGUUGAGUUGAUGACGAGUCUGCAGUGUUGGCUGAAGACGUGAUGCACCACUUGUUUUGGAGUGGGUGAAUGGGUUAGAGCUAGAGCUAGAGUUAGAGCUAGAGCUCAGUGGAGGCGUAGGAUGAGUCCGUAGAUUUGUCUGCAAUGUGUAGUCCCUACAUGAUCCUAAACUCGGUGGAGAAGUAAUUGGAUUUGGUUGCAACGCAGGCCUUGAGCUUGAAGAGUUGGUGUCUGAGCCCAAUCUCGGUGGAGAAAUCAGGGGUAGUUUUUCACUUGGCUUCUUUUUAUCAUCUUUUUCACCCCACAACCAGCGAAUAAUAAUGGAGAGAAUUUGACCCAUUGAAUCACCUGUCCCCCUUCUUUUUCUUCUUUUUCUUCUUCUUCUUCUUCAUCUUCAUCUAGGAGCCUGUAAACAUAGAAAUGUCCCUUGUCAUGAAAACCAUGCGGGCGUGCACUGCAAUGUCAAUGGACUUGACACAGGUCCCACCAACAUUGCAUUAAAUUUUCCUUCUCGGACAAGUAAGAUAAGGAAUGCCUCUGCCACAUACUGUUGAGAAAUAUAAGAAGAUAUUACCCACAAAGCCUAUCAUGUUAACAUUCAAGUCAUCCCACAUCAUUUCAUAACAUAUUAAAUCAGGUAUCAUUUCACAUCAAAUCAUUGUAGCCUGCUUGACUACUCCAAUUCCCAAGCCUUUCUCCUCCUUUUUGAAUGUUGAUUACAUCAAUGUCUAGUUUCUAGUGAUGUAGGGUUGUGUGAGUCUUUAUCUGCCAUAUCAGACCGAGACAUUAAUAGUGGGAUUCUUUUUUUCUUUGCAAAUCAAUAUGACUCAAAUGCAACAUUCAUGUUGGAAUACAAAGGGAUUCAAAUUGCCAACAAAUGAACCAAAAAUCAUCUUCACAGCCAAAUCUACAACUACUAAACAUCUUUUCCCUCUAAAACUAGUAAAAUUUUCAUCCAGACAUGUUGAUUAACUAUAGAAGAACAGGCUUCUGCAUUCAUCCCCAUCUAAGUUCAGCAUUUUAGCAGAAACCCAAUAUGAAAAAACAGAAUGACAGAAAGGGUAAAAGGGCGCCAAUAUCAAUACCAUGCAUGCAGAUGAGCUUGUGGAUGAUGAGAGCUUUGUUGAGACCAGAGAUCAAAGCUCCCAAAUCAGAGUUUUCCCACCAAAGAUCGGACGAGAUCAAACACUAGUGAUGCUUGGCUUGCAGGAGAUCCAUCAGUGUUGGGUGUGAGAGAUGAGAGUUGUGCUGAGAGUGAAGGGGGAGCAACAUCAGAAGGUAAAGAAGUUUCCCAUGAUUCGUACGUCCAAAGACUUGGUUGGACUUGGCCAUUUUUAUGCUACGUGGAGGCACUCUAUUCGGAUUAAUAAAGUGAUAAAAGAAAAAAAUUAGGAAAGAAGUCCAUUUCAUCAAAGAAUUUGAUACCCAAACUAAUGGAAGUAAUUAAAAUAGAUUGAUGAUGAUGAUGGCUGCACCAAACAGCAUUUGAUACCCAACCCACCAAUCAUAAAAUUCAGUGACAUGGGAGUGCAUAAAGCAAAAUAAGGUAUACUAAAAUUAUUUUAAAAUACUUUGUAUUUCCAGAUAAUUUUUUAUUUGGGGAAAAGGAAACAAAGUUGAAGAAUUAUUUUAAAACAAUUUUUUCAUUUUAAGAUUUUUUUUUUUUAAUUUUCUUUCACUUGGUAAAUAUUUCCUAAUUUUAAAAAUUAUUAUAUAUUAUUUAAUUUAUAUUAUUUUAAUACUUAUCAUUAUAAAAAUAAAUAUGCACUUAAAUAUUUAUAAAAAUAAACAUUAUAUAUUUUUUGUAAAAAAUUUCAUAAAGCUUACGGUUGGUCUAGUGGUAGCAAUCUCUAUUUUUUAUUGCUGCCUUUUAGGCUUGAUUUCUCAUACUCCUCUUUUCUACGUAUACCCAUCCCACAUUGAAAACCUAUACAAGCAUUUCCCCCCAUAAAUUACAUAUGAGCUUGGCAUAGAAAUUAGUUACUUAUAAUGUGGCCCAUCAAAAUAAAUGUAUUUGGACUCUACAGCUCUUAGGGCUACAGAAGGUGUUAAUUUUGCCGAUUCAAUUUUGAAAACAUUUAAAAUCAAUAAAGAGGGGUUCACAUUACAAAAAUAUUCUUAACUUUUGUAUAUUUUUCGAUAAAUAACUCUAUGUAUUUUCAAUGAAGUUGAAAUCGUACAACAUAUUAUUAAUUUGAGGCAUUGACAUACAUUCUCUGUACAAAAAUAUUCUUAAUUUUUGUGUAUUCUUCAAUGAAGAACUCUAUGUAUUUUCAAUGAAGUUGAGAUCGUACAACAUAUUUUUAAUUUGACUUGACUUAAAGACACAGACAUACAUUCUCUAUACAAAAAUAUUUUUAAUUUGUGUAUUCUUCAAUGAAGAACUCUAUGUAUUUUCAAUGAAGUUAAGAUCGUAUGACAUAUUCUUAAUUUGACUUGACUUAAAGACACAGACAUACAUUCUAUAUACAAAAAUAUUCUUAACUUGUGUAUUUUUCAAUAAAGAACUCUAUGUAUUUUCAAUGAAGUUGAGAUCGUACAACAUAUAUAUUCGUAAUUUGACUUGACUUAGAGGCACUAACAUCUUCCUCCCAAAUUCAUUGUAUGUGUAAAUGGCAUCUUCUUCCCAAACUCAGUGUAUGUGUAAAUGAAAGAGAGUUGAUUCAAAGAUCCAAACAAUCUUCUACUUUUAAAAUUUUAUAAACCCAAUCUAUGAUUUUCUAUUUAAAGAAAUCGAUAAUAAACUAAAUUCAACCAAAAAUUACAUACAUAUCUAUAAUAUAUAAUAUCUAUUAGUUAUAUUACCAACUUAAUUUUAUUAUAGAGUAGCAUACCACAUCUAUAAAGUUUAUAAGUGAGCUACUUAGUAAUGCUAUGAGAAGGUUAUACGAAUAGCUAUAUACAUUCAUCUCCUUGGGUUAGAAUAAUAUGACUUGACAUAAAUUGCAAUAAUGUAAUUUAAAUAGGUCUAUUAUAAUAGUAUUUUUAAGCUUUUCGGAUCAUAAUGUUUGAUAGGCUUUUUGGUUUGGGCCAAAAUUUAACAUUUAAAAAAAUAAUUAUUGGUUUUUAUUAUUAAAUCGAAUUGAAACCAAAUGGACUUUAUUAUUACUAAACUCAAUUAAAUGUUAUUUUUAAUAUUAAAAAAAAGUAAAUAUUUUGAUUUUUUCUAUUCAAUAAAAAAAUUUUAAAAUAAGUAGUAGAUUAAUAAAAAAAAAAUGAACAAUUUAAAAUCUUAGCAAAAAGUUAAAAAAAAAUAAAAAUAAACAAGACGUAAGUUAAUUUUCUUUGAGUGUCGCAUGACUCCCCUCUAGAUGAGGGAUUCGAAGUAGAAGGAAAAAUUAUUGACAAGGAUGUUUUAAUCAGUAGCUAUGGCUUCUCACCCAGAAAUAUAGAAUUGAUUUUCCAAGUGCUUGUGAAUGCAAGGAUAUGUCCUUCCAUGUAAUACCCCAACCCAAGAUUUUGUUAGCUUUGUAAAGUACGAAGAAUAACUAUUUUAUGUUUUUUAUUUUUUGUCUGGGCUUAUUAAUAAUUCCCUGAUUGGGCUUUUAAUUCAUGACUGAAAAUUUUGGGCCAAAACUUCCAAAGGUUAGUCUCCAACGUUUCAAAUUGGGAUGGCAACUUUAUCCAAAUCUUGUCCAGUUUAUUUAUACCCAUUUUCAUCCGAUCCAUACCUAAAAAUAAAAUAAAAUAAAAUAAUCGCCCAAAAUUUAAAAAAAAUAAAUGGGACAAGGUAAUAUUAGGAAAUUUUCAUAUUUGCCCCAUUUGAUUUUUUUUUUUUAUUUUGAAAAUUUUAAAUUAUAUUAAAAAUAAAUAUAAUUUAUAAAAAAAUAAAUAUUAUAACUUUUUAUUAUUCAUUUUAUGAAAAGUAUAAGAAUUUAUUUAUAUAUGCUAAAAAGACGUGAAAAUGAAAAAAUAAAAUAACUUUUUAUUUAAUAUUAUGUAUAAUAAUUGGGACAAGACAAAACUUGGGUUUUAAAAAAAAAUUAUUGAACUCAUUUCAAAUUCAUCACUUUAAAGGAGGGGUAUCCCAAAAACGUCUUAUUGUCAUCCCUAGAUCCAAAUCCUAUAUAUCAUGUCAGUUUCCUAAUUAUUACUAUAGUGGACAACAAAAAAAAAAAAAAACCAAAGAGAAGGAAUGAGUGUUAGAUUUCUUAAUCCAUUAUCACCCAAAACACAAAACAGGAUAUAUGUAUAUCAAGCAUUCAAAAAAAAACAUUUCUUUAUCUUUUUAUCUUUGGAUAGAGAUCCAACCUGAAUCCAUUUUGACGUUUUGAUGAAGACGGUAUGAAUCUUCUAAGACUGAUGGAGGGCACCACCUCUGGAUUCUCUCAGGCAAUGGGAGCGGGAGAGAGAGCGGUUAAGUUCUUUUCAAAAGAUGUGAUUGUGCCAAAAGACACAAGUCAAAGCCCUUUUAUACCCUCCUGCCUUAGGGACCAUACCCAUUGGUUAUUGGGCCUCACGGGCCUUAGGCACAUCAUCUAAAGCUCGUGAUGGCAUUGGGCUCUACACAUUAGGUGGCCCAUACUCAAGAUUAAAUCAAAAAUUGCAUGUUAAAAGAUAGCCUUAUCCUGGACAAUGUUUAAUAUAUUGUCGGUCCACAUUUAUUCUAUCAAUGAGAAGUUGCACAACUAAUGUGGUUGAGAAAGUUAGACAAAGUAGAUUAGAUGGUGAUCGAUUUGACUCACAUAGCAGGUCUCUCAUCUAUUGUAGAUUUUUUAAUCAUUUUUCUUUUCUUUUAAGUGAAAGAUUAGUAAUUAGAGGGUUGGAGUUCACUUAUUUCUUCUAAAUUUUAUGGUUUUGGCUCAAAGACUAAUGAAAGAUUUGAAGGUUCUAGGGAUUUCCAUGAAGAUCAAGUAGAAUACCUAUCAAAUUGAUGACAAGAAUUGCAUUAUGAAUCUAAAAUUAUUUGACUAAUUAAAAAAAAUAGAGAGAAAAUAUUUUGAAGCAAAAAAGUAAGAAAUGAAUCUAAAUUAGUAGUAUAUAUGAAUAUCGAGUGGUUGACAAAUAAGCUACAAAUUAUGGUAAUAAGAAAACACUAGUGUCAUAAAAAUAUGCAACUUAUGAAUCUAGGCAUUGUUAAAAAGAUAGUUGAAAAAUAUAGUUUUGAGUGUUAGAGAAAAAAAAAAUAAAGACUAAAUAAAUUUGUUCAAUAUUAUAUCUACAUAUGGAUGUAGGGUUAGCAUUACUAGUUUUAUAUAUGCUUUCCAAUUUGUUUUCUAUAUUACAUAUUGCCAAAUUACUCUACUAUUUGUAUCUUUGGCUCUAAAGCUUAUGCAACACCUAUGGCCUCUAGAAUCGUGCUCUUUAUUAAUUAAAGGCCGCACUCCUCUCUCGAACCCUACUCCAUAUAUAAAUCUUGUUGGGUUUUAUAGUAUUGCACCAUUACAUGCCUUCACAUUUCUUUUAAUGUUGAUAAUUUAUGUCAAUUCAUUCCUACUCUAACUCACAUUCACUUUUAGAUAGUUAAAUGACUUCUUUGGUAUCAUAAGGGGGUUGUUUAUUUCAUGAUCUUACCCUUCAUGUAGCCGGUUUUUUGGAUCUUUUGUUCAUUUUGAUACAUGCUAGGAUGGUUGCUCGAAGAAUCGUUGGAGUACAAAGGCUAUUGUGCUUUCUUUGGAAAUAGUUUUGCCUCUUGAUAUGCUAGCAAACAGAAGGCGGUCUCUCAAUCUAGUAUUGCUUUUGAAUAACAUAGUUGCAUUUGAAUACUAUGUCAUUUGCAAAUACUACCUAAACAUUGGUUUGAAUUCAAUUCAUGUUUUAUAAGUGAAGGUUCCCUUAUUCCAUACACCUUUUAUAUUGUGUGAUAAUUUAAGUUCAACCUAUUUGGUUAUGAACCCUGUUUCACAUUCUUAUAUCAAAUAUGCGGAUAUUGACUUCCCCUUAUGCAUAAUCGAGUACUUCAACAAAUCAUUAGAUGUCAAGUUCGUGUCUUUUGCUCAUCCAUUGGUAGAUGCUAUAACUAAGCCUCUACCUACUCAAAUUCUUAGGUCUUUAUCCCAAGCUCUUAGUUCUUCCACGACCUUGAGCUUGUAAGGAAUGUCAGAAUAUAGGUCAACUAGCUCAACAUUCUUUUUAUCUUGUUAUAAUGAAAAUUAUAGAAUCUUGUUGGAGUAAGUUAUGUAAUAACCAAAAGUGGUAAUAACAGGGAAUGAGCUCUUUGAAAGAGGGCAUCCAAAGAAGGAAAAAUACCCUCAUGUUCUUUUAGCAUAUGAGUAUGUAGAUUGCACAUAAUAUUAUAUAUAGAUAUGAAGUUAUAAUUAUAUAUAUAAAAGAAAAGGAGUACAAGUGCAUAGGGAUGGCAAUGGGGUGGUUUGGGAUAGGUCAUCUUAUCUUAAUCUCUUCCCGUUUAUUCAAAAUAAUUUUGAUUUUUGUCCCAAUUAAAAAAUUAAACGGAAUGGGUGGUGGUAUAAAUUAGGACGAUGUGAGACAGGACAAGACAAUAUUUGAAACCACCUUGAACCUAUUUUGGGUUUUUAAAAAUUUCAAACCUAUCAAUAACCUAUUUAUUUAAAUUUCAAACUCGCCCCAUUAAAGGCAAGGAAGAGUAGCUACCCGAAAAAAUCCAUCCAUUGUCAUCCCUACAAGUGCAUAUUAAAUAAAUUAAUGUGGUGGCUCUAAUGGAGACAUGCUUAGAAUAUGAUAUAAUGGGAGUAUGAGUAUAUAUGAAAAACAUAGAAGAAUAUAGAACGUAUGAAUAAAUGUAACUUUUGAGUGUGAGAUCAUAACAAAUUGGGUGCAGCAUAUACAAAUAUAUUGCUUUAAGAAUUCUGGUGGGCUGAAUGUUUUGGUAUAGGAAUUAUUGGAGAGAAUAUGGAAUGCAAAAAUAUGAAAUAUUUUGGAUAAAUGAAAACUCACUUGUUGAUACAAAAUCUGGGUUAAGAGGAUAUACAAAAAUAUAAGCAUGGUUGGUGGUUGUAGAAUUCCAAAUUGAAGUGCAGCACCUUAAUAUUUUUGGACAAGAGGUAUAAAUAGGAGUCAUACCUAGAACAUAGUGUAAAUAUACAGUGUCAAGUAGUAAAUAAUCUUAAAUAUAUAUACUAUAUUUGAUUAUAUGUUAAAAAAAAAUAAAAAAUUCUCAUAUUUAGUUUCAUCAUAGAAAAUACGGAAAAAAUAUCAAAUAUAAUUAAAAUUAAUUAAAAUUUUAAAUAUUUUAAAAUUAUUUCAUAUUUACAUAGAAAGAGAAAAUGAAUGAAACGCGUUUGAAUUAAUAUAUUAAAAUGAAUUAAUGAUUUUAAAUUUAUUUUUUAUUUUUCUUCAUUAUUUUUCUUUUAUUUUACUUUUCCUCUAUUUUUUCUCUCUCGUGUUUUCCCUUCAAUUUUCCAUAAACCAAACAUAGCUAUAAUAUUAUAAUAGCUUUGUUUUAAAAUAAACAUUCAAUUUGAAUUUCCUAAUAUAACCUAAUGGGAAUUUAAUUUAUUUUACUAUUUUGCAUUAAUUUAUGAAAUAUCUAUUUUUCUGUCCAAAUUUAGAAAAAAUUUGUUUGUAUUUUUGUAAAUUUUGUACAUGAAAUUUAUUCAUUCAAUUACACUAAAAUUUAUAAGACACUACACAUCCUUAUCUGUAGCAUAAAUUUUUCUUUCCAUUUUCACUGUGUUCUUAACAGGCUAUGUUCAGACCCAACAAAUCCACUCAUGGUUCUUCCUUGCCAAAAUGCUCCAUGCAUGAACACAAUCCCUCCAUUCGAGUCAGGUCUCUGAUGUGUUUGUGCCCCAUGGUUGUCGUACCAUAAGCAUAUAUUCAUUUCUGAGAACGAAGCAAGCAACCAAACGGACCCCAGGAUACUUCAGUUUGAGAUUUUGACUGGGAUUUUUUGGAAGAUUAUCCCUGAUUUGAAUUUUCAUGGCUCAAAACAUUCCCUAGAUUACUCAGCCUCCAUUAACACUCAUUUCUCAAUGAAAGCAAAAUGCUGAAGUUUACCAACCCAGGUUCAAACUUAGUACACUUGUCAUAUGAUGCAGGACUGAGCUAAUUCAAAACUGUUCAUCUAAUGUGGCAAUCCUAAAGUCAUAUUGCUUCCUUCCAGCAUUACAGAACAAAACUCAAAAGGUAAAAGCUAAGCAAAACUCAUUCUGUGUCGUAUCAUGCUGAACUUAGGAACUAAAAUAUCUAUGGUUAAACACCUGGAAAGUAAUAAUUCCAUGGUUCCCUAGAAUGGGAUCAGUCCAAGUCUCAGGAAUUUGAAAAACAUUUUAUGUGCCAGCAUGAAAAUAAAAUUUAGGCCCAAAGAUCCCUGACCAAGUUAUCUUGGCCUUCACAACCCUCUCCCAGCACAUUAUCAAGGGUAUCUACUUUGUUUCCUGAUGGAUAUUUAGACCAGCUUUCGCUAAAAUGGUUUUGGGGAUCAAGCAGAAAGUACAAAAUAGAUUGUAUGCCAUUCUAAAUAGAAUGCAUGUCACACCAGGACUGCAAUUUGAUCAUGAAAAUUGACAGAGAUCAUCUCACCUGAAAGUAUGAAUUUCUAUAAAAUUUACAAUAAUUCCUGCUCUCCUGCACACAAGUGUACUGAGACAAAAACCAAAAACAAAAAGAGUAUAGUUUUCACCUAUAGAACAACACCGGUGCUUAACUUGUAUUCACUAGCAAACAAGGCAAAAGGUGCUCACUUCUCAGAAACAUGUUCUAUUUCUCCUUCUUUACAAGUAAUGAUCAGGACCCAAUAACAUCCUUUGUAGGAAUGCUGAUCUCAACCUGCUCAAAUGUUGAAGCUCUUGCAGAAGGUUUAUGUAACCAGUCAAGGUUCUUCCUGGACCUUCAGCCAUAUAUCUUUCAAAGCCAAGCCUAAGUGCUUCAUGAACAGUAUAGCCCACAUCGUAACCAGUUCUUCCAAAUGUUUCCACAGCAUGAUUGAAGUAUCCAUCAAAGAUCCGAGAACAUUCAUUGCUGACAGAGAUUGUUAAAGGUAACCCCAUAUGCCUUGGGAUGCCAUUCAUAUUUGCUAAAAUAUUUCUUCCAGGACCUCUGUAAUCAGAUGAACCUGGCCACUGCUGCAUUUGCAUUAGAUUAAUUUGCUGAGAUCCUCGGUGAUUUAAAUCAGAGUGGCACACGAUUCUGGACAUUUUCAUAGCAGUGGGGGAGAAUCUGAAUUUGAAAGUACUGCAAGCUCCCAAACGGAAGGGCUCAUCACAUCUUGAACCAGCUCCUCUCUUAUUGUUAUAGCCUGGGUAGUCCUCUUUCUUAAAAUCAACACACUCAAACAGCACCAGAGAGUUUUGAGAAGCAAGUUCCUCAAGAUUCCAGUGGGAAAAUGGAGCUGUGGUUUUGUGAUUUACAUGAAUUUCACCAUUGGCUCUUAGCAUGCCACUUGCAUUCCUGAAGAAACCAUGCACAAGAUCCCUAUGCAUACUGUAGCAUAAGAUGGGAUGACAACAUAAGUACAAUCCACACAGAAUUAAUAAAGAAAUCAGCCAUUCUAUAAAAGCCUUAGGUACAACUAGAUUGAACCAUUUGAAAUCAGCAGAAAACAAUGCAUCAAAGAUACUCAUAUUCCUUUUGAUUUUUUUUUUUGGUUGUCAGACACACAGGUAAAAAAAUAUUAUCAGAUGAUGAUGUCUAUAAUUAAUUUACCUGUGAUAAUGAAAUUUUUCUUCUACAUAUUUGUAUCUUUGAUAUAUAUUCUACCACUUCAAAAGAGAAACCCAGCACUCCCAUCAUUUGGAAGCAAAGGCAUGAUAUUUCUGGUGCACCUGUAUAGCAGUUAAUCUUGUUUUAAGGUUGUAAGUUAGAUGCCUAGCAUCUGAGCUGAAGACCAGCACAUGGGCCAAUGCCCAUGGUACAUGAUAGUAACAACUAGAAUUCUUAAAAAUACUAUGAAGACAAUAACUGAUUCAGUUACAUGUAGGGUUCCAAAUACCCCCCAGUUCUAUCCUUUGCUGCCCUGGCUUUUGUGAUGGAGACUUUGUCCAUCAACAUGUAGAAGCUGAAAUUAUAACAUAAUCUCAGUAUGGAGGCAUUGGAAACCUACACAUGACCAUGUAGAUGUGAUUCAUUUGCCAAUACGAUGAAUCAUACUGCACUUGUGCAGACUCAUGGCUAUAUACUGCAGAAAUAGGUAAACAUAUGACCACAGAAUGUGUGUUAUGCAUCUUCACCACUUUGAUAAAGUGGUCAAAAUUUCCCCUUAUGAGGACUUGAAUGGGAUCAUCAAAUGCGUGCUCCAAACCCACGGCUAGCUACCUUGAUGGGCAUCACCAUCUGAACCAAUUGAACAAACACACAGUUCUGUGCAUAGACAAAAAGGGCAUGAAAUGUAAAUGAACUCACAAACACAAAUAAAACAUAGGAGAAAAGUAACAUUGACCAUGACGAGCAACUACAAUGUAUGGAAGAUUUUGCUGUGAAAUUCAAGCUACAUAUCAUAUCCAUAACAACAAUACGUUUUCUUCGUACAGAGAGAAGGUAGUUUUGAGGAAUUAUGAAAUUUGCAUCACAUAGAUAAGAAAUAAAAGUUGAGGCCUUACUUAAUCAUAAGCCUGUUGUCUUCCUUUCCAUGGAAGCCUGCAUGAGGAAAGUUAUAUAUAAUGCGGUCGAAUUUCCGCAUCUUGAGAUCAGUAUGAAGCUUCAUCUUGGUUGCAUCCACUCCAAAUAAAAGAGAUGCUCCCAGCUUCUCUAAAGCUUCCAAAUUUGAUUUUGCUUUCUUGUACAUCUUUAUCAGAACAUCUAGUUUAAGAUUGUGUCAGAAAACAAGUUGUCCAAAAAAUAGCAUUCCUCAUAAAACAGAGAGACUACAACUUAAUUUAAAAAUUUGUAUAUUGAACUCAACAAAGACUAAACCUCAACUAAACAAAUGAAACAUUGGCAAAUGUGAUAACUCCCCAAAUAUUGAAUAUAACAACCUUCAAAUUCUUAAUUUGCAUAUCCUGUACCCAAAAUGAAAAUGACAUUUCAAUUUCAGAGCAUCAUAGAAGUCAGAACCCUUGUCAAUUUUGAUAUUUGGAAAGUACAAUAACACUGGGGAAUUCUUGUCCAACAGGAGGAUUUGGAAAAACAUAAACCCAUAAAAAAACUCACACAAUGUUAAAAAAUAUUUUGUUGAUAAUAAAAUAAAAGCUCUUCAAAUUCCACCUCUUGACUCUCCCCAGUUGCUUUCAUUUCAAAAUAGUCCUUCAUCUCCAAACCCAGAUGUUUGGUUCUCAGAAACUGAGAAAGAAAAAUAACACAAAAGCAAGUUUCACUUAUAUUCCAAGGUUGACCAUUUCUUCAACCCAUAUUUCUGGCAUGCUUCUUUCUCUUCCAGUCAUGACAACCAAAUAAAGAAAAUAAUUCCCCUUCUACUGUUUCCCAAAAGUAUACAGGGCUAAGGACUACAAGAUUAGAGUAUAGUACACAAGUAACGAGUUGAUUCCAAUACAUAUAAAAUACAAGAAAAGGGAAAGAGAGAGACCGUAUGGGUCGAGAGAAGAAGCAACGAUGUUGGAAGCAGAAGCAAAAGAGUGAGCCAAACACAGAGAGAAAGAGAAGUCUCCUUCACCAACCAAGAGAAUUUGAUGAAACGAGGAAUAAUGCAUCAACCGUUUCUCUUGUUCUUCCACACCCACUUCAUCUUUCACCAUUUCCUCCCCGACAGCCAUUGACGCUUUCUACAGUUACAGAACCAGAGAGACUCAUUGAGAGAGAAAGGUAGUGAAAGUUUGGCCGUGUUUAAAGGGCUUAUUUGAAAAACAGAGAUUAUUUUCAAAUAGAAAUAUUUGGGCUGAAUUUACCGAGAUGCCACUGUUACCUGGAUGCUGCAAGCAUUGGGAUUGUCUCGUUUGUGAGCGAUGGAGCUUGGGAGGGGCAUUUUGGGAAUGGAAGAUGCAUGGCAUGGUCGCCCAUUAAUGGUGGCCUGCCCUAACAUUGGGGAGUUCAAGCGUCCCUUAAGCUCGGCUCAUAUGGCUUCUGACGAUGCAGAUUUAAAAGGGCAGGGGGAAUUACUUUCCUUUUUGGGUUUUUUUUUUUUUGGGAAAGUAUGGUAUGUAAUUACAUAAAAUUAAUUAGUAUAAAAUAAUCUUUAGAAUUGUGAAUCUAACUGUUCCAUAAUUUUAUAAAAUAACCAAUUUUUUUUAUAUAAAUAUUUUUAUUAUUUCACGUAUUCACUCCUAGAUUUUUUUUUUCUUAAAUUAUUUUUAUAAGAAAAUAGUGAGGAUGUUUUUAUCAAAAAAGGAGACCAAAAAUUGAUGAAAGGUUAUUUAAUAAUUGUUUUUAAAAAUUUUUUUAAAAAUGAUUUUUAAGAACAGUUUUUAAAAACUGUUUUCUAAUUUUGUAAAAUAAAAUUUUGUUUAAAAAUUUAAAAUAUUUUUAAUUUAUUUUUAAUAUUUUUAAAUAUGUUUUAAAAAUAACUUUUAUGUCUAGUGUUUUACUUUUAAUCAUUCUAUAUAUUUGUAUAAUUAUAUUUUAAAAUAAUUCUCCGAAAACAAGUGAAAACAUAAAAAAAUAAAUAAAAUUUAUUAUCCGAAAAUACCAUAUUUUUUAUUUUUAAAAACAGAAAAUAAAAAACAAUUUUUUAUUAUCAAAUACAUUUUCCUAUUUUUUUGUUCUAGAUAACAAAAAACUAUUCUCCAAAACAGUUAUCAAAUUGGCUCUUAAAUUUCUAACGUUGAGUGUUCAGUAACUCUUUUAAUCAAAUAAUCCAAAUAUAUAAAUGCUUUUAAUUGAAAUAAGAAAAACAAAUUAUGAAUUAUUAAGUGUAAAAAAUAAAAAUUAUUUGUUCACAUGUGUGAAACGUGUCUCGGGAAAAAUUUUGCAAAAUAGGGAUAAUUUGUUGUAUAAGUGAUCAAGGAAGCAAUUUAAUGAGAUUGGUCUAGAAUACAUAACCAAUGCACUGCGGGUAAGUUCAUUUUUCAAGCCACAUGUCCUACGUAUUCGUACAAUUUAGUGGCAUCUACUGAAAGAAAUUGUUAGUUUUGUGGACUUAAUAAUCGUACGCUAAGAGACGCCAAGGAGAAAUUCAUGCGAAAUGUGACAUUAUUGAGCUCUGCUAUGAACCCAAUGGACAGGACUGUUAAACAGAGGAAGAUCAAAGGCUACAAAUGGUCGGCCAAGGGAGGAGUUCGAGCCUUAAGAGGGCUAUUUUUAGCACAUUAGCUAUGGGAGGUAUGGCUUGGGCAUGUGUGGAGACAACUUGCAUCCACAUGGCCUGAGGCAUGUAGUAGAGGUAUGUCGAAACUCAAGCAUGGUGUUGGGCUUAGAAAACAUACUUGUCAUAGAGGCUGUAACUUCCAACGACAUGCAUAGGUCAUAAUUUGGCGCAAGUGCAAACAACAUUGUCAAGACAUGUUGCUUAACUAGAGGCAUGGGGUGCGACAAUGGCGCCCCGUGGUGGCAAACUCACAUGGACUUGACAUAGUAAGUGUUGGAUGUUGGUGUGUCUAUGAUAGGCGGUGAGUGGUACUAGAAGCACAUAAUAUUAUGGGAAAACUGAUCAAAAGGGACAAAAAUCCCUCAAUAUUGUAAAACUAACCCCCCACUUUUAAUAGCCUCCAAAAUGACCCGAUCUGGACAAAAAUACCCCUCAGCUACAUCAACUCCUUUUUCCCUCUCAUUCUAAUUUUAUUUCCCUCCAUUCACCUCUUUUUUAUUAUUUCUUCCACUUUCUCCUUUUUUUCAUUUUCUCCUGUUAUUCCGUUUCUCCCUUUUCAGUGCAUUUCUUCAAGUCUCACACAGUUUCUCUUCAAAUUUCUUCAACUUAAAGCGCUUUAAGUUGUGGUUGGAUAAACAGUGUACGUUUAUUUUUAUUUUUCCAUAUUUUUUUCUUUCAUGUUUUAUUUAUUGAAUAUUUUCAAACAUUUAAUGAGAUGUAGUAAAUAUUUAAAUAAGUUUGAAAUUGUUAUAAUUUUUUUAAUAUCAUUUACAACUAUGAAAAAAUGGAUUAAAAAAAGGAAACAAUCAACUUAAAAAGUGUAAUGUGGAGAAACAUUGUUUAUAUGGAAAAAUCAAAUGAUGGUAAGUAAUAAAACUUAUGGAAUUUUAUGAUGGUUUUGGUAUUAUUUGCAUAUUUUUUCUUUAUAUAGAUGUAAAUAUGUGUUAAUAAGGUUUUGAUAUAAUAUAUAAAGUUAUCUUUUUUAGUUAUAUAUCAAAACCUUACGGAUAUUAAGUUGAACUUAACGUAAGUUAAGAUUGUAUAUAGUUAUUUUAUAGUAACAUUAUAUUAUUGUUAUUUUAUUUAAUUAUAGUCAAUUUGAGUUGAAUCAUUUGCAAAUUACCCUUGACAUUAAAUGAAUUACAACAUAACCAAUCUUUUAGUAAAUAAAUAUAUUUUUAUUGUUUAAAAUAGCUUAGAGUUACAAUGUCUGAAUUUAUUUAAUAACUAUAUACAUUGUAUUUCUAUAGCAUUAUUGGUAUUAUUUGAGGUAGUAAAGAUGAUUAAUAAUGUUAUUUAUUUGUUGUUUAUUAAAAAAAUAAAUAUGUGUAAUGAAAUAAUAUGUAUUUAAUAAUGAAUGAGUUUUUUAAAAUUAAUACCUACUUAUUGGUGCUAAUGCUAUGAUGUAACUAAAAAAUAUUCUAAUAUUGUUUUUUGAUGCCACUAAUUGAAUUAUUUUGUUAUUUCAGUGGUUGAUGAAGUAUGGAUAAUGCUUUUAUAUGAAGGAGAAUGGGUACGAGAUGGAAAUGUUUUCUAUUUUGAAGGAAGUAAAGGUAAAGGCAUUGAGAUCCCGAAAGCUAUAUCAUAUAAAGAGUUAUUAGGGGUUGUCCAUCAUAUUCUGAAGCUAGAUCUAACAAAUUGUUUUCUUUCAAUGAAGUAUGUAUUCAAUUCCAACAUACCCACAAGUCCUAUACAACUAACUGAUGAUGGGGAUGUGAAAUUCUUUAUUGGUUUAAAUUGUACAAAAGGUAAGCUGCCUGUUCCAUUGUGCAUCACAGUUGAAAAGAGAAUUGAUAAUCACAAUCAGAAAUCAAUUUGCAAUUCUUAUUUUGAAUGUCAUGUCUUCUGAGAUUGAUAAAGAAUUGAAUGGGGACUCAAUGUUGAUGCAAAAAAGUAGACACAUUCAUUGUGAUUCAGUUGAAACUCUUACUGUUGAUGGUGAAAAUGGACUAAGAUUUCAAAAUGAGUCACUUGAAGGGUAUAAAGUUCAUGAUUGGAACAUGAAUGAGACUGCAACUAAUGAGGAGGAUUAUAGGAUGAAUACUAACCCUACUAAUGAUAAGCAAGUGACCCAAAUUGGCUCAUUCAGAAUUGGUUCAACUCAGAGUGCAGAAAUCUUGACCAUGAUUGAUACAAAUGAUGGUUUCAUACAUGACAAUCCCAUUAUAAUCGAAGAUGUAGCAAAUGAAAGACAAAACAUGAUGCAACAACCUAUAGUUAGUGAAAUUAGUGAUGACCAUUUAGAAGAGCACCAAAUAUACUCAAGUAAGAAAGAAUUACAAAAGAAGUUGUAUAUGAUGGCUCUGAAAAGGAAGUUUGAGUUCAAAACAACUAAAUCCACUACUAAGUUAUUGCUUGUUGAAUGUUUUGAUAAAGAAUGCAAGUGGCGAGUUCGUGCUACCAAGUUGGGGAUUUCCAAUAUGUUUCAAAUAAUGAAAUUCUAUUCAACACACACUUGUCGGUUAGAUAUGAUGCCUCGUGACAAUCGACAUGCAAGUAGUUGGUUGAUUGGUGAGAGUAUAAAAGAAACAUAUCAAGGGGUUGGUUGUGAAUUUCGACCAAAAGACAUUGUAGCAGACAUUCAAAAGCAGUAUGCCGUUCAAAUAAGUUAUGAUAAGGCGUGGAGAGCCAAAGAACUUACUCUAGGUUCUAUUAGGGGAUCACCUGAGGAGUCUUAUAACACUUUACCAUCCUAUUGCUAUGUUUUAGAGCAAAAAAAUACUGGUACCAUUACUGAUAUAGUUACUGAUUGUGAUAAUCAAUUCAAAUACUUUUUUAUGUCGAUUGGUGCAUCUCUUGCUAGGUUUCACACAUCAAUAAGGCCUGUGAUUGCAGUUGAUGGGAUAUUUUUGAAAGCAAAGUACUUCGGGACUUUAUUUAUUGCAGCGUGUAAAGAUGGCAACAAUCAGAUAUACCUUUUAGCCUUUGGGAUUAGUGAUUUAGAAAAUGAUGCCUCAUGGGAGUGGUUUUUACAAAAACUGCAUGAUGCACUUGGACACAUUGAUGAUUUGUUUGUGAUAUCAGAUCGACAUGGUAGCAUUGAGAAAGCAAUACAUAAAGUAUUUCCCCAUGCGAGGCAUGGUGUUUACACUUAUCACGUUGGACAAAAUUUGAAGACAAAGUUCAAGAAUCCUGCAAUUCAUAAGUUGUUCCAUGAUGUUGCCUAUGCUUAUCGUGUUUUAGAGUUUAAUUUUAUAUUUGGGCAACUAGAGAUGAUUGACCCAAGAGCAGCAAGAUAUUUUAUGGAUAUAGGUGUUGAUCGAUGGACACGUUCAUAUUCUACCGAAAAAAGAUAUAAUAUCAUGACGACAGGGAUCGUUGAAAGCCUUAAUGUUGUGUUGAAAAAUGCUAGAGAUCUUCUGGUUUUGAAAUUGGUUGAAGAAUUGAGAAACUUACUUCAAAAAUGGUUUGUGACUCGUCAACAACAAGCAAUGUCAAUGUCAACUGAACUUACCAUGUGGGCUGAUGGAGAACUUCAUUCGAGGUAUAAUAUGUCAGCAACAUAUCUAGUGGAACCUAUCAACUCCAAGGAGUGUAAUGUUAACUAUGCUGGCAUUAGUGCUCAAGUGAAUUUAGACACUCGUUCAUGCACAUGUCGACAAUUUGAUCUUGAUCAUAUUCCAUGUGCACAUGCUAUUGCUGCUUGUAGAUUUUAUAACAUUUCAUGUUACACUUUGUGCUCCAAGUAUUUUACUACUAUAGCAUUGUUAUCUUCAUAUUCAGAGUGUAUUUAUCCAACUGGAAAUGAAAUAGAUUGGGUAGUACCUAAUCAUAUUCGUGACAAAGUUGUGUUACCACCUAAAACGAGACGUCCAAUAGGAAGACCAAAGAAAGUAAGAAUUCCUUCUGGUGGAGAAGGCAAGCGCACAUCUCGUUGUAGUCGAUGUGGUCAAUAUGGGCAUAAUUGGAAAACAUGCAAACGACCAAUCCCUUGAUAUCAUGAUAGCUUUGGCACUCUAUGAACUUACAUGGAAUGAAAAUUGUAAUAGUGAGCUUUUUUGUUUUUUUGGUACCCAUGUGAACGGAAAUGUAAGUUACUUUUUUGUAUUAGGUGAUAGAAUAAGGACAUAGAUGAAUAUUGUAAUAAUGAUCCCCUUUUUUUGCAUACCCAUAGAAAUGGAGAUAUUUGUUACUUUUGUACAUAUAUGUUAUGAUGAGUUAUGUAUAAAGUAUGAAUGAAAAUUACAUGUUUAUUAUCAAACUAUGGACUCAACUAUUCUCACGUUUAUUGAUAAGGAACUUGACAAUAGUUAAGUUCAGGUUUUGUCUAAAGACUGUAGACUUAACUACCUUCAAGUUUGUACAUAAAACAACUUGAUAAUGAUUAAGUUCAGGUUUUGUCUAAAGACUGUUGACUUAACUGCCUUCAAGUUGGUACAUAAAACAACUUGACAAUAGUUAAGUUCAGGUUUUGUCUGAAGACUGUGGACUUAACUACCUUUAAGUUUGUUCAUAAAAUAACUUGACAAUAGUUAAGUUCAAGUUAAAAUGGCAAACUGUAAACACAACUUCCUAUGAGUCUAUAGAAGAUCAACUUGAUACCUGUUAAGUCCAGAUUAAAUAUGUUAUUCUGGAAUAGAUUUCGACUUAAUAUCUGUCAAGUUUGUUCACAGUUAACUUGAUAGUAGUUAAGUUCAGGUGUUCUAUUAAGACUGUGGACUUAACUACCUUCAAGUUUGUACACAUAACAACUUGACAACAUUCAAGUUUAGUUUAAAAAGUCAAUUGUAUACAUAACUAUUGAACAACAUUCAUCAAAAUAUCCAAGUAGAUAUAUCAACCUGUCCAACUACAUUUAUCAAAAUGUCUAACUACAUAUAUGAAGCUAUCCAAUUACAUAUAACAAACCAUCCAACUACAUUAUCAAAAUGUGAAAUAUCAACAUGAAUUCAUUACAUAGGCAAGUAUUUCAUAUAAAAUAACUUUGCUGCCAUCUUUUCCCGAAACCAGUCCAUUCGAGCACUUGUUAAUGACUUCAAUGGAUGGUUGUGCAUUAAGUAUUCAACAUAUUUGAUAACAAACAUGCCACAAUCACCACUGCAUGGUACACAAAUAAUCAAUGUUAGGGCUAUUAUUAAGGAUUAAGUGUAUAAGUUAUGAAAGUAAAUUGAAGAUCACUUACUCAUUUUCCUGUUAAGGAAUAUCUUGCAGCCGUUCAAUUUCCCAUUCAUGGUAGUUAACUUUUGUGUCACCAUGAAACCCAUAAUAUGCUAUUGCAUUCAAUAUAUGCGGCAACAAUUUGGCUAAUGGUUUAAUGGCAACUUGCAAUCUUGCAUUAUUAUUGAUGCUCAUCAAUGAGUCAUAUACAUAUAUAAUCCUUCGAUGAAGGUGGACAACUCCUAAUACCUAGUGACUAGCCCGAACAUUGAUGGGGACAUACACAAUGUCAACAUCAGGCCAUUUGACAGAAUAAAGAGGCUGCAAACCAUUGGCAUAAUCAAUAAGAAUGUCAUUCUCUGGUAAUUUGAAUUGGUUCCAUUUCUUGCCAUGCUUAAUCCAUCUUCAAAUUUUUUUUUUCUUAUUUUUUUUUCUUUUUCUUUUCCUCUCCUAAAGAAAGAAAAACUUUCUCCAACUCAUCAUUACGCACCUUGUUUUCUCCUUUAAAGUAUGUGUCCCUUAUUCGUAAUGAUUUUUUAUCACAGUUUGUAAUAUGACCAAAACUCAAGCCCGUAAUCUCUUCUUUACGAAAUCUUAAGCCCUUUAACUUUAAUAAAAUCCAUAUUUCAUUGUCUUUUUUGGUUUCACAUUGAUGAGCAAUUUGGGCUGAAAAUCUAAGUUUGGGAAGGAGUAAAAAAUGACCAAAACAUGAUUUUCUAAACAUCUCCAAUUGUGGUUCAAUCAAUUUCUUCUUAAUAUUUUCAAUGGCAACCAAGUGAGACAAACAUGCAAUUUUUCCAGGAAAGUACUCCUCUUUAGGUAUUUUAGAUAUAAAAGAUAGGAGAGGAGGAGGAAUGUCAAUCUGCAAGAUAAUAACAAAUUGGAAAAAUAUCAAUAUAAAUUGGGCAAAAUUAUAUUACCAAACUUAUCCAACUAUGUUAAAUCCAUCAUUUCGUAUUACUUCUUAACAUAGACUUUAUUUUCCUAUUAUUUAAGGAUGUCAUGUCAAAUGCUAAUAUUCUAAAGAUAUUAUUUUACUAAUGCAAUUGAAGCUAUUAUAUUUUACUAAGUUGCAGCUACAAAAAAUUGGAGACAUUAUUCUAGUGUUUAUUGAAAUUUGAAACAAAACCAAACCAUUUUGAAAUUGCCACCUGUUGACAAUGAACUUGAUAGCAGUUAAGUUCAGUUUUUUCUUAACAUAUAUAUAUAAAUCAAAAUUCUAAAUAUUUGGAUAAAAUAAUUUCACAAAAAUUAUAUUCAAAUACGUUAUAAAUUCAUAACAAAUAACUUCAUUACACAAAAUUUCAAAACCUUUUGAUGGUAAACUUGAUAGUAAUUAAGUUUAGUUUUUUCUAAUCAUUCAAAUAUUGCUUUAAACCUUGGACUAUAACCUCACUGAGAAAAUUUUCAACAAUUAGAUUAUCAAUUCAUGAAAAAUAAAUUCAUAAAAAAAGGAUAAUCGAUUAAAAAUGAUAAAAUUUUAAAAAAAAAUCAAAAUUUCAAGUAGAAAAUUAAUGCUUACUGAAUCAGUUGAUUUCUUCUCAUUUUCUGAUGACAAUGACGAGGUUUCAAACCUGUCUUUCUUUCACUUCUUUUUUUUCCCAAAAUUUUAUACCUCUUCUGUUUCGUAUUUUUCAUCACCGAAUUUUUUUUCUUUCUCCAUUUUCAUGAACUAAAUCAACACACAAUAUCAGAAAGAUGAAAAAUAGGGUUUGAUUGAAAAAAAAAAAAAAAAGAACCAAAAUAAGACACUUAGGGUUUCUUCUCAAUUCAUAGAUGAAGAUUCAUAUGUACAGUUCGAAAAACUAAAAUCAAAGAAUGAAACAAUGAAACUUACUUUCUGUUUUUUCUUUGUGUUGUGUUGUCUUUUUGUUCUCUUGCAAUAAACGAAAAAAUCCUUCGUGAUUUAUUUCUCGCAAGUUAACAGAUGGAACAAAUGAGUUUACAGGGUAAGGAAGAGACACGACACAAGGGAAAAUUGGAGUUGGAGGGAAAAUGGGCUAAAAAGAUAGCUGAGGGGGUAUUUUUGUCAGAAUUGGGUCAUUUUUGAGACUUAAAUAAGUGAGGGGUUAGUUUUGCAAUAUUGAGGGAUUUUUGUCCCUUUUAAUCGGUUAUCCCUAAUAUUAUCAAGACACGUUGCAUAACUAGUGUUGAAUGUUGGCGUGUGUGUGUGCGUAUGCGCGUGCGUUUUGGGCGAGGAGGGUUGGGGUUGUGGUCUCACUUAGGACAACCUAAGGGUGUGGGCUAUGGCAUGACGCUAGCUCACCCAAGGUGCUUUAGGCCUCUCCAUUGAUAAGUGUAGGGCACCACACCUUUAGAACUUACAUACACCCAAGUGCCCAAUGGUUUAAGCAAGGUAUAGCUGCAUGAAGAAAGCCUGAGCAAAGCAUGACAAAUGUUAGAUGUGGGUUGUAUGGCUGCGACAAGUUGGAUUAAUGUAGGCAACUUGAUGCAUGGGCUACAUGUGAACAAUUCUACAUACAUGAGCCAUGGGCGUGACCGAGAUCAUGCGACCCUCCAAAAUGUGGUGAAAGACUCUAAUUCUAAGCAACAGUGAACUUAGUAAGGCGUACUUGGGCAUACGAGUACAAGACAUCUGGGUUGGUUGGCUAAAACACACAGGUUCAAGGAAGGGAAACAUGCAGAGACACGAGGUUUGUUGGUUUAGGCACAAGACAAAGUCUAGCGAGUAACAUCCGGGAGAUAUAGCCACUCCUAAUCUACGAAUAUGGGGUUGCGUCUAGGAACGACAAUGGGGUGAGUUUUUUUAAGUACCCCCCUUUAAUGAGAUAAGUUUAAAAUUUAAGGGCUUAAGAUUUUUUUUUUAAAUCCAAGACGGGUUCAAGGUGAGUUCGUCUCACCCCAUCCAGCCCCACCUUGAUCAUAUAUAAAAUUAAUUUAAUUUAAUUUUAAUUUUUUAUUUUAAUAUAUAUAAUAAUAAUGAUAAUAAAAUAUUUUUCAAUAAAAUAAGUUAUAAAAAACUAUAAUAUUUUAAUUAUUUAUUUUUAAAAAGAGUUAAACAGGAUGAGAUAAGGUGAGUAUGGAAAAUUUGUAUACUCGUCCCGUCCCACCCCACCCCAUUUAUUUUUUUUUAAUGGGACAAAUAUGUGAAUUAUUUUGAAUAAAUGAGACAGAUGGGUUGGGAUGAAAGCGAUCCGUCCCGAACCCGCCAUAUUGCUAUCCCUAGUUGUGUUGUAGAAAUGCAUAAAUACAUCAUCUGAAACAAGGACAAAGUGUUUGGGACACCUGAUAACACCUCAAGAGAAGUUGCAAGCCUUAAGAAACUACUAAGAUAGGUGAAAGAGCUUGGGUUGGAUCUCUAAUACAUGGGUAGUUAUUGAGAUUUUUUGGCUACCUAUUAAUACCAUAUUGUACAGGUAAAAGAUAAAAUGUUUCCAUUGACUUAAAACUCGUUUGAUAAUAAUUCUAAGAAGCGAUUGUAAUCUUCUAGUACUUAAAUUUUUUUAUUUUUCAAGUGUUAGAAGAGAUAAAAAAUACUUUAUAAAAUCACUAUCAAACAGACACUUUGAGUUCGUUUAACAAUUAUUCUAAAAAAUGUUUAUAGUUUAAAAAGUAUUUUUUUUUAAAUAAUAAUAAAAUGUUUAACAAAAUUUAGGAAACAUUUUUAGAAAUCUGAAAAAUCACUUUGUAGUAUUGAAAAAUUAGUUGUAGUGUUAUUUAGAGAAAUACGUGAUGAAUUAUUCUUUUACAAACACUAUCAAAGAAAACAUUUGUACUAAAAACAAUUCAAGUAGAAACUAUGCCAACUAAGAAGCUUUGAUUUUUUUUGUGUUGGGCACGGAAUUAUACAAGUUGAGCUGCUUGUAUACUUCGUGUGUUGGUUGCAUCGGUGUGGGCUUGCUAGGUCGAUCUUCACAACAUCACACAAAAAAAGAAUCUUGUGACAGCUAGCACUAUGAUGCUUAGGAUAGUAAGCAUCAUAAGAGAGUUGCCCUGCCAUCACCAGAAUUCACCCUUUUUCCUUUUCUACAUAAAAACCUUUGCAUCUUAAAAGAUUACAUCUAUAGAUCACACCCACACAUGUUCAUUCCACACCAACGUUCAUUGUAUUAAUUACAAAAACAAAGUUUCAAACUCCUCCCACUUGGAUCAUUUCAUAAAUCUGUAGCUAGGCUUCUCAGUCGUUUUUUUAUGCCCAAAUUUGUAAGUUUUGCUAGGGCUGCAGUUGAAGUUACUGUCACCCCCAAAGCCAUACUUGGUGCGGUACCCUGGGUAGUCCCUAAAAUUAAAGGGCACUUCUUCUAUAAGUCUUAGCCCAACUCUUGAGGCUAGAAAUUCCAAAUUCCACUCAUAAAAGAAGCCAUUGCUUUUGUGAGUAAUGUGGAUUUCUCCAUCUAUGUGAAUCAACUUCUUUGCAUUUUCUAAAAACUGUUGUACCAGCAUCCGAUGUCGCCUGCAAGAAUUAACAAUGAUAUAGAAGGAAAAUUUUCAUGUAAGAAUUGGGAAUGCAGGCUAUACAUAAAUUCAAUCCAUAGGAGCUUUUCAAAGAAAGAAUCUACCAACCAGAUCUCAUCCUCCCUGGGUUCAUCGGGAAAAAAUCCAGCGAGUGGGAAGUUGUAAACAACUCGAUCAAAACGCAUGCAUUUGAAUGGGAAAACGUUUGCCAUUUUGGUGGCAUCAACAUCAUGCAUGACCUUAGCUCCCAAGCUCCGGAGUUUAUCGAUGUUGGACAAGGCAAGCCUAUAGUUUGUGCUCAAAAACUCUGAAAAUUGCAGCUGAUGGUCAUCAGUUAAGGUCAUCAGUUAAGGUCAUAAGACAAACCCCAAAUGGGUGCUGGGGCACAUGCGAAUCAAGGUUUACUCAGGACUAGAAUGAGAAAAUACCCAAAUCAAUCAAAAUCAUGGCAUUCAUGAGAAACACUCAAAGAAGAUUACCAACUUAUAUUUCAGGAUUUCUUAUUUGUUACCUAUAGAAUUAAGAGAAGUAGCGGUUAUGUUUGUAGCAGAAGCAAAAGCCACAGCCAAAGACGCAGAGAAUGAAAAGUCCCCUUCACCCACCAGCAAUAUUUUGUACUCACUGCUGUAGUGCUUUAUCCAUCUUACUCUAAGUUUUCCUUCCUCUAGGUCUUCUUCUUCACAGCUGCUGUAGUCCCACCAAUUUUUUCCUACCACUCCUCUGGUUCGUUCUUCUUUUUCUUCAAUUAUGUUGUACUGGUGGAGCCGUGCAGAAACUUGCUUCUCAUCACCUACAACUUGGACUUUAAAUUUUGCA